rnacentral:lncRNA from 1 species
GAUGAAGAAUGUGAUCAGGUAUGGAGGGUGUUCAGAUAUUGAGGGUGGGGCAUUCUCUCUAAACUGACUUAGGAGAAUUCUUACUAAAACUGGGUGAUACAGGCCCCAUGAGGAUGGACACCAAGGUUGAGUACUUAGGGGAGCUGGUUAAAGUCUAGUCAAGGUGGGGCGCCUGGGUGGCGCAGUCGGUUAAGCGUCCGACUUCAGCCAGGUCACGAUCUCGCAGUCUGUGAGUUUGAGCCCCGCGUCGGGCUCUGGGCUGAUGGCUCAGAGCCUGGAGCCUGUUUCCGAUUCUGUGUCUCCCUCUCUCUCUGCCCCUCCCCCGUUCAUGCUCUGUCUCUCUCUGUCCCAANGUUAAGAUAUGGGGGGUGGGGCAUCCUCUCUAAACUGACUUAGGAGAAUUCUUACUAAAACUGGGUGAUACAGGCCCCAUGAGGAUGGACACCAAGGUUGAGUACUUAGGGGAGCUGGUUAAAGUCUAGUCAAGGUGGGGCGCCUGGGUGGCGCAGUCGGUUAAGCGUCCGACUUCAGCCAGGUCACGACCUCGCAUUCGGUGAGUUUGAGCCCCGCGUCGGGCUCUGGGCUGAUGGCUCAGAGCCUGGAGCCUGUUUCCGAUUCUGUGUCUCCCUCUUUCUCUGCCCCCCCCCCGUUCAUGCUCUUUUCCUCUCUGUCCAAAAAAUAAAUAAACGUUGAAAAAAAAAAUUUUUUAAAGUCUAGUCAAGGACAGCGUCUUUGUCCCUGCAAAGCUGUAGGAUUAUUGCUUUAACUGGGCUAGGCUAAGUAUAUUUUGGUUAAAAAAAAAUUGGUUGUCUGGGGCCCUGGGUGGCUCAGUCAGUUAAGUGUCCGCCUUACUAGUCGGGAGUGAGUCGAACCCCACGUUGGGCUCUGUGCUGACAGCUCAGAGCCUGGAGCCUGCUUUGGUUUCUGUGUCUUCCUCUCUCUCAGCCCCUCCCCCACUCAUGCUCUGUAAAUGUCUCUCUCUCUCAAAAAUAAAUAAACAUGAAAAACAUGUAAAAGAAAUUCUCUUUCUUCCUGACCUUUGUAGGUGGUGGGUGAGGAGAGUUUGUUAGUCACUCAUAAAACCUAGCUACCAUGGGCUUCAGCAUCUACAACUACACUUUCUGGAACAAUCCGUCCCCUUUGGUUACCCUGGCAGGGAGGAGACCAGUGAGCUGUACAAAGGCUUUUCAUUGCCUCAGCCCAUAAGGGCACAUGCCACUUCCUCUUGCAGAACCAGUUAUAUCCCACCUAAUUUUAGACGGGGCUUCAAAGAGUGUGUGCAUAGGGGGUGCUUGGUGAGAAUCUAUGUGUUCCACACUUAUAUUGUUUACAAUAAACGCCUUCCAUUUCUUUUAGGAGCAAGGGCAAGAGAAAUGCUGCAAACAUAGAAUACCAAUACAGGGAAAUUCUUAAACUGUCUAGGAUGUUUCUUAUUGCUUCGAGUCAGCGCAAUUAAUAAAACAUUUAUGUUUAUGUGUAUGUUUAUAAUUUAAAACAUCUUUGGGGCACCUGGGUGGCUCAGUCGGUUAAGUGGCCGACUUCAGCUCGGGUCACAAUCUCGCGGUCCGUGAGUUCGAGCCCCGCGUUGGGCUCUGGGCUGAUGGCUCAGAGCCUGGAGCCUGCUUCCGAUUCUGUGUCUCCCUCUCUCUCUGCCCCUCCCCCGUUCAUGCUCUGUCUCUCUCUGUCUCAAAAAUAAAUAAAACGUUAAAAAAAUUUUUUUUAAAAACAUCUUUAAAGCAUCCAACAAAAAUAAUUACAUGGAAUUUUCAGGGGCAAAAAUUCUCAAAUAAUGGAUAUUGAAAUAUAUUUCCGGGAGUUUAGUGUCCUUUGGACUUUAGAAAACAUUUUGGAAGCUGGUGACCUAGGAGUCUUUCUUUCUUUCUUUCUUUCUUUCUUUCUUUCUUUCUUUCUUUCUUUCUUUCUUUCUAUCCCUUUUUUAGAGAAGUGCCAUCAGGGGCAUUGUGAAUUGUGCCUUCAGGCUGGAGGCAUGGCAUGAGCCCAGCAGCUAUGUUUCUUUUCAGCCAGAUCAAUACGUGUUUUUAAAAAAAUUGAAUGCAUAUAGUGGGUUGUUUUCUGCAGUAUGGCCCAAGCCCUGUGAUGUCCUAUUGUUUCCCUCAGUUCAUGUCCUAAUUUUAAGUUACCUAAUGAGACUUCUAAAGUUGUUACCGUUAUGGAAAACGAGUGAAGAAAGGCCAUCGUGGGACUCUUUUCUAGCAUCAUUGGACGUAUGUAAAAGAAACUGGUUGCCCUUUAGUUGUUUCUUAGCAAACAAUAGGAACAUUUACUAGUUAUUUCAGAGAAAUUAGUGAAUAAAGUGGCAUGCAGCGUGAACUAUGCUAACUCUGGCAAUAUUGGACUUUUAAAAGGUCAAAAAAGCCUUUAUUAUGGCAAAAGGAAAAUUGCAAUUAUGUAAAUAAGGGGUUUCACUAUAUUACUUGUGUUAAUCUCUUAUCCCCAAAGGAGUAAACGCUUUUAGUGUAUGGUGUACAACACAGAGCCAUUAAGUCCAUAAAAGCAGUAUUUAGUGGAAGAAAUAGAAAAGUCUAAUUUAAUUUAAAACUGAUGCAUCAUGGGGAGCGUCUGGCUUCUUAAUAUCAGUGCUUCAGAGCCAUGACUGUGGAGCAGAUAAGGUCCCCCCGCUGCAUAUGAAGCAAUGAGAUGGACUCAUGGUGAGCCCUGACGCCCUACAGGGCAGGUGUCCAUAUUAUGGUGUGAGUGAAGCCAGACCGUUUUCUUUUUAACCAAAACACACAAUGAUGAACAGAAAAUUUUGAUAUCUAAAUGUCAAGUCGGUUAGAAUUAACUAGUUUGUUGAACAGCUGAAUCAAAUUUUACAAACUUGGGCUCAUUUGGGGUCCUAGAUUCCUUCUCUGCAUGCUGAUUUUCAAGCUGGUGCCCAUUAUGCUGCUCAUAUUAAAAUGCUAUGAAAGCAAAGCAUUUUGUGUUGAGUAGUUGAGCAAACUCUAUUAUACAGUAAUUAUACUAUCAGUAUAGAAUCUAAUUUUAUAUGGAGGAGGGGGUUUUAACCAAAUGAAAGAGGAAAACUCACGAACAGUAUUUUUUUCAUGAUCACUGUGGGGUGGUAAAAUUGCAGAACUAUUCUAACUUGGGACGCUAGUUUUAGCCUAUUUCUACUAAAUAAAAUUAACUCCAAUUUUGCUGGAUGUGAACACAAUUUAGCCACCAUAGCAAUGGAUGUAGAUUCCAAGGGGUUGCCUCUGUUUGCUUAUUGAGCAUGCAAAAAUGCCUCUGUCAGUGACCAAUCACAGGCACACUUGUUCCGUUAUCCAUGCUAUUUUAAGCAUCAUUGAGACACAAGGCCUCAGGGUUACAAAUGAGUAGGACCAUCUUAGAUCUAAUUCUUGCUGACAAUAGGGAUGCUGGAAGAUGAAGGAGGGGGAGAGGAAGACCUAGUUAGCCAUGUAGCUGUCGUAUCAACUGAUAUACUCAAGUUACUUACAAAGGGGUAAGAUUGGUCAUAUUAUUUAUAAAAUGUAAUUGAAUACUUAUUAAAUGCCUACCAUGUAUAAGGCAUUCAGUUAAGGGACUGUGGAUGAGUAAGUAUAGCAUCUGAACUUGGGGAAUAAUAUAAUCUGUAUAUCAUUUGCAUUUCUUUAUUGAUUGCUAUAUAAAUAUGGGAAAUUAAAUUAAUUACAAAGACAGGGAUUAUCCAGUGUAUGGAUUAUCCACGCUCUUUAUUGUUCUUUUCCUCUGACUACUUUACAGCUCACUUCUACCUCCUCAGGUAGAAAAAUGGAAAAAAAAACAAAAACAAAAACAAAUGGAGACAAAAUCUAAGAGCUAAUUUGCUACUUGUUAGCAAACCUGGAACACUGGAUAGUUUGCAGCAAGAAAAUAAGCCAGCUAGGAAUUAUAUAGACUAGCUGAUUCUUGUUUGUCUGAUGCUCUUAACAGGUAAAUAAUAUAUGUAUUCAUUCACUAUAUACAUGAUGUAUGUGCGAAGACAUUCAUAUAUACAAAUAUAUGAAAAUCUAUAUAGUACACAUCCUGCACCUGCACACACUUAUGGGUGUGUAUGCGCAUAAUGUCUGUGUUCUGUUGCAGCUAACACAAGAAAAAGAGCAAAUCUGGUAAUCAGAUUUCAGCCUGGGUUUCUUUUCUUUUUUAAAAAAUAUAAUUUAUUGUCAAAUUGGCUUCCAUACAACACCAGUGCUCAUCCCAACAAGUUCAGCCUGCAUUUCUAUGGUAAAGGGUUAUUUUUUGUUUGAGGCUCUACACUUGGAUGCAGGGUCAACACCACGAAUCUGUAUCCUUUUGUGAAAUAUGUGGCUUGCACAGUAAAACAUACUUAGGUAAAGCAGAUUUUCACUUGUUUACUAGGUAUUAACCCAUUAAUAUACAUAGGAAACCUGAACAAAAAGAGAAAAAUCCAUAAUCAAAUCAGAAACUAGGCAAACUCAUUUGCUACAUUGUCCUUUUCUGCCAAGAAAUGUGCCCUUUUUACUGGUGUCAUUUACUCUGAGUUCUACUUUUCUUUUCCAAACUUGAGAACAGAAACUCUGCUUCCAGCAGGAGCUCUGGCUUCCCAGUUGGCCUGAUUCUCAGGGGAAAAGGUGCCACCCCUGAAGAAGGAUCUGGAAAGAAGGGACGGAUGCUAUUUCCCCCUUCCUUCACAUGAUAGGACCACACCCCCUCAGGGAACAUGGGGAAAUUAGCAAAGUCUUGCAACCCAGUGCUCUUCCCUUCAAAAAGUAAUCUCUUAUGCUGUAUUUUUCAAUCUUUUGGGGCAUAAAUGAUAGCAUUUUUCAACCUAAAAAUGUUCAUAGGCUCCCACAUUAUGUAGCAGGUUUUAAGCAUUAACUUCAUUUUAGGUCAUCCCAGAGAAAGAGCUUCUUUCCUAUACUCAGGAGAGUGGUGGGGAAGAGUCUUACUGAUAUGGGGGCGCCUGGGUGGCUCAGUCGGUUGAGCGUCCGACUUCAGCUCAGGUCAUGAUCUCAUGGUUCGCGAGUUUGAGCCCCGCAUCGGGCUCUGUGCUGACAGCUCAAAGCCUGGAGCCUGCUUCCGAUUCUGUGUCUCCCUCUCGCUGUGUCCCUCUCUCCUUCACGCUCUGUCUCUUUCUCUCAAAAAAUAAAUAAACAUUAAAAAAAAAAAUAAAGAGUCUUACUGAUUUGGACCACAUAUCUAUCCAUUCCUCAAACAAAUGUCAGCCCUCUGAGCAGGAUUGGCCCGAUGUAAACCACAUGGAAUGGGUCCCUUACAGGAAAAAAAGAAAGCAGUUUUAUAGCCAGAAUAAAGGAGACAAGAAGAUGAACCGGCAAGAAAAGCUUCCCACAUUUACAAAAGUGCUUUGAAAAAUCACAUAGCCAUAUAUCAAUGUAUAGCAUAGAUUUCUUUCUCUUCUAUAGGUUUGAAAUAUUGCUUGAAAAGUGUAUCAAUUAUGUUAAACAUAACAAUGUGUAAGCAGCAGGCCCUAGUUCACUAGUUUUUAAUGCAUAUGGAGUCAGAUCUCUUAGUUUUCCACUUAGUAGCUCAAAUGUCCAUCUGCCUUUAUGAACAGAGAUUCUAAUCCAUUUCUCUCAGACUUCUUGUCAACCCUGAUUUUUCCAGAAUGUUCCAAAAUUAACUUUGACCAAAGAGAGUCAAUCUCUGAUGUCCAUAGGGAUUUUUUCUUGCCAUUGCUUUUAUUACCGCAUGGUUUCACUGUUGAAAGCUGGCCCUGCCCUAUCCCAAUGAUGUUUAGUCCUUCCCUGUGCUGGGUUCUCUGCAUGACCCCUACCAGAGCCUCAGUGAGUAUGUCUUGGACUUUGGGGUUCCAGCCCACAUGCACAGAUACUACUCCCCAACACUCAGGACAGGAAGGAAUGAUUUCCAACUUCUGCAUAACCCUGUGCAGGAGUUGGCUGUCUCCCACAGGAUGGAGGGAAAUAGGACAGAAGACCCUGUUCCUGUGAGUUCUUUCCUGAGAAUCUCGGGGGUUUUGUCUUGACACUAGGCUUGGCUGUGGCCCCUAGUCCUUACCCAGUGGUGUCUGUACUUUUAAAUAAUUUUCUCUCAGAAGUUAUCUGGGCUCUUUAAGCAAACUGGUUCAUCUUUUCACGUACUAAGGGAAGGGACUGCUUUCCCUUCCCAAGCUUCGGGAGGGGAAGUUUUUCCUCAAAGCAAGGGGGUACUUUUUAACUUUAAUUUUUACAAAACAGGCCGGCUGCUCUUCCAAGAACAACAACAACAUCUUCCCCCAAGGAGACUUUCUCUUUCCAGAUGGUAAAAGGCUGGUGUAAUUAUUUUAAAACUCUCCCUCCCUAGGCAUCCUGUUAGCACAAAUGUAAACCUGGAUUUCUGCCUCAAGCUCACCCCUCCCGGUGUGUUUCCCAUGUUUAUGAAUGAAUGGCAUGUCUUUUUACUCAGAUGACCAAAACAGAAACCAGGGAGUCAGGUUUGGCUCCUUUUGACUUCCCUCUUGCUACAUUCAAGCAAUCAGCAAGGAUUAAGGAUUGCCAUUUCUACUCCCUAGAUGUCAGUUCUGUCUGCUUCCUUCCAUCCCCAUUCCCACAAUCUUAAUUUAUCCUCUGAAUUUCUAGGACAGGUCAUUCUGACCUAGUGUCUGCACUGCAGCCUGGGUAUUUACUGGAAUUCAACUGUGAUCUUGUGCCUUCCCAUUGUUGUUAGGCAGAAUUCCAGAGACAAUUCAGCAUCUUUCUCCCCUCUCCAACCUUGUUUCUCACUAUUUCUUUCUUCACAAUCUUUGUCCCAUCUAGACCAGAGACCUCAGGUUCACCUGAGGCUCUAAGCUGUCUAGACUUCUGGCCCAUAACACGUGUAGUUUUCCCUCUCUGGGAACUUGCCCUUUCUCCAUGUUGGAUGUACUUCUACCUAAAGUUCACAUUGCUGACAUGGCUCAGCCUGGUUUGGAUGCCCCUGCUGUGGAUCCUGGAUGUCCUCUAUCAUGCCACCCUACAUGUCACUUCUCUUUACAUCAUCUUUCUUGUCGACCAAACAGUGAAUUUCAUGAAGACACCCACCAUGUCUGCUCACGCACUGUCGUACUCUCAGAAGCGCAUGGUAGGCACCUAAUACAUAUCUGCUUACGUGGCAAAUACAUUCAUAGAUCUUCGGAGACCACAUGGUCUAGGAGAGAAAGUGUUCAGUGGGAGUCAGGAGGUAUGAAUUUUGCCAUGUGUUCUUCCUCCCUGUAUGAUUUUCAUGUAAGAUGCUACCUUACUUUUCCAUCCGAAUGGGGGAAUCACACCACGUUGGGAGAGAAUCAGGUCCUCAGUGGGGGAUUCCUGGGAGAGCCAGGCUUCUGGUGGAAGCAGUUGACAGUGCUUCCUGAUGAACUCUACUGUUUUCUACCUGGGACUGACUACUCAGGGAAAAUGCGCAUGGCAUGCAGGCACCUCAGAAUAUGGGCAAAUGCAUUUGAAGGCUCUGAGUGAGAUGACUGAUUAGGCUAACUCUGAAUUUCCAGUACACUGGAAUUGAAAUAAUAGUCCCAGAGGUAAAAUUAUACAACAUGAAUAAUGUUGCAAGCUGAUAACACCAACCUUCUGACCCAGGGAAGGUCUCUUUUCCUUCUGAAAACCACAUUUCCACCAAUAACAUUCAGAAAGCUGCUUAUCUGGGCUGGAGUUCAUGUGAUUAGGUUAGACACGGGGUAUGCUGGCAGUGGCUAUUUGUACUGAUUUUCUCCACUUAAAAAAUGCUUUCAGAAAACUAUUCAGUUCCUGUAAAGCAAAAUAUACAUCUAGUUUUUUUUUUUACAGUGCAUUUUUAAAAUGGCAAAUCAUAAACUACUGACCUUAAGAGAAAUUCAAUAAAUCAUUAAAAUACUGCUGCUUGCAAGCCCAGGCCUGACUAAUUCCUCACACUUGGCAUUAUCAGGUACAUUAAGACUUCAGUCACUCUUACCAACCACCUAAAUAUUGCACACUGUAGCAGCCUUCUGCUAAAUGCAAGCCUCUGAAUCACGGCGAUAGGAUUUUCUUUUGGCACCAAAUGUAUUAUUUAUGUGUUUGUUUUCUGGGGUGGAGGGGGUGAAACCCAAAUCACUGGUUUCUCUGCAACACAUGUGCUGAACCGUGCUCAUUUGCAGAGGAGCGCUCCCUGCUGCAAAGAGGCCAGAUGGGACCUCUCACACAGAGAGAGAGUGAGGCUUCCUCCCCACCCCCCCAACUUAAUUAUUCUUACCUGAGACAAUUGAUAGAAGGAUUGACAGCCAACAUUGUCGCCCUCAGACUCCCAUAUCAUUUUGGUGUAAAGAUAGAUAUUUUACUUUAAAAAAUACUUUUUGUUGUUGGUGGGGAGUUUUAAAUUUUGAUCACUCAAGUUAGAGUGUCACUUAAACAAUUCAAGCGAUGCAGGUAUAUCUAAGAUGACAAUGAAAUCUCAAGGUGUCUCUUCUGCCACCCAUACACUGCCAUUUAUUUUCCUAAUUCCUGUUUUUUUUUUUUGAUUAUCUAGACAUAUAGAGGCACAUGUACAGAUUGGCUUUUUCUACCUGAAAAUCUUUCAAUAAGAGGCUCAUAUUAAACAUACUGUACCAUAACUUGCUCUUGCUUUAUUUUGUUGCUGUUGUUUUACUCAGUAGAUCAUGGAUCAUCUCCAGUGAUCCUUGACUUUUGCUCUGUGCAAUGAACCUGGCACCUGUGGACCAUGGUGUGUUCCUGUGUUUGCUACUCCUGUUUCACACACUCCUGUUUUCUCUGACUAGAUUUAAAGACAAAGAUGGCAUCAUCUCUCAGUGCUCAGCACUCAGUAGACUGAUCGUUUGGAGUCAUUUGCAACGGACUGUCAGGGCUGCAUUUCAGUUUAAUGUAAAAAGGACUGCUUUUUGUAGGCACGUUCUUUGGAGCCAUGUGUUUUGUGCUCUCUGGCCACUAACCAAUUACCACACCUUAUGUGCAGAGCUAAAUAUCUGUGCGACCAAAGUAAAGCAGACAAUUAUGCAAUGACUCAGAUCAUUCAGGGGAAGAAGGAUGUUCCGCCUGGGUGCCUCAGGUGAUCCUGGCUCCAGAAACCGUGCAUGGCAUGAAGCAGUUCUUUCCUUAUUAACGUGUUUCAGAGGCAUGUGCGUGAACCCUCUUAAGGGUGGGGAGUACUUUGUGGGUGGGCAAGCAUACUUGGCUGCCAGGUGAUUGUGAAAGUCCCCUUUCCUAUUUGAAUAUUAUUGGUACAGGAAGUGAUUACAUAACCAGGCAUCGUGGUGGAGGAUGAGAAAGCAAUGAGGAGUAAAAAUACAUAAGUUCUCUGCUUCUUCUGGCUUACAGUCCAUAUUAGUCUCCUAGAGUCGCUAUAACAAAGUACCAUGGGCUAGGUGGCUUAAAACAGCAGAAAUUUAGUCCCUCACGUUUCUGGAGGUGAGAAGUCUGAAAUCAAGAUGCUUUUAGUGGUCAUGCUCUCUCCAGGGCCUCUAGGGAAGGACCCUUCCUUGCCUUUCCCGGCAUCUGGCAGCCCCAGGUGUUCUUGGCUUGUGGUGGCUUAACUCCAGUCUGUCUCUGGUCAUCUUCACUCUGUGUCUUCACAGACCCUCCCUGUGUGUUGGUGUCAGUGAGGAAAUUUCCUUCUUUUAAUAAGGACACUGGUCCUAUCGGAUUAAGACCAGCUCUAAUGACCUUAUCUUACCUUGCUUAAAUCUGCAAAGACUCUAGUCCCAAGUAAGGUCACAUUCACAGGUACUGGGGAUUCGCACUUCAAUGUAUCUUUCUUGAAGGGACACAGAGCAACCCAAAAUAGAGUCUAAGUGUUUACUCCAGUGGGGCAGAGUGAUGUUUUUGUCUAACCGUCAGAGAAACUGAUAUAAAACCACAAGAGAAGGGCUACAGGGGAGAGACUGGGUGUUCCACCAUCUCUCAUGUGGGAUUAGACCUGGGCAAGAUUCUGGGGGAAGUAAGCUUUGGCUGAGCAAGUAUCAAGUAGGUGCCCCAAGAUAAGGAAUGAUGUAACUACCAGACUUGUGGGGCUGCUGUGAAGGGAGAAAAGGGGUACAGGGAGGAUGAUAAAUGUUGAAGAGGUUAGCGAUUACCACACCGGGCAGGAUGUGGAGAUCAACACUGGUCAUUUGUAGCCUCAUCCUAAGAAAAGCAAGAAGCUACUGAAAGGUUUGAGCAGAGGAUGACCUCAUCUGAUUUGCAUGUCACAACCAAUACUCCAGCUGGAGUGUUGAACAGUUAGAGGCAAAGCAAAGCAGAUGAGGGUGCGUCUAGUCACAUAGGAAGCUCUGGCAGAGCAGAGAGGACACAGCUUACGUUUCAGAGGUUGAGCUAGAGAUCUACAGGAAGGGAGGAUUUCAACAGAAUAUUUGGAGAAUAGAACAAAAUGGAAAUUAGCCGUAGAUGAGACACAGGAAGAACCUUGCCAAGGAUGGCGUGGAGGUUCUUGGCCUGGGAAGGCUGGGGAGGACUCCACAGAGAGAAGGAGCUCCGGGAGACGGGCUGGUUUGGGGAAGGAAGAUUGUGAGAGCAGUUUUUUCUCAAGUGGCACGAAGACCUCCCAGUGGAGAUGUCAAGCAGGCAGCUGGAUAUAUGGGGCCCAGUUUAAGGCAACUAACACUUUGUCCCGUAACUGAAAUCUCACGUAACCUGAAUCAAGAUGUUGAGGGGGGAUCUGGUCUCCUUUUCUCAUGCCGGGGGGAGGAUUCUGGGACCUGAGGGCUUCCAGAACCAGUUUUAAAACACAAAGAGGAUCACUUCCUUUUGGCCAUAGGAACUGUAAUUUUGGUAGUUACCGUUGGACAAUGUUUGAGAGGACCUGCUAAUAGAUAAAAAGGACCGGUGAGUGGAAUCUUUUAGACAGGUUAAGUGAGGAGACAUGGUACACAAUUCAGCGAAUUUAAAUUUUUCCAUGACGUAAUCAUUAAAAUGAGAGUCAUUAGUUAUCUGUAAUUACUGUUUGUUUGCUUUUCCUCAGAGGUUAAGUUUACUCCUCAAAAAGGCGAAUGCUGGACCACUUCCUUUGAGCUUAGAAGCAUCCUCCCAACGUGAUGGAACUUUGUUUUCCUUUCUGUCUUCUUGAAAACGUCUCCUUUGUCUCACUUAUAAAACUCCUCGGCAUUUUCCCUCAGCUUCCCUGGGAAGCACUUGUAAUUUGGGUAUUAAAAAUGUUUGUAGCCCUUUCUCUUGUUGCUUGAUUUCUUCCAGAAUCAAGGGCAGGUGGCUUCCUUAUGCAGUGGUUGUGUGCAGAUACCACUGAUUAGCUGGCUCUCUCCUGGAAGAGAGCUCAUUGCUUUUUCUUGGGGCUGAUGUCCCUCUGCUGCGGGAAGCUUUGCAAGGACUCUUACUCCUAGAGCCUCUUCCUUGCAUUGCCACCUAGCUCUAAUUAUUCAGUCUUUUGCUGAGAGUGGAAAGCUGAUGGUGUAUCUCCUUCUCUAAAGGCUGGCUCUAAUCCUGAGACAACUUCUUUCCAACCAGGAGAAAAUUUACCUUAGCAACUAAGCAACUAAUUAACUCAAUUAACUUUUCCCCUCCUCCUUUAUCAAUAUUCAAUUAACAGUAAAUCACUACUUUGCCAUGCUCUGUAGUUUUAUAACUUUCUGAGCAAAUACUGAAGUGGGUGGAGGACUACAGAGGAGAUAGGUGAGGAAUGUCUUAGGGGUGAAAUUGUGCAGACGAAGGCACAGAACCAGAAGACCUGUCCACCAAUCCCCUGCCUCCAUUAGCAUAUUGUAUAGACCCCUGAAUGUAAUUUAGAUGCAACUGUUGGGAAUGGAGGGACAGGGACAGAACUCUGAAGUGUCCAAGAUUAAGGUUCUAGCAUGGAAUGGAGCUCAGAGGCAGAAAUAGGUAGAUGGAAGGAAAAUACUUACUUUUUUUUCCCCAGUUUGAGGUUAGGGACAGAGAUUCAUAUUCUAGUUGUCAAAAAUAAUGGAGGACAGUGAAACGAUACCUACCAAAAUUAUAAAUUUUUUACUUUGAAGAUCAAAAAGUAAAACGUGGUCUUUCCCUGUAAGAAUUGGAGAGAUAAGAUGGACACUGGCCUUUCUCCCUAUGCUAUUCCUGCAAGCUGGUUUGGGAAUCCAGAUAAUUUUCUUCAUCUUCUGCAAAUGGGUGAACAGUUGCUCUGUUGGGAAUUCUCAAGGCUACAUCCAGUACUGCGUUUGCUUUCUUACCCUCAUUAUCACCUGCCCUACACAAGUGUUCUCUCCUGAACAUGGCAUGUGUUUCUUACCUACGUCAUCCUUUCUUGGAAUGAAUGAGGGCUAGAAAAAAUGAAUUUAUUCUAUUCCAUCAAUUCAAUCAUUUAAGAAACAGUGUAUUCAUACAUAAAAAACAAUCAUCUCAGUGACCCUUGCUGGGUGUUUACUACCUGUUGUGUUCUGAGUAUUUCGGCAAUCUCACGAGGAAUGCCUUAGGAAGUAGAUGUUACUGUCCCUAUUUUACAAAGGAGGGAAUUAUAGCUUGCAAAAUUUUGGAUCUCGGUUAAAGCCACACAACCAGUCACCAAAAGUUUGGGAUUUGGAUCCAGAUAGUUUAAUAUCAAAGACAUUUACUCAGUCAUUUACUAUGCUGUCUGCAUGAGCAGGGAAGAGAAAUGGAUUUCCUACUUAAGCACAUACCUUCAAGUUCCAUGUCCAAUGAUGCUCUGGCCUUGACCAGUUAUCAAAUAAAGCUGAUGCUUUCAGAGGUGACAAUCAAGGGUGUGUAUGAGGGGCUGAUCCUACAUGAAAUUCAAGUGGUAAUGGGUAACUUUUUAUGCACUGUUUAUGAGUGGCUAACCUUGGGGGCUCAGGGCUGCCAGAUUUAGCAAAUAUGAUCAUAAGGUGCCCAGUGAAAUGUGAAUUUCAGAUACAUGAUGGGACUAUUUGGUGUAAGUAUGUUCUAUGCAGUAUUUGGGACAUGGAGGACCUCACAGACAAAAAAUAACUUUCUCGAGGUCAAACAGCUAGACUGGGACAGCUGGCACUGAAACUGACAGUAGGCUAGGAUUUCUCCUACCCCACUAGCUCUGCUUCACCACACUAUUAUGUUUCUACGUCUCUGCUUACUCCACAACAUGUUGAGAAGGGGUGCUUAGCUCCUUCUCUGAAGGGGAUGAUGAUGGUGGUGAUGAUCAUGACAGUAGUUGAUUAUUUUUUUCAGUCCUAGGCAUUUUAUACAUAGUAUUUCAUGUAAUCAUUACACUAACCAACAAGGUAGCUAUUACCCACUGCUAAGGUUGAUCCACUAGUAGCUUCUCAUGCUACGAACUCUGUUUUACUCUCCCUAUAAAUACCCCAAGAACAACAGGACCCAUUUUAACAUAAAUUACAGUAAUUUGCAAAGAGAGAGUUGAGGAAGUACAUAUCUCUGCUUCUUAUAGCUGACGACUCUGCUUCCUGUUUCCAAGGGGUGGGAGAUACUGCAAUUGGGUUAAUUGUUUUAAUUCUGGUAGUGAUCCAAUAUACAUAGCCCUCAGAGAGGUCCUAAAUUUUCUCCUUCCUUUUCUAUAAAUCCCAGUCUGUUUUGCAACUGUAUUUAUUUUACUGCUUAGAGGAGGCGGGAAUAUUUGGGAGUGGGUUUCCUUUAAGGAAGGAUGAAACAAGAAUAUAACACAAACACUCAGAUGAAUUUUCCUUUAUUUUAUACAUUUGGAAAUAGUUAUAUUUAAUAUGAUUAAUUUGGAAAGUUUAUAAUUCACUAGCACAUAUGGGAAUAUAAAAAUUACUACCAUCUAAUGAGCAGUAACUAUGGGCUGGACAUGGUGUCAGGAAUAUUACUGUAUCUCUAGUUCUCCCAAUAAACAUGGACAUAGGCAUUAUUAUUCAAAUUUCACAAAAGAAACAUGAAUCUCUGAGAGAUUAAGGAAUUUCCUCAAGGUCACAUAGGAAGUGGAAAUGUUGAACAUGGGACUCAGGAUAAUAACUUGAAAAUCCAUGUGCUUUCCAUAUAUUAUUGUUAAAAAUGUUUUGUUUGGGAAAUACUUUACAUUACUUCACUCUUGGAGUUUCAGAUGCCUACCAGCAUAUUAAAGACUCCAGAUUCCUGUAACAAAGAAGUCUAUUUGACUUUUUUAGCCCAGAGUUUGUAUAUAGAAUGUAUAUCUAUUAAUAUCUUAAGGAGCCAGUGUUUAGAGUUACUUUACCCAUCCCAGUGGUACAUUUAGGAUUACAAAGGAUUUAACACAAUGCCUCUUGAGGCUCACUCAUGCCCUUAAGAGGAACUAUUUACGAUCUGCAAGAGAAAACUAAGAGGCAGGAAAAAUCUAGUAUUUUGAAAUAUCUGAAAUGCUGCCAUGUGAAAGAGAGAUUAGAUUGUUUCAAAGGUCCUAAGUAGUAAAACUAAAACCAAUAUAUAGAAAACAGGAAGACAGAUUUUGAUUCUACUUAGGUUCUAACAAUCAGAACUGCCAAAAAAUAGCCUAGAUCACCCAUUAUUGGAAGUGAUGGACCAAUGACUCCAUGGAAGUGAUAUUGGAAGUGAUAGGCUCCAUGGAUACCUGUGAAAAUGACAUUCUGACGUCAACUGAGUGCUUGAAUUAGAUGACCUUUAAGGAUUUUGACAAUUAGGAUUCUGUUCUUAUUUAAGCUGGCUAAUUCUAUCCAAAAUAUAUCAACUUAAUAAUGAGCAGUUGGUCCACCAGUUUAUACUUGUAUAAAAAAUGGCCAAUUGGACAGCAAACAACAAAUUAUAUGCCUAAUUUUUCAAAAACUCUAUAAUUGUUCUUGGCAGCACGUACUGCAGGAUAUUGACGUGGAUGUCCACAUUUUCUCCCAGAGAUAGACAUUCAUCCUUAGUGUGUGUUUUACUUUGCAGGGGAUUGGCCACUGACCUAAUCAAGGUCUUGGGAUUGGUUUCAGGACCAGUGCUGGUAGUGUAGAAUGGGAAUGACUUUCUGUGGUGUUGGUGUGUCAAAGUUGGUGCUUUUCUUCUUAGGGAUAAAUUUGAGAGGAUAGAUCUAGGUUAGCAUUUGAAGUUUUAAGCCUCUUUGUUAUAUUUCUUAAAUAAACCCACAAGAAAUAUAUUUACAGUGUUUAAAGUUAAAUAUGCUAACCAAACUCUCAGAGAAGAGUUUGGGAAAACAUUAAAACUCUUUAGUCCCUAAGAAUGUAAAUGCCCACCAUGAACUAAAAUGCUAUAAUGCCUUUGGGUGCAGAAGAUUUGGGAGUUUUUGAUACAGUUUAUGGAAUACAAUAAUAUGGUGAUAUGCUUGAUUUCAUUAGACAAGCUACAAGCAAUUUCAAAGUCAGGAAAGAUGACUAUCUUAUAUGCAUGCAUUAUAAAACCAUGAUAAUAACCCAAGGUACAAAACUAAGUGUAUUUUUUUUCUACUAAUGUGUUUGCUGCCUUUUGUGUUUGCAUGUAUGCUAAUUUGCCCACAGACAAGCCACUAGCAGGCACUAAAGUUUAAAAAAGUGUAUAUAUAUUAUAUAAUAUAUAUAAUAUAUAUAUAUUAUGUAUGUGUAAAAUACACACACACACACACACACACACACACACACGUAAUCUCAGUGCCAGGUUUUCAACAUUGAGUCCCCUUCUUCAGGAAAUUGAAUUCCAUAUUGAAUAUCUGAGGAUUCCUGGAGAGUGCUUUCAUGUCCUGAUCAUCACUUACCAUCAUCUCCCCUGCCCUCCACCCACUCCUCCUAAUUGCUCCUCCAGAUGUCACUCUAUAGGUUCUAAUUCUAUAGGAUCUCCUUACUCUGCGGAACAUGUCCAGCUUCCACCAGUCAGUGGGCAUUUCCUGGCCCCACCCCAACCUUCUGAAUCAGAACCUGCAUUUCAGGGAGCUGCCCAGGGAUUCACACCCACCUUAAAGUUCAGGAAGCUCUGUCCUAGGUCAUCUUUUAAAGGUGUUCUUUCCUGUUCUCCUUUAUCUCAGGCAUGGACCAAGGACUUUUUUGCCCCUAUUGUAUUUAAUAUACUGAACUAAAGGCUUCCAACCAAGGAGGAUACACAGCACAGGAAAACCAAAGUGUGGACCUAAGACCUGUCAUGGUCAUAGCUGUCAUGGCAUUUUAUAGGAUCCUGUAGCGGCCAUCAUCCUCCUUAAGACUAACACUAUGUUAUUAGGGGUAACUGGCAGCUCAAUUCAAGUCACCUUCUUCAUGUAUUUUCCCCUUAAGACAUAGGGCUCUGAGAUUUAGCCCCAAAUUAACAUCAUAAACAUCUUUUCCCCCUGUCUUUUCUACUGGAUUUAGCUUUCCUGAUUCAACUUAUCUCCCCAGGCCUCAGCUGUCUUCUCAUAAGCAUAGCCAAAAGUCUUAUUAAAGUGUUUUCCCAAGCAAUAUGGCAGACUUCCUCCAAGGAUGAAUCACAUACCACCACUGGGAGAUGGAAACAGGUGCAGAAAGACUUAAAAUGAGUAGAUGUGUGUGUGUGUGUGUGUGUGUGUGUGUGUGUAUGCAUGUGUGUUUUACUAUAUUUUAAAUAAAAAAAAGCUGUUAAGUAAUUUUUUGACAAAUUAAGAAUACUAUUAUUGGAUACCAAAUUUUAUGGCGGAUUUUAUCUCAAAAUGAUCAUUGUGUUCUUUUUAUUGUGUUGCCUAGUUUCUGUCAAGUUUAGGCCUCCUACUUGAUACUUCAGAUGAUGGCACUAAAUUACCUCCGUUUCUUAGGAGGUAGACAUUAUUUUGUUACAAAAGAGAUUUGCAGGAAAUGUUUAGCCUUUAUCUCUAUUGUCUUUUUAUGUCUUUUCGAGUUUCUUUUGCUUUAUUCAGUUUCUUUUUAUCUGGUAUGUGAGGUAUUUGAGGCUGGGCACUGGCUUCAUUCAAUGAGUACUUUUGGGGAUUUUUAUAUGUCUCUCAUCUGACAUUUAGUUAUUACAUCAUGUUUGUGAUGUGGGUAUUCUAUUUAUUGAUUGAUUCACCUAUUUCUAUUUUUUUAAUGUUUGUUUAUUUACUUUGUGGGGGGGGGAGAGGGAGAGAACAUGCACAGGGGAGGGGCAGAGAGAGAGAGAGAGAGGGAGAGAGAGAAUCCUAAGCAGGCUCUGCACUGUCAGCACAGAGCCUAACGUGGGGCCAAAUCCCAUGAACUGUAAGAUGAUUGCCUGAGCCGAAACCAAGAGUAGGAUAUUUAACUGACUGAGCCACCCAGUGCCCCUAUUUUUUUCUGUUAAAGUCAAUCAGGCAACAGAUAUUAAUUACUGCACACCAGAGAGUACAACAGAGUCCUGCCCUGAAGGAGCUUACAUUUAAUACAUGUCCAACUGCCUCAUUUUGUAGAUGAAGACACUGAGGCUCCAAGAAUAUAAAUGUCUUGUCUGCGGUCAGCUACUCAGUCAGGUCAGAGCCAGAACUGAACCUAGUCUGACUCUGAGGGUCAUGCUCUCCUUAUAAUGUGGGACUGAAUCAUACAGCCUAUGGUAGAAAUGAGUGGUGAAGAAUUUGGAAGAAAUAUGCUGAUAAGCUGCUUGGGGCAGUUUCCAUUUUCAAAUGGAAACCUUAGCACCAUGUUCAAACAAUAAGAGAUUCUAACUAUUAGAUUAGGAAAGGCUCUCCCAUCCCCCCAGAAGAUUAAAAAAAAAAAAAAAAAGAUGAGGAAGAGGUCAUGAAUGGACAGCAGAGAGGAAGAGAAAGGGAACCAGCAAGGAGGCCUGGGGUAGACUCAGGUCAAGUCAGUGGUUUCUGACUCCUGAAGCUACCAGAAUGUCUGCUAAAGCAUCCAGGAGUGCCUGGUGUAAGUGGACCCAGAUCCUGAGAGGCCUGAAGUUACACAGUUUGGAAGGCCUUCUUUCUGAAAAAGGGCAGAGUUGUACAUAGGGUACAUAGGGGCAGGCUCUUAGAGGGGCCUCAGAAGUUUAAGUAUCAUCACUCCUCUGCUUUAAGGUAAAUCCACCUCUGAGACGAGCUGGUAUAUGAAAGGGUGUGUGUGAAGUAGUGAGGGGACUGAGUGUGGUAUCAGGUGACAUGGGACACAACAGAGACUAUGUACAACUACUGGAACUAGGAACCUGGGGAGGGGUUGUCAUGAGAACACAAGUUCUUGUGAAUUAGAAGAAAUAUUAGAGAGGGCUUUGGACCUCCUUACAAAGUUGCAUUAGGUGGGUGGGGGUAUACGUGCUGGGGUGGGGUGGGAUUGAGUCUGUCUUCUUUAUCUUUGGCUCUCAAGAGGGCCCCCCCUCCUUGCUAUCAUCAGAGUUCCUUUUUAAAGUAAAUUAACAAGUGAAAUGCUAUUUAUUUUCAUGCCUUCUGUACUCCAGUUAAAUGGAAAUACUCAUUGUUUUGAUAAUGUGCACUAAUAUAAUUAUACACCUGAACAAUUCACAGCUGAUAACAAGGUGCAUUAUAGGAAGGUCCUGGGUGGAGGUGGGAAAAUUUUUAGGAGAUUUAAACUAAUGGGAAUGGUGACUGAUUCUCAAAUGGAACUUUUAUGGGUAGGAAUUUAAUGGACCAAUCACUGUUAGGUGCAAAAUUUAAUUCAAAAUUAAAUUAAUUCAAAAGAAAAUCUUUUGAGCCCUUAGCUCUGUUCUGGACACUAGCAACAAAAAAGGUAUUAAUAAGACAAAACUUCUUCCCUUGAAGACCACACAGACAAGUUAUGGCUAUCUCAAUUCUUUCAGGAGAAGCAACAGAAUAGGACGGAAAAAUCACCAUGGUAAGGAGAUUUGAAAUUCUUUUAGAAAUCCUGCCAUUAAGUUAAAACAUGAACUUGACUGGAGUCGCAUUUGCAAUGGCUUCUUUCAUGGAGUGACAGUGAAGUGAGAAAGGGAGGGUGGGGCCUUCAAGACUGGGUGUGUCGUGAUCAUUCCUGAAAGAAUGUAAUGUUGUGUUGAGGAGCUGGGAACAUAGAGAAAGAUGAAAGCAUAAUAGGUUGUAAUUAUCAUAGGAACUAUUGAAACUCAUCAUCUGGCAUAUUACACAUGGUACCAACAGGUUGAAUAAUGUCCUGGCAAAGGACAUGUAUACUUUGGAUAAUUGGGGCAUGGCUUCUUAAAUCCAUUGGACAUUGUAAUGAAGAUUAGCUGUUACCCAAGUUCAUUUCCUCUUCCUCUUGGGCACACAACAAAACUAGGUUUCCCAGCCUCUCUUGCAGUUAGAUGUGUUGAUGUGAAUGAGUUCUGAAUAAUAAAAGGUGGUUAGAAGUAAUGUGUAUCUACCAGGACUUGCUCACAAGAACCUCCCACGUGCAGUCCUCCAUAUUCUUUCUGCUACAAUGGCGAUCUUGGAAACUUUGUGAGGAAAAUGAAGGAGGUAUGAGAAGGCAUCUGUGUCCCUGAUAAUCAGGAGUACCUAUUUGGGAAAUGUGUGAAAAAAUAAAUAUCUGUUGUAUUAAUAAGAUUUUGGGCUUAUUUUUAUAGAGGCUACAUUAUCCUAAUUGAGAGGUCAACAAACUAUGGCCUAUGGGUCAAAUCCAGCUCAUGGCUUAUUUUUUGCACAACCCAUGAGAAUAGUUUUAAAAUUUUUUUACAUUUUUAAAGGGUUGUUUAAAAAGAAGAACAUACAACAGAGACCAUAUGUGACCCACAAAGUCUAAAAUAUUUAUUCUCUGGCUCUUUACAGAAAGUUUGCCAAUCUCUGUUUUAACAGUACAGAAAUUUCAUAUGACAGAGACCUUGGAUUCCAGGCAGAUAUAAAGUCUUCUAAUUAUGUUACAAAUAACUUUUCAUAUGUAAAUAGAUAUGCAAAUAAUGAAAAAAUAGACUUCCACUUCCAGGAAAAAAAUGGAAUAACAGGGAUUGGUUUUAUUUUAUGAACUGAAACAAUUAAGAAAAAACUUCCAAAUAUAUAAAUGGUUUUCAAGACCUUGAAGGAUCAGGCUGCAAGGCACAGUAAUCUCUGAGAGACAGGAGACAAGUGAAGUGAGACCUGUAAUGGCCCCAGAUUAUUGCCUGGAGAGAAUUGCCAGGCCUGUUGCAAAGAGUAGGGGGAACCCAGGAGGGGCUUGACAGCCUCUCUGAGUUAAGGAGACAGAGCUGGACAUCUGAGGCAGUCAAGGUGGCCAGCCUUCCUGAGAGAGUAUGAGAGCCUUCAUGAGAGAGUACGAGAGUGGUUAGAACUCUGGAGAGCAGCAGAGUCCCCCUACCAUAUGUUCUUGAGCACUGAUUCAUGCAUGCAUGUGAGGAAAUUACCUUCAUCUGAGGAAAUAUACAUGCAAAAGAAUUAGAAGAAACUGUCCCUGGAGCUAAUGCAGGCAGGACUGGGAAUGAUUUCUAUUUCUUCUAAACAGAAUAGAAAAACCUCACAGUAUAUGGGACAUCCAGUAGAGUACUCAGAAGGGAUUUGCCUAAACAGUGGAGUAAAAUAACCCUAGAAUAAAUGCUGCUCUAGGCCUACCUCACAGAAUUUAAAGCAAGAUGCAUAUCAUAUCAUUUAGCUGCACCCCAGGACAAAACUCAAAAAUAUUUGUUGGAAUGCAGGGGCUCCUGGGUGGCUCAGUUGGUUAAGUGUUUGACUCUUAAUUUCAGCUCAAGUCAUGAUCUCAUGGUUGUGAGAUUGAGUCCCGAGUCAGGCUCUGCACUGAGCAUGAAGCCUGCUUAAGAUUCUCUCUCUCCCUCUCCCUCUGCCCCUCCCCUGCUUGUGUGUGCUCGCGUGCUCUCUCUCUCUCUCUCUCUCUCUCUCUCUCUCAAAAAAAAAAAAAAGAUUUAUAGGAAUACAAAAAAAAUCAGUCCUUGAAAAGGUAAAAAUUAUAAUGUCAGGUAUCUAAUAAAAAAUUGCCACGCCAAUAAAAAAAAAUGGACACUUCAUCAAAGAAGAUACAGGGAUGGUAAGUAAGCAUGUGAAAGAUAUUCUAAUUCACUAGUCAUUAGGAAAAUACAAAUUAAAACCAUGACCAGGUGGUGCCACUGUAUACCUAUUAGGAUAUUUAAAUUGAAAAAGAUGGUACUAAAACUUGGAGCUCUCCUAUUCUGUUGUAUGUAAGAUAUAAAAUGCUGAAUAUGAAAUAGCACAGCCACUUUUGAAAACUGUUUGGUGGCUUUUUAUAACACCCACCAGAUGCCCCAGGCCUAAAUACUAGGUAUUUACCCAACAGACAUAAUAGCUUCUAUCUAUACAAAGAUUCAUACAUGAAUUUACAUAGUAAUUUUAUUUGUAAUAACCCCAAACUAUAAACAGCCCCAAUGCCCAUCAACAGGGUAAUGAAUAAACAGACUAUGGUAAAUCUAUAUGUAUUAAUUUUCUAGGACUGUCAUAACAAAAUAUCGCAGGCUGGGUGGCUUAAACAGCAGGAAUUUUUAUUUUUUAUAGUUGUGGAAGCUGGAAAUUGAAGACCAAGGUCUUGGCAGGUUUGGUUUCUCUUNAAAUUAAAUUAAUUCAAAAGAAAAUUUUUUGAGCCCUUAGCUCUGUUCUGGACACUAGCAACAAAAAAGGUAUUAAUAAGACAAAACUUCUUCCCUUGAAGACCACACAGACAAGUUAUGGCUAUCUCAAUUCUUUCAGGAGAAGCAACAGAAUAGGACGGAAAAAUCACCAUGGUAAGGAGAUUUGAAAUUCUUUUAGAAAUCCUGCCAUUAAGUUAAAACAUGAACUUGACUGGAGUCGCAUUUGCAAUGGCUUCUUUCAGGGAGUGAGAGUGAAGUGAGAAAGGGAGGGUGGGGCCUUCAAGACUGGGUGUGUCGUGAUCAUUCCUGAAAGAAUGUAAUGUUGUGGUGAGGAGCUGGGAACAUAGAGAAAGAUGAAAGCAAAAUAGGUUGUAAUUAUCAUAGGAACUAUUGAAACUCAUCAUCUGGCAUAUUACACAUGGUACCAACAGGUUGAAUAAUGUCCUGGCAAAGGACAUGUAUACUUUGGAUAAUUGGGGCAUGGUUUCUUAAAUCCAUUGGACAUUGUAAUGAAGAUUAGCUGUUACCCAAGUUCAUUUCCUCUUCCUCUUGGGCACACAACAAAACUAGGUUUCCCAGCUUCUCUUGCGGUUUGAUGUGUUGAUGUGAAUGAGUUCUGAAUAAUAAAAGGUGGUUAGAAGUAAUGAGUAUCUACCAGGACUUGCUCACAAGAACCUCCCACGUGCAGUCCUCCAUAUUUUUUCUGCUACAAUGGCGAUCUUGGAAACUUUGUGAGGAAAAUGAAGGAGGUAUGAGAAGGCAUCUGUGUCCCUGAUAAUCAGGAGUACCUAUUUGGGAAAUGUGUGAAAAAAUAAAUAUCUGUUGUAUUAAUAAGAUUUUGGGCUUAUUUUUAUAGAGGCUACAUUAUCCUAAUUGAGAGGUCAACAAACUAUGGCCUAUGGGUCAAAUCCAGCUCAUGGCUUAUUUUUUGCACAACCCAUGAGAAUAGUUUUAAAAUUUUUUUACAUUUUUAAAGGGUUGUUUAAAAAGAAGAACAUACAACAGAGACCAUAUGUGACCCACAAAGUCUAAAAUAUUUAUUCUCUGGCUCUUUACAGAAAGUUUGCCAAUCUCUGUUUUAACAGUACAGAAAUUUCAUAUGACAGAGACCUUGGAUUCCAGGCAGAUAUAAAGUCUUCUAAUUAUGUUACAAAUAACUUUUCAUAUGUAAAUAGAUAUGCAAAUAAUGAAAAAAUAGACUUCCACUUCCAGGAAAAAAAUGGAAUAACAGGGAUUGGUUUUAUUUUAUGAACUGAAACAAUUAAGAAAAAACUUCCAAAUAUAUAAAUGGUUUUCAAGACCUUGAAGGAUCAGGCUGCAAGGCACAGUAAUCUCGGAGAGACAGGAGACAAGUGAAGUGAGUCCUGUAAUGGCCCCAGAUUAUUGCCUGGAGAGAAUUGCCAGGCCUGUUGCAAAGAGUGGGGGGAACCCAGGAGGGGCUUGACAGCCUCUCUGAGUUAAGGAAACAGAGCUGGACAUCUGAGGCAGUCAAGGUGGCCAGCCUUCCUGAGAGAGUAUGAGAGCCUUCAUGAGAGAGGACGAGAGUGGUUACAACUCUGGAGAGCAGCAGAGUCCCCCUACCAUAUGUUCUUGAGCACUGAUUCAUGCAUGCAUGUGAGGAAAUUACCUUCAUCUGAGGAAAUAUACAUGCAAAAGAAUUAGAAGAAACUGUCCCUGGAGCUAAUGCAGGCAGGACUGGGAAUGAUUUCUAUUUCUUCUAAACAGAAUAGAAAAACCUCACAGUAUAUGGGACAUCCAGUAGAGUACUCAGAAGGGAUUUGCCUAAACAGUGGAGUAAAAUAACCCUAGAAUAAAUGCUGCUCUAGGCCUACCUCACAGAAUUUAAAGCAAGAUGCAUAUCAUAUCAUUUAGCUGCACCCCAGGACAAAACUCAAAAAUAUUUGUUGGAAUGCAGGGGCUCCUGGGUGGCUCAGUUGGUUAAGUGUUUGACUCUUAAUUUCAGCUCAAGUCAUGAUCUCAUGGUUGUGAGAUUGAGUCCCGAGUCAGGCUCUGCACUGAGCAUGAAGCCUGCUUAAGAUUCUCUCUCUCCCUCUCCCUCUGCCCCUCCCCUGCUUGUGUGUGCUCGCGUGCUCUCUCUCUCUCUCUCUCUCUCUCUCUCAAAAAAAAAAAAAAGAUUUAUAGGAAUACAAAAAAAAUCAGUCCUUGAAAAGGUAAAAAUUAUAAUGUCAGGUAUCUAAUAAAAAAUUGCCACGCCAAUAAAAAAAAAUGGACACUUCAUCAAAGAAGAUACAGGGAUGGUAAGUAAGCAUGUGAAAGAUAUUCUAAUUCACUAGUCAUUAGGAAAAUACAAAUUAAAACCAUGACCAGGUGGUGCCACUGUAUACCUAUUAGGAUAUCUAAAUUGAAAAAGAUGGUACUAAAACUUGGAGCUCUCCUAUUCUGUUGUAUGUAAGAUAUAAAAUGCUGAAUAUGAAAUAGCACAGCCACUUUUGAAAACUGUUUGGUGGCUUUUUAUAACACCCACCAGAUGCCCCAGGCCUAAAUACUAGGUAUUUACCCAACAGACAUAAUAGCUUCUAUCUAUACAAAGAUUCAUACAUGAAUUUACAUAGUAAUUUUAUUUGUAAUAACCCCAAACUAUAAACAGCCCCAAUGCCCAUCAACAGGGUAAUGAAUAAACAGACUAUGGUAAAUCUAUAUGUAUUAAUUUUCUAGGACUGUCAUAACAAAAUAUCGCAGGCUGGGUGGCUUAAACAGCAGGAAUUUUUAUUUUUUAUAGUUGUGGAAGCUGGAAAUUGAAGACCAAGGUCUUGGCAGGUUUGGUUUCUCUUCAUGGCUUGUAUGCGACUGCCUUCUCGUCUUGUCCUCACGUGGUCUUUCCCUUGUGUGUGCACAGCCCUGGUAGCCUCUGAAUGUCCUAAAUUCUCCUUUUUAUAAGGACAUCAGUUAUUUGGGAUUAGGAACCAAUGUAAUGACUGCAUUUUAACUUAAUUAUCUCUUUAACACCCUAUCUCCAAAUACAGUUAUAUUCUGAAGCCCUGGAGGUUAGGGCCACAUGAACUUGGUGGACAGGGGUAGGGCAGAAUUCAGUCUGUAGUCCUACACAAUGGAUUCCUACUAAGGAGUGAACUGUUGAUACCCACUACAAUCUAGAUGAAUCUCAAAAUAAUUAUGCUGAGUGAGGUAAAUUAUACAAGACACAAUACGCACUGUAUGACUCCAUUCAUACAAAAUUCUAGAAACUGCAAACUAUAGUGACAGAGAAGAGAGCAUUGGUAGAAAUGAGCUGUGAGGGGAAUUUGGAGGGGAGGGGAGACAGGGAUUAGAAAGGGGCAGGAGAAAACUUUUGGAGAUGAUGGAUGGGUUCAUUUUCUUGAUUGUGGUGACAGUUUCAAGGUUGUAUAUAUAUGUCAAAAUGUUUUACAUGAUACAUUUUAAAUAUGUACAGUUUCUUGCAUUUUGAUUAUACCUUAAAUUUUUAAAAAGAGCUAUAAACAUGUUCCAUUUAUAACCCAAGGCAGGCUUAAACUCCUAUUGCCAUUUUUUUAUUCUAAUAAUAAUAAAGAUACCCAUCAGUAAAAAUGACCCAUUUGCAUGAAUCAUCACUGUUUCAAUUUUUAUCUGUUGUGAGCACCUGCUACUUUGUCUGUGAUACACCAACCUCCUCCUCCCCUCUGGCAGAAGCACCUCCAUUCUUCUGGUUACUGUCCCUUUUCACUGCUCUAAUCUUGGGGAUGCAGGAGGAAUACCUAUUCCUACAGACACUGUCGCUUGGUUGAUGGGUGGGCACUUGAAUCUACUUGGGUCAAUCAGAUAACUUCCUUGGGGUUGUUAUCACUAAAACUGGGACGAGUUAACCCUUUCUGGAGACAGAAGCUAUAGGAGGAAGAGUUUUUGACUGGCAUUAUCCAUGUUUCUUUCCAAAUAGAGAAAGUCAGGGUGUAGCCAGAGAGAAUGACGUCCAUGCAAAGAGUAGCAGAAAUGGAGAGUUAAGGGAGAAUUAGCAUUGCUUGAAGUUCUGGCUCCAGUUCCUGAGAACUAGUGAUGUCCCUGACCUUUCCAUGGCUUUCUUUUUUCCACUUAUCCUUAUACUUUGUGUGCUAAUAAUUUCCUCAUUUAUUAAAUUAGGUUAGGUUCCUGUCAUAUUAAAUACUGUCAAUAGUUUAGUAUGUCUUUAAGAAAUAUAUUUCUAAUUUCUUGUAAAGCCUGGGUCUUGGCAUAACCCCGAAUAAGUAAUUGAAGUAGGUCUGACCGAAAUCAACAAUUUCAUUUAAUUUAACACGUUUAUCAAAUACCUACUAAGCCUAAGGCAUUGUAUUACACGCUGAAAGACAUUCUUAUCCAGAGUGCAUUUAAACAGCCACUCAAGUUUUGAACAGCUAAGUAAUUUUGAGGCUCCCCACUGUAAAUAAUUUUGUGGCAAAACUCCCAGGUGUACAAUGUUGAAAAAAAUAGAUGGAGCCCCAAAUUGAACUCAUUAUAAAUAUGUGACCACGGGGAAAUGAAAAGCAUUCAAUGAUAACUUUUAUUUUCUUAGAAUCCUCUGGAUUCUAAAUCAACUAUGGACUGGAAACUGGCUCUUAGACUUUAUCUUUUAUGGUAAUGUACACCAUAAUCAAGAGAAUAAUUUUUUGGUUCCAAGGAAUUUUAAUUUAAUAAAAUACUCUGAAUUCAGUCACUCGUUUCUCUCUCUUGGCACAAACCAGUAGGAAGUAAAGAAACUGAGAAAAUGUUAUAGCUCUUUAUUACAGUGUUUGUUUUUGUUUUGUUGUAUUUAUUUCAUUUCAAUUUUAAUUUGUCUUUUGCGUUGCAUGUUGCAGUUGGUGGGUUAGUUUUCUCAGCAGUUUAAGAAGGAAAAACAGGUCUUCCCUGCCAUUGGAGGGGCUCUUUUUAUAGAAUGCGGUGGUGCUUCUUAAGAGUUGAGUGCCAAGUAGGGGUGCCUGGGUGACUCAGUCAGUUAAGCAUCCUACUUCAGCUCAGGUCAUGAUCUCACCAUUUGUGGGUUUGAGCCUUCCCUCAGGCUGACAGAGCCUGGAGCCUGCUUCAGAUUCUGUGUCUCCACUCUCCUUGCCCCUCCCGGCUGGUGCUCUGUCUCUCUCUCAAAAGUAAUAAACAUUAAAAAAGAGUUGAGUGCCAAGUACUCUCUUACCCAUCAUAUCAAUUGAAUAGUUCUGAGGAAAAUGUUUCAUGAAUGAUUAGAUCAGGACAUAGUAGAGUGCUAAGCAAAUAAUCAGUACUUAAUAAAAAUCUCUUAAUAGAUUACAUAGUAAGAUGUGUUCAGAAAAUCUAUCCUAUUCACAUCUGAAGCCAUUUCUAUCUCUAAGUUUAUUAAGAUAUUGUUUAAAAAUGAAUGAAACAGUAAAGUAAGUAGAUGCUUUUGGAAAAGUUUUAAGGUGUUUCCUCCCUCCUUCACCCCCCUCUCUUCCUUCCUCUCUCUCUCUCUCUCUCUCUCUCUCUCUCUCUCUCGUAAGUACAAAUCUACCUUUCUAUCUCAGCUUGGGUAAUCACACCUAACCAGAACUCUUCAUAGCUCAUCAUCCCUGGAGAAGAGCCCCAUAUUUUCUACUCCAAAGCACAAUGUUUGUAACAUUUCUCAUGUUAUCAAACCAUGAUCCUUACCUCCCACCCCUGACCCCAGGACUCUGUAUUAUUAAAAAUACCUUACUUUUUCCAUCCAUUUCUCUCUUCAGUGAGAAGCUGGCUGUAACUAAUGCUUUUUUUUCUUAACUCCUUUUAAUUGCACACACAAUACGUUUUUUCCACUCUUUACCCGUGACAAAAUGAAGACCACCACAACAAAAUUACUCAUUUCCCUGCCCAGAGAUGUGUGUUGUUAACCUUUUGGUUGGUUAACACUGUAGUUUCUUUUCUUUGCCAACUUCUCCUGCUCUUCUUUUUCUUCUUUUUUCUAACUCUUCCUCUCCCUCCCUCCCAAUGCCCCCCCACCCCCACAUACACGCACAUACACACACACUUUUAUAUAUAACACAUGCCUCCAUGCUUAAACUGCUAUGGGAUUAUAUCUCAUUCCCUAUAUGAAAAGUUUCAAUAUGGAUGAAAAUUCAGAUAGACAUGGUCACCAGUAGUGACAACACAACAUUGUGUUUUACAGUUACCCUUCUGAGUAGCUUCAGAAAAACUUAAAAUAUUAGUGGGAUGAGACCUAGUUCUCUGGAUGCCUGCCUUGUCCUCCUUACUUGUCCUCCUUGACUAUAUCUUAUAGUCUCAUUGUCUCCAACCUACAGAGCAAGACAUUCUAAAUUUACCCAGCAUAUUACACUGGGGUGGUGUGUGGGAUUACUACUUUAGAAAAUAAUUUAAGAAGUGAAAAUUGAAGGAUUGGCUGGGGACAAAAGUGUGAAAUAGGAGAGACUGACUUUGAGACUCAGUUUACUUAUCUGUAAUAUGGGGUUGAUAUCAUUUUCAUAGGAUUGUUAUGAGGGUGAAAUUAGAUAAUGAGCAAGCAUCAAACAGCAAGACCUAUCAAAAGAAGUAGGUGAAUAUUAGUCUCCUACCUAGGAGCUCCACCUUCCUACUCUGGGUCUUUCCUGUCUCUUCUCCUUGCUUAGUCAGCUCUUACCUCCCGUCUUUUGUUCCCAGGAAACCUUGGUUCUUUAUCCUGCCUGUCAAAAGCAUGGCUUUCUGACCCUUUCUUCAAGAGUAAUAAUGUCAAUAACUAUUAUGAGCUUAAAGAAUAUUUUAACAGGUAGUGGGCAGUGUCAUAGCAGGAGUUUCAGAUAUUGCCCCUGGAAGGAUGAACUAAAACCCAGUGGGGAGGUAUUCAUUCACCUUGUUUACCAUGUGUGAGUCUACCACAAUGGCCAGUAAUAACAGGAGUGAUGUUCAGAAUACUUAACAACUGGUUCUUCCUCUCAGAAUGCAUGCUGAUAGCAAACUGGUUUGUCCAGAUCGUGUGUUCUGACAUAUGGUGACCUUGGUCUAUCAUUUUACAGAUUCUUGAGUUGCUAUGUUACCUGGGCUACACACUUUUUGUGGUAGCAGCUGUGGGGUAGGCAGAAAGAAUCUGGGGCAUGGAAACAUAAGGCUUGCAUUCAAAUCCUAGCUCUGUCAUUUCAUAGCUGUAUAAUUUCCUAGCCUUUGUCUUCUCAUCUUUAAAGGAGAAUUCUAAUACCUACUUCGCAGGGCUUUUGCUUGUUUGUGGUGAGGCUCAAAAGAGUUUUUUUUUUUUUUUUUAACAUGGAAACGUUUUAUAAGGAGGGAAAUCAGUUGUGGUGAUUCAGGAAUUCCUUUUUCUCUGUGUGUUACAAAGAUAGCUUCAACAUGGCACCAAAACCAUGGAUUAGAAAAGAUUCCAGAUUUAGUAUAACUGAUAAUUCAUAUCUCAGGGCUUAGUGACAUGUAUAUUUCUGGGUGUUCGAGGCUCUUUCUCACCUGUGAAAUAAAGGUGUGGGAUCCUAAAUCUCUGCUGAGUUCCCUUCUAAUUCCUCAAAUCUGUGUUUUCAGGAGUUAGGCCUUUUUUAAUUAGGCAAUUUCUUCAGGUGUUUGAAUCUUCUUUGUUAGGGUGGCCAGAUGCACGUUAACUGAGAGCAGGCUCUGUCUGUAUCCAUGCGUGGCCUGGAGGAGGGGAGAUGUAGGCAGAAGGCUUCAGGUUUCUCAGUCAAAGCUUACUGUGGUCCUACCGGCUAUUGUGCAGCUCUUCCUGCUGACUCAACUCUGACCUGUCGUGCUGUGCUUGAUAUUUAUAUUUCUGGAAAUGGUUAGCCACAUUACUAGGUAAUAAGGUUGCAAAUUCCAAGCCUCCCUUGUAAUCCAGGUCAGAUGCUGUCCUGGGAGUGGGUGGGAAUGCACGGAGGCCAAGACUGAAGUUGCCGUGCUUCAGGGCAGAUGACGUGAUGGUGCCUGGCUGGCUGUCAUAUUCCGCGGUAGUUAUUCGUACUUUGGGGAAGGACCUACUGAGCUCUUAGUUGAAGUUUUCUCGUCUCUUAUUUAAAUUUACACUGCAUUGGUAGUUUUCAGUUGUUGUCGGUACCUCAUAUUUAAUGGAAUUUACCUUUAAAAAAUAAAAGAUUAGAAUUGGAAGGGAACCAAGUAGUUGAAUAAUCCAACCCACUCUUUAGAGAUGAGGGAAUACACACAGAGAAAACUUUCUUGACUUGCUCAGGGUCCCAGAGCUGUUAAGUGGAAGAGUAAGGUCUAAAGGGCUCGGUUUCCUGAUUCCAAGUCAACAGCUUUUUUCGAAAUCGCUUUUCCAUGCUACUUCCUGUUGGCAUGCUUUGUCCUUGGACACCUCUGAUGUUCUCACUUGGCUUCAUCCAUUUGUUCUCUGUGAGCACUGUUGUUCCCAACAUACAUAUCCUAAGAUAUUCUCCACACACAGGGAUCUGGCAGUGCUCAGGUUAUGGCAAAACACACCAAAAAACCAAACCUGGGAGGGUGAAGAAGAAGGGUAUAAUAAAAGGGACCUGAAGGCAGGCUGCUGGAGGUGGCAGGACUCACAUCAACACAGGUGCGGAUUCAGUGACUAAGUCAAGACAUAUAUUUGGCUUGUGUUGGGUGGCCACCUUCUCCCCUUCGCUCCUACUGUCGUGGCAGCCAGAGCGAGCAGUGUCUGUCUGUUGUGAGGCCCCACCAACACCUCCCCUCUGACCUUUCAGACUCUGGCAGGGACUGACUUCUAGUCUCUGGAGCUGGCCAGUCAGCUGCAAGUUCCCAGCAUCUGUUAAUGGGGAGGAGGCUAACUAGGAAAUAGACCAGCCCUAUGGCUGGAAAGUGAAACAGGAGAAGUGGCUCCAGCAGGAAGAUGAUGAUACAAGUCCAGACACAUCCUCCUCUCUGCACUCACAUGGCUGGAGGUGGUGAGAGCCCAUGAGACUGUGCUACUCCCAACUCCACUCCUGUCCCCGGGUCUCCAUGAAGCUGACUAAACUGCAUCAUGCCCUUCAAUGCCAUGGUGGUCCAAGACCCUGCCAUGGAAGAGCUCAGAGUCUAAAGGAGGGAGCGUUGUGGGGCCGGGCAGUGGUUCCCAGGUUUCCUCACAUGGGAAUGACCGGUGCCUCAGUGUACAGUUUCUGCAGUUACCCAGGUCCCAGGAGAGGCUGCUGGGGCUUAGGCUUCUCCUUGGGCCAGCUAUGAGAGUGAUUCUGAGGAUGAGGGAUGUCCGGGGAAACUAGGAAAACAGGGAGGGAGGAGGCUAGCAUUUGGAAAUCAGACGAACCUGGAUUUUGAACUCAGCUCUAUCCUAUAUUAGCUUUGUAAUUUUAAGCAAGUGUUUUCUGAUGUAAAUUGAGAGACAGUGCAGCUAAGAGGUUAAGGGUGUAGUCUCUGGAGCCAGAAUGCCUGGGUUUGAAGGUCUGACUCUGUUGCUUAUUAGUCCUGUGACAUGAGGCCAACUGUUCAACUUCCCUUUACCUCAGUUUCCAACCCCUGAAACAGGGAUGAUGAUUAUCAUACUUAUUUUUUGUGAUGACUGAAUGGCUACGUUAAUUUACUUGGAAAGGUAACCUCGUUCAUUGCAAAGGCUAUAUAAGCACUUGCUGUUAAUACUGAAUGUGGAGAAUAUUUUCUCAUUUUUAUUAGAUUUCUGUAAGACAGUGUAGAUAGAUUACCUGUUAAGAAGUUGAUGCUUGAGGGGCACCUGGGUGGUUCAGUUGGUUGAGCAUCCAACUUCAGCUCAGGUCACAAUCUCACGGUUCGUGAGUUCCAGCCCCAUAAUGGACUCUCUGCUGUCAGCACAGAGACUGCUUCAGAUCCUCUGUCUCCUACUCUCUCUGUUCCUCCCCUGCUCACACAUAUGUGUGCAUUCUCUCUCUCUCUCUCUCUCUCUAAUUAAUGUUAAUAAAUAUUAAAAAAAUUUUUAAGUUGAUGCUUGAUAAACAGUAUCUUUACCUUUGUUAUGAGAAGGCUCAUAAAGAUGCUUAUAAACACUCUCUACAUGAGAGCACAUUAUCAUAUUAUAAACGGAGUAUGCAAGUACUUGAGAGACCCCAGGGAAAGAGAUAUUAAGGUCACAGUGUCUUCCUCAAGUCAAAUCUCUCAGUUAGUGUCCCCUGUGGAGACCAUCAAGCACUAAGGGAGGUGAGGACAUCUCUUGUCUGAACAAUAGUGCAAAUGAACAAUGCCAGGGACAAUUUCAGAGGCUUGGACAGUUGUUAUGAGUUCAAAUCAAUUCAGAACCUGGUGAAAAAUCAAUGGAUUUUUAAAACUUAGCUCACUUGAAAACUGCUAAAAUGCGUGAGAACAGCUCCGGAAAUCCCAUCUGUUUCAUAUUUACAGAACUCUUCGUUCCUUCGGUCUGGGCACAACUGACUCAUUUUCAUUGUGUUCCUAUGGCAGAGUGUCUUGUCAUUACCAAAGAAACCAGACAGCAGGUUUUGUGUGCGUGAGAAAUGUGCAUGCCCACUCUUUGUAAUUGGUAAGGCUGUCUAAGGAUUUGAUUACUUGUGAUUCACAUGGCAGAGCGAUUAUGUAAUUUAGCAAAUUUACAAAUGUAAUCUUUUUCUUAAAGCAAACUUCACGCUCAGCCCAAUGUGGGGCUUGAACUCAUGACCCUGAGAUCAAGACCUGAGCUGAGAUCAAGAGUCGGACACUUAACCACCUGAGCUACCCAGGCACCCCACAAAUGUAAACUUUUAAUGUAAAGCAAUGAUGUCUGGACCACAAACUAUUCCCUUUCUUUUACUUGCAUAUAUGUGGUGGGACUGCAGUGUCACAGAGAUUCUAAGAGCAUGGGUGAGCACUUUCUAGUCAGACUACCUGGCUCUAUCUUAGUUCUAUGACUUAGUAGUCAGGUGACCUUGGGCAAGUUUAUUAAUUCCUUUGUACCCCAGUUUUAUCAUCUAUAAAAAGGCUGAGGAAGAGAACCUAUCAGUAUUAUUUAGGGUUAUUAACACUACCUAUUAUAACAGCUUCCCAGAUCUUAGAACAAUAAAUGUUUGUCUCUUAUUCACAUCACAGUCUGAGGAACAUGAUGAUGUUCUCCUGGGUCAUAUCUAGACCUCUUCCAUUAUGGGCCUUCAUCAUCCCCUAGGAUUGUGCCAUCCAAUAUGGUAAACUGCUAGCCACAUUUGGCUAUUUAAAUUAAUUUAAAAUAAAAUAAUAAAAUUUAGGGGCACUUGGGUGGCUCAGUUGGUUGAGCGUCCAAUUUCGGCUCAGGUCAUGAUCUCACAGUUCGUGGGUUUGAGCCCCGCAUCAGGCUCUGUGCUGACCGCUUGCUCAGAGCCUGGAGCUGGCUUCAGAUUCUGUGUCUCCUUCUCUCUCUGCCCCUCCCCCACUCACGCUUUGUCUCACUCUGUUUCUCAAAAAUAAAUGUAAAAAAAAAAUUUUAAAAAAUUUGGUUAUACUACCUAUAUCUCAAGUGCUUGAGAGCCAAAUAUGUCUAGAGAUUACCAUAUUGGACAACACAAAUAUUAGACGUGUCAUUGUCACAGAAAGUUCUGUUAGAUAGCACUGCCAUAGGGUUUUCUUGGAGUUCUCUACUGUAUCAUCUCCAUUUAGCCAGCAAGGGAGAAGAAAGCCCUCCUAAAAUCUUACAGGAGAGAAGGAAAAGGGUUCAGGAAUUUUUCCCCUCUGUGUCAUACUGAGCUCGGGGCCUCGUUGUCAGUAGAUCAAAGGAUUAUAUGUUCUGAAUAUAGAAGAUACCAUAUGAUCUGAGUUCUACAGGCUUGCUUUUUGAUAUUCUACAAAAUUAUAGAAUAUGCUCUUUCUUGACAUAUCCUGCUCUCAAGCCUAUGGCCUUGAUGAAAAAUCCUAUUUUGAACAUCAGAAGCAGAAUAUUAUCUUGUUUUUUCUCUUUACUUUCCUUUUGUAAUAAUCUUCCUGUCACUGCUGUGGAAGGCAGCCUCACUCAGCCUGGAGAGAGGAUCAUCUACAUGAAAUGCAGAAGGGAAAAGCAUAUCCUAUUUAAAAAUGUUUUUUGAUGUUUAUUUUAUUUUAGAGAGAGAGAGAGAAUGUGAGUGGGAGUGAGGCAAAAAGAAAGGGAGAUACAGAAUCCGAAGCAGACUCCAGGCUCUGAGCUUUCAGCACAGAGCCUGAUGUGGGGCUUGACCCCACGAACCAUAAGAUGUGACCUGAGCAGAAGUCGGAUGCUCAAUCGACUGAGCCAUCCAGGUGCCCCCCCCCUUUUUUUUUUUUUUUAACAUUUUUAAAAAGUUUAUUUCUUUUUAAGAGAUAGAGCGUGUGUGAGUGGAGCAGGGGCACAGAGAGGGGGACAGAAGAUCUGAAGCAGGUGUGCUGACAGCAGAGAGCCCAGACCGAUGUGGGGCUCCAACUCACAGAACAUGAGAUCAUGACCUGACCUGAAGGCAGACACUUAACUGACUGAGCCACCCAGGCACCCCGGGAAAAGCACAUACUGUUAAACUGUGAACACAUCUUGCCUCCCUUUGACCCCUGUUUAUCACAGCAGUCCCCUACCUCUAGCUAUUGUCUUCAAAGGGCUAAUGCUGUGGGAACAGGAUCUAGAUAUCUGACUGUGGCACAAUGUGCCUGAGACUAAAACUGUGACCUACAAUGUAGAUCAGAUGGUCGUACUUAACCAGUAAGUGACAAGGGAUCAAUCAAACUUGUUUUUGGUACUAUAUAUCUAAUUAUAUGACUGUCAUUUCACUUAGAUUAUCUCAUUUUUCAGGAAGUUGCAUCCUGAUCUCAGAAAGCCAGUCUUUGUCUUUUCAACAUCCUUUUAUGCGCUUUCAAAGUCAUGACUAAAGAAUAUAUUAGGAAUUUUCCAUUUAAAUUAUAAUUUUGCCUCAACGGUAACAUACAAAUGUUUUAUUCAUUUUUUGUACACCAUUUGACUCCUCUGCCCUCAUUAUUUUGUUCUAAUUUGUGUGUUUGGCUCAGGCUGAUGGGGAACACUGAGUGAGGAAGUGUGCCAUUGCUAUCUUGAGGGUCGUCAGCUGGCUAAAGUCAAUUUACAUUUGGUGGAUCCUACUUGCAGAAGAGUUGGUGAACUUGUCAUUAGAUGUGUUAUUCUGAGGUAUUGUGUAGUCUUGUGUUACCACACAUUUAAAUUAACUGAGCACUUGCUAUGUGCAAAGUCACACAGUAGAGACCUAAAAACAAAAUCCAUCACAUUAUCAGUUGGCUUCCUUCAAGCACUUACUGCAUUACCUAAUUAUCUUGCUUGUUUAUUCAUUUACUUACACAUUGUCCAUCUUGUCCACUGCAAGUGCAGAGACUUUUUUUUAUUGCUAAAAAUCCAGUACCUGGCACGUUACAUGGAACAUAGAAAGUUCAAAGUAUAGUUUGUUAUCUGCCAAAAAAAAAAGACGCUUAUAUUCUCUGGUAAGAGAAUAUAUGUGGUUUUCUCACUUCUUCAUCUUUCAGACCUCCUCUGCCCCAUUCAACUUUCCUUCGGCACCCAUUCUGGCCAUCAGCAGUUCUCUCCUGUGCUAUCCCAGUGUUUGCUUGGUCCUAUUCAUUCAAUGUAUUAUAUAGCAACUGGUGAUCUCCUUUAUUCUCGGUUUAUGCUCCUUUUAUUGUUCUCUUUAUUGAUAUAUGCAGCAGCAUUUUGUAAAAUGUAGCAUGCCUCAACAAGGAUUAUGAUUGUAAGUUCCUUGAGGUUAGUGGAAUGAGAGUAUAGUUUCUCCUGUGGAAACUUGAGACUGUCCCCCCAUAUCAUGUCAAUGAGUUGUUGGAUGAGGGAUGACUUUGUCCAUAUCUCUAAAGAUUAAGACCAGUCAUGACUGCGGCUCCAAUUUGGAGUGUUUUCUCAGCUAUUUAUGUGUCCUUAUGAAAAUCCCUGUACCAUCCCAAAGUUUUCUCUCUCCUGUCCCUCCUCUUGGCUCUCAAACCAACAAUCAUCAUCUCCUAGAGGUGGGACAGACUUGCUGUCCAGGAUUAAUAAUGUGCACGAGAUGGAAGUUGGAACAAUUCACUUGCUGAGGGAGACUGCAGUGAAGUCUUCCUGACAUACGGGGGGCCUACUCACUCCCAUGGGCCAUAGGCUCGGACUCAGGCCUUGGUGCUCUCAGGGUGGCUUUGUCCAGUAUAUGAACUGCUGAAGGCCUUCCAAGAAGAGAACAUUCUCCUUGUCUCAAAACCAUGCUGAGUUUGUCCUGGUACCUUCCUGACUGCCCAAACAUGGUUAACUGGGAGAAUCAGAUAGAGUUUGAGUGCACCCUCAAAAGCAUAUGUGCUUGGCUAUACACAUACCGCACUAGGCAAGGUGUCCCACCAGGAAAUGAUGCAGGUCCCCAGUACUGUGGAACCACAUUGGAUUUCCAUGGCAAAGGCAUUACGGAAGACCCUUUUGCAAGGGAGUGGGCUUUUUGCCAGUCUUCCUGCAGAGUCAUAGGCGUAUUGUCCCUGAGCUUUUGGCACCAAGAAUUUUGUACCAACUUGUAAACCACAGUGCCAAGUUCUAUUGCCUAGAAGCUCCGUAAAGGUUUGCUCCGAUGUUGGCAGAAGCAACCAAAAGCAUAUUUUCUGUUUAUUCCUUUGCUUUUUUUUUUCCUUUUUGCAAAUGAGAACCAGAGGUGUAAAUGUUCCAUACCAGAGGAGCAAGAUUGUAUCAAAAGCCACACCUCCUUCUGCCUACACACACACACACACACACACACACACACACACACACACACAACUGCCAUGCAUAUCCAUUAGUUUUACUCACACGGGCUUUCUGAGCUGCUAAGUGUGUCAGCGUAAAUCUGCUUUGCAUGUCUGCAUUGCUUCAGGGCACCUUUCAGAUUAGAACUGGAUGGACUCACCUGGCUGGGUAAUUUAGACAUUUGUGGCUUGCAGCGUUCUAGUGUGCUCCCAGCGAUCCCAGCCCCUGGUUUCUUCUCAAGAAGUGGGAGAAGACUUUAUCCAUUUGUGUUCUGACAGGAGACAUGAGGAUCAUAAUUUAAGCAGUUUUCCCGGCAUUUGGCUGUAGAGGGUUGCGAUUCAGUAGGAUUCCGUACUGGCUAAGCAAAUCUGAAUCGGGACUGAGGCUUACCCAACACAUUUUGAACCUGGCAGCCCGGGGAAAAUGAACUCUUAUGAAAACCUACAUAUGAAUUUGGGCAGUGGCUUUGCCUUUUUAGUGGAUGGCUUCUAGAAACACUCCAGACAUUGCUGAGCACUCCAGGUAGAAUCUUGCCACCUUAGACCGAGACACGUCCAGACAAGUCUUUUGACUCACUGCAUUGAUUUCUGUCGAGAAGCUGCAGGGCUGGACCGAUGACCCCAAAAUGUGGUUUUGUUUUCCCCAUAAUGAUCUCUCUGGCUUCACGGGAAAUAGAAGUUUGGUUUAUGUGAAGACAAAAAAGCUGCUCUUCAGCCUCAUGCCUCAUGGCUGGAGCCUGGCCAUUUUACGCCUUUGAGGAGUCCAUUAAAAACACAGGCGGGGGGCGCCUGGGUGGCGCAGUCAGUUGGGCGUCCGACAUCAGCCAGGUCACGAUCUCGCGGUCCGUGAGUUCGAGCCCCGCGUCGGGCUCUGGGCUGAUGGCUCGGAGCCUGGAGCCUGUUUCCGAUUCUGUGUCUCCCUCUCUCUCUGCCCCUCCCCCCGUUCAUGCUCUGUCUCUCUCUGUCCCAAAAAUAAAAAAAAAAAAAAAAAAAACCACAGGCGGGCAGGACUGGGAUAGGAUCCGUGCAUCCACAGGUCUUUCAGACCCAGGCAGCCCGGUGUGCACCUUUGGUUUAUGGGACUGGCUUUGUGGAAGCAAGGCCUUCUCUGAGGUAACUCUCAGAUCAAAUAUUGACAAGAAACUCUGGGACCCAGCCUGAUGCUUCCAGCCAGACAUUCCCUUAGCUUCCCCUGUAGAGAACUGGCCUCCUUUGUCAAGGGUCACAUUUAGCUCUCAGCUGACUUCAAAAACCACAGUCUAUUUCCUGUUGUCUUCUAGCAUCGUCUGCUUCCUUAAAGGUUUUCUCUUGAAUCGCCACUCAUUGCUAUGCUCUCUGAGGCUACUCCAACACUUGACAAUUCUUCCCGGGCUUUUGAAUGUCCUUUUUUUCCUGCAUUGUUUUUUUCUUAGGUUUUCCUCGGUUUCUCUCACCCCGUCACGGAGUGGGGGAGGGGACUCCAUUCUGCAUCUGCUUUUCAGAAUGGGUUUCUCAUGCUUACCCCUCUGUUUUCCUACUGACUUGGGAAUAUUGUGCUGGUGCCUCUGCUCUGGUGCAACUGAAUUGCAUUUUGGCUGGAAAUGUUUUACACAUUAGAGUGAUGAAGGAUGACUUUAUUUGCCAGACCAGGCAAAAAAGAGCUCCAAAAUGGAAAAAAGGAAAAAAAAGAAAAAACAAACAAACAAAAAUCUUUCUGAAGCUACUGUAUGAAAAAGACUUCUGAAUAUGUGAGAGCCUUUAGAACACAGCAGGGUGGGGCCAUCUUGGGAUAACUGAACCCCAAGGGAAAAACCUCCUUUUUGGCCACUCUGCCCCCACCUUUAAAAGGUGUUAAUAUUCUCCCCAGCACCUCUCUUGACCCUGAGCACUUACAGGGUAGAGUUUUUGUCUCUGUAGAGGCAGGGAACGUUUAAAAUGAUCCCAGCUGGACGUUGAGAUCAUGGAAUAACUCCAGUUUUACACAUAUUUUUAAAUAGGCUCCUACCUACCUACUCAGACACCCUUAUUUUGCCUCGUAGUAGGCUUUGGUGAACCGAGGAUGAGGCUGGACUUCUUUAGUAAUGAGGUACGAACUCUGGCUCCUCAAAUGAUAUGCCAUGGCAGUAUUUCCAUGCGUAAGUUGGGGAGUCUUUCCUUUUAUGCCUUGCUUCACUUUGCAGUCUGUUUUGCAAAGGACAGAUUUGUGGUGACUUGUCACAGCUUUGAGAUUUUGAGAGCAGGCCUCUCCAGAAAGCCUGUCCUCAAAGAUAGAGUGGUUUCAUUCCCCCUUGGCUGGGACUGACUGCCAAGUCUCACCAGAUUUCACACCCAGUUGUGGAGAGUGCCAGCUUGAUCAGCUUUGCAUAGGCAGCUCUGUUUCGCACUGAUCUCUCUCUCUCUCUCUCUCUCUCUCUCUCGGUCAGUGCAGUGGUCUGUUUAACAUUGCAGAUGGGCACGAAUCAUACAGGGUUUCCUGAACAUGCUAGCCUAUUUGAAACCCAGGUUUUAAUGAUACUAUAGCCUUAUGAAACCUAAAGAUAUCACUGAACUAUUUCAACUAAAUUUAAGUGCCAUUGUCACCUUUCAGGUGCCAGGCACCAGGCUUAUGUUAGGUAUUGGUGAUGGGGAGAGGAGGGAGGAGUCCCUCUUCACGGGGCUCAGAGCCUAGCUUAAUUUUCUCACUUAGAAACUUGACCCUGACAAAGACAUCAUCAUGUAGUGCUAGAAACAUUUGCUUUCCUCCAGUAUUGUUCUGUUGUAUUACAUGAGUGUCCUAGGACAGACUCAAGCUUAUCUGUUCUACAGUCAGAGAUGUGAAACAAUCUGUAUUAUGGGAAAUAGGAUUCAACUAAUGAAUCACAGGAAGAGUUGCCAAUAAUAAUCCAAUGUGAGAGACUUCAACUGUUAGAAGCCAGGAUGAGGGAAGAAUGAGGUAAGGACUGAAUGCAGAAGCAGAGAGUGUAUUGCAAAACCCAUUUCAAGUAGUUAUUACAAAGUUGGCUGAAAACAAAACAAAAAGUUGUAUUCUUUUUGGUCUCAGAUACCGUUGUUGGCAAGGGCUGGUAAGUAAGCAUCCAACUUGUUUUCUCUAGUCUGACUUUCAGAAUGCAGUUAUGUUGGAAGCUAUUCUGCUGAUUAAGGUGGUUUUUUUUUUCUUUUAAAUUUUAAACCAGUCCCUCUUCUGAGGGAAGGGAUCUAUUUUAUGCAUAUAAGUCAGCUCUCCUGCAUUUCAUGUUUUAGCACCAUAGGUUCUUACAGUGUUCUUAAGUACACUUUAAAGUGACACAAUAAAUCCUCAUUUAGGAUCCGUGACACUGAAACAGAUUGGAAGCUAAGGACAGAAGAAUAAACGGUGGUGGGAAAGAUGGGAGGAAGAAGAAAGGAAGAUGGCAGAUGGGCAGGCUGUGUGUAGCUCUGACUGGAGAGGUGGACAUAAAGCAAGGCUCUGCAAACAUCUUUCAUUUGGGUAAAGCCUAUAAUAAUUUCUGUUGAUUUUCUGCAUAAGCCCACCAUACCUCUUUGUGCUUGCAAUAUUUGCCACCCUAGAGAAGAUUUCCAUGCCUCCCGACACAUGAUGUACCUGUGAUGAAAUCCUAACAGUAGGAAGCAAUACUUACGUUUCUGUCUCAAAUGAAUACGCUUCUAAAAUGCCAAGUUUAAAUGAAUAAACCAACAUAGGAAGAUUGAAAAAAAUCUGUUAAAAUUCAACUGUAGUUUGCAGUUGGGGGGUGGAAGGGAUUACAUAUAUGCUACCAUUUUCUCAGAAUCCUCUAGAACGGUUGUCUCUAGAAUGAUUUGGAGAGCAAGGGUCACUAAUGAUUUUCAAGAGGUGUCUCAGGCUGGUUUCUUUUAUUACUAAUUUAUGUGAUGUCUUUUUAAUCUUAAUGGUAAUUUUAUAUGUCAUUGAUCAUCCACUGUGGCAUUGUUCUUAUAAUAAAUAAAAAUUUAUAACUUUCUUCCUAAUUACAGAUGCAGUGUUGGCGUGUUGUAGGACAUUUGAAAAAUUCAGAAAAGUCCAACGAAAGAAUCCUAUAAUCACACCUUCCAGAGAUACCCCUGUUAGAAUUUGGUGUUUAUCUAUGGUUAUAUUUUCCUCCUCUUAUCCAGUUCUAUUUUCACAAUAUUUUUAUCCAUUGGGUAGUGUGAUGAGAGUUUAGUUUAACCAGUGAGCUCCAAGUGACUAAAAUGUUUAUGAAAUACUUGCUCAGGAGACUUUUUAGUGGAAUUAGUCAAUCCUUUCAGGAAACCAAGCAUAUGUUUAGAAACCUGCAGUCAUCAUUAUUUUGAGGAAAUCGGUCAGCUUAUUCUUUUUUCUCCCAACUUUAUCGACAUAUAAUUAACCUGUAAGAUUGUGUAAAUUUUAGGUAUACAAUAUGAUGGGUUGGUACACACACACACACACACACACACACACACACACACACACGUUUAUUUAUUUAUGAGAGAGAAAGAGACAGACUGAGUUCAAGCAGGGGAGGAGCAGAGAGAAAGGGAGACACAGAAUCUGAAGCAGGCUCCAGGCUCUGAGCUGUCAGCACAGAGCCAGAUGCAGGGCUCGAACUCACAAGCUGUGAGAUCAUGACCUGAGCUGAAGUCCAAUGCUCAACAUACUGAACCACCAGGUGCCCCCCACCCCCUUUUCUUAUACUGUGGAAUGUUUAUCACAAUAAGGUUAGUUAACAUAUCCUUCACUUUACAUAAUUAUCAUCCAGUUGCUGGUGAUAUUUUCUAUUGUUUUUCUAUUCUCUAUUUUAUAUAUUUUUGCUCUGAUCUUUAUUAUUCUGUUCCUUCUGCUACAUUUAGACUUAGUUUAUUCUUCUUUUUGUAGUUCUUUGAGGUGUAAACUUUGGUUAGUUAUUUGAAUUUUCUUUUUUAAGAGUAGGCAUUUAUUGCUAUAAACUUCCCUCUUAGAACUGCUUUUGCCACAUCUCAUAAGUUUGGAUAUAUUAUGUUUUUAUUUUUAUUUGUGUCAAUGUAUUUUUUUUUUUAUUUCCCUUUGGAUUUCUUCUUUCACCCAUUAGUUGUUCAAGAAUGUGUUGUUUAAUUUCCAUAUGUUUGUGAUUUUCCAGCUUUCUUCCUAUUAUUGAUUUUUAGUUUUAUAUAGUUGUGGUCAGAAAAGAUACCUAAUAUGAUUUCAGUUUUCUUCUAUUUACUAAGGCUUGUAUUAUAUUAUUUAUCCUGGAGAAUGUUCCACGUGUGCUUGAGAAAAUGGGUAUUCUGCUAUUUAAUGGAAUCAUCUGUGUAUAUCUCUUAUACAUAUAUAUAUAUAUAUAUAUAUAUAUAUACAUACAUAUAUAUUUACAACUGUUAUAAUAUCUUGAGAAAUUGACCCCUUUAUCAUUAUUUAAUGACUUUAGCUCUUGUUGCAGUUUUUGACUUCGUCUAUUUUGUCUGAUAUAGCUCUCUUUUGCUUUCUGUGUGCAUGAAAUAUCUUUUCUUCAUCCUUUCACUUUGAACCCAUAUGUAUCCUUAAGGCUGAAGUGAGCCUCUUGCAGGAAAUGUAUAAUGGGGGAUUUAAAAAAAAAAUCCAUUCAGUCACUCUACACUUCGUGAUUGGAGAAUUUAAUUAUUCUCUUCCUUGUUAUCUCAUCCAAUGGCUGGUAUUUGUAGCCCCUGUUUUUCUUUCUUAUUCCAAGCUAUAUCUAUACCUAUCAGCUUUGCUGUCUUGUGUAGCACCCUGAGAGGCUAGGGAAGCUGGUCACUCACUCCACUCUUCCUUUGCCAGUGAGAGGGAACUCUUUCCAUUCAGAGAGUUCCCUCUUGGUGCUGAACAGUGCCAACCAGGCGGAUGCACUGAGACAAGCAAAUGAAUCUGCUCUUCCUGCCCUUUUUGUGUUGUUAUUCUUAGGUUUUUUUGUCCCAUUCUGUUGCUGAAGUUUUUUGAGUGGACUCCUGAGCUCUCCUAGAGCUCUUUUGUUCAUGGAUAACUGUCUAAUUGCUGAUCUUUGUGGAGAGACAGAGGCUAGGUCUCCCAAUCUCCCAUUUUAGUGAUAUCCCACUGUUUAAUCUUAAUAUCAUAAAUCAAUAUGCAAGCACCAAAUGCCCAUUAUCUCGCUUUUAAUUUUUUUUCUUAACUCAUUUCAUUUUCUAUGAAUUGAUAUAUUUUCAUCUUCUGAGGCAGUAGUAAAGUAAAGGAAGUAAUAGUGAACUUGGAGUCAGAUAAUCUGAGGUUAAGUUAUGGUUAGGUUUAUGAAGAGCUUUAUGAUGUGGGUCCCAGUAAGUAAAUUUAUCUGGGCUCAGAUUUUUCAUAUGUAAGCUCAGGAUAAUCUCACCUCACAGGGUUGCUGGGAUGGGACGGCAGGAAGAGGAGGAGCAAGUGAGGGGACAUAUUUGGGUCUCAUGCAAACUGAAAAGUGCUGUACCAAUAAAAAGUAUUCUUCCUGUCAUUUUUACCUAUGAAAAUGUGGGCACAUUUUCACUGGAGAUGUUUUAGAUGAAUUGCUCAAAAACAUUUGAUCAAUUUUCAAAUGAUAAUUCCACAUGUUGCAACUCUUUCUAGGAAAUGGUAGCCAAUUUGUUCCAGGAGAGUUUCUCAAACUUCUGUUUCCAUUAGAAUAACUCUCUGAGAUGUGACAGGCAGAACUGGCUCAAGGUUCUAAAAGCAUUGCCAAGGCAAGUAGUUGGGCAAGUUCGUGGUACCAAGGGACUCAUGAUUUCUUGUUACUGGGUUCUCCACUUAAUUAACAAUCAUUGUUCUUCUAUCAUAGCCAGCACAUGUCUCUGUCAGCAAGUUGUUUUUCAGAAUGAACCUGCCUGAUUAUAGGAAGGUAAGAGGAAAUACUUCUAAACAGCUCCAGAACCUAACUACUUCCAGGUAAUGAGGAGAUCCAUAAUGGACUCCAAGAAUGUGUCCUGUCAGCUCUAAUCUCCUAUCGGCAUCCCUUUGGGAGUAUUUCUUUGAAGUCUCUGAGUCAAAAAAGCAAAGACUUUCUCAUAUCCCCAUAUCCCCUCCCCACCCUCCAUAGUAACUGAACCUUUCUGCACUUUUUUUUUUUCUGGGCUUUUUCUGACAAUAUCAACCAUAGCACAAAUAACCUAGAUACACCCUAGAUAAUCUUAUGUUAGAUACUUCUAACCACAGUUUGAUUUAUUAUGUAUAGUUUUGUAGAUAUUGGCACUGAGACAAAAGAAAGAUUGAGUGACAGGAUGCACCAAGGGAUAACUAACUCUAAUUGGAGAAUUCUUGAUACCCUCUCCUUUGUUGGGUCUGUGUCUACUACCUAGAAAUCACGAAAUGCAUCUCUAAGUCCGCCUUUUGAGAUACUAUAUUUCUCUUCCUUGGUACCUUAUCCUUAUUUUCUUUUGUUCUUUAAUAUUUGACAUUCUAUAUUUGGAUUUCUCUUCUAGUUUGGCGUCCUUCAUUGCCAAAUUGUCUUGUUAUUUAUGUUUCCUUCCUUCUCCUUUUUUGCCUUGAAAUUUUAUGGUAGUUCACCUUCACUGGGUGGGGCAUUUCAAACCCCAGUCUCUGGUGCUGGUGUUACUUGCAUGGUGGCUCCAGUGAGGUUAAGAAAAGGUUUAUUCCGUGUGUGUGCAACAGAAAAUCCUUUUCUAUUUUCCUGUCAGUGUACACUUAGCAGAAUACAGGUAAAGAAAAUGGAACAGAGAAUAUUAGAAAAACAAAGAAGUAAUUGUUCACUAAUAAAAGGUUGAGUCAUAGGCAAAAGGGAAGAGAUCAUUCUAGAGAAUCAGGGAAAUAAUUAGGUCCAGGGAGGCAGAAAGUCUGAUCCAGAUGGUGGGAGCUCCAGGGGAGGGUAAAUCAUGCAUCAGGGAGAGAUCAGAGAGGGAAGAAGGAGGAUAUGAAAUAGGCUGGCAUCCAACAAUUCUGUGCCAGGGUGGUAGGAAUGUAAAAGGAAAUGCUUCCACAAAUCUCCAAAACCAAACCACUCUCAGAUAUGUAGGGGAAAUCCUUAAUAAAAAUAGGCAUGGUGUUGCAGGGUCUGGAGAACUGAUCCAUUUAGAAUAUUUUCUGAAAUAUAUUUCUACAUAUUCUUGUAUCUUCACUAGAUUUAUUUAAUGUGACUUGGUAUUGUUCCAGUGAAAGAUUCUGUAAGUUUUUUGAGGUCAGGGAUCAUGUUUUAUUUUCUUUCAGAGCUCCUAGCACAGCGCUGAGAUCAUGAUAGAGUUCAUUAAAUACUUGCUAACAGAUUUCCAUUAAUAAGUAUUAAUUGCUAAAAGGGAAAAUAUCAAAUCUUCCCUUGGAAAUGAGCACAUAUUAUUGCUUACAGGCUUCCAAGAAUCAUUUUGCCAGUAGAAACAAUUUUUCUGAGAAAAUCAGAAACGUAAGUCCAAAGGUUCUUGGCUACCUUGAGGGAACCCAUGUCAUAUAUGGAGAGUGAUUGAUCCCUUGCCAUGACCCCUUCCCCCAAACACAUGCAUGGGGACAGACAAAAUGAGACCAGGUAAACGGAACUGGCUUGUGUGUAGAAAGAACCCUCUGUCUACAUAUUCUAAUCCAAAUAUUAGUUAACAGAAUGUUUCCCAAUGACCAAUAUUUGAUACAUUGGUUAGUACGGAAUCAAUUUUGCAUGUCAGAAUUUUUAAGGAAUCUUAAAAUGGCCAAUUCAAAUAUGCCAUUUAGUGGUUUCUUGUCUCCUGUCCCCAGCCCCUUUAUAAAUGUUGAGCCAUAUGUUUGAGAACAUAUAGCUGUCCUUGUUCUGAAUGGUCUAAAAUAGCUAGGUUCCCCUGUACUUCUUUGGGUGCUGAGUGUAUUUACAUUCAAAAUGCAUGCAAGAAGUAUCUGAUUUUAUAUCAUUUUUCCCCGUCAGCAACUUUUCUCUAACCUUUACUUAGUUCUACUAACUAGCCUAAACUUUGAGUUUAGUUCUAUCAAUCACUACAUCAUCUGAGGUGUUCAGUCUUCCUGUCAUUUUCUUUUCCGUAAUAAAAAAGUUCCCCAUGAUGGAUAUGACAAACUCUCCCAGAAGCCAUGUGUAGUGUCCGAUAUUGGUACACGGAUAUCCUAAACAAUGUUUGAAGGGAACAGAAACAAUGAUAUCCCACCCAUGUGCCAGAGACCCUCUUUAAUUUGGACUCGCCUAAAAUAAACAUUGUAAAGCAUGACAAAGCGUGGUAAAGAAUUAAGGCUCCUAUCUUUUCUGAUUCUUCAUUGGCUCAAUGAACCAAGAUAUUUCAAGUGAAUACUUCACUUUCUCCCAAACGGUUUCCUAGCAAAGUGCAGGCUCCAAGAACUGAGCUGAUUAAGUGGGAAAUAAAUGAUGGUCUCUGGCUCAUGGAUAAAGAAGGAGCACUACAAAAUUUCACCUCCAGUAGAUUACCUGAGAUGAUGUCAUGCCAUGGGAACUGGAGGGGGUGCUCCAGAUACGGGAGAUUUUUUUGUUUUGCUAUCUUACAGAAAAGAAUAGGUCAUAUGAUUAAAGUUAUUUCUUCCCAAUAAUUGACUUGAAAUGGUGACAUACUGACCUGUUUAUCUUAGAUUGUUCAAGGAUGGGGUCCCAAUAAAAGUGAAAAAUAUGUAAAGUGGUCUUUUGCUGUAAGUCAAAGAAAUAUCUGCGAAUGUCUGUUUUAUUGGCUCCUAUGUUUUUUCCCAUCUGGACGCACUGAAGAUCUCCUCUCAGCACUGGUCUCUUGUCCCUGCUGGUCCAGGUGCUGCCCUUUAGUGCCAGCUCAAACCUCUCCUUCUCUAAAGCCUUUUCCAACCUUGUCCCACCUGUGAUUGUCAUCCUCCUCUAAAUACUUACCGCCCUGUUAUCCUUAGUAGUCCCUGACACUUGGAUUUUAUGACAUCAUAUCACUUAAUUGAUUACCCAUGUACAUAGCGAUGUGCACAAAUCUUAGGUAGGUGACCACCACCUGGAUCAAUAUAUGGACCAUUUCCAUCCCCUGUAAAGGUAUCAGCUCUGUUCCCCCAUCAUUUGUUCUCUAACACAAAUUGUAAAAGUUCUAGGGGCAAUUACCUACCAUUCAGGGUUAGGUGAAGACAGAUAGUGUACUCAAAAAGGUUUGACUGAAAUAAUUUAAUGAAGGCCCCAUUUAUAGAAGUUUGGGAGUCAGGAAGGAGUCAUGAGGCAUCUAGAGACUAACAAGAGUUACUAGUCCUAAAUAUGAAGGAGAAGGGGACUUUUACUUAUUGUGGGGGCCUGGUGAGAGUUUGAGCCUCACAGAAGAGAAAUGAGCUCUGGACAGUAGCUGUAGCCUAAAGAAUCACAACCACUGCCUGAACCUGGGCCAGGUAGGGAGGGAGCUUGGAAAUAAAGACCCUGACUCUGCUCAGGGAGCCCUUUGAUCUCGUGCUGUCCUUCCACUAGCCAAAACCGACUAUAAACCAGAGGGGAAGGGGAUCUAGGGAUGCAGCCUAUGGAGGUCAACCUCCCCAGGAGCAAAGCAUGGAAGAAAAGGUGGAGAAUGGAUUUGGGGGUAUGAAGGACAAAUAUAAUAAUCAGCAAAGACCACCUCAUGCUUCUAUGUCUACUAUGGCACUUAGUAUAUUGUUUUGUUCAAAGGGAAUGAUAAAUUUGUUGCUUGAACUAUUUUCAGUUUAUAGACAGGUAAUUGCUUUUAUUGAAAAUUGUGGGUCAGCAAUAGCAACUACUUAGUUCCUUAAAAGAAAUGGGUGUUGCCAGCUAUGAGUUCAACGUUGUGUUUGGAAUCCUUAGAUUUGCAAAAGGAAAAAGGUGAAAAGGUGGCUCUUCUCCCAAAUUGUGCUACUGAUUCAGAGUUUCAGAAAUACCUAACUUAUAGUUUCAACAUAGCUUGUGUGCCACAACUGUUAAAAUUACUCAAGUUCUUCACACACUUAUUAAUGCAAUUACUGCAUUAGUUCUCUUUAGGGCCAUUAAAUGAAAAGCUGAAAACAUUUUCUACAUAGCAUUUGGUGGGGAAAUUUUAUGACUUAGAUCUCUUAGUGUUGAGCUAGUAGUGUCUCAGUGUUGUAAUAGGGCAAGCAUGGCCCCUGGAUUACUGUGGAGUUUUGGUGAAGAAGCAUUUAACUCUGCCUCCACAAAAAUAAGGACCAUAGCCUCAUUUAAUGGAAAAUAUUUCUUUUAAAAUUUUUUUAGUGUUUAUUUCUGGGACAGAGAGAGACAGAGCAUAAGUGGGGGAGGGGCAGAGAGAUGGAGAGACAUAGAAUCCGAAGCAGGCUCCAGGCUCUGAGCUGUCAGCACAGAACCCAACACGGGGCUUGAACUCACAAACUGUGAGAUCAUGACCUGAGCCGAAGUCAGUCACUCAACCAACUGAGCCACCCAGGUGCCCCAGAAAAUAUUUCUUUUAGAAUUUUUGUACAUCUUCAGGAGAAGUUUUUCACUGGUAUUGUAUAAAUGCAAAUCUUCUCCUGAACAUAUACUUAAUCAGUGUUUACUAAAGAGCAUUAAGUGAUACCAUUUAGUCCAAAAUAUAAAUUAAACUCUUGGCACACUUUAACAUGUUUGGGAUAUGGAAGGGUCUGUUGGAGGUGUCAAUUUCAUUUCAAAGGAAAGAAGAGCAAAUCAGAAUCCUGGAAGAUUAUACCACCCAGGAGUCCGGCCAAACCUAGGUGAAGCUUUUGUGAAUCUGGACUCUCUUACAUCUUAUUUCCUAUUCAUUUGUUCCAAGGAAAUCUAACUUGUCAGGAGGCUUGAGGAUAAUGACUAUCCCUGGGAGUAUCUUGGGCUGAUUUUCAUGAUGUCUUAACUGAAGCAACUGGUUGAGAAAAGAGCCAGAUGGCAUCUUUACACUUAAUCCUGUGGAGGGAAAACUAUGAUGGGUUCCUGUGAACACCUGGAUCCCAUUGCAGUGUUUUGCUUGACCUGUUGCUGCCUUCACACAGCUAUCGUUGCAGUGUUGCCCAUUUGCUGUUGUGAACUGUAGUUUAACUUCGUUCUCCCCACUGUCGCUCUCCUAAAAAGAUUACCUCAUCAUUGUCUGUCUCCAGACAUCUUCCUGUCCUCUCUCUACCUGCUCUGAUUUUAGUCCAUGCCCUGACUUCUGUUUGCCUCCAUCUCACAGUCUGCUCCUUGGCUCUACUGCUCUGAUAACCUGUUUCGUGACUACUUCUCUGGUUCAGCUUUGGCCUUUGCCUCCUUGGACACAGUCCAUGUAUUUGCCAGCCAUUCUGUUACAAGCAUUUCGGGAAGCUUCCAUGUCUUCAGCUGAUGUCUCACUAGGGAAAGAGUAUGAGACCAGCCUUUUUUUUUUUUUUUUUUUUUAAAUCACUAUGCAAACUUUCAUUAGCUUAAUUUAGGAGAAACAUUUGAGAUUUUCCAACAGAGACUGAGAAUUCUUCUGUGGUAGCUGAUAUGCUGAAGAAUUAUUUCUUUAUUCCUAGUUUUGAAUGCAAUUUAUUGAGAGAGGGGGAGAAGGAAGAAGAGAAAUGGGAAGGGAGGUAAGGGGGAGAGAGAGAGAAUACUACUUGUUGGUGAAGCACUGAGGAAAGAAUAUUAUAUUCUUUCUAGCUUUCUAUUUUCUUUCAAUGUGUUUCUGAGCUCCAUUGUGUGGCUUGAGAAAGGUAAACACAAUGAAAUAAUAAUCUAAGAAAAACUCAAGGAGGCAAAUAUUUUUGGAAAAUAUCAUGCUUGCAUUUAAGCAACUGUUUCACAUGAUCUCUGCCAUGGUUGCCCUAUGUCACUGCAAAUAAAUGAUAGAGUUGACUCUACAUUUGACGCAUGGUAGCUGAUAAUUCCCCCUUAUGAUGGGCUCACAGGACUUGGAGAUAAAGUCAGAUUAAAUUCCCUGUUUGACAUGUAAUAGAAAUAAUCAACUUGAAGCCACUUGCAGAAGAAGUGGUUUGUAUAAUCAUUACUAAUAAAAGAAAAUCUUUCUUCAUUCUUCAAGGCACAAGGAUCCUAAUAAGAAUAUAUCUUGAAGAAGAAAUGAUUGAAGUAACUGUGAUCUAUAUUGCCUCAGUUGUAUUUAACUUGUUUGGCCAAAGUAGUACUGUAUGGGAGACAGACAUACUUGAAUUUUCUGAGCUCUCUCCCUUUUCUAUAUUGAAAUUUUAAUAGUAACUAGGGGACAGGCGACUGUAAGGUUGGUGGACACAACUGUCCCAAGAAUGAAAAAGGGAAAUUGAACAGGCUGCUGUGGCAUGAUAACAUCUAUCUUCUUUGUUCCAUUUCUAAAAUCACCAGGAAGCCUUCUGAUCUGUAAUUUGAUAUCUGUAUAGUUCUACCUACCAGAAGGGAAUGUGCAGACAGUUGAACUAAGCCCUAUCUCUAGAUCUAAAUAAAUUGGCAAUUUGGUUUACUAAAUCAGACCCUGGAUUUUCUUUGCAUGAAUCUGACACCAGAGAUGCAUCAUCUCUGGACAAGUUUAAAAAUUGUGCAGUGGGAUCUAGGAAAGGACUUUUGUGGGGUGACAUGGGCGUAUGUAUAAUCACGUAAGAAUAAAGCUCAUGGCUUUUUUUUUUUUUUUUUUAAUUCUCAAAGGGGACCUGACAUAGAAAGUUGAAGAGCCACUGACAUAUUGAAGCUGAGACCACACCUGGGCCUGGAGUGACCCUUUCCAGACACUGACACAGAAAAGUCUGUGCCUAAAGCCAUCAGUGACUCUCUUAUCACAUCUUUUAGCUGAGGUAGACUGUACCCUUCUGGGAGUCCAAAGGACUUGAUUCAGUCUUUUAAAAGAAGUAAAUUAUUCCAUUGCCCCAGAGCAACGUUUUAUAGAACUGUCCCCACAAACUCUGUGAUUUCUACUAGUGUGUUCUGAGCAGUUACAUGGAGGCUUUCCACUGCUUAUGUUAAAAUGCAAACUAGGGGCAUCUGGCUCAGUUGAAAGAGCAUACAACUCUUGAUCUUAGGGUCACACAUUUGGAUGUAGAGAUUACUUUAAAUAAAUAACUUAAAAAAUGCAAACUAUUCAGUUAAAAUUUUAAGCAUUCUAGAACAGGACAGAAGAGACCGAGAGACUGAAGAAAAUGGGAAAGGCAAAAACAUCUGGGUAGGGAGAGGCACACUAUUUAAUUUCAUAUCUAUUCUAUGUGACAUUUUGCUCUAUAGCUUUAAGAAAUUAACAAUGAUAGAGGCAUUUCAAUUUAUGAUUUUAUUUUUUUAACAUGGAAUUCAGAAGAGCAGGAGACAAUAACUUAAAAUUCUUUUUUCGUACUUGUGAAAAGUAGUCUUGUUCGAAGGUAAUCCUAUUAAAUACCUCAAACUCUAGACCCACAAAGAUAAACAGUAAUUGAUAACAAUUUUUAAAGAACUUGAGACUGACAAUCAGAAAUUAUAAAAUGGGUUGGGUAAAAAACACUAGUACUAAGUUCAGGAAAUUCUAGUGCGCAAAGCACAUGCUGAGAGCAGAUCAGCUCAGCUAACGCAGACAGUAGAGAAUGAAGCAUGCAUUCUAGAAUGGCGGAGAAGAGAAAGGGAGCCAUAUUUCAUGCUCAACGGCCCAGUGCAGCCACAUUUGUGCAUGUGCACAGUGAUUUGUUUUUCAAACACAGACCCAAUGACUUUCUAGGCUAAAAGACCAAGACAUUUUACUGGAAAAAUAUAAAAAUGACCAAGCUAACAACAACAGCAACAAAAUGUCAGCCAGCAAUCCAGACGUUUAUCCUUCUUUGGAGGCAAUUCAAAUUCUGAGCAGUUACAUGGAUUUCUGAAUGGAUACAUUUAUAAGGGAAAAGAGUGAAAAAAAAGUUCACCUAAACCAAAUAAAUCUGAAACGGUAGUGAUUUUUAUACUACUGUGGAAGUUUACGAUGUGAAUGUCUGCAAACAUUUAACCCUCUCAAGUCUAAUUCAAGUUUCUUGGAAUAGUGAAAAGUAGCACAGAGAAUGCUAAAAACUGUGAAAAUAUGGUCAUUUGGACUUUUUUUUUUUUUUUUGGUUCUUUAAAAAAUGUUCCCUGAGGGCCCGGAGGUCACUUCCUCCAGACAGUCUCUCCAGGUUUAGCUUGCUGCUUCCCUCUGAGGCCAUGUGGAAAGCCAACUGUGGAAUAAUGAGAUAUUUCAAGUCAAAUGCAAACAAUUCCACCUUAAAAUAGCAGAACUCACCUCAAGCCAGUUUUUGGCAGCCUGUCGGAGAAGGGCAUAAAAGCUGUGUUUUAAUCAAAAGGAUGUAUAUUCUUCAGUCAGGCUGUGGAAAGAAUGGCUGGGAAAAGACUUUUUAUUGGUUCUUUUUACUUCUUUCUUCUCUUUACCCCUCCCCACUCCCUGCCUCCAGUUCUAACAAACCCAUUUAAAAUUUACUGGUAGACUGGUUUUUUUUUUUUUGUUUGUUUGUUUCUUUUCUGAAACCUGUUGGAAUAAAAACUAGUCCCUUUUCAAGGUCCCUCUCAUUUGGAAGCAUCCCUAAUGGGGCUGCCAGCUUCAUGCUGACAUUGCUUUUACCUUAGCUAAAAUCAGGCCCAGCCAACCUUAGAGGAGCAAAGAUCCCCUGAGAACAGGGAGUAGCAAAAAGCCCUGGGCAGAAUGCGAGGCUAUUUUACUGGAGGCUGGGUGGGGGGCCGUCCAGUUUCAGUCCAGGGAUUAUAAGUGCUCUGGUUUUAAGAGAUAAAGAUACUAAAAAGUCUCAAACACAGCCCUACUCCUUAGUGAUGGCAGUACUGACAGGAACUAUAAAGGGUGUCUGUAAUUGCAUGUAAUUUUUACUGUCACAGCACAUGAGAAGGAACUUAAGGGAUGCAUCAGGUUUGGCUGCAUCGGCACGCGUCGGCAGUUAUCAGUAAUGCCAGCAAUCAUUGUUGAUGACAGAGGACCACUGGACAGUAUAGACAUCAUGUUAUGAGAAUUAAAAAUAACCUUUUUAAGCUUUGGGAAUCAAAAUGUACAUGAAGAGCAGUUGAUCACUCUAACAAAUCUAACAACCCUCUUUCUUAUAUGCUAAAGCAGCUGUGCACAUUGCAGGACUGGGCAACAGAUCCAUCCAUCUUUCAGACCUGACUUUUUAGCCUUAAUAGUGCCUAUUAACAAGUGUUUGAAUUAGGCCUAACAUUUAAAAUUUAGGAGUUACCAGGGUGCCUGGGUGGCUCAGUUGGUUAAAUGUCCGACUCUUGAUUUUGGCUCAGCUCAUGAUCUCGUGGUUGUAGGAUAGAGCCCCAUGUUGGGCUUCGUGCUGAGCAUGGACACUGCUUGGGAUUCUCUCUCUUCCUCUCUCUCUGCCCCUCCCCUAGUUGUGCUCUGUCUCUCAAAAUAAAUAAACGUUAAAAGAAUAAAAUUUAGGAAUUAGCAGAUAAAUCUGGCAUUUCAUUCCCUCUUGAAAGAUUGGCUAUCUGGGUCAUGGGCUGUGGAUUUCCAAAAGAAAAUGGUAGACUAGCUCUGGAGAGUAGGUGCCUCAUUAGAUGAGACAAGUGUCAGCUAGAUCUGGAAGCCUUCCUGUUUAGAGGACCUUUCAGGCCUGGGUAGGCAUUUGAGUUUACAGUCACUGGAGUCAUAUGCACAACAGUUCAGUUAGCAAGUAGCUACUGAGAGUUCUCUACCCACGGGCAGACUCUGUUAUGGUACUUUCCAGUCAAAAACUUUCCAUAGCUCUCCAUUGCUGACACAAUAAGGUCCACACUCUACAGCUUGAAAUGAAAUCUCCCCACCUUUGGCUCUCACUGACUAAUUCUGGGUUCCUGCACUCCUCCCACAGACAGGAGAGUCCCCUGUCUGCUCUCUUCACUGGUUGGUGCUUCCUCACUCCUUCCCUGCACCCUCUCCGCUCAGUUGAUGGUGCUGAUCAUCCUGGCUCCACCUGGCUUCCAUGUAUCUGGCGGUGGAAAUCCUCCCCCUCUGCCAGCCCCAGGUCAAGCCUUGUUCAUCUAAAUGCGUCUCAAAUUCUUGGUGAGGAAAGGCCAUUCUCUCUCUCUCUCUCUCUCUCUCUCUCUCUCUCUUUCUUCUUGUUCUUCUUUUUUUUAAAUUUCCACACUGUUCACAGACCUAUAAAGCACAAGUUGUAAUUUUUUUAUGAGACUCAGCAGACAUAAUUUUUACUUUGUGAAUUGAUAUAAAAAUUUCUAAAUGCCUACUCUAAAUUUAUUUCAUGUGAAACCAGCACUGGUCCUUAGGCCACACUUCCAGUAGGUUUUUGUUUUUUUUUUUUAGAUGCUUUUAGGUGAAUUAAUCUCCUUAUUACCUGCAUUUGAAACAACAACAACAACAACAAAACAAAACAAAAAAACCCCUGUGUCUAUACCUUCACAGUAGACAGCAGUAGAGCUUUCUACCUAUUCCAAUGUAAACUCCAGGAGGACAGAGCUCUGUUGAACCUGGCCCCUCUGGGUUUGUUUGCAAAUGGAAGGAGCUUGGUCAAUGCUGAAUUUUCAGUGCUGUUGCCAGGAGGCAUUGGAGGCAGAGUGGAAGGAUACAGAACUGUUUAGCCCUCAAGGAGCUAAUGAUAAAAUUAAAGGGAGGACUAACCUGCAUAAAGCAACAGUAAAUAAUAUACAAUAAAUAAGUACUGAAGUUUGUGGUACAUCUUAUGAAAAUGUUACACGUAAACAGAAAAUAGGGUGCUCACCGAAAGCUGGACCAGUCUUAGGAGAUUUCAUGCUAGAACUUGAGAGAGACCUCAUUAGAGAUGGUAGCUCCUAAGUGGCCGCUCGUCUGGGCAAGUUACUCUGUGCUUGCUUGCUCCUCUUUAUUUUUAUUUAAAAAAUAUUUUUAAUGUUUAUUUAUUUUUGAGAGACAGAGCACAAGCAGGGGGGAGACACAGAGAGAGGGAGACACAGAAUCGGAAGCAGGCUCCAGGCUCUGAGCUGUCAGCAGAGCCCAAAAUGGGGCUCAAACCCAUGAACAUGAGAUCCUGACUGAGCUGAAGUUGAACACUUAACUGACUGAGCCACCCAGGUGUCCCUGUUUGCUCCCCUUUAAAGCAAGGGGUUGGAUGAAAAGAUUUUCCUGAUCUUGAUUGUUGUAUGACAAUAAAUAAUGUUUAUUUUAGUUGUGUGACUAAAACAGAGUGUCAACACUGUUUUACAGUGUUUACCCAACCCACUAGGUAUACAGCUGGUAGAAAAUAGUUGGAGGUCGCAUAUCCUUUCUCUUUUCUCAGUCUGCCAUUAGGUGAAAGUCCAACUUUGACCCAUUUCUCUGUAACACAAUCUCUAACACAAAUGACAAUCCAGAUGCCAAUUUAUCACCCACUCAUGUUAAUUAAUGUUCACUCUAAUCAACUAUAUUGAAGAUGUUAAAGAGUAAGAUUGAAUUAAAUUCCUGUGAUAAUGGGAUUUGACUGGUUUUUGUCCUUGGUCAGCCCUAUAUUUGUUCUUUGUUUUAUUGCCAAAGAGGGAGGGGUUUUGUAGCAAAGGCCUGAAGAAGCCCACUACAGGAUCUGUACAGAAACAAUCAACCCAGAGGGUCUUCUGUUUUGUCCCUUAUUUGACCUCCUUCCAGGUACAGUGAAUCUAGUUCUCUGAAAUGGCUGAGCAGGGAGAAUAAGUGCAGCUGUGUUUGGACACCUCCCUUUUCUCCCUUGGCUGUGACCCAGGAAAAUGGACCCACUCUUUCACGGUCGCGCAAACCACUUUAUUAUCAUAUUUUUGAGGCUGUUGGCCAGGGAAAUGGCAGGCCAGUUAGUAGUCUGGAAAGUUAGAAGUGUGUGUGUUUAUUUUCCCCUCUUUUACCCACUGAGCUAUUGGAACUGGUAUAGAAAGGAAUUAGUAAGACACAGCUGCCCCUACGGGACACUGUGAGCCUGGGAGCGGUGGGUUCACAGGAAUGUUUGCAUAGGCAUUUUAUAAUCAUAAUAAAAAGACCUUUAGAAGUUCAUUGGUUAAAAAGCCACUGCAAGGGGUGCCUGGGUGGCUCAGUCAGUUGAGCCUCCGACUUCGGCUCGGGUCAUGAUCUCAGAGCUUGUGAGUUCGAGCCCUGCAUUGGGCUCCGUGCUGACAGCUCGGAGCCUGGAGCCUGCUUUGGAUUCUGUGCCUCCCUCUCUCUCUGCCCCAACCCACUCGCAUUCUGUCUCUCUCAAAAAUAAAUAAACAUCAAAAACAAAAUUAAAAAAAGCUACUGCAGAUGUUAAUUACAGACAUGCCUUGGAGAUACUGGGGGUUUGAUUAAAGACCACCAUAAUAAAGCAAAUCUCACAAUAAAGCAAGCAAAUGCAUUUUCCCAAUGUAUAUAAAAUAUACAUUUUUACAAUAUAUAUAAAAGUUAUGUUUAUACUGCAGUCUAUUAAAGUUCAAUAGCAUUAUGUCUAAAAUAAUGUACAUACCUUAAUUAAAAAGUACUUGGUUGCUGAAAAAUGCUACUAUCAUCUGAGCUUUCAGAGAAUCAUAAUCUUUUUGCUGGUGGCAGGUCUUGCUUGGAUGUUGUUGGCUGCUGACUGAUCAGGGUGGUGGUUGCUGAAGGCUGGCCUGGCUGUGGCAAUUUUUUAAAAUAAGACAACAAAGAAGUCUGAGACGUCAAUGAGCUCUUCCUUUCACAAAGGAUUUCUCUGUCAUAUGUGAUGCUGUUUGAAAGCAUUUUACCCACAGUAGAACUUUUUAAAAUUGGAGUCAGUCCUCUCAGACCUGCUGUGGUUUAUCUACUAAGUUUAUGGAAUAUUCUAAAUCCUUUGUUGUCAUUUCAACAAUCUGCAGCAUCUUCCCCAGGUGUAGAUUCCAUCUCAAGAAACCACUUUCUUUGCUCAUCCCCUAUGAAGCAACUCCUCACUGUUCAAGUUUUGUCAUGAGAUUGCAGCCAUUCAGUCCGAUCUUCAGGCUCCACUUGUAAUUCUAGUUCUCUUGCUGUUUCUAUCACAUUUAUGGUUACUCCCUCCACUGAAGUUUUGAACGCUUCAAACUCAUCCAGGAGGACUAGAAUCUACUUCUUAAUUUUGAUAUUUUGAUAUUUUGACCUCUUGCCAUGGAUCACAAAUAUUCUUUAUGGCAUCUAGAAUGGUGAGUCCUUUCCAGAAGGUUUUCACUUCACUUUGCCCAGAUCCAUCAGAGGAAUCACUAGUUGUGGCAGAUAUAGCAUGAUGAAAUAUAUUUCUUAAAUAAUAAGACCCAACGUUGAAACUACUCCUUGAUCCAUGGACUGAAGAAUGGAUAUUGUGUUAGCAGGCAUGAAAACAACAUCAAUCUUAUUGCACAUAUCUAUUAGGGCAGUUAGGUGACCAGAUACAUUUUCAAUAAGAAGUAAUUUGAAAGGAAUCUUUUUUUUCCUGAGUAGUAGAUCUUAACAGUGGGCUUAAAAUAGUAAGCUGUGUUGUAAACACUACAGAUGUGUUGUCAUCCAGGCUUUGUUCCACCUAUAGAGCACAGGCAGAGUAGAUUUAGCAUAAUUUUUAAGAGACUUAGGAUUUUCAGAGUGGUGAAUGAGCAUUGGCUUCAACUUAAAGUCACCAGGUAUGUUAGCCCUUAGCAGGAGAGUCAGCCUGUCCAUUGAAAAUUUUAAACCAGGCAUUGAUUUCUCCUCUCUAGCAAUGAAAGUCCUAGAUGGCAUCUUCUUCCAAUAUAAAGAUGUCUGCAUUGAAAAUCUGUUGUUUAGUAUAGCCACCUUCAUUAGUUAGCUAGAUCUUCUAGAAAACUUGCAGCAGCUUCUAUAUCAGCACUUGAUGCCUCACCUUGUACGUUUAUUUUAUGGAGAUGUCUUCUUUCCUUAAACUGCAUGAACCAAACUCUGCCAGCUUCAUACUUCUAACGCAACUUUCUUGCCUCUCUCAGCCUUCAUAGACUUGAAGAGAGUUAGGGCCUUGCUCUAGGCACUGGCUUAAGGGUAUGUGGUGGCUGGUGUGAUCUACCCAGACCACUACAAUUUUCUCCAUGUAAGCAAUUAGGCUGUUUUGCUUUCUUAUCUUUUAUAUAUUUGCUGAGGUAUCACUUUUAACUUCCUUUAAAAACUUUUCCUUUGCAUUUACAACUUGGAUAACAUUUGGUACAAGAGGCCCAGCUUUUGGCCCAUUUCAGCUUCUGACAUGCUUUCCUUACUAAACUGAAUCAUUUAUAGCCUUUGAGUUAAAGUGAGAGACGUGUGACUCUUUCCCUGAGAGGCCAUUGUAGAGUUACUAAUUGGCCUAAUUUCAAUAUUGUUGUGUCUCGGGGAAUAGGGAGGCCCAAGUAGAGGUGAGGUAGAUGAGGGAAUGGCGGGUCGGUGGGGCAGUCAGAACACAACAACAUUUGUUAAGCUUGCCAUUUUAUUUGAGUGUGGUUCAUGACACCACAGAGUAACAUCAGAGAUCACUCAUCACAGAUCACCCUGACAAAUAUGCUCAUAGUGGAGAAAUUUGACGUAUUGGGAGAAUUACCAAAAUGUGACACAGAGAUAUGCAGUGAGCAUGAGCAAAUGCUGUCGGAAAAAUGGUGCUGAUAGGUUUGCUCCACACAGAGUUGCCACAAACCUUCAAUCUGCAAAAAAUAAAUAAAUAAAUAAAUAAAUAAAUAAAUAAAUAAAUAAAUAAAAUAAAAAAAUAAAAAAUAAAAUGUAAACAGCAGUAUUUGCAAAGUACAAUAAAGCAAAGCACAACAAAACAAGGUAUGCCUGAACAAUUUCGAUACUUAGAUAUAUUUCAAGCAGGAGCAAAAAUGGGCAAAUACAUUAAAUGCUUGUCAUUUAUGAUUGGCACUGGAGCUGAAUUAUAUAAUGUGAAAGAAAAAUUAAUUCCUUCACUAUAAAUGUGCUUUGUAAAACCACAAAAUGCUAAGUAUAUACGUGUGGUAUUUUUAAUGCAUAAGCUAUGUCUCAGAAUUGAUGUCCAUUUUUAACUUAAGAAGUAGGAUUGUAAGUCAUUCUAUGAAAGGCUAACAUACCCAGGGAUGUAUAAAUUUUGGUAUAUCUAUUAAACAACACAUAUGUUUUAGUCAAUGGUCCUACGUUGGUGACCUUCUAUAUGACAAUUAUUGAGGACAAUAAUGAUAAUACAAUCAAUAAUACACUUUUAUGAUACCAUGGUUUACAUGCUGUUCUUACAUGGUACUAAUUCAUUUUACCUCUAUAAAUGCUAUCUGUUAUAAUCCCCAUUUUAUUUUUUUAUUUUUUAUUUUUUCAACGUUUAUUUUUGGGACAGAGAGAGACAGAGCAUGAACGGGGGAGGGGCAGAGAGAGAGGGAGACACAGAAUCGGAAACAGGCUCCAGGCUCUGAGCCAUCAGCCCAGAGCCCGACGCGGGGCUCGAACUCACGGACCGUGAGAUCGUGACCUGGCUGAAGUCGGACGCUUAACUGACUGCGCCACCCAGGUGCCCCAAUAUAAUCCCCAUUUUAAAGAUGAGGAAACUGAGGCACAGGUUAGUGGUAUCCUAGACUUGUGUAUUUUAAAAUUGCCUUCAAAGUAUGUGAUACAGUUUUCAACAUCUUCAAUCGUGGCAAAUCUUUGAACAUUGCAAAAUAUGAAAAAUCAUUCAGAUUCCAGUUUGGUAAAUAAAACCAGUCUUUUGUCUGAUUAUUGGCAGAUCAUUUAAAUAGUAUUAGCUUUUUGUGAUCUAUGUAUCAAUAGGCUCUAAGGGGGAUUUCAAAAAGUUUAAAGAACACUUUGAGCCUCUCUUACAAUUAGAUGGCUAAAUAACAGGAAUAUGAAUCUAAAUAUGCAAAAAAAAAAAAAAAACAACUUCAUUUCUUACAUAGAGUGUGAGUAUCAAAUAUACUCAUCCCUUGUGCUUUCAGGAAUCUGUGUGUACACAUAUUCUGUCUAUAAUUUUAUUCUGCAUUAGAGAUGGCUCUGAGGCCUCUAGGCUGUGAGACGCCUGCAGUUCAUCUGUAUCUUCGGAAAGUGGCUCAGUGUCUUUGGAGAAGUAACUUCCCAGUAAAUGCUGAUUUAGAUGAGUUGGAUUAGAAAAGUGGAUUUUGAUCAUCCCAUAGAUUGACACAAUGGAAUGAUGGCAAAGAGAUGAUCCUUUUUAUAAGCACACUUCACAGGGAAAGUGGGAAUGCGCUUACGAGGCUGAAUAAUUCAGACUUCCGUUUUCCCAAUGGUUUUGAGUAGUGGAUGCCUUCAUGACACCACUGGAUUUCAUGGGUUUAAUCUGUUCCUGGUAAAGUUAAUUUAGGAAGAAGUUGUCUUGAAACAAUUCAGAUGGAAAAAAUAAAUUGCAGCACAUAACAUAAACUGUGAUUACAUAGAAUUGUGAGAUUGUAUCCAACUUGAUUUUAACACGCAGGAAAGAAACACGUGUUCUCACAUAAUCAGUUUUGGUUUAAAGAUCUAAGUGGACUUAACUACGACCCAGGGUGGAAAUGAGCAGAUAUAGUGUUUUAGACAAUAAGGCACUACAUGAAACACCAUGAUACUCAGCGGUCUUCUCCAUUUUGUCCAAAUUCCAUAUACCCUUAAAGACACAGCUCUCAUGCCGCCUCCUUUCUGAAAUCUGUCCUGACCUCUUGAUUGUAAAUAACAUUUCCCUUCUCUGAAUGCCCAGAGCACCUUAUCUUAUCCUUCCUGAGGUAUGUAAUUCUUGCCAUCUUAUUGACAUCCUAUCACUUAUUUCUAUGUAUCUUCUUUCCCUGCCUACUGACCGUAUAUUAUGUCCCAUUAGGACAAGGUUUAUGUAUCUUCGUCUUUGUUUCUUUACGUGCUGUCUGGCAUGGGACCUUCUUUAUAAUGUGUUUUCAAUACAUGAUUGUUGAAAAACAAAGGAAUGAUAUAGCCAUGAUAAGGCAAAGAGGGUAAUCAACAACUCCUUCUUCAGAUAGGAGACAGAUUUUUUGCUUCACGAACACACAGUCAUGCAGGUCUAGAGUUAGAAAUGAAAUGUAGGUUUAUUUUUGUUGUGUUUGUUUUUUCUUAGUCAAGGCGUUUAAUCUACUACGCUGAUUCCUUAUGCACAGAUGGAAUCUUAUCAUGCAUACGAGUCUCUGAAGGAAAUAAUUUUUGUUUAAACUUUGCCUUAGAAACUUCAAGGGAAUUCAGAACAGGAUUUCUUUAAUGAUCUGGCCGUAUUAUAUUACCAAUUGCCAAGCCGAAAAAUGUUUGGCAGAACUUUUGGCUUCUGAGGUUUGGGAUACCUUCCAGGUAAUCUGCCUCAGAAUUUUGAAAUACAAAUAAAUGAGUUCCAGUUCAAACUUUUUUUGAAUUUGAGCUGCUGGGCCUUUAUUUCCCUCCCAUCUGAACAUUUUGGUACAGAAAUACCAACCAAGCAGAAAGAAGAUAAUCAGCCAAAAUUUUCUGAGAUUAUUUAAUGGCCUUGGUUAGAAGUACAACGUGAGAAUGAAUGGUCUAAAACUUCGUGUUUCUUAACAGUAACUGACUUCUAGUUCUUGGGAUUUAUUUUCCAGGAUGUUUUCCCUGAUUUUUAUUUGGGAGAAGAGGGUGAGGGUGUUCUUUGCUGCUUUGAUUCUGCCAGAAGGAAGAUUCUGAAUGUUCCUUUGUUAAGUGUUACACAAUUAGCUUUGUUUUACUAUUCUUGUCUGGGAGCCAAGUGUUUUUCGAAUCACUCAACAUUCUACUGAGGCGUGCUAGUCACUGAAUGUGAUUAUAAAGCCAAGUUAACAUGCAUUGAAAAGAGGCCUGCCUGGGAGUUUCGGGUGCCAUGAGCACCACACCUAAUGAAGAGGCAGGAAGAUUUGGAUGAAUGAUAUAACUCCAGUCAUUUCUAUAAACCUCAGCACCUGGUGAGUUCUGAGGGAAACAAAUUUUUUGGAAGCAAAGGUUAAAAAAAAAAAAGGAAGCACCCACCACCCUCCCUCCCUCCUUCACGUUCCCUCAUACUCCACGUGCAUGAGCAUGCUCAGUAAGGAACAUGGUCUCUAUGUGAUUUUUUGUCUAUAACACCACUGCUUGUGUCUAGGGUGGAUGGGGGGAUGGUGACCUAGCAAAUAUUCUGAAGGGUAGAGCCUGGGGGGGUGAGGCACAAAAGCUCUUAAUUUCAAGAAAUCCCUCUUAGCAAGCUUUCUAUUAACUUCUUUUUCGUUUUGAUUACUAUGCAUUUACAAUAGAAAUAUAGCUCCAGAAUGAAAUGGACAUUGUGGCACUGAAGAAAAAUAAUAUAAAAUUCAAAAUUUUCCUUCAAUGUUUCAGAUUAAAAAAAUUUUUUUUAAUGUUUUAUUUAUUUUUGAGAGAGAGAGAGAGAGAGAGAGAGAGAGAGAAAGAACGUGAGUGGAAGACACAAUCCGAAGCCGGCUCCAGGUUUCGAGCUGUCAGCACAGAGCCUGAUAAGGGACUCAAACUCACAAACCGUGGGAUCAUGACCUGAGCCAAAGUUGGUCGCUUAACCAACUGAGCCACCCAGGUGCCUCUCAAAGUUUCAGAUUAAGUGGCAUUUUCUUCUCCUUUACUUUGGCUUGGGGGAAGACCAGUGCUUCUCAGUACAAUUCAAAGAAACUAUAUUAAUCUUUCUCUGUUUUAUUUAUUUAUUUAAUUAAUUAAUUAAUUCAUUCAUUUUUUUUCUAAGAGAGGUAGAGAGCAUGAGCAGGGGAAAGGGGCAGAGAGCUAGAGAAUCCUAAGAAGGCUCCACACCCAGUGAAGCACCUGAUGUGGGGCUUGAUCCUAUGACCCUGGGAUCAUGACCUGAGCCGAAAUUAAGAGGCAGAUGCUCAAUCUACUGAGCCAUCCUCUUUCUCACUUUAAUAUCAUUUUAAAUUAUAUUUUUCACUUAAAAUCCUUUCAGUCCAUGUGGGAGGUUUUGACAGGAAAAUACAUAUUUUUCAUACCUUAUAUGAUUUUUGUCCUUUUAAAAUGACAUUGAGCCUGUCUCCUUACCUGUAAUCUCUCCUCACAGCCUCUCAAGAAUCAAGCAGCCCGCCGCCAUUAACCCCACCUGUGGCCUGCUGUGGGCUGGCAGCACAGGUAGGCAGGUGACCUGCUGCCAGGAAUGGGCCCUGACAGGUUCUGGAGCUGUCACUCAGCUCUGGCUCCAGCAGCAUUCUUUUUGACAUUUCAGAAUAUAGGAGACCUUGGGAAAACUGAAACAACAAUAAACAAAAUGUUGUUUUUCAGGGAAUUGUCAAUUUUCUUUUGGCUCCUUUCCAUCCACGGGGGCACCUUGUUCCAUUACCUGUUCCUUAACUUUCCCAAACCCUCUACCAUUGUGCUGCUUUGAGGGUGAUAACUGUCUAAGACUUUAGUGACCCUUGGUCUUCCCUCCACCACUCAAUCCCUAGCCUCCAGUCCAUUCCUUAAUGCAGACUUAGUAUGAGAUGGUAAUGUUAUUGGUUUGAAAAUAGGAAUAGUCAACACGUAUCACAUUCUGUGUGUCACACCCUUUGCUAAGCUUGGUCUUGACCUGUCUCAUGUAGUUACUACCUUUUAAGCUGUAUCUGGUUACUUAUUCCAAUUUUAUUUCUGAAGAGACAGAGGCACAGAGAGCAAGAGCCACCCAGAUACUAUGUGGGACACAGGAUUUGAAUUUAGGCCCUAAUCCAGGUUUGGUAGCAUUAGAGUUGAGAGUAUGUAGUUACCAAGUAUGAGACAACUUGAAAAUAAAAUAAUGAUUGAACAUAAUGUACUCUCAAUGACCCUUAAACUAUGUAAUGACCCUUAAAAAAUCUCCCAAAACAAAUCUUGUUUUCCACCACUGGAGGUGAUUAUUUCACUAAUUCCUUACUCCGAUAAUUGGUAAUUUAAAAUAAUUAAAUAUUAACUUGUUUUUUUCAGAAAAACACCCCUGUAUUUUGGGAAAACCAAAUAGUCCUGAGUGAUGAAGGAAAACUUUUCCUUAUAGAAAAAUGCCAGCUCUGAAUGUAGAUGGAAUAAUAUGGUUGGAAAGUCAUCAUUUGCAGCCCCUGAUAGAUUGAUAAUACAAGCAAGAUUCUUCAAUGGAUGCUGGCACACUGAAUGAGGGCUUGAUGGGGACCAUCAUCACAUACUCCCCCAGAUUGCUUGCUGAUUGAAAGGAAAGGAAUGUGGGUCUGCAGUAGAAGUAUCUGGAUGUCAUUACCUUGACUCCUUAGGUGCACUUGACUCCACUUUUGAUAGGGUGACCAGAUACUGUGAAGAUCCAGAUGUGGUACAAUGUGAUGUAGCGAUAUCACCUAUGAAGUAUUCUUGCCAACAGUGAGUCUAUUCAGGCUUUACGUAUAACUUCCACUUCGUAGGGAAGACAGAAGCUAGAGGAAAAACUAUAAGGAAGUCAUGAAAAAAUCUAGAAGCCAGAUCAUUUUAUAGACAACCAGUCUAGACUUUUCAAAAACUAAUGCCAUGGUACAAAAAGAGAGUGGGGAGGAGGUGUUUUUAGAGUCACAUCAUGAGCAAAUUCUGUGACCUUCCAAGGAUAUAGAUGUGAACAAAUCAGCUGUGAAAAAGAUAUUUUUGGAACAGUUCAAAAAUUUUGAAUGUGGUAUUAGGGAAUUACUAAUAAGUUUUGUCAGAUGUGAUAAUAGUAAAGUGAUUAUGUAAGAAAAUAUCUUUGUUUAGGGAUAUGUGCUAAAGUACUAGGGAGGGAAAUGUUAUGAUAUCUGUAGCUUAUGUUAAAAUACAUCAACAAUAAAAAUUGAGGCAACUAUGGCAAAACGCUAAUGAUUUGUAAAUCUAGGUGAUGGCAUAUCAUAGAUAUAUAUGAUCUUUCUAAAUAUUUUUUAAAUUCAAAGAAUUUUUUUUAAUGUUUAUUUAUUUUUGAGAGAGAGAGAGACAGAGAAUGAGUGGGGGAGGGGCAGAGAGAGAGAGAGAGACACAGAAUCUGAAGCAGGCUCCAGGCUCUGAGUUGUCAGCACAGAGCCCCACGUGGGGCUCGAACCCAAGAACCAUGAGAUCAUGACCUGAGUCAAAAUCGGACGCUUAACUGACUUAGCCACAGGCACGCCUAUUUCUGAAAUUUUUAUAGUUAAAACAGAACCACUUGCAGAAAGAGUUACCCAGUCUUGAAGCAGAGAGCCCUGUGUUCCAGUCCCAACCCUCCCACUUAAUGUUUGAAGGGCUUGGGAAAUCACUUCACUCGGGGCUUCUGUGUCGUCAUUGGCAAACUGGCGAUAAUAACAGUAUCUGCUCUAUAUGAUUGUUAACACCAGUGAAUUGCUUAGAACAAUGACUGGCAUGUGGUAAGCUCUCAACAAAUGUUAGCCGUAAUUGCUUCAUGUAGGAGGCGUCAGACAGAAAUGAGGUUUGACUCCUGGCUCUGUCUUUUUAUUAGCUAUGCUGCCCUAGGCUGUUUGCUUAACCUCACUAAAACUUUGUUUUCCUUUUUAAAAUGGAGGUAGUAAUACUGCUAAGGUUAUGGUAGGAUUAAUCGCAUAAUAUACAUAAAGUUGCGAGCACACAGUAACCACUUUAAUAGUGGAUAGUAAUAAUAAUAGUGACAAUUAGCGCUGUCAGAUAAUAGCUCUAGUUUUUCAGAGGCCUCCAAUGCCUAAUCCCAAUGCUACUGUUGGAACAUUCUAGCGUGGAAGCUAAACAGGGGUGAAGCUGACAGUUUAGUAAGGGGUGUGUGGGGUGUCCCUUUGGUCUCAACUCACUGUCAUGUCCUGGGGGUGCUACAUGCCUUCAGGUAAAGAUUUCUGUUUGGACAGGGUGGGAAGGAGCCCAUGGGUGGGUGCAGUAGAAAAUUGGGGCUUUCUCAUGAACACACAAUGUGAAUAAGAUUCAGAAGAAAGAAUAAAAAGUGGUAAGUUGGGGAGUCUGCCUUAUAUUUGUAUCUUCUUUUUUUAUUGUUUAUUUAUUUUUGAGAGAGCGAGUGCGAGCGAGUGCGAGUGGGGGAGGGGCAGAGUGAGAGGGAGACAGAGAAUCUGAAGCAGGCUCCAGGUUCUGAGUUCGGAGCUGUCAGCGCAGAGCCAGAUGUGGGGCCUGAACUCAUAAACUAUGAGAUCGUGACCUGAGUCAAAGUCCAAUGCUUAACUGACUGAGCCACCCAGGUGCCCCUUAUGUUUGUUUCUACCUCAACCUCUCCUAGGGCUUUGAAAGAGUCCAUGAGAGUGAGUGCCUUUUCCUGACCACCAUCAUUUACUGUAGGCAUUUGCAACCCACAGGUAGACUGACUUCUAGGAUGUUCUGUGAGGCUCUGGCCCCUCACGACUGUUUCUGGGUGUGGGAUUUAAAAAGCUCAGAGGGGUUAGGUACUCCCUUGCCUUACAAGGCAACAUUGUCGUAGAAGACAGAGCUUCUCAUACUUGAUUCUUGUGGUUGGGUAGACUUUCGAUGAUCUCAUUAGAGUAGUGUGAAAUUUACUGUUUUCUUUUGCACUAUGAGUCUAUUUUUCCCUCUUCCCUCUAAGCAGCUCUGUUUCCUACUUUAGACACCAAGGGUCUUAUGGCUAACCUCUUUCCCCAGCAUUCAAUUCUGCUGACAGGGAAACAUGUGUUCCUAUGAAUCUGUGUAAGACACAAAGUCCUGAAAACAGAUCAAAGCAUGUGUACAAGCAAUGGGAAGUUACAGGUGGACAAACUUGAUAAGACGAAUAGGUUUUUUUUUUUUUUAUUUUUUAUUUUUUAUUUUUUUUUNNNNNNNNNNNNNNNNNNNNNNNNNNNNNNNNNNNNNNNNNNNNNNNNNNNNNNNNNNNNNNNNNNNNNNNNNNNNNNNNNNNNNNNNNNNNNNNNNNNNNNNNNNNNNNNNGCCAUCAGCUCAGAGCCUGACGCGGGGCUCGAACUCACGGACCGCGAGAUCGUGACCUGGCUGAAGUCGGACGCUUAACCGACUGCGCCACCCAGGCGCCCCAAAAAAACGAAUAGGUUUUUAGGGCUCAGGAGAUAGAAACGUAUGCCCCAGUUCAUCAACAUCUUUGUUUUCAUCUCCCUGGGCAUAAGGCAACACUACAUUUUCUAGGGAAGGCCAUGCAAUAGAGUUCUGGCCAAUUGGAUGUGAGCUGGUGCGAUAGGUGCCAUUUUAGGAAUGGCCCAUAAAAGCUUCCAUGCGUGCUCAUCACUCUUUUCUCUGCCUUUCUUUCUCAUCAGCGGGCUUUAAAGAGAGAACUUUAAGGGCCAAUAUGAGGGUAGAAUCCCAAGACUGAAAGUGUCUGGGCUCAUGAAUGACUGUGUGAUCAGACUACCCCCAUCAUCCCACAUUGGUCUGUAAUAUGAGUAAGAAAUACAAUUCUUAUUAAGUUGCGGUAACUUGGGUUUUCUUUUCAGCUGCUACGCAUGGCAGAGACAUUAUUUACUUCCUAAUUUGUUUAUCUGUUUUGUUAUCAGCAACUUUUAAAGUAAGGAAACGAAGAAGUUACAUAAGUUACAAGAUACAGGUUUUCUUGGCAAUCAGUCCCUUCUUUAUAAGUAGAAUGUUCAGGGCAUUCAUUACCUUAUUUGUUAUGCACACUGACUGUGAAGAUCUUGAGAGAUAAGAAAACUGAUUUUCAGAGAGUUUAAGUAACUUGGGCAAGAUCACACAGCUAAUGCUUGCUUUGGAUCCAGGAUUAAAACUCACAUUGCUUUGACCUCAAAGUACUUGUUAUUUUUACUACAAUGGUCCUUUUUAAGAAAAGAAUAGUUAAGAAAGGGAAUGUAUUCAGAGAGGGUAUAGAAGACUUUCUGGAGAGGUAGCAAAAUUUUGACAAAAAUAUAACUGGGUACCAGGUCCUACUUGGAAACACUGAUAGAUUAUAAGAUGAAAAGAUGGAAAAAAAAAUAGAGGAUAAUGGGUUCCUAGGAUCCUAGGUUUGCAACUUAGUCCAGAAGUUUUUUUUUUUUUUAAGUUUCACUUAAGUUUAUUUAAUAAAAAGUCAUUCUUUAUUCAGAAUGUCUGAAUAAAGUCAAAUUCCUUUUUAAUUUGAAGUUAAUGAUUUUAAAUCCUAAAGGUGUGCAUAUUAGUCAGUGUUUUCCAGUGAAACAGAACCAAUAGGAAAACUGUCUAUUAAGAGAUACUUAUUUUAAGGAAUUGGCUCAUGUGACUUAUGGGGUUGUCAAGUCUGAAAUUGGCGGGGCAGACUGGCAGAGUGGAAACCCAGGAAAGAACUGAUGUUGCAACUUGAGUCUAAAGGCGGCCUGGUGACAGAAUUUCCUCUUCCUUGGGGGAACCUUAGUUUUUCCCCCUGAGGACCUUCAACAGAUUGGAUGAGGCCCAGCCAUUAUGGAUGGUAAUUUACUUUAUUCAAAGUCUACUGAUUUAAAUAUUUAUCUUAUCUAAAAAAGAGAGGGAGAGAGAAAGAGAGAGAGAGAGAGCGCGCGAGCCUUUCGGCAAUAUCCCGAACGAUGUUUGACCAAAUAUGGGGGCACUGUGGCCUAGCUCAUGUGCCACAGAAGGAACCAUCACAGGGUAUGGAUUAUAAACAAAAUAUUCAAAUCUAAGUAGACCCUACUGAACGCCUUCACUCUUCCUGAAUGGGAUGACCCCAUUCUUAUUUGUCCAGUAGAAAGAAAAAGAAUGGCUUUGCCAAUGAAAGCCACAAAUAACUGCUUAAGCAUUGGAGCAGAACCCUAAACAUUAAAGUCAAAAAAGCAGGUGAGCAACAAAUAUCUUGGGUCAUAGAGCAUUGCUUCUUCCACCUGCACUGAAAAUUGUUCUUUUUUAAAAAAAUGUUUAUGUAUGUAUGUAUGUAUGUAUGUAUUUAGAGGCAGAGUGAGCGAGCCAGCUGGGGAGGGGCAGACAAAGGGAGAGAGAGAAUCCCAAGCAAGCUCUGCCUUGACAGUGCAGAGCCUGACACAAGCCCUGAGAUCAUGACCUGAGCUGAAAUCAAGUCAGAUACUGAACCUACUGAGCCACCCAGGCACCCCCUGAAUAUUGUUCUUUACCAGUAGCUGCUCUGCUUCCCUCCCUGCCCCCAAACAUUAUCAACAUCUGUUGAACUCAAAGCUGCUACCAUUUGUUUAAUGCUUAAUUUUUCGCCAUUAGUUUUAGCCUUUUAUCUUCUUGUAGUUCAUUUGGAAUCUAUUUUUCUCUUUUUAAAUAAUCUAAACAAGGGGGCACCUGGGUGGCUCAGUUGGUUAAGAAGCCAGCUUCGCUCAGGUCAUGAUCUCACAGUUCGUGGGUUUGAGCCCCGUGUCGGGCUCUGUGCUGACAGCUCAGAGCCUGGAGCCUGCUUCAGAUUCUGUCUCUCUCUCUCUGCCCCUCCUCCACUCGUGCUCUGUCUCUCAAAAAUAAAUAAACGUGGGCGCCUGGGUGGCUCGUCAGUUAAGCAUCAGACUUCGGCUCAGGUCAUUAUCUCCCAGUUCGUGGGUUCGAGCCCCUCAUCGGGCUCUGUGCUGACAGCUCAGAGCCUGGAGCCUGCUUCGGAUUCUGUGUCUCCCUCUUUCUCUGCCCCUCCCCCACUCACACUCUGUCUCUUGCUCUCAAAAAUAAAUAAAACGUUAAAAAAAAUAACAUAAAUAGUUAAACGUAAUUUUUUUUUUUUAAAUAAUCCAAACAUGUCCCAUCAGGCCAUGUCACAUUCUAGUAUCUUUCACUUAUGAGUCUUUUCUGCCAUUUUUCUCCCUUCCCACAAUAAUAAUCCCUUGGGGCUCUUCCAUCCAUGUACAUUCAACAGAUCAUUACUUUCAUGGGAAAUGGUCAGGUCAAGUGCAAAAAAAGUCUUCCUUUUUCACUUGGGAAUAUAUAUAUAAAAAAAGUCACAAGCACAUUUUUGCAAAGUGAUAAUGAAAAGCUUAAUUAACAGAAAAUAACAUAAAUCUACAAUGAAUUGGCUGCAUCCCAUAUUGAUGGCCAGCCAUAUCUAAAAGAAAAACAAAAACAAAAAAGGAACUCUACUCUCCUGUCAUCUUGAGGCUGACCUUUUGUGUCCAGGAGCCACAGUUGCACAGCUGUCAUAGGACUUGCCUGAAUGAGUGGCUCUGAGAGCCCUUUGGCACCUCUGCCUCAGAGUGUCUGCUCCACCCUUUUCUCCAUCUGUCAAAUGCAGCAGAUGCUGGAAGGCAUGCAGCAGGCCUUCUCUGAGGAGCUCUGGUGUUUUCUGCUUUUUUUUUUUUUUUUUAAGAUGUCUCCAGCCAGCUACUUAAAACUUAUGCUGAGAUGCUCUGUAAUUGUCAUCUGCUGAUAAUCUUUGCAGGAUAAUGUCACUGUUGGCUGCUUCUCUGGAUUUUUUUCCAAUAGUAGAGCAGUAUCGCCUUGCUAAUACGAGGAGGUAGGGAAGGGACUUCAUUUAUGUUGUGGGUGGUCAAACCAUCUUUUUCUCUUUUGUGUUUUAUUCUCUAGAUAGUGAAUUAUUUUUCCUGUUUCCGUCUGCACAAUGAUCAACUUGUAUUCCUUUUUCAUCCCAAAAUCCAAUGAAUAUUAUCUCCACCAGUGAGUUGUAAAAUUUUUGAAAUCAGGAACUAUGUUGCAUAUUUGUUGAAUAUCUUCACAUAGCAGUGUUAGGUAUUCUAUCAAUAUUUAGUGAGUGUUACAGGCUCAAUUCCUGUUUGCCCUGAAUGGUUUUCUGUCAAAUUAGUAACUGGGCAACAACUAUGUAAAAUCUAUUUAAAAAUGUCUUCUUUCAGGGGCACCUGAGUGGCUCAGUUGGUUAAGUGUCUGACUUUGGCUCAGGUCAUGAUCUCUCAGUUCAUGAGUUCGAUCCCUGUGUCAGGCUCUGUGCUGACAGCUCAGAGCCUGGAUCCUACUUCAGAUUCUGUGUCUCCCUGUCCCCUUCCCCACUAGUGCUUUGACACACACACACACUCUCUCUCUCUCUCUCUCUCUCAAAAAUAAAUAAACAUUAAAAAAGUUUUUUUUUUUUAAAUGUCUUCUUUCAGAACGUUAGAGACACUCAGAUUCAGGGACAGAGUGUAUGUAAAGGAGAAAAUAUCCUUGACAGAGAAAGAAUAUUUCUAGUCAUUUUUUUUAAAGGGGAGAAGUACUGAAGAGUCAUCUAAAGUGAAUGAAUUCUACUUACCUGAGUUAUUAUUAGAUACUCUUUAAAUCAGUCUUUGAAUGAAAAGUAUGUUUCUGGAAGCACAUGGUUAGCCAGAUGAUAACUAGAGUGAUUGAUUACUUACUCACUGGUUGUUGGCUUCCCUGGGCAGUUGUAGGAGGUCAGAGUCAGUGUGAAAGAGAGAGUGGGGAAAGUCCUUUCUAUUUAUAACUGUAAAGAUCUCAGGAGAUGAACUUUAGACAGAGGAGAUGUUCUUAUUCAGAAAAAGAAACUAAUACCUGAAGACUUUUAAAUAUUUGCUCAUAAUUUCAUAACAGGUGUAUGAGAAAGGAGGCUGGCCCCAGCAAAUCUUUUUCCCAAGGCAGUGUUUGCUCUCUUCUUCUGGACCCAGUGGUGAACAACUCCAUUGCCUCAAUUCUGCUGAGCAUUACUUGUGGACCAGUGUUUAUCAGGGUUUUAGCAAUAAUCGAGAAGUGUCUGAAGAGAGUCUGGGGCAGCAGGAAUAAUGAAAACCACUCAGAGGAGGAAAAGGCAAGCAAAUGGAAGAGCAGGAGGAGCAAAGAGGGAGGAGAAAAAAGGUACACAGAUGAAACUUUUAUUUAUCUAGAAUGGUUGGAAGUGUUUAUUUUGGUUAACUGCUACCCCUCAUCUCAUUCAUGGUAAAAAAAAAUUCUUAAAAAUAUAACACUAAAACUGAGCACAACUGAAUUUACUUUACUUGAUGGUUAAAGUCUCAUGAUUUUAAAUUAUUUUCUGAAUCUUCAAGAAAAAUCUGGUCCUACUGAGUCUGACUAGAUAGAUUUAGCUAUAUCCAUGUGUACCAAGGACAAUUAUUUCAGAUGCCAUUUGUUGUCAUGAAUUAUCUUGCUCUGCCCUGCUCUACUGAUUUCAAUUUAUUACUUCAACAGAAAAGAGAAAACAUUUCAGUGAAAGAGGAAGCAGGGAAAUUCCAAUGAAUCAGCAACAGUUAGAGUUCUAACCUGUCUUUGGGAUGGAGAAAAUGUUGUUGUUGACACAUCUUUUCCCUUUUCUUGACACAAAUUAGGUAACUCCCUGACUUCCUAUCUCUUCACGAAUUUGGUGGGGGUGUGAUGAGUGUCUAUGCAGUAUAUAAAGAUAUUCGUAACAAAGGUUUGUGAUGUAAAAAUGUCCCUUUCUCACAAUAGAUGGAAUGACUCAUGUUCUACAUAAUGUGCAGCUGUGUAUUUUGUUGUUGUAAAUCCUGGUGUGCUCAAUAAGCUGAAGUUCAGGUCUUCAUCAUGAAUCUUGAGCCCAACCCUCUGAUGAAUCAAAAGGAUCAAAUAGAAGCAGAGCUCCCAACCUUUACAUACGGGAGUUAUCCUGGAGCAGCUCAGUGGGUCUGUAUUAAAGCCACCACUUUAAUUAAAGAAGAUUGUUUCUUCCUCUCAAAAAUAAUGUUGGAAUUCUGAUAUAAGUGUAAGCCUCAAAGGGUUUUUUUUUUUAAUUUCUGCAUUUCUUGAAAGAUAUCCCAGAUAGAUGGAUGAUCACCUUACUUUUGACUAUUUAAAAAUAUACAUUCAACGUUCAUUCAGAAGUAUUGAUUGAUUUCUGGUUUCGGUAUUUAUGGUGAAAUAGCAUUAGGGGCAGAUAAGUGAAGGGAAUGCAACAUUGAAAGAAAAUCCUGUGUUGGGGCGCCUGGGUGGCUCAGUCAGUUGAGCUUCUGACUUUGGCUCACGUCACGAUCUCACGGUUGGUGAGUUCGAGCCCCGCAUCGGGCUCUGUGCUGACAGCUCGGAGCCUGGAGCGUGCUUCAGAUUCUGUGUCUCCCUCUCUCUCUGACCCUCCCCUGUUCAUGCUCUGUUUCUCUCUGUCUCAAAAAAUAAAUAAAUGUUAAAAAAAAAAAAAAAAAAAAAAAAAAAGAAAAUCCUGUGUUGAACUCCUGUUUGCCAGGAACUGUGACAGGCACUCUGUACACAGUGGUGAUUAAGCAGGCAGAAUUCAUUAUUCCUUCCUCUCCUCAGUGACAAAGUUAUCGUUGAACCCUAACAAAGUCGGCAUCAUUGCAACUGAGGCCUCUGUCUGUCUUAUGUUUUCUAGAAAACCUUAAUUUUACUACUUACUGAGCACUUACACCGAGGUAAGCACUUAUUUCUAGGUGUUUUCCAGACUUCAUUGCUUUCUUCUCACACCUGCAGUAGAAGUGUUUGUGGCCCACAAUUUGCCGGUGAGGAAACCAAGGAGAGAAUAAGUUAAAUGAUUGGCCCCAUGACACAGAGUGGCUGAACUGGGACUUUCACUGGUGUUUGUCUAAAUCCAUAGGUGUCUUCCUCCUCUCUCCCAGCCCUCUACUGACAAGCAUUGCCCUUGUGCCUUUCAGACUUAAAUUUUCUCUAAGGACCAGGCUUGCCAGAUCCCUUUCCUCACAGCUUAAUUUUUUUUUUUAUAAUUAACUUACAGUGUUAUAUUAGUUUCAGAUAUACAAUAUAAUGAUUCAGCAAUUCUAUACAUUAGUGCUCACCACGGUAAGUGUAGUCACCGUCUGUCACCAAACGUUAUUACAAUCUUAUUGACUAUAUUUCCUACCUUGUACUUUUCAUCCCUGUGAUUCAAUUCGUAACUGGAAGUUUACACCCUUUAAUUCCCUUUGUCUAUUUCACUCAUCCCUCCAUCCAUUUCCCCUCUGGCAACCACCAGUGUGUUCUCUUUAUUUAAGGGUCUGUUUGUUUGUUUUGUUUCUUAAAUUCUGUGAGUGGAAUCAUAGAGUAUUUGUCUUUCUCUGACUGACAUUUCAUUUAGCAUCAUGCUCUUGAGCUCCAUCUACAUUGUUACAAAUUACAAGAUCUCAUUCUUUCUUAUGGCUUAGUAAUAUUCCAUUGUACAUAUAUAUACCACCUGUUCUUUAUUUAUCUAUGGAUGGACACUUGGGUUACUUUCGUAUCUUGGGUAUUGUAAAUAGUGCUGCAAUAAAUAUAUGUGUGCAUAUAUCUUUUUGAAUUAGUGUUUUCAGGUGCGUGUGUGUGUGUGUGAGAGAGAGAGAGAGAGAGAGAGAGAGAGAGAAGGGAGGGAGGGAGGGAGGGAGAGAGAAUGAGAAUGAAUAUCCAGUAGUGGAAUCACUGGAUCACAGGGUAGUUCUAUUUUUAAUUUUUAAGCAACCUGUUUUCCAUAGUGGCUGUUUUCCAUAGUGGCUGCACCAAUUGGCAUUCCCACUAAUACUUAUGAGGGUUCUUUUUUUCUCCAUAUACUGCUGCCCUCCAAAUAAUUAUACUGUAAUAAUGCAAAGAAAGGUUUUGUAGUCCUGGGCCCACCCUGGUAAAAUCUGAAUUCUAUGAUCCUUAUAAAAAAUUUGCAGGUUAACUGUAUAUCUGAGAAACAGAAUAUAUGUAUAGCUACUAUAUUGGAUGUGUUAAUAGUUCUUGGUAUCCAAUGUCUGUUUUGAAGGAACUUAAUUAUAACUUCCACCAACAAUGAAUGAAAUGGCCAGAAUCAUUGCUUCUUUGCCAGAAUUGGGACUUAUUACUUUACUUUUUUUCUAUAUCAGCAAUACAUACCAGUCAUUUCUAAGGUGGGUUUCUCAAAUUAGGGACUUUUAAUUUGAAUUUCUGACAGACUACAUAGAUCCUAGACAUAAGAAAAUGAUUUUGCUGGAGAAGAGACAUCAGGUUGCUUUUCUGGAUUCAGUCUUUAGCUAUACAAUUUAAAUGUGGAGAUCCUCAUUAAGAAAUGAAAACAACAUUUAAAGGAAAAUGCAUGCUAAGAAGAAGGGCUAAUCCUUUCUAGUUAGGAGAAAAGAAGGCUGGGGUAUAACAGAUGAUAAGGCUUUUUUAAGGCAUUUGAUACUGGCUUAUUGGAUGAGUUUAGUGAAUUUAAUAAUCAAUGAAUUUAUGUUAUUAAAGAUCAAACUUAAAAAUGUUUUAGGUAAAAAUAGGUAAGACCAAGUGAAUUUUGUUUUGCAUGGAACACAUUAACAUCAUUAUGUCUGGCCACUUUGUUUUCAAUGGAAAAGUUAUAGUACAAUAAACAUUUCAAAUCCCUAUGCAUUUUAAAGGGAAAAUUAAUCCAUAUGCUUUAAAUUUGAUUUGCCCUUAAAUCAUUACAAUGUUGCAUGGUAAAGACUACUUGAUGUCGAAAGAAGCUUCUGGGUUUUUUUUAAACAAUCAUUUCUAGUCAGUUUUUACUAAGAGUAAAAUGAAUUAGAGAACCAGAAGGCUUUACAAAGCAGAGCCAAGCUGUUAGAGCGGGUUCUACAUUUGGUGUCGUAAGCCCUUUCAUUUUUAUCAUGACACAUCUCCGAAAAUAAAAAUGAAAAUAGAAGAUAUUUAAAACAUGGAUAGCACAAAGGUAGCAAAGGAGUCCGUUUCUGAAGCCAAUAUUUUCAUCAUGUCGUCAGUUAUUAAUAAAAACAGUGCAUCUCUUCAUUCUUUCUCUACUCUCCCAGAGAACAAUUCUAUUUGUGAGAAGGCUGGUUGAGCUCAGGUUCAUACGAGCAGGAUAUGUCCCUGCUGCCAAGGGAGACUUGUACCUGGCAGGGGAGACAAACCUGGGCCAACACGUAAUGAGUGAGUAUAGUAUGUGCUCAAGUGUUGUAUCAGAGCUUCAGAGAGGGCUGGGAUAUGGACAAAGAAAAGCUGAAUUCAGUAGAGAGCAGAUUGGGGGAAAGUUUGAUGAAAGAGGUAAAAGCAUUAGGAUCUUAUCAACUUGAGCAGCUUAGCUAAAACAACCACAAACAUGGUUUUACUGUUUACUAGGUGAACCAGGAACGUGUUGUAGUAUGGACUGUAAGUUUGGGCUUCUGCCUGGAACAGACCAUGGACUGAAGAGCCUUGCUUCUGGCAGGUGAUAAGAGGGAUUUGGGACAAGCAAAGUAGAGACAAAGGGGAGAUAAGAGCAUGAUCAUGGCAGAUUUCUUUUACUUUGUGAUUUUACUUCUUUAAUAAAGAAGAAUAUCUCUGUGCUUUUGUUCCAGUCCUUUUGCCACCAGUAAUGGUUCACCCCACAGCCCUCCUGGAAUCCUCUUCGACCCAUUUCUUUCAGGCUGGGUUCAAAGACUGCCUCUUCUGUGAAGGCAUCUCUUACCCUCCAGGCAGAAUUUUCUAUCCUUUUCUCAGGGGUUUUAAUAGCACUGUAGAUUUUUAAAAACAAGAUUGAAAGCACCCAAAUCUUGGAAUUAUUCCAAAAAUUUAAAAAAAUCAACAUAUGAUUUUGUUUUCAAAUAUGGCAUUAUAAUAACUGAAGACUCAUCAUGCUAGGAUUGCCAGCACACAAUGGUGGUGGUCCCAGGGGUUGUCAUAACCGCUUGGUGAUAGGAGUCCAAACCCUAUCAGUAUGGAGACAGUGGGGAAAUCUCAGCCAAAGCCUUGGCAGUCUCCCUGCUGAUGAAUGGGUUAGGAAGAUUCUAGGUCAUUCUUAAUCAUAAUGCUUCUUUGGAAUUAACAUGUCUGAAUUCAUUAAUCCAGAGCAGGUUAACUCCUGCCAUUAAAAACCAUCUUCUUUGGUAUUUUAGUUCAACUUUUAUUCUGUCAUAACACUCAUCACAUUGCUUAAAGUGAGGUCCAGAAGACUUGCACCUUCUAUAUGUUUAACUUAUGCAAUCUGACCUAUAAACCAAAGACAAAGAGGGUAGGUGCUGAGAAGAAAGCAAGGAGAGAUCGCUAGAUCAAAAAACCAAGAAAGUGAGAAAGCAAGAAAAAAAGGAGACCAGUCUAUAGAAAAAGCAUGCAUUUAUUGAAAAAGGAGUGCGCUUAAGCUGGGAUACAUAAGUCUCAUGCUUUGUUUGCUGAUCUCAGUUUCUCAAGUUUCCAUUAGUGGAUAUCUCUCCAUGCUGAAGAAGAAUCUAGUGUUUAAAUAUUUUACUUUUUCACAUGAUCUGAACCUGAAUGCAAGACAACUAAGUAUUUCACCGGGGACCCAAUCAAAGAAUGAUCACUUCUAACACUGGAAGAAAAUCCAGCCCUUUCUUAAAGGAUUUUCAAGUGAAAUCUUGCAUAAAGUUUAUUCCAAUUUUGUCCCUGAGAGCUGACUCUAAGAAUACAACCCUCGGUUAAACACAGUUCCACUCCAUUGAGGUACCUCAAUGAGCACUUCAAAGGCCAGGACGAGGCCUGGUUUUUAGUCAUUUCUGUGUUCCGUGCCCCUAGUAUAAAGAAGUGCUUAAUAAACAGUGGCUGUACCCAAAUCAGUCUUUCUGCAGCUUCAGAACAGCCCUUCCCCCACCCACUCUCCUCUUAGCAUAUGAUAGAUAUCGACCCAAAUUACUUCUAUUUGUGCAUUGUACCCUGCACUCUCUGAGUGGGCAAUUUGUUCUCUUUAGACUCAUCCACAGGAAAUGGAUAACCUCUUUCAUCCAGUGUCUUCUGUGUGUGUGGCGGGGCAUGCUGCUUGCUUUGACCACACCUUCUGCUCCUCUCUUGUCCGAUGUAAACGAAUGCUGAGCUACUCUAGAAAGAGGUAAUGCCUUUCCUUCCAAAUGGCUGAGAGGACAGAUGAACAACAAGGCAGGAGGGUGCAUUUGGAAGGACCUGGAGCCUUUCCUGUCAACCCCUCCUGGAUCUCAGCUGAAACCAAACUGUUGUCUGGGGCACAGAAAAGGUUAAUAGGCUUUCUCCUCAUCCGCCCUUCCCCUGUCACAGUGAGGUGGCUGUUGCUGUGGGGGCAGGCGCAGCCUGGGAGAGCUUCUGUGCUCUUGCUUAAUUGUUCCGAAGCUAAAAACAGACCUGGAACAGUGAGAAGCAAAUUGCUUCCUGGGUGCAUGUUCAGUGGAGCACUGCUUAACUCACUCCAAGCCUUCCCCCACUUGUUUUUGAAAUGAGGUGGGGCUGAAGUAAUUAAGUAAAUAAAUGAAACCACAGAAAAUCGAGAGCAGAGAAAACUGCUGCUUCUCACUAUUCAAAUUAUUUUCAGGCAGCUCAUUUACUAAAUGCUGGGCAGCCUUUCCCUUUUUAGCCUCCUCCCCUCUUUAUCAGCUCAGCCCCUGGGCAGUAGGGUGUGGGGCCCUCAGUCCCAGGAUUUCCAAAUGGGUGAUUCUGGGUCCAGCGGGUUUGUAGAGUCUCAGCCCUCCAGGGCCUCCCAUCUCUCUGCCCAUAGCCACUGAGAUCACCCCAAGCCUGGGGUUGUCACAGGGACUCAGCGGCUCGAGGAAAACAAACAUGUCCCCUGGAUGGGUCUAUAGCUGCCAUGGUAGGAGACUCUUUGGCCUAGCCGCAUCUGUCAGAGAUUAUUUUCCAAAAGCCCACGUGAUCCCAAAGGUUCCUGCUACAGUAUUAAUGGCAGUCUCUGUACAUCCCAUGUUUGAGAACCGUACUUGGUGUAUAAUGUACCUUGAUGGCAGUGGCUCAAGUUGUCAGAUCCUGUAAAAGUCAGAGAAAGAACAGCAUAAUACUUAUUGCCUGAAUGGUUUUGAAACCGGAAAUGUUUCUGGCAUAAAAGGAGCUAAAGUUGAUGCUAACAAUCAAAAUCAUAACAAAUCUGGGUUACUAAAACCAAUAUUGUGUUAAAAAAAUAAGCCACAUGAACCCAGAUGACAGAUUUUAAGAAGACUAGGUGAUUCUAAGUGACAUCAAGAAGAGCUAUUUAACUGUGAAUUAGCAUGACGGUAGGGGGCGUGGGUUGUUUAUUUCCUCUCUGUCCUGUCUAUAUGAUAUUUGGGGAUAAACCCCUUUUGUUUAUGAAGGGGGAAAACAGGUUCAAUGUAUAUGGAAAAUUCAGAUGAUGGUCAUACAUGUAUAAGUAAAUAUAUCCCUAUUAAUUUCAUUGGAAAGCAUUAUCUCCAUAGGAAAUGAAACAGAAGCUUUGGGUUCUGUUAGGCAUUAGAUCUUGAUGAAAUUUUUCAUUAAUUCAGUCUUCUAUUUUUUGUAUUGGUUUUCAUGUGUCUGUAAGAAACUACCACCAAACAAAUAGUCUUACACCAGAACCCAGCACCUGGUUUCAUGCGUGUUUAUCACACAGGGUAAGAAACUGAUAGCUACAGGAACUCUGUAGGAUUGAAUAAAAGAGGCCACCCCAGACCCCAGUGUACCAAUAAAACAGUAAGGAGCAUUCCAAUUUGGUUUGAAACAUAUAUUCUAUUUAGGGGCACCUGAUUGGCUCAGUCAGAGAGCAUGCAACUCUUCAUCUCCAGGUUAUGAGUUAGAGCCCCACAUUGGGUAUAGCAAUUACUUAAAUUAAACAAAAGAAAGACCCAAAAAACCUUUAAAAGUCCAUAUAUUCUGUUUACAUAGACAAGAAUUCCCUCACAACUUAGAAGGAGGAGAUGUAUUUUGGCGGGUGGCGGGGAGGGGNNNNNNNNNNNNNNNNNNNNNNNNNNNNNNNNNNNNNNNNNNNNNNNNNNNNNCCCCCCCCCCAGUGUAAAUAUUCCUCCUAUGUGUUGUUGUUUUCUUAGAUGCCAGGAAUAAGGAUGUAAAAGUCUCCCCAGGGCUGUUCUACUUGAUAGAGCCGACACAAAAUGAAGAAAGGAGAAGAAAAAAUCCAUUAUGAAAAAAAAGAUCCCCCUGCUCCUCAGCAAUCAGACCUUAAAAUUCAGUAGAAAGAUAGGAUACAGUGAAAACUCACACUAAAUUCUUGAGUGCUAACAAUGUCAAAGAAUAAUUUUCAAAAAGUGAAAACAUGAAUUUCAGACAAAUACAGAAUGAACACAUGCCAAAGAUAUUAUCUGACUCAUUUAUUAAUGAGGAAGUCAGUAAACCAUAAAGCUGGUUCAAAGAACAUUUGAGGGGCAGGGUGUUUAUAGGUAAUUUAAUAAAAGAAUGUUAAUUAGAUUGCUAAAUUCGAAACAAACUCAUUAAUGUCCAAUAGUACAAUAAACUAUAACAUUUGGGGUUAUUUUUUCACUGGGACAGAAAAUAUUAUGUAUUAGACACAGGUCUGUAAGAUAACAUGUAACUUCAAAGAACCUGAGCCUUUGAUUUAUAUAUUUCUUUAAGAAAAUAAAAAAAAAAUGUUUAAUGUUUAGUUAAAACAUUCACUAAUGUUAAAAGGGGGAGCAAGAGAGAGAGAACAUGGGAGGGGCAGAGACAGAGGAAGACACAGAAUCCGAAGCAGGCUCCAGGCUCUGAGCUCUCAGCACAGGGCUCGAUGUGGGGCUGGAACCCAUGAACUGUGAGAUCAUGAUCUGAGCUGAAAUCAGACACUUAAUGGGCCGAGCCACCCAGGUGCCCCUUUUGACUUAUAUUUUAAAUAGCAAAGUCAAGCAAUAGUAGAUUGUUUUAGAAAAUUAAGCAAUCCUCGAGCAGGCCUGUUGAACACUAUUUCAGUGUGACGUUGAAACAAUACACACUCAUCCUUUGGUUCUUGUUUACAAGUUAUGGGUAACCUUUCCUAACAAGUGACAUAAGGAAGGGAGCCUGGGUGGCUCAGUUGGGUGGGUGUCUGACUCCGGCUCAGGUCAUAAUCUCACAGUUUGCAGAUUCAAGCCCCAUGUUGGGCUCUGUGCUGACAGCUCAGAGCCUGGAGCCUGCUUUGGAUUCUGUGUCUCCCUCUCUCUCUGUCCUUCCCCAGCUCACACUCUGUCUCUCUCUCUCUCAAAAAUAAAUAAACAUUAAAAAAAGUUAAAAAGAAAAACAAGUGACAUAAGGAAUCCUGAAUUUACCACCUAAUCAUCUGCUACAUUUUUUUGACAGCAUGGUGCUUGGAAAAAAUGAAAUUUUAAUCAAGUCUCUGUCAACCUUUUGUCACUUCCUUGGUUCUUUCAAUAUUGGUACUUGGAGCUUGUGUACUUUGCAGCUUAUGAAUUAGGCUCACUGAUUGUUUCAUCUCUUAGCAGCCCAGCUUGUUGAGCAGGAAGGGUGGCAGUGACAGUGAGAACUUGUUCUACGACACACAAGGAUAUUGUGAUGCUAGCUACAGUAACUCCCCUCAAUUUCCUCUCUCUCUCUCUCACACCCAACAUAACACAACACAGCACACCACAUCACACCACGAUACACCCAAAGGGAAUGAUGAGUGUAGAUAAUUUUAUGAGGAACAAGAAAGUGCAAUUCUCCAGUGGAAGCUAAUCUUCCUUUGGGUUUCUUAAUCAGCUAAGCAAUAGAACUGCAGACUCUUUACGUUGGUCUGGACCUUAGAGGUUAACUAUUCCCAUUUCCCUCUCAAAGAAGAAGUCCCCAGAACAGUGUGUGAUCUUUGUAAAAUGCAAAUUUAAUCGUGUCACUCUUAUGUUAACAUCAGUCAAUGGCUCUCCAUUGCCCUCAAGAUAAAGUCCAAAUUCCCUCACAUACCUUAUAAGGUCUGGCCCCUCUUCUCUCUUUCCACCCUCAAAUCUCUUCACUCUUUUCCCCUUGCACGUCCCCCUUCUUGCUAUGUGGGUUUAGUUUUUCAAAUGUGUCUUGUUCUCAUUAGCUUCUGUGCAUAGGCUGUGUCUUCUCUUUGGGUGGUUCGUAGUCUUCAGGGCCCCUCUACAGCGGAUCCUGUGAACUCCACCCAAAGGUCCUUGUUUGCCCCUUAACUUAAUAUUCAGUACCUUUUAUCCUUGAGCUGAAACUCUGUGAAAGCGCAGCAGAGUGCUGGCAGAUCAGGUGAUCAUGGGAAUGACAGAACGUAGCACACUGAGAUUUUGGUCAGCACCUGACAAAGUUGCUCAUGGCAUCUUUGAGGAAAAUGUGGAGGGAUGCAGGUUGCAUAGUGCUGAGUGAGAUUUGGAACUGGUUGAACACAGAACCUCAAAGGGGCAUGAAUGAGAGGUCAGUAGCAUGCUUGAGGGAAGUCUUUCUCACUGUCACUUUCCAGGCCAUUAUUUUCAUAAAUAUUUUGGAGGUAGACUUCACUGGCAGGCUGAUGAAAUUCUCAAACGGAUUCAAGUUGGAGAAAGUAUUUUAGAUGUAGAUUAGUUGACAAAAUGAUCUUGACAUGUUGAAAUAAUGGAUUAUGUCCAACCAGAUAAAUUUCAAGUGGGUAAUCAUAAUGAAGCAACACGAUGAUAGGAAAGGGUGGGAAUGAUUUGGAACACAUACUUGGUAAGCCAGUAAGUUUUGCAUGAGUCCCCAGAGUGACAUGACUUCCCCCCCCAAAAAAAAAGGUAGUCCCUUGGCUGAAUUGAUUGAUGGAAGUGUUAGUAUUUAUAUCAAUGAGGGUUUUAGUGUCAUUUUUUUUCUCUGACUUUGCUUAAUUUAGAGAUGGGAAUCUGUUUGGAUUCAGGUAUUAUAUCUCAGAAUGUUGGCAAACUGGGAUGUGUCCAGAAGAACACACACAAGAUAGAGAGGUGACUGAAGCUUUGUGUGGGGCGGGUUGGUGGAAGACAUCUGCAUUAUUUAGCUUGGAAACAAGAAUGCGAGUAUAAUAACUGUUUUCAAAUACUUGGAGGCUAGCGCAUGGAUGAAAGAUUUAUUUUAUUUGGUGUGGAUCCACAGACAGAACUAGGACCAAUGAGGGAAAGUAGUAGUUAGGAAAAGCCGCUUAAAAUAGCUCCCUUCUGACGGAGAGAGCGGCACAAAACCAAGCUGCCUCAGGAAGCUGGGAGUUCUUGGUCACUGACAAUAUUCAGAGGCCAGACAACCAGUAACUCGGUAGAAAUGUAGAAGGCGCCUGUAUUAAGGAGAGGGUGUUGGAAUAUCACUCUUUAAUGUUCUUUCAACUUCAACAUGAUUGUCUCUUUAUUAAGAACUGUAUUUUACAUAAUACAUAAACUUAAAUAUGUAUAAGGAGCAACUUUCUCAGUAGCUCCUUAUGUAACUGGUGUGGUCUAAUGGGAAAAGCCCAAGUUCUGAGAACAAAUUGGCAUGACACCAUCUGGCUUGUCUCAUCUUGGGCGAAUCGCUUAAUUUCUCUGAAUCCCUAUUUUGCAAACUGAAAUAGGACUAAUACUUGUGGUUGAGAUAAAGCAACAGAAAAACAUAAAUAUACACGAAAACUAUAAAUAAUACCAUGGACUAAGCUAAGUGAAGUUGCCUGGACAAGGAGGGUCACGGAAGUCCGAUGAAGGCUGGAUCACUGUGAGCUGGGUAGUAACAGUUAAGAAUUCUCAGUGUUUGCUAUAUGCCGGGUACUGUUCAUUAUCUCAGUUUGUCUUUGCCAGAAGCCCAUGAGAAAAGCUACCCACAGAGGAGGUAAGUGACUUCCAAGAGGCCAUGGCUCUAGCAAAACCAGGAGACGAACCCAGGUGGUCUGGCUACAGAGACUGCCCACUGAUUUCUUUCCUGACCAUGAAGAAGGCAUCACAGAUGAGCAGUGUUGGACUCACAGUGUGGUCGCAGUUGAGGCCAAAACUAAUCCUGCAGGGGGUUCUGGAGCUUGGAGGGCCUGUCAGAAUUGUCCCAAAUUUGGACAGGGAGGCUGGGCCUUUGUUUCUCCACAUCAACCCAAGCUUACACCUAGGUUCCACCAAUAGCUGAUGACAGAUGUGUACCGGAGGGCAAAUCCUGGUGAGGAAAGCAGCUGGGAGGGUCCACAGCUAACCUCCCCAGCAUCUGGGGCAUGGGUGCAUGAAUGAAGAGGAGAUCUGAACAGAGAGUCCAUUACACCUGGGCACAGAAUCUACUACACCUGGCACAGACCAGGCAUGACAACAGCGAUCAGGUGAUGAUGACUAUCGUGUGCUGAGGAUGUCUGGUGUGGCAGACUGUUCUAAGCACCUUAAUCACACAAACUAAUUUAAGAAGUUUUUAUUUAUCUUUGAGCUAAAGAAUGGAAAUACAAAGAGGUUUAAUAACCAGGGAAAGAUAAUUUAGCCACGAAGUGGCAAAUAGAGAUUUUUUUUCCAAGACCUUUUUAGAAAUGAAUAUCCAGCAAAAUAUGCUCUUUGUGGUGUGCAUUUGUAUGGGUUUUUACAAAUGGCAGGUAGAUACAGAGCAGUUCUGUUACCUGCCAGGGCCCCAUUUUAGUCAACCCCUUUCUGCCCCCAGGCCCACUGACUACUGGUAUCUUUUUUGUCCUUUAAUUAUAUUUUUUCCCCCAGAAUGUCAUAUAAAUGAAAGCAUACAUCAUGCAGUUUUUGAAACUCACUUCCUUCACUUAUCCUAAUUAGUGCAUCUGAGCUUCACACAGGCUGUCAUGUGAAUCAGUGCAGAAUUGGAUUUGGAACUCGGGCUCCCUGAUGCCAGAGUCCAUGCGCUAAAACCUCUGUGCUCUACACACUCCCUGUGUCAAGACAGCUGGGCAGACCUGUGGUAUUGCCCCUUCUGUGGCCAUAGCUAUUAUUGGGUUCCUAACAAUCCUUGGUAAAUUCUAUUGGAACUUGCUCUGGGUUAUUCAUUUGUUACAAAUGAAGGGUUUAUGUAAUAUGUAAACCCCUGCCCCAGGACCAUGAAUGAUCACCCCACCUCUUAGCUACUUCUGUGACUUCUUUGGGAGGAGGGGCAGAAUGUACCUUCUCUAGAACUGUUAGUUCUUUUACUGCAGAAACCAUGACUUUGGGUACCACCUUGGGGCUCUCUUGCCUAUAUUUUUUUAAGCGCUUUUACAUUAUAGUGGACUCUGGGCUUUUAUGUGAGCUACACUAUGUCUGAAGCACAUGGUGCAAAGCCAGGAAAUCUCAGAGCCUCUUCUGCUCUGAGAUUCCCCCUCUCUCACCUAUUACAUCUGGUACGGACACAAAACUAUGGUCGUCCUGUUUCAGUCCAGAGAGGGGGCAGUGUGCCAGGCCACUCUUCAGGUCCUCACAGCAUGCCAGACCUUCAGACAUAGUUCUUAUCCAAAUGGUGGGAAAACUGCUUUUUGGGCAUCCAGUUCUCACUUUGAGGUUUCCUGCUCUAUGAGUGCUUUGUCCUCCAGGCUUUAGCUUUUGAUAAUCAAAGCCCAAUCUUCAGAAUCUCUAAAAGUCCCUCCCUCCCCACCUCAAGGGUCUGCCUCUGCUGGUUCAUGAAUCAGUUUUGGAAAUACAAAGCCAAAAAUGUACUCUCUUUCCCUUAGCCCCAGCAUCACUUACUCCCUAUAGGAUUGUUGAGAAUGGAAAAAUGCAUUGCCAUUAUUUUGGUUAGCAGAGGACAUGGUAAGGUUAGCAUUGGAGUUAGGGUGCAGGGGGGGCAGUGUGAGGGUUAUUGUGGCUUGUGGAACUUGACAAAUCUCCUUCUGUGUCAUGACACAGCCUGAUUCUCCCUGAUGACCUCACUUUCUAUCAGUGUGUACUAACGUCUUUCAUUAUGUGAUAAGUUCUUAAAUACGCCAUCUUGCAUCAAGAAGGAAGAUGACCGAGGGUUACUUCAGGGUGCUCAUUCUUUGCUUUUAUCCUUAGCGAAUAUCAGGACCACAUCUGUCUUGUUCAGAAUUUUGUCUUCCAAACCUAGCAUAGCGAGUCACGUGGUAGGUACUCCAGAAAUAUUUAUGGUAUGAAUAUUUGUGCAUGGUAGGAAUGACAAUUAGGAUUGGUUUUGGGAAAAAAACUAUAUCCAGUACAAUUGAGGUAGUGAUGCUAUAGUAAACUUGGAAGGAAGGGUACUGCUGGAUUAGGAAAAGAGAAGGGGAGAGGAGGACAAAAUUUUUACUUUGGCUCAUUUUUUAAAUCCCAGAGGGCCCAAAGAGUAUUAUUAACUUGUUUUUCCUUGAGGCUGGGGAGUCUCUAGAGUGUGAUGGCUAGAACGGAGGUACUGCCUUCCCUUCUCAGCCCUUCGUCCACAGGAUACAAAGUUCUGGUGAAUCUAUGGGUCAUGAGCAGAAGCCUUCUGAGCUAGCAUCAGCAGUGCUCAUCUACUGUCAAAUUGGAGGCCAGAUGGAGCUUUGUAGAACAGCAUUCCUCAGGCCAAGGGACCAGCUUCCCUGGGUGAGCCUCCUUCAAGGAGACCCCCACACCUGAGCAGGUGUCACCUGAAGUCAGGGAGAGAGGCACAGAAGAGGAAACAAUUCCAAAUAAGGACUUUGUUUCCCCCAAAUGAGUUUGUUUCUCCUAUUGAUUUUCCCAUUUAUUUUCUAUCCUUUUAAAAGCAGUAAUAAUCAUGGAGCUGAAAUGUCUGGUCAAUUUCAAAUUAGUUACAUGGCAUCUAUUUACACUCCUUUCUACAUGAGAGGAAUACAGGAAUUCAGAGCAAAUUAUUUUAAAUGCUAUAGUACUCUGUCUUACAUUGUCUCUAUACUUCUUCACUUUUGGAAUGACUUAUUGGCUAUAGUAUCUUAACAAUCCCAUGUCAGAUUUUGUAGUUCUCUUACAAAAAGACAUCUUUUGUAAUGGAUUUUCCCUCAGGAGAUAAUAGGGCAUAAGUCACCGGUCAGUGCCAGAUUGAGCAAAAAGUCUAAAUUCAGCCUAGUUUUUAAAUGUUUUACAUACUUGAGAUAUUUAAAUAUAUUUUUAAAAAUUUUUGAUGACAAGCAGAGAUACUUCACAAUCUGUCAUUUUUAUUUAUUUACAGCAAGGUUGUUGAAAUUAAUCCUUUUUCUUUCUGUUUAUGAUUGUGUGGGAAAAAUGUGUUACUCCUUAAGAUUGUUGGAGCUUAAAAUAUUAGCUUGAAACUUUGCAUAUUGAUGAGUUGCAAUAUUUUGGCAAAAACCUUUUUGGGUAUUAAGCAACCCAAAAUUCAAGAAAGUAUGGUUAAAAAUAUUUCCUCAUUACAAUAAAAUGUGGAUGUGAAGUUAAUGAUAUUCUAAUUUGGUACUUAAUUUGAUAGAAAACGCAUAUUCAAACCUUCUGAAAAAUAUUUAUUGAACACUUUCCAUGAACAAGGCUAAAUUCUGUAGAGAAUAAAACAAUGAAACAGAUCCAUUUCCUGCCUUCGAGGUACAAUUUAAAGGGAGAUGAAACAAAAAGUUAACUCCAAUCAAAAGCUGGGUGGGAAGUGACAGAUGCUCUAAAGAAUUUGGAAAAGGCGUGUACUACUUCUCACAAAGGGUGAAAGAACAAUUUGACAGGUGUUGGUGGCUUUUUGAGUUAUUUCUGGAAGGAUGAUCUAUAAAGGGAAAUCCUUCUAGAUAGAACAGUAUGUAAAUAUAUGUAAUUUAUAAACAUAGGGGUGUAUUUAUCCCUUGCAAUUAGUGUGUUUGUAUUUUGGGGGUAAAUACCUAGUAGUGCGGUUGCUGGAUUGUAGGGUAGUUCUAGUUUUAACUUUUUGAGGAACCUUUCCAUACUGUUUUCCAGAGUGGCUGCACCAGUCUGCAUUUCUGCUGACAGUGCACAAGGGUGCCUUUUUCUCUGUAUCCUUGUCAACACUUGUUGCUUCUUAUGUUUUUUAUUUUAGUCAUUUUCACAGGUGUGAGGUGAUAGCUCAUUGCAAUUUUGUCUUGUGUUUCCCUGAUGAUGAGUGAUGUUGAGCAUCUUUUCAUGUGCCUGUUGGCCAUCUGGAUGUCUUCUUUGGAGAAAUGUCUGUUCAUGUCUUCUGCCCAUUUUAAAUGGGAUUAUUUGUUUUUUGGCUGUUGAGUUUGAUAAGUUCUUUAUAUAUUUUGGAUACCAACUCUUGGAUAAAGAAUAUGUGGUAUAUAUACACAACGAAAUAUUAUUUAGCCUUAAAAGGAAUGAAAUCUUGCCACUUGCAAUGACAUGGAUGGAGCUACAGAAUAUAAUGUGAAAUAAGUCAGAGAAAACAAAUACCAUAUGAUUUCAUUCUUAUGUGGAAUUUAAGAAACAAACAAACAAAAAUGAGCAAAGAAAAAAGAUGAACCAAGAAAAACAGACUCUUAGCUAUAGAGAACAAACUGAUGGUUACCAAGGGGAUGUGUUGGGGGGAUGGGUGAAAUAUGUGAAGGGGAUUAAGGAGUGCGCUCGUCGUGAUGAGCACUGGGUAUUGUAUGGAAGUGUUGAAUUACUAUAUUGUACACCUGAAACUAAUAUAGCAUUAUAUAUUAAUUAUACUGGAAUUAAAAAAAAACCCAAAUGUAAUUUGGAGACGAUUUGUACUUCAUUUAUAUAUGGAAUAAAAAAAAAUUUUAAUCUUGGCCUAGGGAUUUAGCCAAAGUUAAAUCCAUUCUAUUCACAAAAUCCUCUGGGAUAUUAUGUCCUAUUCUGGCCUGAGGGUAUUUAUGCUUACUGUUUCUUCUGCCUAGAAUGCUCUCUCCGAAUAUCUGCAUGGUUUGCUCCCUUACAACCUUUAGAUCUCAGUUAGAACUGUGACCACACUGUUGAAAUUUUAGAUGCCACUCCUGUCCUUCUUCCCGCUUUAUCUUUAUACUAUAUAUUAUUAUUUAUUUUAUUUGUCUGUUGCCCCUCCCUAAACGUAUGCUCAGGAAGAGUUUUGUUUGUUUGUUUGUAAUGUUUUAUAUCCCCAAAUCCUGCAUUGUAGGCAUUCACAAGAUAUUUGUGGCAUGGUGGAGUGAAGGAACAAAUAUGGAGAAACAAAGUGGUUCCAAACAGUUUAAAAUACAGCUGACCCUUGAACAACAAGGGAGUUAGGGAUAUCAAUUCCUUCUGCAGUCAAAAUUCUGUGUAUAACUUUUGACUCCCUCAAAACUUAGCUAAUAGCCUACUCUUGACCAGAAUCAUUACUGAUAAAAUAAACAGUUAACACAAUUUAUAUGUAAUAUACUGUACUCUUACAAUAAAGUAGUCUACAGAAAAGAAAAUGCUAUUAAAAAAUCACAAGGAAGAGAGCAUACAUUUACAGUACUGUACCAUAUUUAUCGUAAAUAAUCUUUAUGUAAAUGGACCCGAGUUCAAACCUGUAUUGUUUAAGGGUCAACUAUAAUUAUUUUAGAUCCUAACACAGCUCUAAACUGAAUGUGCAUGUUCUUUCCUGGUGGCAGUCCUCUUUUGUGUGAUGUAAAUCAGCAUAUGAUGGCUACUAUGAUCACUUGUGUAACCUUGGGCAAGUCACCUGACCACUUUGUGCCUCCAUUUCCUCAUCUAUAAAAUAGGACAUAUAAAAUAGGACAGUAAAAUGGGACAGGGAAGUCCCUACCUCAUAGGAUUAUUGUAAAUAUUAAGUGAGUUAAUAGAUUUAUAUGCACCUGACAUAUAGCAAUUGUUUCAUAAGUGCUUACUAGAAUUAUUUACUUUCCUUUUAUAGGCUUGAGUUUGGCUUUUCCGUUCAAUGUGUCUUUAAAGACUUGGAGGACAUUUCUCAGACCCUUUGCACUUUUCUCAGACUUGUAUAAGUUGAGUUUCACUAUCUCCUUCUACACUGACUGUCGCUCUGCCUCCUAUGUCAGACCCUUCCUCAGUGCUGGUCUUCAAACCUCCAUAUUUUCAGCACCUCAUUCUGGUCACCAUUUACAGAUGACCUUUUGUUUCCUUAACUUUCAUCUUCUAUUGUGCCUCUAGUUUCAGCCAUGGAGUAUGUGCUCAGCCAUCAUAUCUGUUCAUCAUUAUCUUAAUUGGCUUUGGUAUCUCCCCUGGCAUUCCUAUUCCAAGGCAUAAUUCAUUCCUUCUGUUUUUCACUGCACCACAUAGAAGUGCAUGCUCUGAAUUUCGUCAUUCUGCAAUAUGCAGUCAUAGCUGUAUCAUUUUCUAUCCCUGACUGUGAAAUCCAUUCUACGUCUCUCAUGCAAAUAACAAACAAAAAGAAAGGCAAAAGUCUUUAUUAAAUGUUUUUAGUUGACAUCUUAUCCAUUUACAUUGAUGAUGAGAAAAUGCCAGUCUCUCCUUAUUGGAUCAGUUGCCUUUACCUCCCUACUUCCAUUUGCUCAGUUUAGACCUAAGAACCUAAUGGAACCCUGACGGUUUCUUUUAGGUGUUGGAACACACCGUUAUCAUGAAGUUUAGUUUGUUGAGUAUCCAUGUGCCCAGUGGCUCUUAAGCAACAGUCCAAACUUUGUCUCUUUCUUACCCCAGAUCUUUGAGGUCCAACAGAACAGGCGUACAGAGGCUCACCUUCUGGGUCAGAUCCUUCUGGUAUAGGGAGCUGGAUGCAUCUCUAUGGCUUCUCCAUCCCUGGAGCCAUUGAGGAGCUCCCAGUUGCCACACACAGUUUCUGUCCUCAGGUUGGUACCAAGAAGCUGCCUCCAGGGAAGAAGCAGUUCCUGGUUAGGUAGCAGAGACUCAUUUCGGUCAUUCAACAAAAUGGAGAAAAAUGUUAAACAAACCAGUAUUAUUUUUACAUAAAAGACUUUCCUUUGUGCUGUAAUGCAUUCUUGGAUUCAGCAACCAAAAGCAGAAAAGUGAAAAAUGGACUGUCUUUUCCUUCAUAGACUCUAUGUUCACUCCAUUGCUGACAGUAAGUUAAAAAUACUUGGCUGGUGAGAAAGGUGAGAAAUGGAUGAUUCAGUCCCUCCAAAUAAAGAAUCCGCUGCUGAAACGGAAGGCUGGUCAGAUCCAGAGUUGCGACGAGUUGUUUUUAGGUCCUUUCCUACUGGGCACAAUUCAAGGUGUGAGGAACAGGGGCUGCCUAUAUCUAGACAUAAAAACCUUUAUAAAAGUGACAAAAAUGUCAACAUGACAAUUUUGUAGAAAAAAAAUGUCAGCUCUUACUCCUAAUUAGAAGCACCAGGGAGAGCACAUAACAUAAGGGUUCUUGUUAUAAACCCGGACUCUGUUUACCUAACACUUUCCUCCUCAGUCACCUUGUCUCCUUUUAGAUGCCAUUGUAGGACCUGUUUACGACCCUGGCCUGCUUGCUCUCCCACAGCUGCCUUAUUUUUGGCUCCUCUUCCGUCAAGGUGCUAAUUGUGUUUAUGAAUACCUCCCAGCUAUUCUUAACACAUUGUUCCAAACAGCUCUCCUCCUGCUUUUCGAGAUGAAUUUUGACUUUUUUUUUUCUCCAGUGCUGACAGUUCAGGCUCCAAUGGAUUGAGGGCUCCCACUUUUGACCAUUCUAUUUUCUUGUGAUACCCACUUCCUUAAUUUUUCUUUUUUGCUAUAUACAACUUCCUUUUAAUUUUUUACAAUAAAAUUUUAUUUUAAAGUAGUUUUAGAAAGACACAGAACACAAUGAAAAAGAUAAUACAGUGAGUAUCCUGUAAAUUCAUUGCCCGGUUUCCCCUGUUAAUAGAAUCUGACAUUAGUAUGCUGUAUUUGAACUGGUGUGCAUACACUACUUUUAACUAAAGUCCAUACUUUAUUCGAAUUCCGUUAGCUUUUCUUAAUGUCCUCUUUACCUUCCACAGUCCCAUCUAGGAUACCACAUUAUAUUCAGUAGUCAUGUUUCCUUAGCUGCUUCUUGGCUGUGACAGUUUCUAAGACCUUGAUGGUGUUUGAAGAGCUUGACAGUUUUGGGGAGUAUUGGGAUGUUCUAGACUAUCGGGAUGUUCUAAACAGCUAAUUAUAAAGGUUUCUUCCAGAAACUCCCCCUUUUUUUCUUUUCUGUAAUCUCAAGACAUUUACAAAAAUAAUUUGUGCUUUGGAUACUGCUGAUAGAAAUACUUCCAAUUUGAGAAAACUGUCCAAGUUCACUGUAUAAAUGCACUACCCUCCACUCCACUUUGACAAUUUAGUUAAUUUUCAUCAUGUCCUCUAGGUACCAUCUUGAAUACUGGCACUUUAUCAAUAUGAAAUGGUGAUCAAUACAAGACACGGAGUAUUCUCAGUUGAGAACGUAUUGGCUAGAAACACAAAGGUAUCAAGGUAUAAUAAGAUGAUCUUUUAUCCUUACAGUUGGUUAGUCCAGUUUGAACUUUCUAGAUCUAGAAGAUAGAAUGUUAUGUCAGAAUACAAUGAAAAUCUAUUUCCAGAAAGCUUUUUGAAGACAAAUGGAUGUUUUGAACUCAUAAAUAUGUUGUUCAUCAUAGAUUUUUCUUUAUUAUAAUUUUCAAGUUCAUCUUGAGCCAGAAAUGCCAGUGUGACCCGGUGUGAUUGAGGUUCUGAAUUUUGACUUUGCCACACAUUCAACCAUUUGAAUCCUUUUGCCUGAGGAAGGAAUGGCUUGUUAUUAUUUGACUAAAAUGUUCCAUCUAUUAUAAUGGCCUUCACGUAUACUUCUCUAUUGAGUUACCAGCCACACGUGCCAUUCCAGUUAUUAGAAAUGGAGCUUAGAAAAAUCUAUAAUUACUGCCUAGACAAAAUAGCCUUUUAAGUGCUGUUCCACUGGUUGACUUGAAUCCAGGGUUCCUUAGAAACAAUUUCCACUUUGCUUAGUAGCAGUCACUGAAUGCUUUCUACAAGAGACGAAUUAGGUGAUGAGUAAGCACUCCUUCCAGAUUAUUCUUGUUUCAUCCUGGCUGCCUUAUGCUGAGUCUCUGUAGUAUGUCUGAUGUACGAUGUUUGAAAAGCCAGGCCAUUCUUCUGUGACACCAUAGAGGCUUCCCACUUUAUUUGCUGCUCUGGCCUGGUCCUUCCAAUGUUCAAAGAUGGUGCAUGGCACAUUUAACUGCUCUGUGGUCUUGCAGUUAUCAUUGAUUUAUUUCUCCAUGGCUCAUUUCACAAAGGAUUUGAAAGUGACAGGCUUCUAGUUGGCACUUUCUUUGGAGCCCAUCUAUGUAAAUGUAAUGCUGAUAUCUGAUUACCUAUUUAUGAAUCUAGCAGUGUGUGGUGGCUUAUAAGACUGUACAGCUGAUUGGGUGGUAUCAGAGGUAGCACUAGGAAAAAAGAAUAUUGCUUGCAAAGGGGCCUCAGGUGUGGGGUAAGAACUUUCAGCACAUGGGAGGCUGUCAAAGCCUAACACUUAAGGAAACAACCUUUAUGUUAGAGGUACACGUGCCUGCUCUCUUAGUCACAGAACCACUGGGGAGUCUUUGUGCUUGGAGACUGAUGUCCUGAGCUCUAGUUCUGGCUUGGCCUCCAACUGAUCUUGUAACUCAAUACAAGUCAAGGAAACCCUCUCAUUUGCAACUCAUUGUCUCAUUUGCAACUAAAUAAGUUGUACUAAGACCCUCUUAACUCUAAGGUUCUAUGAUCCUCUAGCAGAUUUUGGAAAAUGUUCACCAAAAUGCCUUAUUUGUCAAGUUAACAUAGAAUUAAAUAUUGUGGAUAUAAAAAAUUAAGAUAGGUUUUGAUCAUCUCUUUUUUACUAAAAACACAAGCAAGAUGGAAGAAUAAAUGCAUUGCUUCUGCAUAGAUUUAUUGACUGCAUGGUACUGAGAAGACAAUAGUGAAUCAGACACAGUCCUUGACCUCAAAUGUACUUAAAUUUAAAUAUGAAGCAUGUCAUUCUCUCUUCCCACGCCCCAGGUCCCCCUUCUCUUACUCUAUUUUAAAAGAAGCUCAUCACACCUCUGGUUGACUUUUUUCAAAAGCUCCAAUAUCAGGGUUGCAGAUGGAUAGGACAAAGACCCUUUAAGGGGCCAAAGUGAAUUCAAGAAACUUCCUAAAAGUGCCACUUCUAGUUUCAGCAUUGUCAGGUUUGGGGACGAUAAGUCAUUAUCCAACGAAUUUAGUACUCAUCUCUCUAGCUGUUAGCAUAUGUAGUGCCUUUUUACAGAUAUAAGGAAACAUGUCCCCUCCUGAAAAAUUGCAUAAAUGUGACCCCUCUGUGCACUAAUUAAGGAAAAGCCCCCUCCCCCCCACCUUCUUGAUUCAGCCCCUCACCAGGGCACCCCGUGUCCUGCCCAUUAGUAGAUGUCUGGCUGAACCAUACCCUGCUGCCUGUCUGCAAUCUUGCCAACAAAUUCGUGAGGCUUCUUGAGAGCAAUCCUUCUCUUCAAAAGUUCAUGAGGAAAGAAGAGGACUCUGGGAGUUGCUCUGCUAAGAGGACCAGGCUUUUAAGACAAUCUAUUUCUUCACGUUUAAAAUACAGAACCAUAUGUGUGAGCUGCCUGAGAGUUUGGGUGACAAGGCAUCCUAUUUUUGUCAGAUUUCUCUGGUUUUUGGUACUAUUUCCCCCUCACGGUGCCCUGAGAAGUCCUUCUGAGUGGCAAUAUGUCCCCUUUAAAAAAAAACAAACCACCCACGUAAGAUCACAGCGCUUGAAACGAUGUUUAGGAGGCCAGUUGCGGAUGGCUCUGUUGGAACUGAGCAAGUCUGAUUCUCCACUGCAUACGUUCUAAUUUAAUUGGCCUAAUGAGUUUAGGCUGAUAUGAUCAACUGAUCAAUCAGGUUUGAGUUAUGAGGUAUUGAAAAAUAGGAUUAGAGAAGAAAAAAGGCAAUUGGCAAAUUGACUACCGGACAGGGGAGCCUAGGAAGUCUUGAUUUAACAAUCGGAUACUUUUUAUUUUAUCCCCCCAUCCCUUGAAUGCUAAGCCAUAACAAAACCUACUUAGAUGUGUUUGCUUGCUCAUGUUUCACUGGAAUUCACUUUGCAGUCCCCCCUCUGUUUUGAUUCAAAAUGCUUUUCUUUCUCUCAAACACAAUAAGCCAGAAAUUCUGCCUUGUCUGAAACAUUCAAGAACCAGUGAAUACCUGCUAUCUAGAAAGGCGAAAUGCCUCUAUGGAAUUCUUGUUACCUUUAGACAUUGUUAAUAUAUUCUGUGAAAAAAAAUACAAAAGAAAACACGAGUUUUAGCACUGACAUGUAACAUUAGUUCCGCUUAAAUGUUAGACGCCCUGUUCCUAUUAUGUAGUGAAGUGGGUGAUUGGCCAAGGAGGGAAUUUUGGUGUGUGGAUUUUAUUUUUUUAAUCUAUUUUUGAGUGGCUAUUAAUGGGAAGUCCUUGGGUCAUCUCAGGCCAGUAACUGAAACUGCUUGAAACAGACCUUCUUCUAGCUCUGGGAAGGUUAGAAAUUGGGUGAACGUAUCAAGCUUGGCUGGUUUUCCACUUGACUUGCUGUGUCUGAGGUAAAUAUGGGUACCCUGUAGCACAUGGGAUUCUGUUCAUUUACAAAGAUGUAGGGGCUUAGUUUUUUCAACGGGUUGAUUUUUGUUCUUGAGCUUUGGUCAAACUUCAAAAAUGGGUAUGAAUUUGCUCCUCAACUUAGGGAGCAGGACAUUUAUUCGUGUUCAUGUUUAGGUAAAUCUGGCUCUGUUGCCUCCUCUCCCCUGCAAGGUUAUUGGAAAUUUGAUCUCCUCCAUUUUUGCCCUGCAAUUUCCUUUGGCCGUUCAAGGAAACUGAAGGUCGUAUAUCUUCCAGCAAAUCUGAGGAAAGGCCUCUGGUCUUGCUGCAGAAGCGGCUCAUUGAAAAGCAUGGCGCUGCAGUCUACAUGUUCAGUUGGGCCAUGGGAUCUUUGAUCCCUCCUGGGACACAGGGCCCAGAGUAUAGACUUCAUGUGACCUCAUUAGUAGUCCUGCAUUACAUGGGGCACAAAGGUCCGCUUGGAUAGAGUCAUGCCUUUUAGACACUUUUGAUCCUUUAUGCUCGUAAACAAUCUCACUGCUUACCUGGGAGCCUAAAUUCUGAACACUUCCUUAGGUGACAUCUAGGUCACAAAUCUUUGUUCUUCCCUUGAGAUGGAGACAAGGAAAGUAUCUUCCAUCCUUUCUUAGUAAACCUAGAGACAUAGUUAAAUUCUCAGUCCGUGUUCCCUGCCAUGUUUGAUUUCUCCUUAAUUUUAUUUCUUAUUUUUGAACUAUUGCAUAAGCCACCGGGAUAAGUAAGGUAAGAGUUAUGUCGCCAGGAAAUAGUCUUUGGUAUCUAUGACCAUUUUUGUUGUUUGUACAUUCUUUUUUUGUGCGUGUGUGUGGGGGGAAAUAUGAAGUUGUCUUUCUUACUGCCAUCCUCUUUUAGUCCAAGUGCAAAGUUUCUCGGAAGGGCAGGCCUUAUGGUUUGUGUGGAAUGUAAAUAGCUCAAAUGACCCCAUCUCCAAGAAGAAUUCUUUAACUGUAAGGCUGAAUGAAGUAAGUGCAUUCUCCUGUUCUCUACUGUAUUCCCAGCAAUACUUUGAGCAUACUUUUAAAACAUAUUUAUUGCGCGGCUCCUGGGUGGCUCGAUUGGUUGAGCAUCUGAGUCUUGAUUUCAGCUCAUGUCAUGAUCUCACGGCUAAUGGUGAGAUCAUGAGAUUGAGCUCUGUGUCGGGCUUCAUGCCCUGCUUAAGAUUUUCUCUCUCUCUCCCUCUGUCCCUCCCCAAUUCGUGCAUGUCUGUGCAUAUAUUCUUUCUCUCUUUCUCUCUAUCUCAAAAAACAAAUAAACAAACAAAACAAAAAACAAAACCAAAAACAUUUAUCUAUUGCACACACUCCCAAUUCUAGGGAAAGCUCUGAUUUCUCUUCUCAUUCACUCUAGGCAGAAGAAAGGUCAAGGCCAAGGACUGUAUUUGACCAGGGUUCCUUUUUAUGGGUGUGAUGGUAUAAAUUUCAAUAUAAUGAGAGAAGACAGAAGACUUUCUGCACUUUGCAUGGCCUCUGGUCCGUGUUUGGUGUUUCCUCUUUAGAGUCAUUGCUUUAGGUCCUUUCCUGAUUCAUUCAUUUAUCUAUUAAUUCAAGAAACUUUCCUUAAGGACUUACUAGAUUAGACAUUGUGUAGGCCCUGGUUGUAGCAUGAAGAUAAUCAGACCAUAUUCUUCUCCUCAGCUUAUAUUUUAGUGGCCUGUCUCUCUCGGAACUUACGUGGGACAGUGAGAUUGCGCUAGGCCUGCUGACCUCUUGGGCAGGGUUCCCUCAUCCUGAGAAGACUACCUGGGGGGCAGGAUUGUUUCUCAAGAAAAGUAGGUGUCAUUCACAUUUAUACUUCCACAGCAUAGUCAAAGAAGUUACAGCUCAAAGGUUGUCUCAGCUCCCUGUUCCCCUUUGUGCAGCAAAUACAGAGCACCUGCCAUGAGCUGUCAGGUGGGAAUCAGUAUUGAACUUGAUAGAAUCCCUGAGUCAUGAAGACCUACAUGCAUGUUUAGCUACAUCUCUGCGAUUGUAUCUUUCUUGGGAAACUGAAGGUGCCUAGAUCUGCAGGAGGAAGCUGAUAGGUAACUCCUGAUACAAAAUCCCAACAUCACUCUCUUUCUAUAUUAUUUUAGAGGCAAAACUACCCAUCAUUACAUUGUUUCAGCAACAUGCACACUUUGUUGUCUCCCUACCUGGAUGGUGAUGGGCAGAGACCAUGUGGUCUUCAGUGUGGUACCCUGGGGAAACCUCGCACAGUACCUCAUACCUCCCCUUGUGGAAAGAAUGAAUACAGAGGUACAUUCAGGGAAAACCAAAUUGGUACUAAAACUGUUCUUGUCUGCAUUUCAAAUGGCUCUUAACUAAGUAACAAUUUUGAACUUAAGAAAAUAUGUAGAUAUAGUAUAAAUGAAUAAAUGUUGAUGCAUUUCUUUUAUUCAAGGUGCUGGACUAGGAUGUGUGGGUUACAAAGCAGCGAAUUGAUAUGGACUUGGUGCUUAAAGUAUGUGGGAGGGCAGGUAAGUCAUAUAAAACAAUAAAAUUCCAUUAUGCUUAUUCAUAUACAGUAAAGCCUUGGUUUGUGAGCACAACUCAUUCUUGAAACAUACUUGUAAUCCAAAGCACUCCUGUAUCAAGGCGAAUUUCAAGAGCCAUUGGCUCAGUUGGGAUCAUGUGACAUUUGGCCUCACUUACUACUUGUAUUACAAGACAUCGCUCAUUUAUCAAGUUAAAAUUUAUUAGAAAUGUUUACUCGUCUUGCAGAACACUCGCAGCACAAGUCACCUGCAACCCAAGGUUUUACUGUAUUUAUUUUUGAGGGUUUUUAAAAAUAGCAUCAUAAUAGCAGCAACUUAACUUACAGGUGCGAGUGAUGGUCAGAUUCAAGGAUUUGGAGUUGUUUAUCAAGAGGCACUUGAGUCCUUCAUAAAAAGUCAAUCAGAUGCAGGGAGUGUACAAUGUUGGGUGAGAGUCAAAGGAUGGAGACAAAGCCAGGGCCUCAUUUUCCUGUCUGCUUGGCAUCCUGGAAGGUCUGGUCUCACCUGAUAGGCUCAGCUGAAGAGAGGCUACAAAUCAGAAGAGCCCAAAGCUCUUGGUUUGUUUCUUCUCUCUUUUCCCUCCCUUGACUUGUUCCGCACCUCAAAAGAAUCUAUUUUCAUUUCCUUAGCUUUAAAGUACUUGUACUCUCUGUUGUUUUGUAUACAUUUUCAUUCUGAUGGGGUUGCUUAAUUCUGGUGUGUUCUGUACAAUGUCCUCCAUUAUUUUCAAACUUGCCUUGAUGAUAGAAAUUCUCUGAUUUGAACAAUUUUUCAUUUAUUAAGAUGCUACAAGUGAGAUCACUGCCUUGGGUUUCAUCCUCUAGAAACUGUCCCUGGCUAAAGCUAAGAGAGGUCAGAAAAAUCGGCGACAUGACAUUUUAUUAAAAUAUAAAUAACUGGGUGGGGAUGCGUGCGUGUCGUUAUCUACUUGUGAGAUUCUAGGUCCCAGAAAUUCUGAGAGGGCUGCAGCUACCUCAGACAGGGGAUAAGGGAUAUGUUGAAAACAGUGUCACCCUAUGCCCGGUUGGCAAUCAAUGCCAAGAUUGGGGAUAUUCACAGAACUUGGCUGUCUUCUUACCACUGCCUUUGAAUUGGCUCAAGAUAUGGCCAGUACUUUCUCUACCCUUUUCUAGUGUUUUAACUAAAGAACUAUAGGGAAAGAGAGAACUCGUGGCUGCCCCAGAAACCAUGGUAAACAUUCAAAAACAGCUGAUCUGUCUCUGAGGCUCAUUUGGAAGAGAAGGAACUGCAGGAAGGACCGUGACCCAAGUUCAUUGAAAGCUAUGACUCUGCACAUUUUUCCUGAACGGUUUUGUGCAUCAACAUCUCAUUCUUUUCAGGGUCAGUGUGCAAAGUGACAUUUGGGAGAUGUGCCUCACUUCUGCCCUGCUCUCAACAGAUCUGGAAUCUUUGCCUUUGAUAUGGGUUCAAAUGCAUGGGUUAAUGACAAUCACAGGCCCAUAGCAAAUGCUGGCAAAAUUUUUGCAAACAUGGGCCAAAUUUUAGUUUCAUUAUAAAAUGGAAAGCCAGAGCUGGCUCUGAGUUUUGCACUAACAUUUCAUACAAAACUAAUUUGUAGUUCUUCCAGAUGGGUUCAGUGUCUAUGGCAUACUGCCUGCUACUCUAAAAUGUACUUGGUAUAGAGGAUGGUGGUGGGGAAGGGAAUAAAGUUGGUUCCUACGUGGGGAAAUAUGAAGGUUUUGGGAUUUAUAGCAAGAAAGAGUUCUAUUAAAAAAAAAAUUACCGCUGUAACAGCAGCUUUUAUCUAAAUAGUUUCAGUACUGGUAGGAGAAAAUGGCAAAGAACCAACAUUUUACUGAGUGAUUCAUGCUAGACAUUGUGCUCUGUGCUUGACAUAUAGUAUCUCAUUCAAGCAUUACAAUACUCCAUGAGUUGGGUAUCCAUUUUCCUUUUCAUUGGGGAAAUAAUUCAUUUACCUCUGGACUCUAGAAAUCAUCUCUUGGUCCCUGUUAUGUAUCAGAUGUGUGAUAUGAACUAACUAUGGGAUACUUCAUUGGCAAGAAGUCAAAAAUACCUUCCAGUUAGAGGCAGACCCAAUUUGAUUGUAUUUUUAGUUCAUGGACUACUGCAGACAGUUGUGCAGGUUGCUUACUGCAUGAGAUUUUCUGGUCAGGGAGUAAGUGGGAAUGUUCACUCACCAAGGUGCGUGCUUUGGUCAAGACUGUGUCUGCUGCGGGGAAGGGGCACCUUUUUCUAAUUUACUCAUGUAUGUUUGCAGUGACUUCGCUGAUGCAGAUUCCUUAUGACAAGUGAGCAACCUAGAAAAGGAACACUGAAACUCAAUUUCUCUUCUAUCUCAGCAUCAUAGGGUGUCUGUCUCUUCACCCCCCCUCACCACCCCGCUUCUUUAUCAUGCAUGCAUCUUGGGACAGUCCCUUGGAACUCCAUUUGCCCUGAUAGCUGCUUUCACUCUGGGAAUAGACUGGGAGGGUGACUGGAUGGGGAGGUAACCGCCUUCCUCGUUUGUCUCUCCACUUAGUGAGCGGCACUGACGGAAGUGUCCCUUGACCCUUUCUAGGCAUUGUUCUUCAUAAACUGCUUAGAUUUCACUCAUGUUAUUAUUUCAUAUGUCCUUUCCUCCAAAACUGCAUGGAUGGCCAGGAAAGUAGAUAUCUUUUAAAACCUCAGAGUUUCAAACUUUGGAGAAUAGUUUUAUUUUUUAAUUUCGUUAAUUAAUUAAAAAAUGUUUAUUUAUUUUUGAGAGAGAGAGCACAAGCANNNNNNNNNNNNNNNNNNNNNNNNNNNNNNNNNNNNNNNNNNNNNNNNNNNNNNNNNNNNNNNNNNNNNNNNNNNNNNNNNNNNNNNNNNNNNNNNNNNNNNNNNNNNNNNNNNNNNNNNNNNNGUGAGAUCACGACCUGAGCCGAAGUUGGUGCCACCCAGGCACCCCUGGAAAAUAGUUUAAAGAGAAAAUUGAUUGAAGUGCUAUCUGUCAGUUCUUUAGGAAAUGUUUGGCUGCAAGGAUGAAUUUUAAAACAUACAAAAAGGAAGGGAUUGUUGUAAGUUAUUUUUGGUGUUAAGUGUCUGCUUGAUUCUUUGCAGUGUGUUACAUUCAAGAGAAGCAUACAAAAAUUAAGAUGGGAAAAUGGGCUUAUAACUUAGUUUAAAAAGAUGUGCAGGGGCACCUGGGUGGCUCACUUGGUUAAGCAUCUGGCUCUUGGUUUCAGCUCAGGUCAUGGUCUCACGGUUUGUGAGUUGGAGCCCCACACUGGGUUUUAUGCUGGCAGUGUGGAGCCUGCUUUUGGAAUCCUCUCUGUCUCCCUCUCUCUCUGACCCUUCCUGCGCUCUCUCAAAAUAAGUGAAUUAAAAAAAAAAAAAAGAUGUGCAAAGCAUCAGAGUACUAUGUCUCAUAUUCAAUAUAAGUGUUGGGAGACAGGGAACCCCAGGAUGAUACUGUAAAACAUGUAAGUUUCUUUAUAUAUUUAAGGUUUAAUUGUCCUUACAGAGAAAGAGUAAAAGAGUGCUGGUAGUUUCUUUAAUUUUUUUUCCCUUUUUAAAUAACAUAUACGUUAUGCAGAAAAUGUGAUGAGACUAAGAUAUAAAUUAAAAGAAAAUCCCACAAAAAUCAACUAAAGGCCCCAGAGAUAAUCAUGGUUAACGUUUUGAUGUAUGAUUUUUUUUUAGUCUUUUAGAAAUUUAUGUUAAUUUAUCAUGGCUGAGCUACUGCUGUAUAUACAUUUUUAAACCUAUCCUAUUAUUCGACAUUAUAUCAGUUUAAAGAUGUACAGAAAGCACGUGUGCAGCUGUUUUUCUGGACUAUCAGCAAAUCACAGCUUUAGAUAUUGUCCAGGGAUUUUGGCCAGUAGCACUUUCUAACCUGAUUUUCUUUGGAUUUAUAUAUAAAACGAACACCUCUCUAUAAAGUCAUUUAUAUAUAAGCUCGAAGUAUAGUAAUUUUCCCCUAUUAUUUUUAAGGCUUUUAACCUAAACAUAUAUGUUCAGGUUUCUAAAUUGUAUCCUUUACUGGGAGUUGAGAAACUCAAUCUCAAAUAAGCCAUUCAAACAAACAUACUCUAAGUGGAAUGAUAAUAUAUGGAAACAUGAAAAACUCUGGCUUCUUUGCAGUACUGUGGCUCCCAUUAAAGUGGUAGAUUUACUCCUGAUGCGAUGUAAAUAAAACUUUAAAUACAAGUGCUCAAGUAUCCAGGCAGUGUAGGUAUUGUAGAAAAAAUGAUUACAUGAGAAUUCAACUCUUUUGCAAAUUGGGAUUUUUUUUUUUUUUUUUUAAUAUGAGUGCUUCUCUUAAUUCAAGGCACACUGGGAGUUCCAAGUCAUAUAUGCUUAAAAAAAAAGAAAACCCUCAAUUUCCCAGGGACACUGGUAAAUGCACACUGUUUCCUUUGGGCCAUUUAAUUUUGUAUCAUUUGCUUUAUCUUGCUUGGUUAGUCACACCAGCAUGUUCCUGGUUAUAUAAAUUGUCUUAGGUGACAUGAUACUUUCUUUCUCAAUCAUGAUUAAAUGCAAAAUGGCAAAACAUUCCUUUUGGGCAAAUCACUUUUCUCUUUGAAACCAGUUCUAUCUUGAAAUAAAACAAAUGAAAUGGAGGCACUUGCAAUGAUGAGUAUGAUAAGGUUUUAUCUUAUCACACCUUCAAGGUUUUAUGCCCCUUCUUCCAUGGCCUGUCCUCCUCACUCACUCGGGUUUCUUUGUAUGUCAGGUUUUAACAAGCAAAACAGCCUCUCAAGGAUAUUUAGAGGGUGAGAAACUGUUAGGAUGAAUCUGAAUCUCUUUAUUAAUAGUGAGUUGCAUAACAAAUGCCAUGGGGUUGGUAGAUUUUACUGUGUCUGUUAAAUAUUAACAGUACUUGUACUUUCUGGGGUAUUGUCGAAGUGCCUGGAUACCGCUCAGCCAAUCACAAAGAAACAGGUUUCCAUGGAAGCAAUAUCACGGAUUCAUUUCAUUCUCAAUGAAAUCCACACAGCAAGACAGAUAUGUAAAAAUAACCCAUAUAAAAUUGAAGCAAAAUAUUUCUGGGUGUUUGUUCUAUGCCUUUUGGGGUGUGUGUGUGUGUGUGUGUGUGUGUCUUCAAUUUAAAAAUUAAUCUAAAAAUAUUUGGGCACUCAGGAAAGCUUCCAAAAAAGCUGGGGCUCUUACCCCUGCCUGGCUGUUUUUGUUGUUCUUUUGGGCAUGCAUACCUGCGUGUUUGUAGGGCUCAACCCUUCCUUGUUCGUAUUCUAGAACACAACAUUUUAGACCACAUUUUAAAAUGAGAAACAGACUAUUCUGAAUGUCUGUCGACAUUCACUAUUUUAAAGAACAACUUACAUACCAAUAAUAAGGAAUUAUCAUGACUGAUUUUUGAUUCUCCUUUACAAAGAGCUUUAAAAACUCUCUAAGCUUACUGUAAUUAUUUUAUAGGUGAAAAUGAGCUCAGAGAGGUCAAGUAACCUCUUCAAGACUGCACAGCUAAUGAGUGGCACAAUCUGGUUUCUAGUCCAGAUUUACCUGAUGGUAGAUGGUAUAAUUCCAACUUACUGUGCUAUGUUUUCAUUUCCAUGAAGGAGAGACUCACUAUUUAACUGUCACGGCAGUCAAAACGUAUCAUGUAUCUACGUACCUCCAUUUAUCCAUACAUAUACACAUAUACAUACAUAUACACACACACACACUAAACCCUACUCACACCUUUUGCCAUUGUUCUUGUGAAAAGCCUUGUAUUUAUAGCUCUAACAUAGCACUUAUUCUACUGCAGGGACUUUUUACCUGCUUCCUUACGGCUAGGCCCUGAGCCCUGGUGAUUGAUCUAGGUAUUUCUUGAGGGUAGGACUCUGCCUGGCACAAUUGCUACUUUGUCUAAAUAGAGUUGAUUUAGAAUCCACAAGGGUUUUGAAUGACAAGCAGAAGAUUGUUUACAUAGACCCUUAGCAAACGUGAGAUUGUAUUGAGGUAAGGGGAUUGUGUUUGGAUAAAUGAAAACUUGUCACCACAGUCGCCUCUGAACCAAGAAGUGUGACUGAUACACUUGAGUAAAUGACUCAAAUAAAUACCUUGAAGCAUUUUAGAAGCACUAUUCUUCAAUUGUAAAUGUUUACUUGAAAACACACUUAUCUAAUUAUUAUUUAUUAAAAGAGUUCCUCUAAAAUUAAAAAGAUUCUACUUUAAAGUAACAAAAAGGGGUUAAAAAAUAAGAGAGUAGCCUUUGACCAUUUCUCCCUCUAUUAUUCUCAAUUCUUGAGCUUGCUUGGUGGUCCCACUAUCACGUCAUACUGUUACCAUUGAAGAAUAACAUGCUUUCACUGCUUAGGUUUUUAAAGAUACAUCUGAUGUAUCAAAGCCUUCGGAAGACCAGUUUUAAUGGAUAAUUGUCUAGGAUGCAUUAGCAUUUCCCUGUCUUAAUAAACACAGUCUCUCAGAUGUGACCUAACCUUUCUUUAUGACUUGGCACCAUUGCUCUAUUAUUUGUAAACUGUGGGAGGCAGAGUGAUAUCCUCAGGUGUCAGAGCUCAUAAAGGACUGGGCCUGUCUGCUUGAUUUCUCUUUCAAUUUCCCCUCUGUCCUCUCCUAUCAUUUGUACUGGUUUCCCUGGGUCUGCUUCAUAAAUACAGCCCACUGUACAUCUACUUCCAUCUCCUGUUGGCUGAGGCACAUCUAUGCGUUUCAUGGGGUACCAGAUAAGUAAGCAAGUUUCAUCAGGUGCAAGCUGAUCACUUAAGGUGAACCCCCAAGUAUGUCAAUUAGCUCUGGCCCAUAGGCUCCAGGGUGACCUCAUUUAUCUUCCUGGAUGAAGCUCAUGGGCUUGCUUUAAGCACUUUCCUUAUCACUGUUGGUGUCUUCUGUUGUUGUUACCAUUGUUGUCCAGUUCAAGAGGGAAAGUGUGUAUGGUCGUGUUUCUAUAGAGUCGUCUGCUGAAUAUGUGAGACUAUUAUAAUAAUUUGUAAUAAAGACUAUAAGCUACUUUGUUAUUUUGAAGAGAAGAUCUUAAAAAGCGCUUCCUUUGGGAAUGUUUCUAGGAAUAGUGACUUUACAUAUGUGUGAAUAUAUCUAUGUAUAUAUAAGGAUAUAGGCAUAUAUAUAUAUAGUUCUAUGAAUUCACUUAUAUCUCAUAUUGGUUUGGGAAACGUUUAAAGGGCAGCGGUAGCAAUAGAAAGGAAAAAGGGGUAAAAUCGUGAGUGUGCAUAAUAGUCGCUAACACUUCCCUUUUCUUAGCUUGGCAGCCUGGUAAUUUGUAGUGCUUUUUAGACAGAACCACCUUCAGACUGUUCCUGGGGUUAUGGCGUGAUGUCCCUCCUUCAGCCAUGAGUAAACUGUGGAGACUGGUGUGGUUUGGUCACAGUUACAAAUCGUGGGGAAGUUCAAUUUUAUUCUUUAAGUGAAUUUUUUUUUUCCCCAAAGGAGUGUUUAAGAGGCACCACAGACCACUGUUGUGUGUUUUCGCCUAUUAAUUUAUAAGAAGCAUUUGAGAUAACCAGAAAUGCAGGAGUCAGGGGUCUAAAGGGAAAUGACUCAGGAACCCUUUUGAAAAGACACCCACCACUGUAACCCAUACCUCUCUGACUGGCCUGGGGCUGAGGUUUUACCAGGAGAGGUCUCUCAGUGUUGAUUCAACCAGGACAGUUGCUGUUUUAAAAGGGUUUGAUAGCCUGGUCUCUGGAUCUGACAGAAAGAGCAGGUCCCUCUCCUGCUGUGAUUUAAAGGACAAGGGAAGUUCAGCCUGCCCCGUGAUCUCCUCCCCAGUGGCCUUGCUUCACUCGAAAAUUUUCAUGAUUACAGAUACUCCAUCAGGUGAAGGUUUUGUCUCCAGAAGACCCCAAUAAACAAGACAAUAUUUUAGCUGAAUUUACCAUUAAUGCCCUCUCUGAGCACAUGAACAGACUAACAAAGUAGGCAUCUCUCACCAGCCAAGAGCAGGUGUAAAUGACUGUGACAUAAGAAAGGUACAUUCAGGAUGGGGAGAUCUGAAUCAGGAGGUGUUGCCCUAGGAAGACCUAGGAAGUAAGGGGUGGAUGGGGAAAAUAUAAAGCUGUUGGACACAAGGAGGUACAUUUACUUGCUAUGGGGGUGACAGGAGAGGAAAUGAAUGAGUGAGGUCUACUUUAUGGUUUUGCUCAAGACCGGUUCUGCAUUUUGGAGUAGCACAGAUAAGCUAUGAAGGAAGAAAUCAGAUCUUUUCCUACCAUUGACCUUCUCCAAUUAGGUUGUACAAUAAUUUAAAACUCAAAAUUUUCUUGGCUCCCUGACUCAACAUGCCACCUAAUUAGCUAAAUCUUUUUGACCUCUGCUUGGUGACUCAUCUUUGCUCCUGACUCUGAGACCACAUGGGUCUCCAACUAAAAGCACUUAAAGAAACUUAGCAUUGAAUGCCUCUUACUUGUCUUGCUCCAAUCUUGUGCCCCAGUUCUAGAUUUUUUCUUUGUUAUUGAGGCCAAAUAUUCACUUCGCAUCUAAGAUAGAAUAACUAAAUCCCAGCUCCAUUCAUUAACUCAUUCACCAAAUAUUUAUUGAAUACUUGGCAGUUAUUGGGCCCUGUGCUAGGCAUUGGAAGUCAACACAUUAAACAUGGUGCUAUUCUUCACAAGUUUCCUUCAGUGCCAGAGAACCUGUCCUGAUAUUUGGGGAGUCAGAGUUGGGGGAAGCCUUCCCAGAGCCCUCCACAGCUGAGGUCCUGCCUUGUUUUGGAACCUCCCGUCUCUUCCACUCUCUUCUCUCCCCCAAGCAUGGAUGUUUGCUCCAGAACCCUACUUCUGAACCAGAACCCCACUUUCAUACCAUAGAGUUUGUAUUUACAACAUUUUUGGAAAAAAAUUAAAAAUUUUGGAAACUCUCUGGAAAGGCUUUGAAAUGUUUCUUGUUUGUUUCAAGGGUUGUACAUUUUCCCCUCAUUGUCCUCACAGAGAAAGAAGGUGGGAUUCAAUUCAAUAGAAGAAACAGCCUUUUUUUAAUGUUUAUUUAGUUUUGAGAGACAGAGAGAACAUAAGCAGGGGAGGGGCAGAGACAGAGGGAGACACGGAAUCUGAAACAGGCUCCAGGCUCUGAGCUCUGAGGCCCGACGCAGGGCUCGAACCCACGAACUGAGAGAUCAUGACCUGAGCUGAAGUCAGACGCUUAACUGGCUGAGCCACCCAGGUGCCCCCCCAAAACAGCCAUUUUUAAGAAGACAUCUGUAUCCUUGGAUUUCCAGCCAUUAAGGAGAGUUCUUUGGAGACUGUUUCAUGCUUUUAUGUGUAGAUAGUUUUGACAAUGUUGAGCUUUGACUUACCCAAGUUUAGAUGCCAAGAUUAAUCAUUUGGGAGAAUUUUUAAAAAAUGUGUGUUUGAGGUGUUGCCAUUUCACUAAGGUACUCAGACGCAAUCUUUUCCUGUCCGUAACUCACAGAGAGUUUUUCCUUCACUUUGCUACUUCUUUCUCCCUUCCUUUCUUUCUCUUUUUUGCUUGUAGUAAGGUCAAUUUGGUCAACAUUACUUGAAUGACUUUGUGGAAGAGAUGGCCAAUUUGUCACCAGCAAUCACACCCUCCUUUCCAGGGUGUGUAGCCACUGCCAGGACCUGGCUGCCUAUCUGGGGAUCACAUUUCCCAGCCUUCAUGUCUGUGUGCCUCCUUCUUCCAGUGGAAUGAGAGCAGAGAUGUAGUCAGUUGUGGGCCCAGGUACUUAAUAAGUAGAAGGCGUCUUCAUACUUUCUGCUCCUGCCUGUGGAGGAUCCAGCACAAAAAAACAUGGCCUUGGAAGAUGGAGCUAGAAGGUAAGAGAAGCUGGUCCCAGAAACACCACCUAGUGGAUAGCCACCUCUGCUUUAAGACUAUGCACUUUUGGAAGUGAGAAAUGAUCUCAUAAGUGGUUGGGCAACUGAGAUUUGGGAGUUUCUCUGUUAUGGCAGCUAGUAUUACCUAAUUCUCUCUGCUUAGGACAAAUCACAGACAUAGACGCUGUAGGUAACACAAAGAUGACCAUGGGAUAUCCAGAAGUUUGAAGAAAGGAAUGUGAACAAUUACUAUGUGAGGCAGAUUUUAAGCACUCAGAAGUUUAAUAUGACUCCGUGAGUUACAAGUGACAGGCAUCCAAUUUGAAUGAGCGUUAUGAGAAGGAGAGUUGAUGAGCCAAUUCUCAUAGUAUUAUUAUUAUUAUUAAAAAGAUUGGAAAAAACAAUCAAGGAUGUAACUGGUUCCUGGAAGGAACUGGGACCAGGGACUUCUGUGCUGCUGGAACUCAAACUCACUUCUUGGUGAGUUUCCGUUGGUGAUGGCCAGGGGAACAGGGAGGUGGAAGAAAUGGCAGUUCCUGUGGAUAUCACAGGAUUCACUAGGGGUCUGGGGGGAAUGAUACUCAGAAGUAAAGGAAGGCUCUAUUCUCAGAAGAAAGGAAACGAUUUUUAGCAGACAAAAUAAUUGGUUUCCUCUACAGAUGGAGUAAUUAUUUGCCAGUUCACCUUCCUUUUAUUAUUUUUUUGGUCCUGUUUAGUGUAUUUUUGUAUUGUUAACAUUUCCUGUUUUCAUGUCUAGCUCCUGGGCUCAAAUUAGAUCUUUCCUUUUUGUUCCUCUGCCUUCCCUCACCCCUAACGGUGCCUUGUACAUAGCAGAAGGUUAAAUAUUUUUUUUUUUUUUUUUUUUUGGCUGAGAGAAUACAAUUAGUGCAAUAUGGUAGACUCGGGUCUCUUUAAAUUAUCUUAAGCCCGGAUGCCUUGUUUUUAUCACCAUCUCUUGCUCCUCUACAUGAAACUUCGACUUCAACCAGACACGGCUUCUGAACAUGCUUUACAAGUAGCUAUGGCUGAUAGAUGUUCUUCCCACUCUCCCUCCCUUGGGGGAACCUGGCCUCCUCCUCCUCCUCCCAGCCAGUCCAAAGUCUACCAUCCAUGGCAGGGCUGGCCCAGGACAGACCCCACCCGUGCUGGGAAGGCUUUGUAGCCCACCGCACAACACAGUGGCUUUGUUUCCUCUCAACUCUUACCACCAUGUGCCAUCUAUGGAGUAGGAAACAUGUUUGUUACACUGCCCUUGUCUAGUUUUACACUGUUGUGUUAUUAGCAACUAAAACACAUUAUUUCAAUUUUGGUUUCCUUCAACUAGAUUGUGAACUCUUUGAAGAACAGGAAUCAUCUAUCCCAUCCCCCAUAGUGGCUGGUGAAAGAGCUUGAAUGAUGGGCUCCUGAGAAGUCUUUGCUGAUAGAUUGAAUGCUUGUUUUCAGUUUCAAGACAAUCACCCCAUAUAUGGGAUAGCUAAGAAUCUCUAAAGAUUCACAUUAGUACGUUCUUUCAUAAAUGAAUAAUUUCCUCCUUUCAUUUUUGAAUGAAAGAUAUGUGCCAAAUGGUUGAAUGGAAUAUAUCAGAAUUUUUUUUUUUUUUAAGUUACAACUUAGGGAUAAUGAAACCUCAGGCUGCUUAUUGACUGUGCAGAGCAACAGCUUCUAUAGAAUUGUAAAUGGUAAUCAUUAAUUAGACUGCUUUUCCUACACUGUUCUGGUGGUGGACAGUGCACCUGGUAAUCGGAAUGUGAUGUGUAUGAAAAGCACAGGAUGUGUGAAAGAAGGUGAGAGAAAGCUGGGCUGGGGAAGAUGAAAAGCUGCCACGGUUUCUGAUAGGAUGCAAUGUGUGAAGAUGAGAAAAUACCUAGACUAGACUGGGAAUGGAGGGUGGGGAGUGGGGCUUUAAAUAUUUAAAAACAACCUCACCUCUCUGUUUCCUUACCUUCCAUUGUACCACAUGCAAUCUGCUUCCAGGAUUCUGCCCCAUAUCUUGUGCCUUUUGGAAUCUCCCUGCUGCCCUCAGUGGUUUCCUUUUCAUCAUGAUUGCCCCCUCUCUGCAAAUGACACAGAGAGUUCAGACUUUCUUAUUUUGUGGCUUGCAAGAUUAUGAAAAGGCUCUGCCUGCAGUUGGCAUAAGCAACUUUUGAUAGAGGCAUAUUUCCUUUCAACUUCCCCUUCUCAGAAACUGCCUUCAUUAAUUGCUAAAAAUGUGACAUGGAGUUUGAUUUGAGGACUUCAGAGAAUAAUGAAAGACUACAGAAGAAAUGCCUUUAGGGCAUAUCUUGUUCAAGCCCUUAUUUAUAAAUUAAAAACACUGCAAAGUCCACACUGCAAAAGAAACAAACAAACAAACAAAAAAACCCAAAACAGAAAAUGGGGAUCAACUCUAAUGACCAUAAUUCUACAACUAAAGGGUACAUUUAAAAAAUUUUGUAAUUCACUUUCAAAUUUAUAUUACAGAUCUCCCAGGUGAAGCAGUGCCCUGGUUACGUGUGUGGUACUGUUGUAUGUUUUAGUGUAACUUGUUUUGUAAUUAACAAGCCAACGAUCAAAAUCUCUGCAUUGUAGGGACCAAGAGUUCAGCAGACUCUGUGUGGAAUGUAGCUGAUGGUAUGUUAGUGGACCAAUCGGGAGAGGCCUGGAUCAUUUUAUUUGAAAAUUUCCUGCUUCUAUAUGUUCUAUUCCAAAAUAUUAAAGCGUUUUAAUGGUAGGAAAACUGCUCUAUAUUUUUAUUCUUCUCAAAGACCCUAGGAGAGAACUAGAAGACAGAUGGUUACUAGAGUAGAGGUGGAUAUGCAUUUAUUUUUCCUUUUCCAGAAAUAGCAGUUAAUUUUCAUUGAAUUCUUAGCAUGAACCUGGUGUGCUUUGCUUACAUCACCACGGUUAUUCUAGUGAAUGAGGUAUGGGGUAUUAUAUCCAUUUUCCUGAUGUUAAAACUGAGGUUCAGAGAGGUCCCCCAGCUUUAAAUGGUGGAGCUAAGGUUUGACAAAGUCUAGAUAGUCUGACUCCAUGGCCACUUACUGUGAUUUGAAGUAAUGCUCUGCUGGGGUCAGGGGAGUGUCCUCUCUUAUGGUUCUCUCUUCUAACCCCAGAGCAUCCUGAAUAGAUCCCCCAAAUGCUCAAGCGGACACUCUACCCUUUGGAAUGACCUGAGAUGAAAAGGAGAAUAUAGGCAGAUGCACAGAUGGUUGGCCCUUUUGAGGGACAGAACAUGCAUAGAAUCAGGAGGUUGUGACUUUCUUUGGCAAUUCUACCCAUGACCUCUAGUGCUCUGGGAGUCACCGUGCAGACUCCGGAUCCAGUUCCCAGUUUCUCUUUGCUUCCCAGAUAAGAUAAGGGCAAGAGAAUGAGUCUUACAAAUGGAACUAUGGGUUUCCACUCUUAAAAUAUUUCCCUAUUUGUUGCCUUUUACCUCCCCGCCAAAUGAACGAAUGUGGUAAGUGCCUGAAUUUUUUUAGGUUAGUCAAAUAUUCUGUCCUAUUUUCCUUCAUAGUUCCCAAAGGCCUAUGUUUUGGCAUUCAAACUGUUACCUUUAAGAUAGCCUCAGGGCAGUCCCAGAAAGCAUACAAAAGUUCUCUGUGACAUACUAGGUUUUGACUUUUGGUUCGGAAAAUGUAUGCUUAGGCUAGGGAAACAGCCUUCUUCACACGUCCUUCUCUAGGUGGAAGCCUUUAGUCUUAGCAGUAGGAACACAUAUUUCAUUGCAAUUUGAGAUUCAGAAACCUCUGGUCCGUUCCCCUGCAAUCGCGGUGCAUGGCAAGCAGUUUGUAGAUAAUUGGUGUACUUCACUAGGGAGUGGGUGCUUUAUGCAUAGGCAAUAGGAACUCAAAGUAAAAUAAAGAACAAAGUCUCAGUGGUUCCGUUUUCUCCCUUAUGUCAUUAAUAGUAAAUAAGCCCUAGCAUUCCAUUCAGAACAGCUUUCCAGAACCUAAACUCCUAUAUCAGUAAAUGGGCCAGGUUCUUUCUCAGUGCAGUGACUUCUUUCAUAGACUGUUAAUUAGGUUAUUUCAGGGUAAUGCGGAUGUUUGUGCCUUUUAGUUGAGUUAGCCAACACCUCUGCUUCCAUUCAGCCCAGAGAGAGCCAUGGGCAGGUGGGGUGGGGUUUGAGGACAGUGCCAGCCUGAGACCAGCAGGGCCCAAGAGUGGGGGCCUGAGUUACAGGUAGCCUGGCUCUCCUUUGUUCAUCCUUGACUUUAAGAGCAGGUCAAUGGGAAAUCAGGUGGGAUACAUGUCUAACAAUCAUCCCUAACAUUGAAAUAGUGUUUGCUGUGUUCUAGUCACUUUUCCUUAACCAUUGAGAAUUCACCUCAUUUAAUCCUCAUAAAUACUCUAUGAGGUAGGGAUUGUUACUAUUCCAAUUGGUAGAAGAGGAAAGCGAAGCACAGAGAAGUUCCGUGACUUGCCCCAGUUCACAGAGCUGGCAAGUGGCAGAGCUGAGGUUUGAACCUGGUUGGUCUAAAGGAGCGGUGGUAUAAAGACCCCACCUUUGUUCCCUGCGUCCUAGGGAGUUACGCUGUGCCCUGCCCACUGGGCUGUGGCCUCAACAAGCCAUUUCAAAUGGUAACAUGACCUAGACUAGGAAGACAAAGGACUGAGGGUGUCCUCUUUCUAUCACUCUGUGUCAUGAGUUCUAGUUCCCCUCCCUCAGACAUUCCAAUGGCCUAGGAGGUCCCACCGUCCAGGCUGCUUGGGGGCCAGGCCACAGUUUCCAGCAGAGAUCUGCAACCAGGCUGUCCCUGAAAAUUGAGGAUGUGGGUGGAGAGGCGGCUAGUUUCUUUCUGUGCCAGGCAGGCAAAGUGCCAACCCCUCCUGGAAGAACUCUUCCUGUCUUCAUUUCCCCUUGACUCAGCAGGAGAGGGAAGCUGGGGCUCCAGGCUAUUCUUCAUUGCUUUUGAACACGGAGUCCCACUUAGAGAGAUGAGAGCCUAAGCGUUUAUGCUGGGGUGUGUUUCUAAUGAACUCUGAAAGUUCAGCCUGCCCUUCUUAGAAUGACAGUCUCCUUCCUUACCAUAUGCGUGAUCCCACUGGUCGCGCCUGUGCCUGUGUGUAGCAGUGGAAAGAAGAAAAAGCCAGGCACCUCACUGAGAAUUUUUAAAUCUUAUUUGAAAUUGCGUUUGUCGGUUGUCUGGGGGUGGGGAAGAACACUUGGCAUGGAGCGUUCAAAAACAAAAUGACUGUCCUGUCCUGAAUUCGAGGUCUUUUUUUUUUUUUUUCCUUGGGUCAAUGGGUAGCCUCCUUUGCCCAUCAGGCAGGACCAAAGAAAGCACGGUGUGCACACCUCUCUGGGUGGUUGCCCACAGGGGAUCUCUCCUCCUGCGAGGUUUCUUCCUUAGGCUAGGAGAGCAGCAGGCCUCCCUGGGUGACACAAUUGUACAAAAGGUGCAUCUUACACUGGGGAGAAGAUAGCAGCCUUGCCCCCUCAGCUCUAUGAAGCUCUAGUGCAUCGCUACCCUGCCUGACUCCAUCAGAGCAGAGCCAAAUACAACCCUCAGGCCUAGCUUCCUGCACAGCCACACCUCAUAGGGUCCCUCUGCUGUGGCAGUCAUGACUGGGGGAUCCUGCUGACAGAUCUAGAUUCAUUUAUUUGUGAAUACAAAUGGGUGUGUGUGCACACACACACCCUCUCUGUAUGUGGAAGGACUAGGUUCUGUUUAUGCAAAGAGUACCAAGAUGGGUGACAGAUAUUUUCCUCUAUAGAUGGCUUGUGAGAAGAAAAACUACUUAAUGAAAAUAAAAGAAGAACUGAGAAUGGUGUUUUCAAUUUCUUUGGUGUAAAGUCGUUUUCCCCAGAUUAGAUUGUCUGUCACUACUUUCCUAGCUGGUGUCUUUCAGAUUAGAAUUCCUGGAGUCCUCCUGAAUUCAUUUCUGUGUUUUGGAUGCUUUAUUAACUACAUGUGGCUGACACUUAAUUUUAUUGCUAGAAUUUGCUGCAAAACCGAUUACAUGCUUCCCCCUCCUCCUUUCCCCUCUGCGGACCUCAUCCCACUCAACUCCUCUUUGCUCUGCCCACCUUGGCCCCAGAGACAAGAACACUUACUGCUUUGUUUUAUGGUUGUCCUGAAAACAGGCAUUGGGUCCCGGAUAGUGUAGUAUACAGAAUUUUAAUGAGCACAAAGCAAGCAGCUCAGUCCUUCCCUCUGAUAUGAGCGGGGUGACGUCAACCUAUCCAGGAAAUACUGAAUUGAUUUUAAAAUUGCUUUGAGGGUGAAUAAAUCGGCGGGACUCUGCAUUACCAUGAGACUGCUCUGCACGCUCCCCCACCCUCCUGUUUAUCUCAACACUAGAAGUAUUUGAAACUGCCUGAAUAGAUGUCCUUCAAAAUAUAGGUUGAGGGAUGGGGGGAUGAUUUUUUUUAAGGCUAAAUUUUGUAAGUUGCCAUUAUCCUAGAUUUAAAAUGGUCUGACAUUUUUAGCUUCCAAUUUGAGUAUUUUCUUUCUAAUUCUGGGAUUUGGUUCAUUUACUAAAACUGGGAAUUGCUCUUUUGCAUCAUCUCUUCUGCCACUCUCUCCAUCUCCCUCCUACAUGUUUCUUGAAGCACAUUUUGGUGCUUCAGUAUAAAGGGCACUUCAUAAUGUUUUCUUUGUCUGCCAUUCUACUCUAUGAAAUGAAAAACCCUAGCAUCCAGUGUGUAAAAAGCUGGCAUUGGGAGCUGUUUUUAAGAACAGGCACUAUUUAGCAAGACACUGUCUAAUAUCAAAGCCAGAUAAACCCUCUUCAUACCACAGACCAAACACACAGUGAAAACCCCAACCCCUGUGCAUCACCAAAUGAACAACAACCCCUCCCUCAACUCUCUAGGUUAUGGUUAGGUUUCUAGAUUGCUGGUGAUACAACGAUUUGCUUUUCUCUUUGUAACCUUCUUUCCGGCAUGCUGGUUUAGCUAGUGAUUAAUGAGUUAAUUAAUUAGCAAAGAUUUCUAAAGUUCUUUGAAGAAUAAACAUACUACUUACUGCAAGGCUGCAUUAUGUAAGAUUAUAUCAGUUCUCCAGGCUUCUUAGGGGGGGAAAAAAAAGCCCUUUUAAUUCAACUGCAAGAGCUGAAGAAAAUUUAAUUUUUUUUUUAGUGACUAUAGGUUUUGAUUUUUUGCUUUUCAGUUGAUUCCAUGGACACUUUUCUGCUGGAGAAAAUUUCUAAUAAAUAUUCUUUAACAAUGAUCAUUACUGUAAGCAUUGUUAAAACUACCCUUAUUCCAUUCAUAAAAAUCUGACUAUUUAAUAAUUUGUUAACAUGGCUUUGGGGUGCCUGGGUGUCUCAGUCAGUUAAGCGUCUGAAUGUUGAUUUCGGUUCAGGUCAUGAUCUCAUGGUUCAUGUGUUCGAGGCCUGCGCCGGGCUCUGCGCUGACAGCGUGGAGCCUGUGUGGGAUUCUCUCAUCUCCUUCUCUGUCUCCGUCUCUGCCAUCUCCCUGACCUACGUGUGCUCGCUCACUCUCUAUCUCUCAAAAAUAAAUAAACAUUAAAAAAAAUUGUUUAAUUAAUUAAACAAUUUGUUAAGCUCUAGGAGGUAUACAAGGAAUUGUAUGUCCUAUUAUUUGUCCUCAAAGAGCUUAAGCACACAUAUUUCAAAACAAUAGUUUAUAAUGUAAGGCAGAAUUUGAUAUGCCAAAUGCGUGGUGUAGAAAAAUCAGUGUCCUGGGAGUUUGGAAAAGGAGCUUAAUGUGAGUUCCCAAGGGCACCCAAUACAGCAGGUGGAACUGUAAGUUGGUAUUUGAACGGCUUCUAGUCUGUGUAGAACUGGAGUGUAUUCUAGGUGGAAGGAAAGCAGCCGAACCCAAAGGUGGGUGCUCGGGACACAUGCUUAGGAGUUAGCGCCUGCACUGGCCUGACUUGAGUGCUGGUUCAUUCACAUUUAGGGUGAGUUAGGAAAGAACACCUCACAAUACCAGGUUAAAGAAUAUUGUGUUUAACUUCUAAAGAACAGAAAAUUCCAUAAUAUCUAGAAUUGACAAGCAAAGAAAUUAGGAAAUUCUUUAUUUCACCACCUUGAAAAGAGUGGAGGAGUAAUCUCAUUUGUAAAAUGAUUAACCAACCCGGAGAGCAGGAAUUACUACAGCACAAUGGAACAAAGGGAAAUCAGGACUCAAACUGUGCCUAGUGUGGGAGCUGUGUUUCCUUGCUCCUUCUCUUCCAAUAAUUACAGGGUGGGGGUGGGGAGGCCCAAAUCUGUCAAAAUGCCUUCCACGUAGCCGUGUUCGAUCUGUGCUGGAUGGAUAUAUGAAUAAAUAACCAUUUGGUUGAUGAACCCAAUAAAAUGAACAAGAGCCAUCAUGUAAAGCCUGGAAGGAAAUUGCCUUUAUAUAACUCACUUUCUGCUUCAUUAAAGAUUAACUCAUUUUUAUCUACAUAUGACAUGAGGCUGGACAAGGAAACUGAUCCUUUUUAGUCUAUAUUUGAAAGACAGAUGAAGAGCAUGGACAGCAAACAAAUGAAAGCAAACAGAAAACAAAACAAAAGACAAAAGCCUGACACAUCCCACAUGUUAACAAACUAAAAUAUUGCAUCGUUGAUUGGUUGUCCCUCAGGGAAAAAGUAGCUGAACAACCCCAGAAGAAGGACAUUUAAAUAUUUUCCAGGUGGCUUUUACUCUGUCAGAACCCAUUAUGCUGAAUGGGGAUACAUAUUUACAGGCUGCUAAUACCAAGCUGAUAAGAAACCUUAUCUGAAUUAUUUCUAAGUGUCCUGAGAGCCCAGAGGUAGCUAAAAGCUUCUUUGCUUAGAGGUCACUCUCAAUCCAUUGUAGCUGUUACCUGACUCGUCAUUUACGCAUAACCAGGGACUAGGACUUGAACCUGAAUCAAGCUUCAAUUCCCUUGCACUUGAAAUUCAGUAAAACAGUCAAGAACUAAAUAAAAUAUAGUCAAUAUUAGUAAUGUGAUCAUUUGCUUUUUAAUGACACAAGGUGAUAUAGUAAUAAGCCCAAUUAAGUAAUUGGACCAAUUACUCAAGAGCCAAAAUUGAUUUCUAAUCUUGAGUAACCUUUUUUUUUUUUUUUUGGAGGUGAUCCAUUACCGCAAAUGUGGGCCUCCCUUCCAUGAGGAUUUCAUAUUUGGUAUGAUUACUAGGAGAAAGUUUAUCUGUUGUUGCCAUCUGUAAACUUUUUUAAUAAACUCAGGGUAUAUGAACCAAGUCCUACUUUAGUUUCUUAAUGUUAAAUAUCACCCAUUUUUAUUACACAAGUUCCUUUUGAAGAACAAAACUCUUGGGUUGUUAUUAAGAACUGAAUGUAGUCAAGCCACAUAAUCUCUCUGAUUUUCAGUUUCUCCAUCUAGUCUAUAAAAUAAAAGGUUGAACUAAAUGAUCUCUAAGACCUGUUUUAGUAUUAAUUCUAUUAUUAUUUAUGGUUCUGUGAUUUUAAUUUGGUUUUCAUCCAAACUGGUGAAGACCUCUAAAAGUUCAAGCCUGGAGGAUAGUCGUAUAUUUGCCUUGGUUCAUCUGCCAUAGAACUGAGUGGGCUUCAACACAACAAAGCCUAUUUACAGGCAAACUUCAUGUCUCCUCUUUUCCAGCCAUUUGUUUCCUUGGUUAGAGUGAUGGUUCUCAAAAGGUGAUCUCUGGACCAGCACCGUCAGUAUCAGCUGGGGACUUGCUAGAAAUACAAAUUCUCAGGCCCUGCUGCCCACGUACUGAAUCAGAAACUCUGGAGGUAAAACCAAGCUUUCUGAGUUUUCACAAGCCCACUAAAUGUUGCUGAUUCAUGUUAAAGUUUGUGGACACUUUCAUGAGGUUCAAGUUGCAGGUGCAAACCCUGAAGUGGCCAUUGAUCUAAUUUUGUAUGCUGACCCUAAGUUGCCAUGUUAAAAAUGUCCUUGGGCGCCUGGGUGGCUCAGUUGGUUAGGCGUCCGACUUCAGCUCAGGUCAUGAUCUCACAGUUGGUGAGUUGGAGCCCCGCGUCGGGCUCUGUGCUGACAGCUCGGAGCCUGGAGCCUGCUUCAGAUUCUGUGUCUCCCUCUCUCUCUGCUCCUCCCCUGCUCAUGCUCUGUCUCUCUCUGUCUCAAAAAUAAAUUAAAAACAUUAAAAAAAUUUUUAAAAAUGUCCUCCGUUGUUCAUUGAAGAGAUUGGGACACACUGCUUGACUGGACCAGCUCUACUGUAGGUUGUAGAUCUUGAACUUGGGUUGAAAGUGUUUCUCAAUUUGCCUUAAAGGACAUCUCUUGCUCUGAUCCUCAACACCAUGCAAAUGAAAUCUUUCGUAACUCCUCAGUGACUCCUUAUCUUCUAUUAGACCUGUUCCCUUACUCAUUUCACUCACCCUUGUUCCUUCCCAUAUCCAUAUCUUGGCUCAUACCAUUUUCUUUAUUACCUGUAAUGAAUUCUUUAUUUUCUCCCUAUAGUCCAGAUCCAUCAAAAUUUGCAGAUAAUUACCAUCUCCAAAAAGCUUUUCCUUAAUCUCUUCCCAUGGGCCAUCCUCCCGUUUAAAAAGAGUGUCUCUUGAAUGCCCUUAAACUCUAUCUCCUGGAACAGCAUUUCUCAAAUGGAAUUACACAAUGCAAUCACCUGAACAAAGUUUUUAAAAUAUAGAUUCUUACAAGCCACUACCAUUAACCUACUGAAUAAGAAUCUGGCCUUUAACUGGAUACUUGACAGAUCCAUGUGCAGCUAGAUGAGGUUUUUAGAAAUCACUGGGGGGCAACUGAGUGCCUCAGUAGUUUAAGCAUCUGACUCUUGAUUUCGGCUCAGGUUGUGAUCUCAUGGUAGUGAGAUCUAGCCCUGCAUCUGGCUCUGCCCUGGGUGUGGAGCCUGCUUAAUACUCUUUCUCCUUCUCUCUCUGCUCCUCUCCUGCUUGCACUUGGCGCUCUCUCUCUCUCUCAAAACAAAUUAGAAAUCAUUGAGUUAGAGCAGGGGCUGGAAAACUUACUCUGUAAAGGACAUGCAUGGUAAAUCAUAACUACUGAAUCAAGUGUCCAUUUCAUCUCUGUGGUUAUGGUACAAAAGCAGCCAUAGACAAUGUCUGAACAAAUGGCAAUGGCUGUGUUCCAAUAAAACUUUAUUUACAAAAAUAGGGACUAGAGGCUGUAGUUUUCUGAUUCUUGAACUAGAUUAUUAUUUAAUAAAAAUGAAUUAUAAUGUCUAAAAUAUUUAAAUGGUUUACUCUGCACUCAGUAGGUGCUCUUGGAAUGAAUACAUAAAGGAACCCAAAGUAAUGCAGUUGGUGGAACAUUUUAAAUUUGAAAUAGACAAUUAUCACAAAGUAAUGUUACUAGAUGAUCUUCACUAAAAUCAUGCUGACAUAUGGAAACUCUUGGUGGUCUGGGGAGAGGGAUAAUGGGAAGCUUGGAGUAUACAUCUGAAUUCUAAUUAAGCUUGUUCAUUUCUUGGUUUUCCAUCUACAAAUUAUAUUCUACCUAAUUGACUUCCUGACAAAGGGUUGGUUGAGGAAUAAUUUGUUUAAUGUUUUUAAAAAUGUUACAUACAUGCUAAGUGUUAUUGCAGAAGAUGGUUUCUAAGGAAGAAUGGAGAAUAGGCAGCACUAAAACUGAGCUUUUUGAUUCCUAAGCAAAAACUUUAGUUGAAUGUCUCCUGGAAAGUGGCACUUUGCCCCCAACUCAAAUGUCACUCUGCUCUCCCAUGUUACUCAGGAAAACCUCAAAUACAUUGUGUGGGUGAUAUUGAAAGACGUCAGGAUCAAAGUGUAUUUAAAGUUGCUAAGAGGAAGCAGAUGUUCUCCCUAGCUGGGCAAAAGAUUCUCAGAGUUUCCAGUGAAACAUAAACUUCUCGAAGGCCCCAUGGGAUCAUGCCUUAAAAUGUCAUGCUUUUGUUUAUGCCUCCCAUAUGCAAAACAGUGGUGAAAUGUGUUGUUCUGGGAGAGACGGAGGAAAGUUAAUGAGCUAGAAACAAUAAGGGACGCUAUACUUGGAAAAAAAUUGGAACGGAUGUUAUCCUUAAAACAAAACAGAAAAAAAAAAAAAACUAGGACGAGAUUAGAAUAGUCACUUCCCUCAAUUCUGUUUUUUUAUAUAUAUCUUUAAACAUCUCUCUCUGAAUUACCCUGGUUGGCUGGAUGACCAAUUUGUUUUCUUUAAGAUUUUCUAUUCUGGUGUUUUUCCAAGUAGAAGUAAGUUAAGAAGUUUUUUCUUAUCCCCCAUAGAUUGUACCUUUUUUAUUAUAGCUAGUAACCACAAAAUAGUUGCAAAGGAAAGAAUGGUUGGUGGCUUUUAAACUUGAGCUGAAAUCCAAGUGUGAAACUAAUGCUUUGAAGAGUGAUUUGAAUGCAGACAAUUAUAGUUUUCAGCCAGAAAAAAAGUCCAGAGGCUUGUAUUUCUCUCCGAUCACAGUAACUUCAAGUAGUUGUCCCUGUAGGAAAACACGAAACAAAUGUACUAUUUUAUCUAUUUUAUUUUCUUAAAUAAAAACUUAAGAAGGUAAGUUCAGAGAGAUAAGGGAUCCUACAAAGUUCAAGGCCAGCCUACUGUUGAAAAGGGAGGCAAGGGAGCAACUAGGAUAAUCUCAGUUUCUGAAGGUUAAGAGUGGUGGACUUAUUUUUUUUUUUUUUCUGUUUACUCUUUCUGGCUAAAUCGAUGAGGGAUUAAUUGGUCAAACUUGACCAAUUAGGGGCGCCUGGGUGGCGCAGUCGGUUAAGCGUCCGACUUCAGCCAGGUCACGAUCUCGCGGUCCGCGAGUUCGAGCCCCGCGUCGGGCUCUGGGCUGAUGGCUCAGAGCCUGGAGCCUGUUUCCCAUUCUGUGUCUCCCUCUCUCUCUGCCCCUCCCCCGUUCAUGCUCUGUCUCUCUCUGUCCCAAAAAUAAAUAAACGUUGAAAAAAAAAAUUAAAAAAAAAACUUGACCAAUUAGAACUGUAAUGACUAUAGCUAUGUAAGCACACAAUCAAUGAAUCUGGCUUUCUAUUCAUUUUGUUGAGGUAUAUUAAAGUUAGGACUAGAUCCCAGUGCCACCAUUGAGACCUAAGGCAGAUAUGGAUAGGUCUAGAGAAAGAGAGGAUAAAACUCUGGAAAGCAAUAGGGCAUUUAUCUGACGGAUUGUAAGGAAGGCUGACUUGCCUUCAUUUUGUAAGGUGGAGGGAGGAAAGUUUAGUAGGCUAUACAGAGCCUCCAUUAUACCUAAGUAAUACAAAGGCAUCUUAGACUAUAUAUAGGUAGCUCAUCCUAGAAUCCAUGUCUUAAUCACAUUCUCAUAUCCAGCCCCGGGUGGGACGGAAAGUAUAUAGUGAAGAUUCUUUGCACGGACAAAUGCCGGCCUGCCACAUAUUAGGGCACAGAGUAGAAUUAAAGGCUCAUCUUUGAAAUAAGUAGUGGUGGUUACUGGCUUGUCUUUCCAUCUCAUUCCAAGGAAUUGAAUGAAUUAUUCCACCUUGUCAAGAAAAUCAUCAGGAAACGUUAGAGCUGGAAGGCACCCUUCUGUUCCAUAUCUGCAGAUAUGAGAGAAUUGAAAUUCGAAAAUGAGGAUUUCUUUCCUUAACAUCUUUUUUGUUGUUUUUAACAGACAUUCCUAUGGAGAUUUUCAGUUUGCGAAGUCACUCUGCUUUCAUUAUUUUCAUAUCAUUCCUACAACAAUCCUGCAUUAGAAAUACUGUUGUGAUAAUAAAUCCAUUUUAUAGAUGAGAAAAUUAGAGUCCAGGGAGAUGACAUGAAACGUUAUCAUUGCCUUCUCUGUCUCUGUCUCCAUCUCUUAGAUCCACUCUAUCACUUGGUCCAGUGGUGACUCUUAACUAUUGCUCAAAUCGUUUCAUGUUUGCAUCUUCCCACCACUCCAGACCAAACUGCCUUAUAUUUUUCUUUUGAUCACAGCAACAGCUCGUUAUUGACCCCAUUGCUGCAAGGUUCAACCCACACCCUAAUCCUAUCUCCAGAUAUUCUAAAAAUAAAGAUAUGAUUGCAUUAUGCUCAGUUUAAAAUCUUCAGUAAAUCCCAGAGUACAUGUCAUCAGUGUAUACUUUUGAAAGCUCCUUUAGAGCCUCUACCUGUGGCUUUCAGCUCAGCACUUACACAUUCUGUUCUCACUCUCUUAUCACUGUCUCCUGGUUUCUAGUUUAUAGCUCUCAAUGGGUCACUUGAUAAUGGGGGAGCAACAUGUAGCAGGAAUGGGAGCAUCUCUUCCAAUUUGUAGUUGAAUUUAUUGAAUUCAUUUGAAUCUCUCAGCUAGCAGAGUACCAAAUAUUUGGUAGACACUCAACAAAAAUUUGCUGAAUGAGUGGCUGAUUGAAAGAUGGGUUCCUUUAGUUCCAUUCAAAGCCAAAGUUGCAGUAUCUCUACUGAGGGUGAGGGACAUGAUUUACUUUCCCCAGAAUUCUUGACAUAUAAUGUGAUCAAAAUGAAAGUUUCAGCUAGGGAUAUAUAUAUUUUUUCCUCCAAGCCUCUUCUAAUGUUCUUCAAUCAGUUUAAACUUUGUGGGUAUUGGUUGGUUAUCUCUUAUAGAUAUUAUGAAUAUUCUUUCAACAACCUAACUUUUUAAGAUACUUAAUAAAUAUACUAUUUAUUAAAUCCAGUGUAAAUUAUGAAGCAUGCAAGAAUAAAUAGUAGUAGAAAACCUUUUUCUGAGUUUGACAGGUGUCACUUUUUAAGUAUGAAACAAUGUAUGUCUGUUACAUUGCAGAUGAAGAUUCCAUUUCAUCCAUUAUUUGAGGUGUGAAAAGAAGAACAACUUUUUCAUUAGCUUUCCAUCUGGUCAUGUUAACAUGGACAUUUACCUUUAGCAAUGACUACUGAGUUCUGUUUGCUGGUGAACAUAUUAAUGGCAUGUUAAUGUUUUUCUCUAAUCUUUUCAGGAGAUAGGUUUAUCAAUUUUUUUUUUUUUAUUAAAUUUUUUUUUUCAACGUUUAUUUAUUUUUGGGACAGAGAGAGACAGAGCAUGAACGGGGGAGGGGCAGAGAGAGAGGGAGACACAGAAUGGGAAACAGGCUCCAGGCUCUGAGCCAUCAGCCCAGAGCCUGACGCGGGGCUCGAACUCACGGACCGCGAGAUCGUGACCUGGCUGAAGUCGGACGCUUAACCGACUGCGCCACCCAGGCGCCCCUUAUCAAUUUUUUUAAUUGACCUCUAGUGUGCUUGAAAAUUAGGAGUAAUAGACAUAUGCAAAUUAAGGCCUGUUUACACUGAGCAGAAAAAUCUUUUGGGUUGAACAGAUUUUGGGUUCACACACUGCCCGUAUCAUUUGUUCCAUUUUCUUUUCUUGUCUUUUCUUUUCUUUUCUAAUUUUUUAACAUUUAUUUUUUUUUGAGAGACAGAGAGAUAGAGGACAGUAGGGUGGGUCAGAGAGAGAGGGACACACAGAAUCUGAAGCAAGGUCCAGGCUCUGAGCUGUCAGCACAGAGCCUGAUAUGAGGCUGGAACUCACAAACCGUGAGAUCAUGACCUGAGCUGAAGUUGGACGCUUAACUGACUGAGCCACCCAGGCGCCCCCACUUUAUUGUUGUAUUAACUUUUCUUUUGGUUAAAAGCUUGAAAAAUUUGCAUCUGUUCUCUAUAAGAAGUAUUUUUUUCCCUUGGUGAUCUUAUACCUUUGAUUUUAUUUUAUUUACCAUUGGGUUGGCAUUGAUACACUUUUUAAAAAAUUAUUUAUUUUUGAGAGAGUACAAGUAGGGGAGGGGCAACGAGAGGGGGACAGAGGAUCCCAAUCAGGCUCUGUGCGGACAGGCUGACAGCAGCAAGCACAACGUGGGGCUCAAACUCACAAACUGUAAGCUGACAGCUCAUGACCUCAGCUGAAGUCGGAUGCUCAGCCAACUGAGCCACGUAGGUGCCCCUGAUAUACUUUUAAUAAGCACUUUUAUUUUCACCUGCAGAAUGUUGGCUAGCUAUGCUAGACCUGAGUAUUUAUCUUUUGAUGGUCCUCUCAAAACUAAGGGAGGUGAGUGACAGGUAAGGAGGAGAAGGAUGGUACCUUGGAGGGCAUGAGCUGAAUGUAGGGCACCCAGACAGUCCUGCACAUCAGUCCGGGAUUGACUUGAGAGGAUUCCCUUUGGGAUGGUAAUGUGAAGGAUAGAUAGCAAAUCUGGGUAUGGAGCCUACAAUUAGGGCAGAUGGUGUGUUUUAGGACGUAGGCUGUACAAUAGCAGAGUCCAGGUAUCAAGAAGUGUGGCUCAGUUGUCUUGAGUAAUAGCAUCAAGCCAAAUGGCACAAGGCGACUGCUAGUCCUACUUGUGCUAUGCCAGCUCCUGUGCUAAUUCUGAUAGAGUGAAGUAUUUUGUUAUAGUCCCCUUUCCUAUCCCUCCCUGUAACCCAGACUGUGGGUUAAAAAUUGAGUGAUUUCCAUAACUGAGGUCCACUGACCUGGAUGUGACUGAGCUAUGACACCAAUAGUUUUUGGUGCCUUCUGCACAACUGUAAUCUUCUCACCGCCUGCAUUAAGCUCCGGAGACUGUGCAGGACACGAGUCUCAGCAUUUCAGAUUACACCCUCUUCUGCGUUGUGUCCAUUUGGCUGGCUGUUGUUGUCUACCUGCCCCAAUUUGAGUUUCUGAAUCCUAAUUUACUGCCUUACUUCAAACAACGCCAGAACCAUAUUGUAUUCUAAAAUGCCAUUAGCUUCUGAUAUUUAUUGGGAUCGUAAUGUAUUUAUAUCCCCUAGGAUGAUUGCUGCUACCUGGGUCUUGCACUAUUGUGCCCUUCAAACAACAUUGAUACUUAAAUACUGGAUCUUGUCCCUUUGGAUCUUAUCUAUCCCCCAAUCCCUCCCCCCACCCCCAAACUGCUAAGUUUGUUGCUGCAAUUGGGUCAUUUGCCCUAGUCCCUGCUCUAAGUAAUUAGAUAUCUCUGCCUACUUUUCCUUUACCUCCUCUUGUAUUCCUAAAUACCCAUCACGACUCCUGCCCAAGUUAGCCUAAAUUCUGCAGGUUCUAAAACCCUAUUUAAUGUGCUUGGUUUGUCCAUUGAUUUGUAGGUGACAGACACAUGUCAAAUAGAUUUGUCCUCAGAGGGCAAAAAAUAAUUUGUUCUAGAAGCAAGGGAACCUUUGGGAGCCUUCGGCAGCAAUGGAGGUUUCCGUAGUCCGUGAACUUUCUAGUCUUGCUUUUAAUGUGUAUGUUUUUCUUACCUGUCACCAGCUUGCUGCCAUCAAAAACCUUGUUAUUAUAUUCCAGAACUUUCAGAAUUCAAGGUUAGCAGCAGAAGUAGCGUCAUAGUCCAGGCAGGGAAAUUAAGCCUGGGCCCCUUGGAUGUGAGAGAAACUGGGAGGGCAUAAAGUGUCACAGGCUGUUUGAAAAGCCCCUCUCUGAAUGGGUAGACACAUAGUCUGAGAAGCAAUUCCUUGUGCCUGUGCAAGAUGGGCCCUGAGAAUGACACAAAGGCAGGAGGGUGACCAGGCCAGUGGCUUGUGGCAUUGUUCUGAGUGGAACAAUCCCUGAAUGUUCAGGUGGGUUCAGGAAGCCUGGAGAUUUAGAUUCUUGGCAAAGACACAGGCACAUUGUUGUAGGUGAUCAGUGAUCUGGAGGUUUCAGAAGAAAACUAAAGACCAUUGAAUAGGCUUUUGAUUAUUGGAAGGUGCUUUCAAUUGAAUUUUUUUAUUUUGCUCUUAGCUUGGCUAUCACUGUUCUUGUAUCAUAACAACAGAUGGAAUUAAGAAACUUUAGUCAUUUUUUUCUAGUUUAUAUUUUCUGAAAGUGAGUUCUAAGAAUAACCUGGGUCAGUGUUGCCUGGGUUGCUUGUAAAAAUGCAGACUUCUGUGACCCACCUAAGACACACUGAAUGAGAAUAUCGGGGGUGGCAUCUGUGAAUAUGUCCUGGCCUUACAUAGUCUAAAAACUGAGAAUGGAUUUUGAGGACCAUUUAGUUUUGUACCACCAGGGCAAGCUUCAUACAUAUAAAUAUAUUUAUGGCAUGUAGAGUGGCUCUGGUCAGAAUAAAACAUCAAUGAAAAAGUUUUUGGACAUAUUUGGAUAUGGGGAAACACUUUUACUCUAUAAACACACUUUUGGCCUUUAAGGAUUAGAUGGUAGCCCAUAAGUCUGCUCAGGGGAGGGCGUGACCAGAUAGGUAAGACAGAAUGGAUGAUAGAAGAAGGUCUGUUGUUAACAUCCUGGGGGUCCAAGGGGACUCAGCAGGUCUUUAGGAAUUGGAGAGACACGCAAACUGGUAUUCUUCAUUCUUCAAAUUUCUAUUAUCAGGGCUUGCAAGUGAUGAACCUUGAAACAACUUGCCUAGGACUCAAUUUAUAACUGGCCUCCUCAGGACUGUUUGAGGAUUGAACGGAUCUACUUCCACCAGGAAAUAUUGUCUACAAAUUUCUUCACUGAGGAAUUCAAAUUCACUAGAAUUUGAGACUUCGCAAAGAGAGUAGAGCCACAGAGCUGGGAUCCAGGACCCUGAAAACAGGGUUAUGGAUCUAUUAAAUGACAGAAAAUGAAUCUCAUGUGGUUGAGGAGUGAUUAUCUAGAUAUACAUGAUGCAACUAUGGUAGUCACUAGCUAUCAGGGGCAAUUUCAACUUAUUAAAAUUAAAUAAUAUUAAAGAUGCCAUUCAUUAAGUCCCGCUAGUACAUUUCCGUGUUAAGCUGUCAUGCAUAGCGGUCACUGGAUAGCACAGAUAUUGUAGAACAUUCUGUUGGUCAGCACUAAUCCAGAAGAACUGGAUUUGGUGAGAAUGGGAAGCAGAAAUGUUUUUAUCUACUGAAAGAUACUGGCUGGUACAGGGUGGGGAAUGUGGACCAGGAAGACAAAGAUAGCCUUAGUGUUGAAAAGGAUAAUUCUGGGUGUACCAGGUUUGGCUAUUUUCAGAGUGUAAAACUGAAACAAGUCUGUGGUGUCAUUCCAAUUUAUGUCUGGGCCGGGUCCCAGGGUGAAUUCCUGAUGCUGCUCUGAUUCUGAGUUUCCUUGCUUAGAGGGGCAUCAUGGGGGGUAAAUUGGCAUAGUGGCCCUCCAGGGAAAUGUGCCUGUUAAUGCAACAGGUGGCUUGCCUUGGUAAGUUGCUAAUCAGGAAGCAGAUUUUCAUAUUUUGGUUAGAAGAGCUAAGUCCUUCUGGAGGUGCACAUAAAUACUAAUCUAUCCAAAGAAUGUAGCUUUGGGAAGGACCAGGUGCUUUACUUCGUUCAAAGAACCCAAGCAGAGAAUGCAGGUGCUGAGACUCUGAGUUGGGCUUAGCCCAACCCACCAACCUAAAGGACGAAUCCCAGGGCAGUUGGACCAGCCAGGAUUUUCCUCAGUGACCAUGAGUAUAUGGAAAGAAGAGUGGAAGAAAUACAAGAGGGUGAGCCAGAUGUUUUCAGCAAAAAUAACUCUCUUUGUUUUUGUUCAGAGUCUCCUUUCUCCCCCGGACUCUGAUAUGAAUCCUUCUGAAAGGGGCUGGGUAGGGGGAGGGACUUGGCACCAGAGAGUCAAAGCCAGCCUUUCGCCUGAUAACUAAGGCUUUUUCUUCUCGCGCCAAGCUUGUCUGACAGUCUCAUUCUGUAUGACUUCUUUCCCACGAGGCUCUUCAGUUCCUGAAGCAAACAGUCUCCUGGCAGACCCACCCUACCAGGCAGCCAGACACAGCUAAAUAUCAGUAGCAAACAACGCAGCUGGGACUCCAGCUCUGAUGAGAUUCAUUGGCAGCCUAUCACGUGCCAGGAACUUUCAGGGAUAUUAUUUAGUUGAUUCCUCAUAAUAAACCAAGGAGAGAGGAAUUGGAAUCUCCAUUCCACAAAGAACUGAACUGAGGUUCUGAGACAUCAAAUAACUUCCUUGAGGUUCCUGAACCAUAGUGGUGGGUAGAGGUUUUGAACCCAGUUAUAUUUGAUAUCAAAGCCCACUUGUGUUUCUGCUACUAAAUGACUUUGUUAGUUGGGCCUAAUCUUCCUUGAAAUUUGAGGCCUAUCCUUUUCUAUGAUAGGAUCUUGUGCUUGUAGGAAUGAGGGAUUGUACGUAACAAGGUACGAUGGUUAAUUUUAUAUGUCAAUUUGAUCGGGCCAUGGGGUGGCCAGGUAUUUUGUCGAACACUAUUCUUGGUGUUUCUGCCAGGGUGUUUUGGGUGAGGUUAACAUUUCAAUCAGUAGAGUAAAGCAGAUUAUUCUCCAUAAUGUGGUGGGCCUCGUGCAAUCAGUUGAAGGCCUAAAUGGAACAAAAAGACUGGCCUCCCUGAGUAAGAGAGAAUUCUCCAGUAGACUGUCUUCAGCCUUCGUCUGCAACAUUGGCUGUCUUGGAUCUUCAGCCUACUGGCCCACACUGCAGAUUUGGCCUCGCCAUCCUCCAUAAUCACAUGAGCCAGUUCUUUAUAAUAAACCCCUCUAUAUAAAUGUGUACACCCUGUUGUUUCUGCUUUUCUGGAGAAUCCUGACCAAUAAACAUGGGAUGGAAGGAGAGUGAAGCUCCUUCACAUUGAACGAGAUCCAGGAGGCUGAGUCUUGAUAGGCAUCUCUACCUAUUAGUUAUUAUAAAUACUUACAAAGCACUUAAAGUUAAAAUUUUAGACACUUACACUGAAAGAAAUGAGAAGAAAUGAUUUCAAAUGGGAACGAGGCAUGAAUCUCUUUUUGCCUAGGUAACUCUUUUCCCAUGUAGGAUAUUCAGAAUUUCACGAAGCUGACCUAGAUUUAUACAGAUGAAAUUUUGCAAAGAUCCUACAAGUCAAAGAACAAUCUUACUUAGUGCAUAUAAAAGUUCAAUAAAAAGUUGAGUAAACAAGGGAUAAAAGUUUAUUAAAAAUUCAGCAGAUGAGAGAGCAACUGGGGCAGAUUUGGAGAAAAUCCUACAAUUUGCAGAUGGGUCAACACAAUAUCAACUGUGAGCCAGGCCUCUGGUGGGAGCUGUAAGCAAAGCUCUCACAGUGGCCCCUUUCUUAGCAGUUUGCCUCUGUCUGUGGUGUUGUCUGGGAUCAUUGUAGUGGGUCAUUGACAUUUUUCUGUGCCUUUGUGGGUUGUCUGCAAGGUACACCACAGUAAUCUGCUGUUGGCCAUUCUCCAUGCUCCAAUGCUCAGGUGAGUCAUUUGGAAGAUAUUAGGAGAAAACCUAGAGUUUCUACUCCCAUACUGUCCAGACACCUGGCAUAAACCGGUGAAAACUGUAGCACAGGAGGAAGUCUGAACCAAAAACUCAGUAGAAAUCAGUAGGUUCACAGGAGCUCUGUCAUGUGGCUUGUAAGUUUUGGAAACCCAAAUUCUAAGCAUUCCUCAGUAAUGGAAGCCAAUUAACUUGAUAAUUCAAAGCAUUCUGAGCAAUUUUUUUAAUGUCAGGUUUUUUUUCCCUCCCUGGAUCUUUACGUUUUCAAGUUAGUGCAGUAGUUCAGCCUAAAGUCUUACAGUAUGGGUUUGGACAUGUUGAAAACUGUCCUCUUUGCUCUUUAGUUUCCUCUAUUUUAUGGAAGUGGACAUUCCUGGUCACUCCUGUUAUUCUGUUCUCUAGCCAUUUAGAUUCAUAGCCUAGACUGAGGCAGGUUACUCCAAGCAGCAGCCUACUUAAAUGAUUUCCUUGAUCAUUUCUAACUUAACCAGUGAGGAUUUAAGUCAGCUUUGGAAAACAACAACACAGAUGGAAGCUAUUAAAGAUUUUGAAGAGGAAUGAAAAAGAAAAAAAGAAAUGAAGUCUCACUUUAAAUAUAUUAUGAAGGGAAGAGAAAAUUGCAGAUUUCCAUGUUUGGCUCAAUACAUGUUUUUUCCAUAGGAAUUUAGUUAUAAAUGGUAUUGAGGAUCUGUAUUUGAGAAACUUAAAUGAAUUCUUGUUAAACCAGAGUGCAUUUUCACAUGCAAUGUGCAUGCUGUUACAAUGCAAUCCUUAUACUAAAUUGGAAGAGUUUAUGUAAAGAUCUGGAUUGUAUAUAUAUCUGAGAGAUAUCUUUUUUAAAUGUUUAUUUAUUUAUUUUUGAGAUAGAGUACGUACGCAGGGAAGGGGCAGAGAAAGAGGGAGAGAGAGAAUCCCAAGCAGGCUCCGUGCCUUCAGUGUAGAGCCUGAUACAGGGCUUGAACUCACGAACUGUGAGAUCAUGACCUGAGCUGAAACCAAGAGUCAGACACUUAACCUACUGAGCCACCCAGCUCCCCUGAGAGAGAUCUUUGAUGCAAACUUCUUCAUCAGGCCCUGCACUGAAUCCAUGAACAAGCCCUGUUGCCAUCUGUCCUCAAGUCCACUGAUCUAUCUCUAUUUCCAUUACAACCACUCAGCCCAGUUAUCAUCAUCUUUCCAUUAUGCAAGAGUCUAACAUGUAGCUCAUCUUCCACUACCCAUCUUCAGUCAGUUCUCGGAGGGGUUCAGAAACACUGGUUGGAUUAAACUCCAGUCUCUUUCCCACAGCCCCAGCCUAUGCUCCCUCUUCUCUGCCCCAGCCCCUCCUUCAUCACCAUCCUUCAGCCUUUUUCACUUCUCAGGCCUUUAGACAUGGUUUCCUAUACCCCACUGCACUCUACAAAGUGUACGUAUUCUUGUUUUCCUUCUGACUAACGGGCAAGUGACAGCUUACCUUUUAGAAGUUAGUUUAGAUGUCACUUCAUUGAAGUCUUGAUUAGUCAGUUUGUUACUUCCUUCAUAGCACUCAGCACACUUUGUACUUAUUAACUGAAAUUGUGUUAUUCACUUGUUUUCUGUGGAUGUAUAAGUUCCUUGACUAUAGGAACAUAGUUCCUGGAACAUAGUGGGUACCCGAUAAUUAUUUGUUGAAAGGAAAAUUUGUAACAUCGACAAAUGAGGAAGUAGUUAAUUGUUUUUAAUAAAGGGCUCAUCAGAUGAUCAUAUUUUGGGUUACCAAAUGACCAUACUCUAAAUGAUGACCAUACUUUGGGUCAUUUAACAUACUUCAUUCAGAUAAAUAUAAUUCAUAGAAAAAAUUCUAGGUGUCUAUCUAUGAUAUAAGGUGAAAUGCACCUGAAAUUUUGUGCUGUUUAACUUUGUCUUUUCUUCAUAUGUAUACUUAUAUACAUUUCCUGGUUUGAAAAGGGAAAAAAUAUGUAUGUAUACAUCUCCUAUCUAUCAAACUAUAUCUCCCAGGUCCCCUAUAACUUAUUUACACACACAACUACCUUCAUUUAUGUUAUACAGUUAUUUGUGAAAGUUUCUUGAGCAUUGAAAUUUUCUAAAUCAAAUUCUAUUUCAUAUAAUUUAUAUUUUUGAUUGAUUAUUGAUUUUCUGUUAGAUGUGGCUUCUAAUUACUGAUUGAUUAUUGAUUUUCUGUUAGAUGUGGCUUCUAAUUACUGAUUAUUGAUUUUCUGUUAGAUGUGGCUUCUAAUUACUCUCUUGUAUCCCAAUUUAAUCUAUAAAUAGUAUACAUUUAUGCUUAAAUGCAUUAGAGGAAAUGCUACUUAAAACAACUCAGAAUUAUUUUCCAAAUACAUUUCUUAGGCAGUGAGAACAACUUUCACCUCCUGCAUCUGUUGAUGGUGUAUUUAGAUCUUCUUGUACGUCUUGAGUUUCCCAGGGGCAGAUCAUACUUAGCUCCUCUUUCUUUGUAGGAUUUUAUAGCACAGAUGAAAAAUGUAGGGUGAGCUGAAAUAAUGAGAAAAUGAUUUGGAGAGUUGUGUUCUCUGUUACUUAGACUUAAAAAAAUCCCCACAACCUCUCUCCCCCACCUCAAAAAAAAAAAAAAAAAAAAAGCGCCCAGCUCUUGUGUAUGUUUAAAUCCUCAAUUUAGAGAUUUGUUUGAAGUCUAAUUCCCAAUCCAGUCUUAGAAGGCUCCGGCUUCUGUUGUGGGUGUUGAACUGGCACAGUUUUCUGUAUGCAUUACUUAUGCCUUCCUUGGGGUCUGAACUGAAAGCCUCAUGGAUUUAGAGAUGGAUUAAUGCUGGCGUUUGGGGUAUUACAGAUGGAACACUGUGGAACUGUAUUUCAAAUAAGUACAAUGCAUGUAUUCCAUUUGUCUUUGGUUCGUGAAGGUGAAAAGGAAAAAUAUAUUUCUACUUCUGUUGAAAGUAAAUUAGAGAAAUUAUGUGACCAUGAUUUUAAGGGCUUGGGUUCACACAUUUAUAUUAAUAGAUUUCUCAUAAUCAACUAAAUUAAUUCUUUUGGCUAAAAUGUUUUAAUAUGCUUUUUGCCCAAAUCUAUUAAUUACUGAAAGGCAGACAGGGUAUCCGCUAAUUGUGUUUCUUCACAGGUUUGGCUGAGCUAUUCAAAUGAGCCAUAGGCCUGCUUAUGUUAUUAGCCUAAGUAUUCAAAUCUGAUUAAUAUUUGGACAGUGUUUAGUUAGCAGUGAGAAAAAAAGUUUUGAAAAUUAGCCCUGUCAUAUUUUAGGAAGCAGUUUAAAAAUGUGAAGUAUGAUAGCCUCCAAACUGUCCUCACAGAGCAACUAGAGAAUUAGCUGAAUUUAAAAAUCUACCACCAGCUAGUUAGGAAAAUUGGUUGAAAUACAUGCACACAUUAUGUGGGUUUGUGGGAAAUAUAUAGUCAUGGAAAUCAAGGGGUGUGGAUUCUGAUCUUGGCUCCACUGUAUUUCCUAGCUGUCCAAACUUGGGUGAGUUACAUAACUUCUCUUUCAGUUUCCUCGAUUGUGAAAUGAGGGUGAUCCCACAGACCUCAGAGACUCCUUACAAUGGAAUGAGAUGCGUAUGAGUUUCAGUUUCCUUGCUUGUAAAACGAGGGUGAUCAUACCAACCUCAAAGACUCCUUACAAUGGCAUGAGUUGUGUAUGUGAAAUAAGGGGAGAGAGAACGCUUUAUUCUGGGGGCAGAGUUAUGGUGGGCAGUCUAGAUCCUUCUCUCUUCUCCCCUACUUCAAGCUUCCCUAAAACUCUUUUUCAUCUCCAAUCUGCUCCAGCUCUUUUUCCUUCCUGGUCCUGUUUCCUUUCAGUGGCUCAUGUUUUUCUCCUGUCAGUGGCUGUCUGUGUUUUCUAAUAUAAAGCCAGUGGGGAAAAGAGGGUGGGGGCGGGUUCCUGGGUGGCUCAGUCAGUUAAGAGCCCAACUCUUGAUUUUGGCUUAGGUAAUGAUCUCGUGGUUCCUGAGAUCAAGCCCCAUGUUGGGCUCUGCUUUGGGCUCUGCACUGAUAGCACGGAGCCUGCUUGGGUUUCUCUCUCCCUCUCUGCCCCUCCCCUGCUUGUUCUCUCUCUCUCUCUCAAAAAUAAAAUAAACAAACAAACAAACAAACUUAAAGCCAGUGGGUGUUGCCACUUCUCUAGUUCUCAGCCUUGCUCUUUCUCAAAGCUGUGUAGCACUGUAGUACCUGCCCUGAGCAGUGUGUUUUCCCUGGCGAGGGGACCUGGGGAAUCCAUGGGACAGACAAAGGCAGGCUUCCUCAUUUUCCUCUCCAACUUUUUUCUUUUUAAAUUCAAACCAAAACAGUGUGGCCUACUUAACUCCUCACGGGCUGAUGGCUUUUUAGUAAGUGGGUGACUGACAGUGUUUAGGGCUGAGCUGCCCAACAGAAAGAAAAUGGAGCCACAAAUGUGAACCACAUGUGUAAUUUUAAAUUUUCUGCUAACCAUAUGAAAACAAAAAUUAAAAAGGCGGAAUUAAUUUUAACAAUAUAUUUGCUUAAUAUAUUUAUCAUUUCAUUAUGUAAUCAGUAUUAUAAAUUAUUAAUGACAUAGUUGCAUCUGUUUUGGGCACGUUUUGAUUUGAACUAGCCACAUUUCUUUUUUUUUUUUUAAUUUUUUUUUAACGUUUAUUUAUUUUUGAGACAGAGAGAGACAGAGCAUGAAUGGGGGAGGGUCAGAGAGAGGGAGACACAGAAUCUGAAACAGGCUCCAAGCUGUCAGCACAGAGCCCGACGCGGGGCUCAAACUCACGGACCGCGAGAUCGUGACCUGAGCUGAAGUCGGCCGCUUAACCGACUGAGCCACCCAGGCGCCCCUGAACUAGCCACAUUUAAAGUGCUCAGUAGACACGUGUGUCCAGUGGCUACUAUACAGGGAAGGUUUAGACAAAUUCUCUCUCUCUCUCUUAAAGCUGUACAACAAUUUUAGGAAUAGGCUAACUCCUCUAUCCCAAAUUCUCCCUAUCAGGCAAGUGGUACACAGGAAGACAAAGUCAAUCAUCUAACAUUAUUGUUCAACUGGUUGGUGCCACACUGAGAACUUGAACUCCGUUCCCUUGACUCAGUUCAUUGCUGUUUUUGUUUUCUUGUUUCUAAUUAAACAUCUAACUUACAGAUUCCACUUUAGAGGUAAAGAUACAGAAGCUCAGACAAAUGAAGUCACAGUACGUCUCACUGGGAGGAAUUAAAAAAUUCCUCCAAGAGUAAAAUGACAAACUCCUGAUGGGAUUAUGUGACAGGGUGGGUAACUCCCCAGCUCCAUUAAUACCAUAAGAAACAAUUCUUCCAAAUUUUGUUGAAAAAGAAAACUGGUGCGUCAGGGGAAAAUGAGCCUUUACAAAAAUCUCUUUGUAUUUCAACUUUAAAUUGGUAUUAAUGACUCCUGGAGUGCAUAGCUCUAGGCCUGGCCCAUAGAAUCUCUCACAAAUGUUUGCUCAAUGUAAGCACUUGGUAAAAAGAAUAGAAAAUUAGGGGCGCCUGGAUGGCUCAGUCGGUUGAACGUCUGACUUCAGCUCAGGUCAUGAUCUCACGGUUCGUGGGUUUGAGCCCCGCGUCCGGCUCUGUGCUGCCAGCUUGGAGCCUGGAGCCUGCUUUGGAUUCUGUGUCUCCCUCUCUCUCUCUGCUCCUCCUCUGCUCUCACUCUGUCUCUCUCUCUCUCUCUCAAAAAUAAAUAAAGAUUAAAAAAAUUAAAAAAAAAAGAAUAGAAAAUUAAAACUAGCAUAAAUAUUGGAAACCAUUUAGUUAGACUAUGAUGAUAAAGUGCCUAGUAACUCAACAAAUUUUAAUAUGUCCUCCCCUCUUAAUGGUUCAGAUGAGAGAAGUGACUUGCCCAAGAUCACACAGCUGAUAAUUUGUAGAACCCAGGUCUCUGUAGAUUGCUUAGUGAUUUUUUUUUCAAACCAUGAUUUCAGCUCCUCUGAUCAGACAGAAAUGAACUGAUAGCUAAGUAAUAUCUUGUGAAUGGAGGAAAUUUGGAACCUCAAGAUACGACAUCUAAACUGGAAAUUUGGGAAAGCAUUUGUGGAGAUAGAGACCUAUCUGUUUCUUGAGAGUGCUAUUAAAAAGCUAGGGGAAUGCAGUUACACAGUUAGUCUGGACUUGUUCCAGUGCCCUGGUAUUUUUUGAAUUUCCCCAUGAACACCUCCCUUGAGGAACAUACCGCACUUGGUACCUCAGGAUGCCUUCUGCAGAUGCAGUUGACAAAGUGGCAGGACAUCUGCGGGGGUGUGUAUCUGAGACAGCCCAGGGGCUCAUUCAAGACACUCUUGCUUUUUGACUCUUGGGUUCGACUCAUUCUUGUUCUUUUUCUUGAGCCUGAAAAGUGCCUAGCACUGUACCUGGACAACUUUCGGGAUGGAGUUGUUUCUGCCCAGACACACUUCUAGGCCCCAGGCUGCCGGUUGUUGAGCACUGACCCCGUGUUCCAGAUAUCCGAGGGUAUGUUUGUGGAAGCCAGGGCUGUGGCAGCAAGGGCUCUGGAGUGGCAUACGUGCUGAGAAAUUUGAUGAAAUCAGGGCACCAUAUAAGUUGGUGUAGCACAGUGAUGUUGCUCUGAGAAGUGAGGUGGAAGAAAAUAUCCCCAGGAUAAAAAAGAACAGGAUGAAAAAUCCUGGCUAAAAAACAAGAUAUGGAUUUUUCCUUCCCAGACAGAUUGUUAAAUAGGCUUUACUUGUUCAGUGGGGUCUGGUAAUGAAAGUUGACAGGAUAUUAAGGUUAUUUCAGGUUCUACUGUCUCCCAGGGUCACAAAAGCCUUCUGUUAUGCAUGUUAAUCCAUCUCAGCGUUCCUGCCAGGAGCUGCCUAAGUAGGGCAAUCGGUUUAGUAUGUACCCUUCCCCUUUCCAGUUUGGUUGAGAGGCAAAACCUACCAAUUAGCAGAAUAUGUAUUGAAAAUCAAGUGACGUUUUUCUUUUCUAAAGACAUAGUGCCAAAAUUUGUGAUUAAUCAAUGAUUAAUUCAACUGCUGUUUCCUCAGAAAUGCAAAGCAAGGAGAAAGCAAUCCCUUCCUUCUCUCCCCCUUUCUUUUUUGGUGCGUGCGUGUGCAUGCAUGCACAUGUGUACAUUUGUGUGCAUAUAUAAAACUUCAUGGUGAAUUUAGACUCACAGACUGGAAAUACUGGUUGGCUCUUGCCAAGCCCAGCUCAUAUGCUAUCUUCCCCCAUCUUCAGGCAUAUCAUUUUCUUAUUUGCAAACUCCCACCAACUAUCCCAUUAGCUAUAGAAGGGGAAACAUCACAAAGAAAACACUGGAGAUGUAAUUAAAUCUUGUUGAAGAGGAGAUUACAGAAGUGUCUCUAAAACUAAUCCAUUACUAAUUGUGGCGUGUCCCCACCAACAGACAUUACUCUGGAUGAUGCUUUCAAAUAGAUUAUAGGGGCACCUGGGUGGCUCAUUUGUUUAAGCAUCCAACUUAGGCUCAGGUCAUGAUCUCACCACUCCUGAGUUCAAGCCCCACGUCGGGCUCUGUGCUGACAGCUCAGAGCCUGGAGCCUGCUUCGGAUUCUGUGUCUCCCUCAGUCUCUGCCCCUCCCCCACUCGCAAUUUGUCUCUCUCUCUCUCUCUCAAAAAUAAAUAAACAUUAAAAAAUAAGGGGCUUAUAAACUUCUUGUGGAUAUAAAAUAACCAGAACAACCUAUUUUGCAAAGCGGUGUUGUUUCAACCCUAAGCUGAUGCAUUCUUCACAACCAAUGACAAUAGUGGAAAAAGCAAGAACUUUAGAAUUCAUUUGAUUGGGUUAGAAUCCCAGCUUUGCCAGAUACUUAGUGUGGACCACAAGCAAUUUGCUAAUCUCUCUAAGCCCCAAUUUCCUCAUGUUUAAAUUGUGAAUGAUUGUACCUAUAUCUUAGGAUUCUUAAAGAUAAAUGAUACAUGUACAAUGUUUGGCUCUAGAAUUGGUGAUCUAUUAAUGGUUACUAUGGUAAAAUGAAGACAAAAUUCAACAUUAGUUCUAGUAAAUUGUUACCACCUUUUGUCUGCUUGUUGAGCCUUGGUGGCAGUAUACCAGAGAAAGGAUGCUAUAUGCCCAAACCUAAGUGGUCAACACAGAAGACAAAAAUACCUCUUUCUACCCACAUUUAUCUUUGAGCAAAGCUAUAAAAGCGAGUUCUAUUCUCUUUUCUCUUGAUAAAAGCAAAAUGUAUUCACUCUAAGUGGCUAUUAGAGGACCAAUCUCUGUACAGCCCAUUCUAUAUAAUAGGUACUCAAAACUCAUUCACUCUAUAAUGGCUUAAUAUUUUCUGUACAGUGACUAGUGGUGGUGUAGGCUCCUAAUAAAACAUUGCAUCAACUCCUGAACCUCUGAAUCUUUGAAGCAGAUGUUUUCCUAACAUUCUGUAAAUACUCCAAUCAUCUCAAACUGCUGGGAUUUCACCUUUGUACCAUUUUUAGAAAUGUGCCCAUUGAGUAAUGGGCCUGUCUAAUCUGUUUGACGUUUAUUGGUACUGCAAGUGUAGCAAGGUUGGGAGAUGUAGCAGAGCACAUUCCAAAUAAAUCAACAGAAGAAAGCAAACUAAAUCACAGGGGGAAAUUACAGUGUCCAAAUCAUUUAUACACUAGUGAUUACCAUUUCACCUGGGUCCAACUGAUGUCACACGAGAGUCUCCAAAGCCCUAGGAAUCAUUCAUCAAUCCGACUAAACCUGCUCAUCCAUGGUUCCACAGUGAAAUCGACCAGUGCGGUGAAGACUUACAAUAGUGUAGGGCAGGAAGAUUAAUUAGUGAUGAGAAGGAACAUGUGGAGAAGAAAAUGGACUGGAUUUGAGGGCUUCUGGCACCAUUUCUGCUAUCAGUUAGCUGUAUGACUUUAGGGGAGUCACUUUACAUCUCUGGACCUCAGUUUCCUAACAAGGUAAUGUAUGUGUAUCUCUGUGUGUAUGUAUUUUUGGAAGUGUGUAUACAGGGGAAAUUGACUGUGAUUUCUCAUAGUUGUAAAAGGAUCAGAACCUCUAUUUCAAAUGAUAUGUAACUCAAAACUUGACACAAAAAACGGAUGAAAGCAGUAUUAAAUGUUUGGAGAAGGGGACCCAGAACAGACUGGACUUCUAUCAUAUGGCAGCUCUAAACAGACUUUCAUAGAUACCGAGAGCUCUUUGGACUAGGUGUGAUUAAAUGAUCUGUAAGUUCUUACCAACUGUUCAAUUUCAUUUUAUUUUAUUAAUGUUAAUUCAAUUUUAUUUAGGUCUGUGGCAAACUCACCCCCACAGGUUAAAUGUUCAACAUAUGCAAAUAUCUUAUUAAUUUCAAAUUUGUUAAUUGGCAAACUAUGCAAACAAUUUGUCAAAUAAUUUAUUAAAGUAGUUUGGCUUUACGUCUCAAGAGUCAGUGGUUUAAGGUCCUGUAGGUUUUACUGAUUUAAAGUCUGAAUUAAUAUAAUGCUUCUUGUGUUUUACUUCUAUCUUUGUUAUCAUUGUAACAAAUGGCCAAACUGCAUUGCUCAUUGUAAACUGUAAGCUCCUUAGGGAGUCUGCUUCCAGUUAGAAUGGAGAGAGUCCCAAGAAACUGUUGCUCUCAUCCUAACAAUGAGAAUAAGUCAGAUUAUCUACAAAAUCAUAGAUUUGCUUUUAACCCAUUAGGGACUUGAGGGAUUCAAAGAAGCCUAAAUGAACUAAAUCCCAGAAAAUUCAGGUUCUUCCUAGAGAGAGACCCAGAGAUGCUGUCAUUCUGGUGGAAGUCAGGUGAAGUGACUCCAACACAUAUUGGAGUAAGGAAAAACUAGACAAACUUUUGAUGAAAUUUUAACAGUUGAAUUUGAGGUGGAAUAAUGAAUUGGCAUCCUGAGGACUUCAGGCAUGGAGCAAGUCUGUAUCUCCCCAUUGACUCUCUCCCAAGAGGUUUCACCUCUUGGUAGUUUAUAGGGUAGGCUAUGAAGACUUGAGGCAGAGCAGGAGAGAUAAAAAGGAUAACUCUAAGCACAGGAGUCCCUCACUAAGUGUUAAGUAGAAGACCACUGGGGGUUGGGGAUAAGGCAGGGAGGCAGAGGGAGAUCUCAUAGGCACAGAAAGCUGGGGGUGGAGCUAGCGAUUUAAAACUAGAGAAUGGGCUGUGAAGCAUAAAGAGAUCUACAGAGUCUCAAGUGUUCACAGAUUUCAAGCCCAGCUGAAAGGAAAGUCCCCAUUCUGCCCACAAAACAUAUAAAACCAAUAGUGAACUGAAUAGGAUUGUGGAAAAGACAAGACCCCACUCAGCUAAGGGUUAGAUUGAACUAAGCGCAUGAUACUAGUAGCCUGACAGAAGAAAAGAGAUAUCCUUUCUGGGUGAGGGAGUAGUACAGAUAUUAUAUAUUUAAAAAUAUUUUUUAAUCAAAGUGUGGUUGACACAUUACAUUAGUUUCAGGUGUACCACACAGUUGAUUUGACAAGUCUAUAGGUUAUGCUGGGUUCACCGCAAAUGUAACUACCAUCUGUCGCCAUACAGCACUAUAUAUAAUAUCAUUGACUGUGUUUUCCAUGCUCUACCUUUUAUUUCUGUGACUUAUUCAUUCCAUAACUGAAAGCGUGUACCUCCCAUUCUUCACCCAUUUCGCCCAUCCCUCUCAUCCCUCUUCCCUCUGGCAACCAUCAGGUUGUUAUCUGUACUUAUGAGUCUGUUUCUGCUUUUUGUAUAUUUGCUUUGUUUUUUAGAUUCCACAUAUAAGUGAAAUCAUAUGAUAAUUGUCUUUCUUUGGCUUAUUUCACUUAGCAUAAUACUCUUUAGGUUCCUCUAUGUUGUCACAAAUGGCAAGAUCUCAUUCUUUCUUAUCGAUAAGUAAUAUUGUAUGUAUGUAUAUAUACUACAUCUUUUUUAUCCAUUCAUCUAUCAGUGGACACUUGGGUUGCUUCUGUAUCUUGGCUAUUGUAAAUAAUGCUGCAAUAAACAUAGGAGUGCAUAUUAUCUUUUUAAAUUAGUGUUUUUGUUUUCUGGGGGAAACACCCACUGGUAGAAUUACUGGAUCAAAAGGUAUUUCUGUUUUUAACUUUUUGAGAAAACUCCAUACUAUCUUCUGCAGUGGCUGCCUCAGUUUGCGUUCCUACCAACAGCGUAAGAGGGUCCCCUUUCUCCACAUCCUCACCAACACCUGUUUUUCGUGUGUGUGUGUGUGUGUGUGUGUGUGUGUGUGUGUGUGUGUGUUUAGCCAUUCUGACAGAAGUAAGGUGAUGUCUCAUGUGGUUUUUACUUGCAUUUCCCUGAGGAUUAGUGAUGUUGAGUGUCUUUUUAUGUGUUGGUUUGCCAUCUGUAUGUCUUCUUUGGAAAAAUGUCUGUUCAGGUCCUCCAUUUUUAAUUGGAUUAGUUGUGGAGUUUUUUGGUGUUGAGUUGUAUAAGUUAUUUAUAUACUUUGUAUUUAACCCCUUAUUGGAUAUAUUAUUUGCAAAAAAUCUAUCAUUCAGUAGGUUGCCUUCUCAUUCUGUUGGUGGUUUCCUUCACCGUGCAGAAGUUUUUUAUUUUGGUGUAGUCCCAAUACUUUAAUUUUGCUUUUGUUUCCUUUGCCUAAGGAGACAUAUCUAGAAAAAUAUUGUGAAGGCCACUGUCAAAGAAAUUACUGCCUAUGAUUUCUGCUAGCAAUUUUAUGGCUUUAUGUCUCACAUUCGGAUCCUUAAUACAUUUUCAGUUUAUUUUUGUGUACGGUGUAAGAAAGUGGUCCAGUUUUGUUCUUUUAUAUGUCGCUGUUCAGUUUUUUUCAGCACCAUUUAUUGAAGAGACUGUCGCUUCCCCAUUGUAUAUUCUUGCUUUUUUUGUUGUAGCUUAAUGGACCAUAUAAGCAUAUAAAGGGGUUUAUUUCGGGGUUCUCUAUUCUUUUCCAUGUGCCUGUUUUUGUGCCAGUACAAUACUGAUUUGAUUAGUACAGCUUUGUGGCAUAUCUUGAAAUUGGGGAUUGUGAUACCCCCAGCUUUGCUCUUCUUUGUCAAGACUGCUUUUGCUCUUUGGGCUCUUUUCUUGUUCCACGUAAAUUUUAGUAUUAUUUGUUCUAGUUCUGUGAAAAAUGUUGUCGGUAUUGUGAUAGGGAGAUUGUACUGGAUCUGUAGAUUGAUCUGGGUAGUGUGGACAUUUUAACAAUAUUCUUCCAAUCCAUGAGCAUGGAAUAUCUUUCCAUUUGUUCAUGUCAUCUUUAGUUUUUUUCAUGAGUGGCUUACAGUUUCCAGAGUACAGGUUUUUCACAUCCUUGGUUAAGUUUAUUCCUAGAUAUUUUAUUCUUUUUGGGGCAAUUGCAAAUGGACUCAUUUUCUUAAUUUCUCUUUCUAUCACUUUUUUAUCAGUGUAUAUAAAUGCAACAUAUUUCUAUUCAUUAACUUUAUAUCAUACAACUGUACUGAUUUCAUUUAUUCUAAUGGUUUUGGUGGAGUCUUUAGGGUUUUCUACAUAUAACAUCAUGUCAUCUGCAAAUAUUACUGACUUCAGUAUACACCAUUCUUUUACAUAUAAUGUUCAGCAUUCAAUAAAAAAAACACAAAACAUGUGAAGAAACUGGAAAAUGUUAACCGUAACUAUCAGAAAAAAGAUAGUAGGAGCAAAUUGGUACAUGUCCCAGAUGUUAAAAUUUUCAAGAAAAGAACUUUAACAUAACCAUAUAGAAGCAAAAAUAGUUUUUUCAACAAAUGAUGCAGAAAUAGCUGAACAUCCAGGUAGGAAAAAAAGAAUCUAGUCAUAGACCUUACACCCUUCACAAAAAUUAACUCAAAAUAAAUAGACCUAAACAUAAAAUGCAAAACUAUAAUAUUCCUCAAAGGUAAGAAAGAAGAAAAACCAAGAAUACCUUGGGCAUGGUGAUGCCUUUUUAGAUACAGCACCAAAGCCAUGAUCUGUGAAAGAAAAAAUUGAGAAGUUAGAUUUUAUUAAGAUUAAAAACUUCUACUCUGCAAAAGACAAGGUCAAGAGAGUAAGGUCAUAGACUGGGAGAAAAUAUUUGUAAAAGACAUAUCUGCUAAAAGACUGAUAGAUAAAAUACACAAAUAAAUCUUAAAAGUUAACAGAAAAGAAAAAAAAAACAUUAAAAAAUGGAUCAAAGACCUUAUUAGAUACCUCACUACAGAAAAUACACAGAUGGCAAAUAAACACGUGAAAAAUGUUCCAUGUCAUAUGUCACAGAAAGGCAAAUUAGAACAAUGAGAUACCACUUCAUACCAAUUAGAGUGGCCUGAAUACUGGACAAUGACAAUACCAAACGCUGGUGAGGAUACGGAGCCACAGAAGCUUUCAUUCAUUGCUGGCGAGAAUGCAAAAUGGUUCAGCCACUUUGCAAGGCACUGUGACGGUCUCUUAUAAAGCUAACAUACACUUACCAUACAAUCUAGCAAUCACACUUCUUUAUAUUUACCCAGAGGAAUCGACAACUUAUGUCUACACUGAAGCCUUCAUGUGAAUAUUUAUAGCAGCUUUAUUGAUAAUUGCCAAAACCUGGAAGCAACCAAGACGUCCUUCAGCAGGUGAAUGGAUAAAUAAACUGUGGUACAUCUGGGCAAUGGAAUAUUAUUUAGUGCUAAAAGGAAAUGAGUUAUUAAGCCAUAAAAAGACACAGAUGAAUCUUAAACGCAUAUUACUAAGUGAAAGAAGCCAAUCUGAAAGUCUAUUGUACGAUUUCAAAUAUAUGCCAUUCUGCAAAAGGUAAAACUAUAGAAAUAGUAAAAAGAUCAGUGAUUACCAGGGGUUGGCUGUGAGAGGGAUGGGUAGGCAGAGCCCAGAGAGCCUUUAGAGCAGUGAAAAUAUACUGCACAAUGCUUAAUGAUGGAAAUGUUCUAUUACACAUUAGUCCAAGCCCAUAAAAUGUGCACCGAGAGUGAACUGUAAUGUAAACUAUGGACUUUGGGGGAUUAUGAUGUGUCUGUGUAGUUUCAUGAAUUGUAACAAAUGUACCACUCUGGUGGGGGUGUUGAUAAUGGGGAAGGGUAUGUAUGGGGGGGGUAUAUUGAAAAUCUCAGUAUCUUUCGGUUUUGCUGUGAACCUAAAACUGCUCUUAAAAAUAGUCUUUAAAUGAAUAACCAUGGAAGUAUAUUAAAAUCUUAAUGGAACAGGUUGACAAGAAACAUGAAUACAUAUGGGGAAUGUUAGCACAGAAAUGGAAACAAAAAGAAGCAAAGGAAAUGUUUAGAAACGAAGACAACUUGGAACAAAGAAUUUAUUUGAUGGACUUAACACCAUAAUGCUUUGUGUUACUUUUUUAAAAGUAGUUUCUCUAGAGAUUACAAUAUGUUUAUGUGUUACCACAAUCUACCUUCAGAUGAUAUUAAAUCACUUCACUAACAAUUUGGAAACCUUAUAACAAUAUAAUUCCAUUUAUACCUUUCUUACUCUUCAUGCUUAUGUUCUCAUAUAUUGUAGUGGUCAACUUUUAGAUUUGGGUAUUUCAUAUAUAUAUAUAUAUAUAUAUAUAUAUAUAAUUCAUUCAGCAUGUUCAAUCUUUCCUCAAUCACUAACACAUGGCAUACAACCAUAAUAACUUAAUGUCUUUGUCUAUUAAUUUUAUCAUGUGUCAUCUCUGGGUCAGUUUUAAUUGAUUGAUAUUUUCCCCCUACUUAAUGGAUUCUGUUUUCCUUCUUCUUUGCUUGCUAAGUAACUUUUGUCAGGCAUUGCGAAUUUUGCCCUGUUGUGUUUCUGAAGAUAUUCUUGAGCUUUCUUCUGGAACAUAGUUAUGUAACUAAUUAAGAAACAAUUUCAUCCCUUUAGAUCUUGCUUUUAAAAGGAAGCUUUAUUAGGUAGGACCAGAGCGGCAUUUAGUCCAGGGUUAAUUUUUUCCCACUGCUGAGACAAGGCUGUUCUUAGUACUUUAACAUAGGCGUCUGUCAGCAAACUUUUUCUGUAAAGGGCCAGGCAGUAAGUAUUUUGGGCUUUGAGGGCUCUCUAGUUUCAGUCCCGAUUAGUCAACUCUGUCAUUGCUGCACGAAAGCAACCAUAGCAGAUACAUAAAGAAGUGAGUGUGGCUGUGUUUCAGUAAAACAUUAUUUACAAAAAUCAGUGAUGGGCUGGACUUGGCUUGGCACCAUAGUUUGCCUACCCCUGCUCUAGUCAAUCCACCAUGAUUUUUGAGGUUUGCUCUUCUGGCUGUGGGAAACAGGCACUGUUCUGGGCACUGUUUGCUUAAAUCCUUUUGGGCAGUUUCCUCACUUUCAUUUGCUCCUCAGUACUUAGUAGAGUAUUUGAGGAGGGGUCUUGUUCAAAUCUUGGAAUUUUUCUGGUAGUGCAGCUCUCUCUCCCCCCAGUACUCUGCUCUGUGAACUGUUGGUGCUCAGGCUUCCCUGUUCACCCUCCUGCGUUUCCUCUGCUUCUGCUCUUCCCAGGCUCCCCUCCCUGCACGAGGAUCUGUAAUAUUUCUCUAGGGAGUGAGCUGGGGCGCUUGCUCUUCUCACCUCCUUUGCUUCCUCAGGGAGUGGGUCCUUCCAGUAUUUUAGGGGUAAGGAUAAAUCUGGCAUUUAUCUUUGCCAGAACAUAUAGUAAUGAUAUAUCAUGUCCAUGAUACGUGAAGCCACAUCUCCACGUUAUUUUCCCCUAGAACUUUCAAAUAGAGCUUGUAAGCAAAAAAUAGUCAAUAUCAGGCACACAACAGAUGAUGUUAGCCAUCUGUAAAACUAACCCCAUCUUAGAGGAUGGUCGGGAGCAAAGUUAUUGAAGAAGGCUUGAGAAAUACCCAGGUCCAGUCAAGAUCACUGUAGUGUAUUCUCCGAAAUUAAUGAUAGCUGAGGAAGCUAAAAUAGGAUCAACUUGUCUAUCUGAAGAAUUUAUUCAUCAUAUUUAUUUAAUAUUACCUGCGAUGCCUGCAUUGGGCCCUAAUUUAUAAUCCCCUUGGUAGCAAAGGCAUAUAACUCUUUUAUCCUCUCUGUUUGAAUCUAGCGUCUAGCAUAGGGCAUAAGAAUGUUUUGAAAGUUGCUCGGGUAAUUCUAAUAUGUAGUCAGGUGCUUUUAAUAUGCCUGCAUGUUGGAUAAUCCUAAUUGAAGCAGCAUCUCAUAUGAGACACCCUCUCUUCAAACUGUAGUAAUCCAAAAAAAAUUUUUUUUUCAGUAAGUAUUUACUGAAGGUUUUGUGUACUGAGAACUUAACAGGUGCCCAAUAUAUACAUAGUAAAUAUAAGGUAUAGACCAUGCCUUCAAAAUGCUUACCAUCUAACUGGGGAAACAAAACAAAUACAUGUGAAACAAAAACACAAGCGGUGGUGAUUAGCUCCUGAAUGCAGUGGACUGACUAUACAUGCUGUAGAAGGUCAGGAAAGGAGAAAAUCAGUGCGGGCUAGAACAGUCAAGGCAGUCUGUCUCAGAAGAAUGCGUAUUUCAUUUCAAAUAAAAUGUUCUGAAAGUACAAAGAACAUUCUUACUUGUAAGAGCCAGUUCUUUUAUUCCUCAUUUUAAGAUGGAUCAAUCAAAGACUUGAGAACUACUCUACACAGCAUACUCAAAGUUAAUGAUUUCCUAAAAAGUGUUUUAAUAGCCAAUUUAUUAGUCUCUUCAAUGUCUGGAAAUUCUGUUCUUGGCAAUUAAAAAUUUUUUCCCACUAAAAAAGCGUAUGUGAUACCAUUAUUAUUACUACUUUAUUGGAGAUGAAAAGGGAGAAAUGUCUACAUCUAAAACUAAUCGUUAGUGUUAUAGUUUUUGGAAACCCAAGAAAGUUUUGCCAUAAACCCAUCUCCUCCUUUGCAACAUGUGCCUUUAUGAAGGGGAACGAUUUAGUCCACAUUUUCCUGAUUUAUUUUACCUAAACAGUGCUUUGUGAAAAUGGUUAAGUCUUUGAGACAAAAUUGCAUGAAAGCUUUUCAGUAAGGUUUUAGGACUGUCUGUCAGAAAACCAAGAGAUCAUUUUGCUAAGGAUAGGAGAAAUUAGAGACCCCAAUGGGGCUCCAGAUCAGAAAGAUGCAGAAAGCUUUCUCCCUCCCCCCUUUUCCCACUUCCCUCCCUAAAUGCCCACUGUAAGGCUUGCACACUUGUUGGGGGACCCUUGCCUUCUUCGGCAUGGGUAGAUGGAGGCCUUGUCUGAAAUAGCAGUAGCGUAGCACAUCCUGUUCAAGGAACAGCAGCGUCUGUACUUAGUGCCUAAUGCCCCGAGCAGCUGUCUGGGUUGCUUGCCCCCAAAUUGCCUUUGGAGAGAGGUAAACAAAUGUGGACAUCCAAUGGAGUAUAUUUGAAACUGACCUCUGAGGCCAUCUAUUUUAAGCGGAUUGUAAUUUUGCAAAAGACAUGGCCUCAUUCCAAAUGUUUAUUUAGUGUUGAAUGGGCUCCAACUGGCUGGUUGGUCCAUUUUUUUUUUUUUUGAUGGUGUUGAAAACAUUAAGAAAGAUACCAGUAAUAGAUGCUGGAUGUGCAGUCAUCUUGGUGUCCAGUGAUUCAUCCUGCUGGGUUCCAGAACCAAAAUUCCCAUAAGGGAGAGACAGGCAAAGAAGCCUGGCUAUAUGGCAGCUGGUUUUGUGGCAACUACUAUUAUUUCUAUGCCUCAUACCCCAACAUUAAUCUUGUUUAGUGAAGAGCCUUCUAAGUCCUUACCAACAGAAUCCUUUCUCCUAGAAUAGACACGACAUGCAAAGCACUGAGCUAAGCUGUCUGAACAUGAUCUCCUUUUGUCCUCACAAUGACCAUAAGAAGGUAUUAUUACCCUUAUUUUAGAGAGGUGAAAAUUGCAGUUCUAAUUGUAAGUUUGAAGUGAAGUUUUGACCCGAGGUCAUUCUGAUUCCAGAAGUUACUCUCAUUUCAUUUAAUUUCAUGAAAAAUUCAUAUUAACCAGAUUUCCCCUCUCCCCCAUCUGUAGCAAUUCCUUUUCCUCCUACCUAUCCCUGAGAUGGAUUUUGGCUCCAGGAUGUAACAAAAUGAAUGCCUGGGGACGAAUCUUCUAUUCUUUCAUAAGUGGUAGCAAUUUAUCGUCCAAGUGCAAAAGAAAGAGCCCUUCAGGGGAUCGUACACGUGACCAUAUUUUCCUCCACAUAUUUAGAAAGAAAACAAACAAAAAAAAUCACUUGCCUAUCCUUCAGCCUCAGCUCACUUGCCUUUGUGCCCCAAAUGUCAGUUGGCUCUUAGAAGACAUGUCUCUGAAUAGGACAGGACCUUGGGUUAAAAGGGCCAUGGGUUAAAUUAAUGACACAGUUGACUCUGAAAUUGGCUCUGGUGUGGAGAAGGGGGAUUUACUCAGCCUAGUUCUCUCGUGCAGUUUUGGGGCUCUUUCACUGAAAGGGAUGAGUAGUCUGUUCCGAGACAGCUCUGUGGACAUCCAUCCCUAGCACCUAGAGUCACCCCCCAUGGCAAACCAUUAGAAGUGAAAACACGAAUUGUUCCUGGGCUUCCAAGCCCCACCCUCCUCUCCUCUCUUUUAACCGUCUUGGAAAUUACCUGCAUCGGGGCAGAUCUGUUUCUCUAUGCAGCACUUUCAGGAACUUGAAGAGUUGCUGAAGGAAGGGAUAAAUUUUAGGAGCUCUAGAUUCUAAUUAACUUUCCCUCUAAUUAGCUCUGUCACCAUUCCUUUGUGAAUGCAACCGUGACUCUUAAAAGCAAAGGGAGGUGCUGAGAGUGGCAGCAGCUCAAGUCCAGGAAGCUCAUAGAAUUCUUUCCCUUCCCAAGAUUUGAAAGGAAAAAUCAUCCAAGAAUGUGGUGGCAUGAGAGAGAAGGGGGGGAAGUGGCGAUGCUUAACGCAAACUGGAUGUUGCAAUUCUCUACAGAAACAAGUAACAUUUUUUUCUUUUUUAAAUGUUUAUUUAUUAAAUUCCAGUAUGGUUAACAUACAGUGUUAUUUAUUAGUUUCAGGUGUACAAUAGAGUGAGUGAUUCGACAGUUCUGUGUAUUACUCUGUGCUCAUCAUGAUAAGUGUGCUCCUUCAUGCCCUUCACUGUUUUCCCCCAUCCCCCACCCCUCUCCCCUCUGUAACCAUCGGUUUGUUCUCUGUAGUUAAGAGUCUGGAUUGUUUGUUGUUGUUGUUUUUUUGGUCUUUUUUACUUUGUUCAUUUGGUUUGUUUCUUACAUUCACGUAUAAGUGAAAUCAUAUGGCCCCUGUCUUUUUCUGACUUAUUUAGCAUUAUACCAUCUAGAUCCUUCCAUGUUGUUGCAAAUGGCAAGAUUGCAUUCUUUUUUAAAUAUAUAUUUAGUUUUUUAUAUUUAAUUUUUUUAAUGUUUAUUUCUGAGAGAGCACGAGCAGGGGAGGGGCAGAGAGAGAGAAUGAGAGGGAGAGGGAGGGAGGAAGGGAGGGAGGGAGGGAGGGGGGAGAGAGAGAGAGAGAGAGAGAGAGAGAGAGAGAGAGAAUAUGAGAAUGAAUGAGAAUCUGAAGCAGGCUCCAGGCUCUGAACUGUCAGCACAGAGCCCAAUGUGGGGCUUGAACUCACAAACCAUGAGAUCGUGACCUGAUCCAAAGUUGGAUGCUUAACUGGCUGAGCCACCCAGGUGCCCCGAUUUUAUUCUUUUUUAUGGCUGAGUAAUAUUUCAUUGUGUAUGUAUACAACAUCUUUUUUGGCCACUCAUCUAUUGCUGGGCAUUUGGGCUGCUUCCAUAUCUUGGCUAUUGGAAAUCAUGCUACAAUAAACAUGGGGAUGCAUAUAACUUUUUAAAGUCAAGUAACUUUUUCAUAUAUCAGUGAAUAUAUUUUCUCAAUAUCCCCAUGCCAUGUGUGCCUUCCUUUCCAUGACAUUGAAUGGCUGGCCACCAGCUACAUGAUGAUCCAGUUUUCCAGUGGUGCAAAUCACCUCUUCUUGUUUCUCUCCUCUCCUCCAUUCUCUUUUGUCCAAUAUACUUGUCUUCUAUCUUUGGGAUGUACUUGCCUGAUUCUGGGCUACUUGCUGUUCAUAAUGUCUGCAUCACCUACAAAUGCUUGGUUCUUUUCUCUUUACCUACUGAAAUUCUUCCUAUUUCUUGAGGUAUAUUUCAAAUAUCACCUGUCUAAUAAGGUACGUCACACAAAUUCUCCUCCAAUAAAUAGUCACGGAUGCAUUUUCUUGGUUAUUCUUGCUGUAGUUCAUGGUUUUUACUUUUCCAAAAUAUAUGGAUUUUCCAUUUUAAAAUCUUUUUAAUUUUUUAAAUGUGUAUUUAUGUUUUUUUGAGAUAGAACACAAGGGGGGAAGCACAGAGAGAGAGAGAGGGAGAAUCUGAAGCAGACCCAAGGCUCUGAGCUAUCAGCACAGAGCCCGACACGGGGCUUGAACUCAUGAACUUUUAAAUCAUGACCUGAGUUGAAGUCAGAUACUUGACUGACUGAGCCACCCAGGCGUACCACCGCCCCCCCCUUUUAAUUUCAGUUUCUUAUAACUCAUUCCGGUUCCUUCUCCCAGUUUAUGGGUUAUAACACAUUAAUGUGAUCUUGCCAGUCAAAGGAUCUUUCUCUGUGCUCUCUCUAGUCUUUCUCUUUGACUACUUGAUUCUGUUCUCUCCACAGAGUCCCGGGAGACUCUGCAUUUUGAGAUGUCAUUGCCAUUGCCUUCGAAGUCUUCUUUAUAAGCACAUUCUCUCAUUUCUCUCUUUCUAUUUCCAUGGUUUCAAUCCUAGCACCUAGCAUAGUUGCUGUUACUUAUGGACUUAUCUGUUCAGCAUUUCUCCUCCCCCAUGCCCUCUGCAAAAUUCCCUCUCAAGUAUUGUUUCUCUUCCGCAACGUCACUUUUCUUCCCAACCAUUAGUCGUAUGUCCAGGUUACCUCAGUGGAGCGUGCUUCUGAAAUAUUGCUUUUCUCCUUCUCCUACCUGUAGCCUUUCCCUUCAAACAGCUAGGCAGCUAAUGUUCCUACCCCCAGCUCUGCCUUCUAACAGCUUCUGUUGCCUCUUGCUUAUACACAGGCCAAAUGCUCCCAGUGGGCUGUCCCUCCUGCAGAGCUCAUGCUAAUGGAGCCGGAUUGAUGUCCACCCUCAGAGGAACCACGCAAAAGCUCAGAGCCUGGGGCAAAACGUGAAUCCAGCUGUGUCUCAGGUCCAUUGCCACGCAGCUGCUCCCCUUUAUCUGCCGUGAGGCCCUGGGUACAACCUGCCAAGACCACUGGCACCCAGGUUCUUAAUCAUUUAUUGAGAUCACUUUUGAUUCUGAAUUGUCCUUUUGUUUCCUGACACCUCUGUGAGCUGUUCAUUGGUGUCUUCUUUGCCCUUCUUUCUGCCUGACCACCAAGGACUUGAGCUCUUGCUGAAUCACCUCUCAUCUCGAGGACUGUCUCAUUCUCAGACUGCUCGUGUGAGCUAGAUCCCUCAGCCUGGCUGGUCUUCCCCUUUCUAAGAAUAUGAUCUGCCCUUGCCAGCGCUACUCAGUCUUUCAGGAUCUGCCUGUCUUCCUGGGCCUCCUCCUGAUCCUCAUCCCAGAUCAAUUUAAUGAUUACAUGUUGAGUACUUGGUGUAUCCAAAGCCUUGUGUAACUUGUGCGAGAGGUAAAUAAUGAGUACUCAAGGAGUUUAUAAUUUAAUGGAGAGAUAAUUAGGCCAAUUUAUUUGUAAAAGUCAGAUUGUGAUGAAUUCCAUAAGCGAUAUUCAGGAAAGUGAAAGAUGAAGUCCUGUGUGUGUGUGUGUGUGUGUGUGCGUGCGUGCAUGCAUGUUGAGGCAGGAUGGUGGUGGUCAGGACAGUUUGUAUGAAAGAGAUGGCACGUGGGAUUGAUUUAAACUUGGAUAAGGUCAUAACCAGGGGAAAUAUGUUUGGAGGAAGAGUGAAGUUUGGCUAAACUUGUAGUAAUGUUAAUGUCCUACUCAUUAAAUGACACUGACCUCCAGUCACUGAGGCAAACAAACACAACUCUGACACGAUUUCCAAAUGCUCUGGGGGUGGUACCGCCCUCCUCAUGCAAACCAUCAAAACAUGGACAUCACAUCAGAAAAUCUAAAGAGACCUGCUGAACUGAGGAGUCUAUGCCUCAGUAGGAUUCAGUGGGAAGCCACUGGAUGUCCUUGAGCAUGGGAUGACAGACUCUAAGAUACUCUCUGGAAAGAAUUAGGAUAUUACCCUGGCAGUGAAAUAGAGCACAGCACACAGGAGAGGCUGGGGGUCAAGGGAGAAUGGAGUCCACAGUGAUCCCCAGGUUUUCGCCUGAUGACUAGGAGCACAGAGGUGCCAUAUACAGAAAUAGAGAGGUCAGAAAGAGGACGUGGCUUCCGGGAAAGACGAGGAGUUCAAUUUGGAGCAUGUUGUUUGCGUAGCCCAGGGGGACAUGAAUGACUGGAGCGGUGCCAUCAAAGUCCAGCAGCUACUUAAUGGAUAUGAAUGAUGCUAGUUGAAAGGCUAUUUUUUUAAGGUCUUUAAAACAAAUUGUUUCUUAACUAAGCCCAUCACACAUGGCCACCCCCUAGUCACCUUGCCUCAGCCACCCUCCUCAUCUGUUUCUUUCUUCUCUCUCUUUUUUUUUUUUUCCUUCUCUCUCACUUCCUUUCUUUUUUAACACUGAGCAUAAAUAAACUCCAUCCCAGGUCAGGUCAGAAUGUUCCCGAAAUUGAAAUUAGUAUUUCGAAUUAGUGAAAGACUGAGUUUUUAAAUAAAACAUUAGGUAAUGGAUGUACCAGGAACGAACUAAAAAGAUGCAAGCUUUUCUCACUGAUUUUAGCUUUAUUCCCCGGUGUCUCUCACUGAAGGAAGGUCCUGAUCAACAAGGCACGGGCCCAUAGGAUCCAGAAUUGCUAAAGUAAGUUUUCUCCUCCGGGGGGAGUCCCUGAGGAAGCUUAAUCCGGCUGAGCCGUUUCAGGGUUUCAUAUUCUUCCCCUAAGUAAAUUAAAUCACCAGCACAUCUCAUCACAGAGGCCGGCAUAAAAGCCCGCUAUACCUUUUUGGCAAGCAGGGCUUGAAAUGGAGCUUUUCGAAAUGCUAAGAGUCUGCCCUCCCUCCCCCCUCCCCCAGCCAUCUGUUUGGGCCAGUGGAGCUGUGGAGCUGUAUCCUGGCUGGGCCUGGGGGUGGGAGGAGGUGGAGAGGGGGACAGGGCCAGGGUGGCAGAUUUCAUCCACAUGUGAGCCAAAUCAAACCCAAAUGGGCUCCUGUUCAUGUUUCUCUCUUCCGCUCUGUAACUUCACGUAAUUCUCCCCCGAAGCAGGCAGUUAUCCUAUUGGAUAUUUGCUCAGAGAGAGUGGCUAUCUACCCCCCAGCCCCAACUUUGAAAGGGUCUUAAACGUGAGGGUAAACGAAUACAAGUAGGAACGCAUUGGGAAGAUACAGUAGGGAAGCCUUCUGUGGCUCUGCGAGCAGAUACAAAUGCCGGCUUAAUUAGAAAAUCAAUCUUGCUGUCCGGCUGAUUGAUUGCAAACCUCCGCUGGAGGUGGGAAAGAGUCGAGUCAUGACGAGAUAAUUUUUUCCUAUUACUAAAAGGAGGGCUAAUGUACAUCUAAGCAAUUCAGCGUGAAGAACUUGUUGAAAACACGCCACCUUUUCCCUCUUGUUAAUUGAAUCUUUGGGGGAGGGGAGGAAGAAUAAGAGAGUCUGCGUUUGUUUGUGAAAACUUACUAUUUUUUUUCCUCCCGAAGGGUACCAGGGUUCCAAGAGGUGACUUAAUCACUUUCUUCAAGGAAAUGGAAGUGUUUUUACGGGGAGGAGGAUAGAUGCCCUCCCACCACAUCUACAGAACACUGACCUAGGAGGGUUUAUAUUGCUGGAGGAAAGAAUUCACACUGCUGACGAUCAGUUCACACUUUUUGGUGUGAAGUGUGUUCACCAACGUGCACAGUGAGGGUAAAGGUCGGAUAUUUGCUCAGAUGAGUGCACAGUGAGGGUAAAGGUCGGAUAUUUGCUCAGAUGAGGAACCUGGCUGGGAGAGUGUAACCUGACCAAGGCCAUGUGGAGAGGAAAUGGGGGAGCCUGGGAGAAUGGCAACCUGUCCUCAAGACCUUUGUGUUCCCCCCGCAGGGCACUUGGCUUCUUAAGAUAGACUCUCAUGGUAGCUGACCUGUUUCUGUUGUCUCUCUCUUGCAUCACAUUGGUUCUGUGGUCUGAUCUGCUUUUCAUUCCCACCCUGUACACAUCCUUAAUCCAGAAUAGCAGGUCUUGCUUGAUUGAGUAGAGUUCUCACACUUCUCAUCUGCACUGGUCACCCUUCACUCUUGAAAAUACAAAGCAUUUUUGCCUCAGUCAUGGAGUGCUGUUGAUGGUGUCUCUGUUGUUUUAACUCUUGUCUUUUCACAAAUCUGUGUAAGGAUGCAACUAUAGCUCUCCUCCACUAAGGUUGGUGUCUACUAAUCUUUUUAUCAGCCAAAAAAAGUCUCUUGGAAAAUGCCUGCUGCAACUAAGUUUGGAAGGAUUUUAGGAAUUUCCUAGUUUAGGACACCAAGAAAAAAUAAUCUAGGUCUAAUGGAUCCUGGAAGAAUUUUCCCUAUUGCUUAGAAACUUUCUCUGGCUUCUUUCCUGUCUCCCAGUAUCUCAAUUGUUCCCUAUGCUUCCAGCCCAUACCCUUCUCCAGCCCACAUUGGCCCUUAAACUUAAGCUAAAAUAUCUUUUCUCUCUCGUUUCAGUCAAGUUUUGCCAUUCAGCCACCUCACACACUCUUAAACAUGUCUUAUGUCUGUCAUAUUUAAUCAUUUCCAAAAAGCCUACAGCCAACCUCAAGCUUAUUAGUGAAAUGGAAUCUGCUGCAUUCUUUGGGCAGUGUUCAUCACAAACUUCAUUUUAUGAAAAAUAUAGUGAGGCUUGCUUGCUAAAAUCAAGAGAAAUUAUUUGUGGUAAUGGUCAGACAUGGUAAGAGUAAUUAUGCAGAUAGUUUUAAGAUCUCAUUUUCUCAUUUUGGAUAUUCACUUCAGCAUAAUGGACUUAUUUAUUAUGUAAUGUUACACGUUUCAGAAUGAAUCCUUGAUGGUAGACCCAGAGAAGGCAUCAGCCUUCAUCCCGUGAAACCCACCAAACCGAAAGAAAAAGAGGGGAUGUGACUUCUUGAAGAUCGUGCAUAUGGAAACCUCUGACUUAUAAAGGAAACAUAUAUUUUAUAAGGAGCAUUGAUCUGAGGUACCCGUGUUUUUUCUAUUCUGUGAUCCUCUAGGCAUGGUGCUAAAAGGCAGCGAAUUAACUUAAGUAUUGGGAGUAGAAGGAAGAAGAAUGAUUAACUCCAGAGGCUUUGAGAAUUUGCGUGUCUGUGUUUUAAGGGGGAAAAAAAAGGAUAACAAUAAAAUGUCUGCAUAAAUAUUCUGUGCAUUGUGAACUUUUACCACUGCUAUCUUGGAACACAGUUCACGUAUUUUGAGGUAGAGUAUAAUUAUUAUGAUUUUUCUCCUAUUUCAAAGGUCACGCUAUUCAGCCCAAUUUAGAAAUCUGGGGAUUGAGGCUUAGAAAUGGUAGAGCAUGUCCCCAAGGUCACACAAAUCCUUGAUGGCAAAUCUAGAAAAUCCUUCUUAUCUAACUCUAAAGUUUGUGCUCUCAACCUGCUAAGUACGGUAUUCCCUGUGUGCUUAUGAAUAUAGAAAUAAUUUUUUGUGUGUGGGAGGAAAGAAGAAACCUGAUACCUGAAUUUGACGUUGUCUUAGAAAAUAUUUUGCCUCUGGUUUUAUGCAAAAAAGUCCAUUGUUAAGCUAUGAUGAGGAAUAAGCUGAAAACUGAUGAUGGUUUGGGUUUCAUUUGCUCUGAGGUAUGGUAAAACUCAUAAAAUACAGUUAAUUCUUAGAAAAAUUUCUCCUUUACAUAUUAAGUUAUAAAAAUGUUACAAAUGUCUUAAAACCUUGAGAUAAAUUAGCCAUGGAUUUAUGGCACAAUAAUAUUUUUAAGUGCUGCAAAAUUUUAUGGAGGGCUUCACAUUUCAGUGGUAUUUCUUUAAAUAUAAAGAAUUCUAUAGAAAGUCUUGAGAUAAGGAAUCUUCCCUUAAGCUUUUCCAUCCCUCUUUCUGCUCUGGCUUUGAGAGACAUUUGGAGUCCACUCACUUGGUGUUAUCAGUAACUUUGUGAACCGACUUAAGGUAAAAAUGAAGGCAGAAUUGACCUAGAGUAUUUGAGUUUUAGGAGGUGGGGUUUGGCAAAAAGAUUACCUAUUGGAGAGCAAAAAUGGAUUGCUUUAGGAAUCCCUAGUAAUCCCUUGCAUGGUCUGCUGGCUGAAAGAGAGAGUCUGAAGCUCAUCUUACUUAGGAAAUAUUUGUUAACGGUUUUGGAACUGAACAAAGACCUUUUUUUUUUUUUUGCUAGACUGGCAUUUUCUCCAUCUGUGGUUUUCUGUUUAUUUCUAAGUAAUUCCAGAUAAUGAUAGUAAAUAAAACAAACAGGCAUCAGACCCUUUGUGCAUCCUGGUGUUCUGCAAACAUAGAUGUAUCAUGUGAAAAGAAUGUUGAUUACUCCUGAAAAAUGAAAUGAAGGCUAAACAUUCCCGUGAUAUUUUAAAUCUUACACACACCUCUGUUUCCAUUGCUCUCCCCAAUCCCACUUUGUUGUGUGACUUGGAAAAUCACAAGGCAGGCCUCUGCAAGUGUCGUACACCAAGCUGCUACGGCUGGCCAGACACGUGGGUUUGUUUUCUUGGUGGCUCUUUCCCACCACCAGUGAGUGAGGCCAGAGAGACAUCACUUUUCCCAUUUCAUAGAGAUGUUAAUGACAUAGCCAAUAUUACAUAGCAAGUAUCCUCAGGAUUUGAGCCUAGGAUUGAUUCCAAAAUCCAGCCUCUUUUCACUUCUUACCGUAACACUGUAUUUCAUGAACAUUUUUAGGGACAAUUCUAUACUUGUCUCCUUUCAGAAGAACAAGUAUAAGUCUUAGUAAGAUUUUGGAUAAGAGAGUAACAUUGAGUAGGCAAGGUAAGACUGAGCCAUUCAUAGGCUCAACUAGAGAUUUCAUAAAUAGCCACAAUUGACAGAUUUCACUGUGGACAGAUGGCAGUUUUGGCUAGCAUCAGCUCGAUUCCUCGAAGGUAACUCUUUGCCACCAGUGCUGGUCUCUCUUACACUCACUUGGGCGGGCUCAGUGUGGAGUGCAAUGGUGAGGAUUCCUCUGGCUUGAUGUGAAUCUUAAUAUUUCAUACUGUCAGAACUGAAAUGAAAGGGGAAGGGAUAUACUUUGUAUGUUCUUCCCUCUUUCUAAAAAUAUUGCCACAAAGGGCCCUGGAAUGUAGGUUGAAGAGACCUAUAUCUGGAAUUCCUAUCUUCUCUCAGAAGAUCACAUUACUGUGAUCAUAAGAGACUCGACUUAUUUUGAGAUCAGAUAUACAGUUGGUAAAUGAAUUAUAUUUUAGGUUUGAGUUAAACUCCUUUUUCCUUCCAAAUUGUCCCAGAUAUAACUGACCAGGCACCCUUCCACUUUAUAUUCUUGUUUAUUUAGAGGAAAUAUAGUCCUUAUGUUUCACAUUCAUUUAUAAUUAACACAUCAAAAUAUUAUGUGGCAAUGAGCAUUUGAUGUCCCCUGGAAGACUCUUGGGGUGCUUUUGAUAAGAUUUACUUCUUAUAAUUAGGAAAUUGUAUUAUGUCUGGAGACAAAGUUUCCAAAGGGCCCAGGUUAAUUCAAAGCUUCAUUCAGGGUUAUGGAAAGCUGAGUUUGGAAGAGUGAUUUUGAAUAAUUAACUACUCUCCAAAACUACCUGUGAAAACUGCUGGAUAAGAGAUUACUAGACUCCUCAAACAGCUUGCUUUAUUGUCUCUUGUCCAACCACAAUGAACAAAUUGAUAGAUAAAUUAUUCUAUUUACCAAAAUGUGUAAUGACAUGUUUUAAACAUUAUGAGCUCCGAAUACAUAGUGGAACAUUUGACUACAUAAAAAUUAAAAGCAAAUGAUUAACUGGUAAAUAAUAUUGGCAACAAAUAUGCUAAGAGCUAUUUAUUUAACAAAUGAAAAAAUAUAUUUGAAAAUAAAAAUGUAAAUAUCCCAUUAGGGAAAUGGAUACAAGACAGAAGGAAAUACGAAUGUAUACACCCACAUAAAUGAAAAAUCAACAUAUGCAAAAUAUUUGGUUCUAUUAAUAGUCAAAUGCAUCCACAUUAAAACAAUGAGAUCAUUUUUAGACUAGCAAACUGGCAAAAUAAUGUUAAAAUAUGAAGUGCUACAAAGAGGUUUUUUUUUUUUUUUUUUUUUGAUAGUCUGGUUGAAGUACAAGCCAGUACAAUUUUCCUAGAAAUGCAUUUAACAAUAUGAAUCAACAUUCUUAAAAAAGUUCAUGUCCUUUCAUGCAAUAAUUUUACUUCUAGGAAUCUAUCCAAAGUUGUGGCCAAAGAUUUAUUGCAAAGGUAUUUAUUGCAUUGCUAUUUUUAAUAGUGAAAAUAAAAAAGCCAACAUUUCUAAUAAUAGAGUUAAACAAAUAAUGGUUAAAUAAAUUGGGGUACAUCGCAAAGACUGUUAUUCAUCUACUAACGUCACAUUAUAGUUGAAUGUCAUGGGAAAAUGCUAGUAUAAAUGGACAAAGAGCAGAACAUGAAAGUCUGCUAUAAGAUCCUAAUUGUGCAAAAACAAGCCAAGUAUGCAAAUGCAGGAAAAGACAUUUAAGAGAAACCAGUUGUUAAUCAUUUGAUGAUGAGGGUGUAUGUGAUUUUAAUUUUCUUCUGUAUAACUUUGUGAAUUUUAAAAAUAAUGUUAGUUUUAUAAUUGUUAAGCACCACAUUUUGCUCAUAGUGAUAGAAUUCUUAGAAUUUUCAAUAAGUUAAAGUGGUAGACAUAAUAUAUUCAUCAAAAAGUGAAAUGGUAAUUUUUGGGCUUCGCAAUGACUAUUAAAUAACUGACUCUUUUUUCCUGCCCUAUAUUCUCAUCGCUGUAGCAUAGCCAUCUGUGAAAAGGUCUAUGAAUGGAAUUUAUUGUCCUGUCUUCAUAUAAAAAUGAUAACCCAGAAGAAAAAGCAUUCAUUCUACUUUGUCAGUUAAAAAAAUACAUAAUUAAUAUCAGAAGGGUUUUCUGAGUUUUUAAUAUAAUCUAGUGUGGGAUUUCUUUAGAAACCUUGCUCUUUAUCGUGAAGGGAAAAUAAUUUUUUGAAUAAGCCAGUUACCUUAAUGAAAACAUCUUUUCAGAAGGCAUUCUCCCCAUGAGUUUAGACUUGAUUGGCUUGAUUUAUCUACCUCAUUAGGUAGAAGGGAGUUUGGCUGCACAGCAUAAGAUGUGGUUAAGGAAUUGUAAACCUAUUACAAACAUAAUCUGGUUUUGAGAGGCAGCAUGAUGUGUGGGGUGAAUGAAGACGUGGGAUUGAAUUUUAGCUCUGCCACGUCGAAGAGGCGUGAGCUUGUGCAAUCAUGUUAGAACUCUUGCUUAUCUUGAAGGGUUCUUGUGAGGAAUGCAUGUGAUAAUACAUAUGACUUAUUGUUAUACAAUCUGUGGAUGAUGGUACUAGAAACUCAGCUCUUGUCUUACCUUAAUAUCGAUAAGUUGGACUUGAAGUUUCUUGGUAGCAUUUAUUCAGUAGUCACUGAAAUUUCCAAUCCAGCCCUUCACAAAAGUCUCUAGUUUUAUUUCAUUUUAGUAUGCUUUAUGUCCAGCGUGGGGCUUGAACUCAUGACUCUGAGAUCAAGAGUUGCCUGCCCUACUGACUAAGCCAGGGAGGCGCCCCUGUCCCUAGAGGUUUUAAUUUAAGCCUAAGAAAUAUGGAUGCCAUAACUUUGUUUACUGGUUGUCAUACUCUUUAAUCUCUCUGGCAGCCCCGAAGAACAACUAUUUUUUAAAAUAUAUUUGUUUUUUAUAUAUUUACGAUAAACUAUAAAAGUAAUAAAACCUUAAGCCAAGUUCUGUUUAUUUAUAACCACAUCACAUCUGUGUGCACCUUAAUUUAAAAAUAAAUCAACCAACUGAAAUGUAAUAUUUGUGAGAAAGCUGUAUAUGCCCUUUUAUAAUAUAUUUAUGGUUUUGAAAUGUUAGAAAGGAAAAGUAUCCUGGAUCAAGAUGUGUAGUAGAGAAGCUAUGUUCCCAGUAGAAGAACUCUUGGUGGAUGGGCUUGAAGUGAGCAAGCCUCAGGAGAAAGUAGAGUCUUGGCAAAAGCAGUUAGCAAUGUGUGUCAUGGAAAUAGGGUUUUAAACUUCAGGCAAUCGAGAGCCUAGACAGAGAAAAACUAAGGGUAAUCAGUUUAAAUUCAUGAAGUGACAAAGACAUUUUUGGGAAAAAAAUUAAACAUUGUUUCCUUAGUAGUGAACUGGAAAAAAAUGAAGGUCAGGAACUCUCAUGGACAUGGGGGGAGGCUGGGUGUGGAUGGAAAAUGAUGAAGUUUUGGUUGAUACUUUGAGCUUUCUAAAAGUUGAAUUUAGACUUCUUAAUAAGAACUUAAUUUUUAAUCUUUCUUUUUGCCAAGGAAUUAUUUUAUAAUAAAGUAUAAAUUGUAGUUUCUUAAUAAAGACUAACAUUCAUGUAGAAAAACCUCAAGUGGACAAUGAUUUAUUUUAUCUGAUUAAAAAUAUGUGAGGGGCACCUAUGUGUCUCAGUUGGUUAAGCAUCAGACCUUGGCUCAGGUCAUGAUCUCAUGGGUUGUGAGUUUGAGCCCCAUAUCAGGCUCUCUGCUGUCAGUGCAGAGCCUGCUUCGGAUCCUCUGUCCCUCUCCCUUUCUGUCCCUCCCCUGCCUGUGUUCGUUCCCUCCCUCCCUCCCUCCCUCCCUCUCAAAAAUAAACAGUUAAAAAUGUGAAUUGAGUUUUCCUUCAGCAAAGAACAUUGUGCCAGUUCAGAAAUUCAUUAUAAAAUUAGUGAGCUUUUUGAAUAAUUCAGUCCAGAAGCCAUUAGAUUGAGAUAAGCAAGAGUGGCUACUGUAUAGGAAGGUAAGAUGCAGAGUUCGGGUAGGGACAGGCUGGCAUGGGAAAUAAGAGCCUCAGUAGGGUGAGAAGGGUAUCCAGAAAGAGGGUUGGGGGGGUGGGAUAUGUGGCAGCAUUAGGAGACUGGGUAUAUAUAGGGAGGUUGGCCCAAUAAAUAAAUACUUUGGAGAUCAUGGUUUCAUACUAUUUAAGAAGAGAGUUAUAAAUUUGGGAAAAAAGAGAAAAAUGGGAUGAACUAUGUGAUCUUAGAUCGGAAUUGAAAGUAUUGAUGUAAACUUAUUGUUUUACAUACAUACACACACACACACACACAUGCACACACGCACUUGUUUGCUAGCUUUCUAGCUCUGGCCACUGAGAGAGCUACAGAACAGUGACACCGCAAUCAUAACAAGCACACCUACAGACCAGAUCUUGAUUUCUAAAUACCAUUUUCUAUUAAAAGGAGCCAUGAUUGCUUAGAGAAAUGACUGAUUCCUGGACCAGGACAGGGAAAGUACAAGAGAAGCCUGGUAUGCCCCAGGUCAUAAGGAAUAAUGGAAACAUGCUAAAGAACACGGCAGCCUCCUUGAGGGGACUCCCACACUCACACCACACAUUCACACUCACCUUGGAUAAUUUGAGCUUCAGAAUAGGUAAUGUUAACAAAUAAUUAUAACUUACUGAAUAAAUAGGAUCCAUGAGUCCCUACUAGUAUAAAUAAAUAGGUGGAUAAAUAAAUUGAGAGAAGUGAAUAAUGACUAAUAAAUCUAGAAGGAAUACUUGGAGGAGAACAUCACCACUUUUUACCAUUUUGGUAGCAAUUAAGCCAAGAAACAUUUAUGGAUAUGAAAGCUAACUGGGUAAAAGUUGAAUGGGGAGCCAAUAAUAACAUUAUCUCAAAGAGGUGCAUCUCACAAAAUAUUUAUGUAUUUAAGAGGACAAAAGAGCAUCUUGAAGAAAUCUGUCAGGUAUCAUCUUAAUCCAAUUUUCAAAGUUAACCCUAUGACAGAAAGUUUGAAAAGCAAUUGACCACUUGAUAGGAAGACAGAGGAACUGAGUAUCAGUUCUGAGAUAUUACUGCCAAAGACCUGUAACCUGAAUCUAAUCAUGAGAGAAUAUUGGACAGACUCAAAUUGAGGCACAUUUUACAAUAACUGAACUGCAAUUUCCAAAAAUGUCAAAGACACAGAUACUGAGUAAAGAUUAAGGAAUUAUUCCAGACUGAAGGGGACUAAAGACAUAGAGAACUAAAUGUUUAAGUCUCUGCUGGAUCCUUUUGCUACAAAGAACAUAAGUAGGACAAUUGGUAAAAAUUGGAUGGCAUCUGAGAUUAGAUGGUAAUGAUGUAUCAAUGUUAAUUUCCUCAUUUUGAUGGUUUUAUUGUAGUAAUAUAGAGGAAUACUUCAGAGGAAAUUUAUGCUAAAUCAUUAAUAGUUUAUAGAGCAACAUUGUUGGUAAGGGACUCUGAAAUGAUUCAGGAAAAGAAAUCGUACUGUUUUUGCAACUUUUUGUAAUUUUGAAAUUAUUUUGAAAUAAAAAAAGUUAUCUUUAGUAUGAAAAAAAUGAAUCAGUAGUGGCCUUGCCAUCAGGAAGAUUGCUGUAAGGCAGAAAGGCCAAGACAAUAAAGCUGAAGUCAACAGAGAGGGAGGCAGUAUGGUGACAUGGUAACUAGCUUAGGCUCUGUAGGCAAAUGACCUGUGUUCCAGUACUAACUUUGGCAUUACCAGCUAGGAGACCUUAGGGGGGUAAGUUCUGGGGUCUUUUAGAGUUUUCACUUCUGUGAGAAGGAGAUGAUAGUACCUCAUAGGAUAAUGCAAGGUUUAUAGAGCAUGUGGCAAGUGCACAACAAAUAGUAGCUAUUGUUAUCGUUUAUUAAGCUUAUGAUUAUUUGUAGCCUGAGAACUGUGUCUAACCUUCUGGCUCUGCCACUUUCUAUAUGAUCUUGAGCAAAUUACUCAUUUUCCCCCUAAGGCUCUGGUUCCUCAUUAAAAAUAGAAACAAUGAUCAUAUUAAUAAUAAUAGAGGGUGGGUGUGAGUAUCAUAUGAGAUAGUGCAAAAUGCUUAGCACAUUAUGAACGCUUUAUAUGUGUUAUUGCCAUAUAAAAACAAGAUGAAAUAUUAGAUUCUAUCAGAGAAAUAAAAAGCAUGUAGCAGUUCUAAAGAGAAGGAAAAACCAUCUGGGUGGAAGGAGGUGGGGAAGUACUAGGUUGUGAAUUCUCUUGAAUAAGUGGAAUUCUCUUGACUGUAGUUAAGAGAUGCUAAGGAUAGAAGCAGGGCAGUGGCAGUAGGAAAGGGGAGAAGGGGAUGUGGUGGCUGAGGGUGAAACAGGAGUCAACAGUGAUCUCUCAGCAUUGAUAGACAAGAGGAGGCAAGAAGAGGGGAGAGAAAGACAGUGGAUUAAAGUGUUGGGGAGUUGUUGGCGAGCAACUAAACUGGCUCUAGAGAGAAAGCUCCUUUCUAGAGAGGAGGAGACUGGACACACUGCAGUCAUAAUGGAAGUCUGCGAGUGAGAUUUCCAAGGAAGAGUGCUCUGAAGAGAGAAGGGAGGAGGAGUCAGGGGCAGAACUUGGGAAGGCACCAUCAUUCAGGGAGAACAGAGGGGAGAUGGGAGGGUGGGCAAGAUAGAUGGGAGGUGAAUGAGUCAGGAAGGUGUUCAAUGAGAGGCAAGGGAGUAACUUGGUUCAGAGAAAGAAGGCAGAGGACUGAGAAGAAUAAAGACUGGGGGAAAGAUAAUGCAGUGAGUGGUUAGCUGUUCCUUGAUGAAUUAUAAGAAGGGAGGGUAGAAGCCAAACUCCAAGGGGUUAAGUGGCAAGGGGGGCAUAUCUUGGGGAUUCUUAGGAUAGUUUAACAGCCAAGGCAGAUGUACCAGGAAGCAAAUGAGGCUUCAGUUUCAGGCUCCUCGCUUGCUCAGACUUUUCCCAGGACCUAGGAUGGACCCUCGUGAUGCCUUCCCAUGGUUAUGUGAUCCGUGAAACUUAUAAAUAUAAGAUAUUUGAGUUAGUUUGUUCAGGCUACUUUAACCAAAUUCCACGGACUGGGUGGCUUAAACAACAGAAAUUUCUCACAGUUUUGAAGGCUGGGAAGUCUGACAUCAGGGUGCUAACAUACUCAAGGUCUGGUGAAAGCCUUCUUCCUGGUUUGCAGACAGCAAACAUCUUCUCUAUGUCCUUACAAGGUGGGGUGAUGGGUAGUGAAAGGAGGCAAUGGAGAGGGAGAGACACACAAGGAUCCUCUUUCAAAAGGGCAUUAAUUCCAUUAUGAGGGCCCCAUCCUCUUGACCUAACCUAGCCCUAAAUACUUCCCAAAGGACCCAUUUCCAAACACCAUCACAUUGGGGAUUAGGGAUUCAACGCAUGAAUUUUGGAGGAACACAAACACUCAGUGUAUAGGAGUAUUUAACACUUAAGCGUGACCAGUUAAGACUACUGUCUCUUUCUAUUCAGGCUCUCCUUCAAGCAUAGUUUCCCUGCUGUUGAAUAAUGGCAUUCGAGCUUCAGCAAAGGGAACUGCUAGAGUUUAGGGGUAUACUGUGUGGUUUGCAUGUCUUUAGCAUGUAGUUAAGUGACUGCUCAUAGUUCCAGGGAUUCUCUCCCCACCCACUGGGACAGCUCACCCAGCAUGGACUCACAGUCAAUGACACCAAGUGUGAAUGCAUCUUUGGAAACCUGGCAUUGGGAAAAAUGUGGGUAAUGGAUGAGAAAAGGUGUGAAAUGUACAGAGCCAGAAGUUGGCAUGUGGCAUGUCCUUCUGGUUAUGAGAUAUAUAAACUUGCAGGAAGAGGAUCAGGUUCUUGUCAAGGCCCAGUCAAAAUGCAAAUUCUUUCCUAUCAGAUAAGAUAACCAAAAAUUCAUAAUCUACCACUGUGAUGAGAUACCAGUGACAAACUGGUUAAUGGGUGUUGUUGGUUCAAAGAAGAUUUAAGAUUAGUCACAGCACAAAAAAACUUGAAAUGUUUGGAACACUUUCAGUUCACAUAUAAGAUAAACUUGAUUAGAGAUUUUUACGAAUUUGAGAAAACUCCUACCAACUUACAUAUUAUCAACAAUGAAAUAGCUAAAAAAAUUCUAAACCAUAAAUAAUAAACACGUUUGUUUGAUUAACUGAACUGGAAGACAGGUUGAAUCCUUGUCAAAUAAACAGUUUAAGAGAAUGCUAGUUAAAAAAAAAAAAAGUAAGAGGGAAAUGUUAAAGAGGUCGGGCAAUUAAUUUAAAAAAUUACAUUUUUUUUCCUGGAUAUCUGUAAUACUUGUCCAUUCUUUAAAAAAUGUAAUUUAUUACAAUUUUUCCUUGUUUUAAAUAUUCACUUCUGUACCUAAUUUUUUAUUUAUAAUUUUGAAUUCUUUAUCUUCACGAGCCCUCCUACCCCCAAAUUGUAUAUUUGAUAGUCCUCACAAAACCUGGAUCUACUCUCACAUGACAGCAGUGCUUUUUCCCAGAGGUUUACUCAUUCUUGCACAGAAAAGGCUAGGAUGUCAGCUUUGGGCUAAGAUAGGAUUUAAAUAUUUCAUUAUUAGUAAUUUUUAGGCUAGGGGUGAGCUGAGCAUUUUGUGUGCAGAAGGGAAGGUGAUAGCUAUUUGAAAAAGCUGGAAAUACUCCUUGUUGGAGGAGGCCUAUAGAGUAGAAAGGAAUGCAUUCAGAUAGAGUAAACAGGUUUUUUAAAAAUUAUUCUGGGAGAGAGAAAGAACACGAAUGGGGGUAGGGGCAGAGAGAGAGAGGGAGAGAGAAUCCCAAUCUGCACAUGGAGCUCAAUCCCACAAACCUUGAGAUCAUGACCUGAGCUGAGAUCAGGAGUCAGAUGCUCAACCAACUGAACCACCCAGGUGCCCUGAGGAAACAUGUUUUUAAAAGCCGGUGCUGACAUACAGCCAUGAAAGAGAACAGAGGGGGAGUAUACUAUGAGUGUGGAGGGGCAGGAGGGUGUUCUAUUGCUGUGGUCUCUAUCUAUUAAUUCACAUAGAAGGCUAGGUUAUCUCAUGUCAGGGGUGGGUGGUUUGGGGGGUUUCUAAGUCCUUAGCACAUCACUAAUAACUGUUUUGCCAUACAAAACUGUGAAACAUCACUGAUGGAUGUAAACUCUCCCUGUUGUCCUAGGACACUGAUCCCAGAGACCCUUGAUGGACUUGGCAAUAGCUAUCUGAGGUGAAGAUUGAGUUUUGGGAUGGCUCUAUACUGUUCCUUAUUCUAGUGUCAGGAUGAUCAGAGGAUACAUCUCAGGUCAUAAUGCAAAGCAGUGGGAAGACUUGUCAGGUGGGGAGCUUGAGUUGUUACCUAGAGGAAAGGCACAAGGAUUUAUUUAUAUGGAGCCUUACUCCACAUAGGAUUUAAGGCAGCUUACAAGAAUGUAUGCAAUAAAAUAGCAAGGUGUGGUCUAUAAAUAAAAAACCAAUGCUGAAGAAAGCAUAAAAUAUAGAAGAAAAGUCCUCGGAUGUGGCUUGUCAGUGGUCUUCAGUAACUGAAGGGUUGUCAUGUGGACGAGCACUUAGGGUUAUUUGGUAAGUGGGCUCAAGAACAUGGGGGAGGGGUUACAGUGAGGCAGAUACCAGCACGACAAAAGGCAGAGCUUUCUAACAAGUAUAGCUGUUCCACAGUGGAAAAGAGGUCAUGAGCCCCUCCUCCAUCACAGGAGGCAUUCAAACAGAGCUAGGUAGCCUCCUUUCUGGCCUCUAUGAGAGCCAGCUGAUGUAAUGGGUAAAGACUGGACCCUGACAAGGCCCUUAGGGUCAGAAUUUAAUGGUUGUAUGACAGGAACUGUUCUAAACAAUGCCCUAAAAAUAAUGAACUAUUCUAAAAUACUCCACGCAAUAAUAAAAGCUUGUCUAUAGUCAUACUGAGUAUUUUUAUGACCUACAGUGUUGUUGCCUUUGAAAUGUCACUGUAAAUUGUAAACACAAAAUUUCUGAAGCAGAAAUGAGUAAGCUCCAAGUGGGAGGAGGGGCGGAGUGACAGGUGCAUGGGUCACAGCUCGUCAUCGCCCUGCUCCCUGAGUCAUCCUUGGCGAUUUGAAAGGCUGGUGGUGUCCAUCCAUUCAACAUUCAACAACAAAGGUCUAUUGUUCCCUAUCAUAUGUCAGGCCCAAUACUAGGCCCUAAGGAGAAGAUAGUAGGUAAAAAAUAUGCAGUCCCUGCUUUCAUGGUGAUUGUUGCUUAGUGGGAAAAUGGCAUUAAUAAAAAUCACACAUCUGUAUACUUACACGUUCUGAUAUGUGUUGUGAAGGAGGGGAAGAGUGUUACAGGAGAGUGGGUAAGACCUUCUAAGACCUUCUGUAGCAUGAAGGAAGACUAUGUUUACUGAUCUCAGGUGUAGGAAAGUGGGUGGCAGGGGAAGGGUUCAGAUGGAGAGCAUGUCAGACUGAGGGGACAAUGUGUGAAAAGGAUCAGGACUAUGAGGGAGUGUGGAACAUUUGAGGACCUGCAUGGCCAGAAUGGCUGAGGAGACCCAGAGGCUGGCGACCAGAGAAGUGUGAACAGCUGGGAGAGAGGGUCCAGGCUGUGCUCAUAGGCUGUACUGAGGAUUCUUACCUUUAUCCUAAUGACACAGAGAAGCCCUUAUAGGUUGCCAGGAGAGAAACAUGAUUACAUUGGUGUUUUGCUGCAGUGUGUGUGUGUGGGGGGGGGGGGGGGGGAGUUUGUGUGGGUUGUGUGUCACUGCUUUAAGUCUGGAGUUAGAACUUGGGAGUGGGACAAGAACAGAUAAAGGGACACUAUUCAGUAGGUUGCACGAAUAAUCAAGGUGGGAGAUGGCAGUGAUUUGGGCGAAGGCUGUGGUGGUAAAGGUGGACAGUGAAUAUGUUCCUAAGAUGAGCAUGAGAUAAAAAUGAGCGGGAUUCGGUGAUGGGAGGUGAAGAUUAUGGAGGGGAAGCAGUAUCAAAGAUGACUCCCAGCAACUCAACAGAAGAGUGUUCUGUUCACUGAUAGGGGUGCACCAAGAUGGGGCUGGUCUGAGACACUGGCUAAAAGGAAACAGAGACCUUCUCACCUUACCUGAUUCAAGGUUAGAAAAGGCAACCAGGUCAACUGAUUCAAAUUCAGUUCAGGUCAAUGCAAUUCCAUCCUAUCCUGUCCAAUUGGUUCCACCUCAAGGAAUAGCUACCAAAUAAGGCUCUGUGAGUGAUCCAGACAAGUAUGAGAGGCACCUGAGGUAGUUACACGGUCAUCUCUUGUACUUGAUGUUUGUCCAGAUAACCAAAGUUCUCCCCAGAAAGUGUGCAGGACCUACAGACACAGAGAUGAAAUGCCACCAAACUAUAGCAGUUAGGUGCUCCCAUAGAGGGCUUGACUGUCUUGCUAAAGGAUUGGACUGACUUUAUCUAGAAAUGGAAAUUAGAUUCCAUAAGGUAACCUUGAGGUUAUUGGGCAAGGGUUGGUGUGAAUGUGAGAGAACUUCAAGAUUACCAUGGGGCGCCUGGGUGGCGCAGUCGGUUAAGCGUCCGACUUCAGCCAGGUCACGAUCUCGCGGUCCAUGAGUUCGAGCCCCGCGUCAGGCUCUGGGCUGAUGGCUCAGAGCCUGGAGCCUGUUUCCGAUUCUGUGUCUCCCUCUCUCUCUGCCCCUCCCCCGUUCAUGCUCUGUCUCUCUCUGUCCCAAAAAUAAAUAAACGUUGAAAAAAAAAAAAAAAAAGAUUACCCUUUGCUGGUCUACACUGACCAAGCCCUGGGGACUGGAGUACUUAUUCUUGUUCUUAGCCCUGGAUUCUGUGCUUGGGUCCUCAUCCCCAUGGAUAAUAACUACUCUCCAAUGACCCUGACUGUAUCUUAUGAUAGCUAAAUAGAAAAUGUCUGAUAGCUGGGAGUUUUCUGACAAAAGUAGUAUACAAAUCCAGUCUUGGUAUCUGGGGGUUAUGGUUCUAGCCACAUGGUUGCCCAAGGUGACAAGUGGAAAGUAGGGGCCCCAGCCUCCUCUCCACCCCCAGCCAUGUCAGGCAUCCUUAUGCACCUUCCUCAUGACCCCCGUGUGCUCCAUCCCCCAGAGUUCCACAACCACCCCUUUCCCAACAUCACUCAGAAUCUCUGUGUAGAUACCAUUGUCUAAAUGUACACACUUCUGGGAGAAGUCAUGUGCUUUAUCUAGUUCUGCAUCUUAAUAAUAGCAUCUAACUGUUACAUGCCCCUUCCCACGUUCAAAAUGUGCUUCUCGACAUUUUCAUGCAAUGCCCGUACAGUCUUGUGGGGUAGCUAUUGUUAUAAUCCUCCCCAGGGAGGCUCAUCUACUUACCCAAGGUCAGCAGCUGGUCUGGGACUCUGUAUUUCAUGCUCUCUCCGCUCUACCAGUUGUUCCCUCCUGCUUAAAGUGAACAGAUCUGUGUUGGGAGGGGGAACUCGAAGAUGUGAGCAGAGAGGAUUUUCCCAUUAUCCCUUGAAGUCACACGACAGAAGCAGCUGUCGAUUUCUUUUCCUGCAAUGGUAGUCCAGCUGUCAGCACAAUGGCUAAGAGUACAGGAUGAAAAGGGAGAUAGGCCUCUGUUUGAAUACUGACCUCCAACAUUGUGACUUGAAGUGAGUUAUUACAAAACUGGGGCAGUGUUAGCACCUACGUCAUAAGGCCUAUACAUGUAAAAUGUAUAGUUAAGUUGGAGACUUAAUUUGUCGUGUUCUGGGAAAUAUUUGCUUGUAAAUGUUUAGAUGACAGUAUGUCUUGUUAGUCAGAAUACAUGAACAUUUACUAUAUUAUUAAUUUUAUGUUCUCUCUUUAUGUUAGUUUUUUACUCUUUUGACUUAAAACUUUGACUUCCUAUUUUCUAAAAGUCUUUGUUUCCUGUAUUUUAAGAAAUUUAUUUCUGGCUAUCAGCAAAUCUCUGCAUCUGAAAAAUUGUUUGGGGUAAGUGGAAUUUCUGUGGCUAAAUUAUGUAACUAAAUUCCAAAGCCUACCAUAACUGGCAGAAGCAGUAAUCAAUUUGUUAUGAAUGAAAGACAAUAAAUUAACAACGAAAUUCUAACUGAAUAAAAGUUUUAAAAAAGGAACAAAUGAGUUUAUUAUUAUUACACAGGUAGAUAUGCCAUAGUUUCUGAAACAUAGUAAAUACUUAACAUUAUUAUUUUGGUGGCAGUGUUGUUGUAGUUUUAUUCUAAGACCCAACUUUCUUUUUAAAUUUUUUUAAUGUCUAUUUAUUUUUGAGAGAGAGAGAGCACAAGCAGGCGAGAGACAGAGAGAGGGAGACACAGAAUAUGAAGCAGGCUCCAGGCAUUGAGCUGUCAGCACAGAGCCCAAUGCAGGGCUUGAACUCACGAACUAUGAGAUCAUGACCUAAGCUAAAGUCGGACACUUAACCCACUGAGCCACCCUGGUGCUCCUCUAGGGGCUAACUUUCUCGUUGACCUCACUUUGAACAGGGGAGGAAAAUAACAGUUGAACUGCUGCUUGCUCUAGAUUGAUUGGAAAUGGCUCACUGGAAUAUCAUGUUGAGAAGGAGUCUGAGGUUUACUCUGAGAUCAGCUGAAAUCAAUUAGUAUUCCUAUCUGUGUGCUGUGUAAUCGUGCCCUUUUCCUGAGAACCGUCUGUAGGACCUGUCACCCUCUGUGCCUCAUUAUCUGCCCCAGGCAUUUGUUCAGAUGCUCAGAUUAAGUGCAGCGUCCAGCUCACAGGGGCACUGCCUGCUUGGGUGAGAACAACGGAUUUAAUGAACAGGAGCUAUGUAUGGAUGGGUUCUUACGAGAGGGGUUAGCAGGCUGGGGAUUCAAAAAUAACCGCGCGGCAGCAACUCUGGGUGAGCCAACACAUGCUGUACAUUUUCAUCCAAAUAAAAGACAUUCAUUCUGAAGACCCUGGCACAGCUGUAACUUGAGAUUCCCACAAAUGCUUGGAAAACUGUCAGUUCUCUCUGAGUGGCAGUAGAUAUGGAAGCAAGAAUGCCAGUAAGAAUGUGAAACUGAUUCUGAGCAACAGGGCCUGGGAUUAGGCUUCCAAGAAGCCAGCAUUCUUGAGUACGGGUCUAGCCUUCAAGUGUUUGGGGGGACAGUAUUUUUAUGAAGCUUACUGACGAAACAUUUGCUGAUUUCCGUCCUGGAAGAAUUACAGAAAUACUUGUUAUGAAAUAGAGAAAUAAUUGUUAUGAAUAGCCUCUUAGAGUAGGGCUUUAUCAAAGAUUCUACUCUGUGAUCCACAGAGAAUUCUAACAGUAUGCUCUGUUUUUCUUUUGCAUCUACCAAAUUUAUCAAUGUCUCAGGUCAUUAUUUGCCUGAUCACAACAACAUGCAUUCAUGAAUAUGUAUCAGCUGAAAUCCUGCAAUUUUAUGUGUUAAUUUGCUCAUGUCUUUAGGUGUUUAUAGCAAUUAAAUAAGACCUUGAUAAAUUUAGAGGAAAUAAAAAAGCUUUGAUAUUAUGAGUGCUUAUGUGGUUGAAUUGCAGGCUCUGAGAUAAAUUAUGUUUUGUGCAACUAUUAAUUCAUUUAUUGGUUUAUUAGACAUUUUCCCAUUUAGUUAUAUUUCUUCUUAGGAAAUAAAUAGUCCCUUCUUGACUGCAUUGUUUGGCCCUUUUCUGAUGCUCAUUUUAGCUUGUGAAUACAACUAACCCUUAUCUUGGCUGAUGUGACUCUAGCUCUGCUUUCCCGUUGGGGAUGCAUCAGGCAUUCUGGAAAUUUAUUUGUAGGGAGUCAGAGAAGCCUCAGGGCAGGGCACAGGGUCAGGGUUCUGUCACGGUCCCUUCAGGUAAGGGGACCCAGGAAGAGAAGGGAUCCUGAGACAGAGAAGAGACCAGCCAUCAAGAGCUCUGGGCAUCUGAGAAAGAAAAGCUAGGGGUGGGACAGCCCAGCAGAGCACAGUGGUGGAUAAUCCCAGCAGGUGGUGUUCCUGGAGGCAGGACUUGGGAGAGCAGGAAUUUUGAGUGGACUCCAGAGAAGAAGCACCAACCGGAGAACUGGAAUGUGCCAGUGUAGAAAUGGAAAUGAGACCCGAGGCCCAAACGAGUGCGAGUGGAAGUAACUUGGGCACAGGACCAAACUCUAGGAAGAGAUGGAAUGGAGUUGCCAUAUUUAACAAAUAAAAAUGCAAGAUGUCCUGUUACAUUAGAAUUUCAGGUAAACAAAGAAUAAUUUUAGCAUAAGUAUGUCCCAUGCAAUAUCUGGACAUACUUACACUAAAUAUUUACUUGUUGUAUAUCUGAAAUUCAGAUUUAACUGGGAAUCUUGUGUUUUAUUUGGCCCCGCUAGGUGUGUGUAGGAGGGCAAGGGGACACUGGUCAGCACUUCAAGCCUUACUGAUCUGGGAAUGAUGGAGGAGCUGGCUGGGGGAGGCAUGAGGGGGAGUAGAAGGAGAUGAAGUAGGGUUAACGUGUGUGUAUGUGAGAGAGAUGGGGAGUGGGGAGAGAAGGACUAGGAGACUAGUUCUGAAUAAUUUCAUGUUGGCUUUAAGACCCACUUAUUUUCAUAAUGUCUCAUUACUUUUUUUUUUUUCAUUUUGCUUUGCAAGCACCAGUUGUACUUGGCCCAUGUCAGAGACAGGAUAUUUGUUGGUUUGUAACACAAAACCGACAAAGCUGUGUGUACCCAAAGCAACGCCAUCUCAUUGAGAAUGAAAAUUUCAGUACUCCAAAAAUGGUUGUCUAGAUAACAGUGGACACAUGAAUAUUUGGAAACAUCUGGAUGAUUGCUAUCUUCUGCAUAAGAAGCCUCAUGAAUGACUACAUUUUUUCAUUUUUAUCCAGAUAUUUUGGAAUAAUAUAGAUAGUCAAAGAGCCUCCUCUCCAAGAGAGAACACAUAAUCAUCAUGAAGUAGGAGAUUUUCAAAACUACUUCUUGAUUUUUGUUUUAGUCUAUUUGGUUUGCCUUCACUCCUAAUAAUUUUAUUGAUCUUUGAUUCCCACCCUACCCCUUCCCAGUGCUUAGCACUGUGUCUGGUACACAAUAGGUAUUGAAUAAGCUUGUGACUAGAUAGGUUAAUAAAGAAAUCAUUCUUAAAUAUCUUAACCUCCAGUACAGGGAUUAUGCUAAACAAUGAAAAACUAUUUAUUUAGAAGGGAAGAGAACAAAUAUUUAUUGAGUGUGCACUAUGAGACAGGAACAGGGACAGACAACACAUAAGUAUAUACACAUAUAUAUGUGUAUGGUCCCCUUGUGGGUAAUCACUAGUAGCUCCAUGAUACAAUUGAGUAAACUCGUAGAGGUUGAAUAAAUUGUGAAGACCCUCUUCUAGGAAGUCAGGCUGGGAUUUGACCCCCUGAGCUGUCUGAGCUGUUAUGAUAUUUCUGUUGAUUUCAUACCUUCCAGACUAAUCUGCAAGAACAGUUCGUGUUUUGGGAGGUCUCCUACACUCUGAGAAUUUGAUGAAAGCCAGAGACAUGAACAUAGAAAGAAAUAUUCCCAGUUCUACAAGCAACAUGGCUCAUCAUCCCUGGUUAAGAGUGUCAUGAUUAGAGAUUCAGAUUUCUUCCUAUGGAGUCAGGGCUAAAGAUCAGAAACAGCCUGAAACUGGUGUGGCCACCAUAGCCCACUUCUCUGAGGGCCCUGUUCAGGAGGCUUCCCUCAUGGGAGAGAAAGGGGCAGAUAUCUUCUUUUCACCCAAGAUCUGCUCAACCCUCAGAGAGCCACUUACUUCUUUGAUUCAUAGUAGGUCUGCAUGUUUCUACCAGCAAAUAUAUACUGGCUUAAUAUUUGAAAAUGCAGAUUUUCUAAUAUUUCCUCAUUCAGUGAUUGGAAAACUAAUAAACAGUAGUCACCCAAAUAAAGUUGUGUCAGGCGCCAGGAACAAAGCCGUGAUAUAAUCCUUGCCCAGAACAAAGUCACCAUGAAGCUAAAGCCGCUUAGGCUUCAGGCCCCCUCACGAGAAUGGCCCUUUUCAGGCCCUAGGAGAGGCUUUGGAAAAGGGUUCACGUGAUCAAGCAUAUGUUUUUUUUGUAAAAUCUGCAAAGUAAGCUAUUUCAAUAUUGUUCUAAUAAAGAGCCAGUCCCCUCCCCCACUGUAGGAGCUCAAAGGCCACAACACCUGCAUCUGCCCCUGUCACUGUCCCCAGGGAGUAAAAUUUAGUGAGACAAGAUUAAUAUUGAAUGAGUGAUUGCAAGAGAGCUGGAUAUUGAGGCCAGCGAGUGCCUGGGUAGCUACUGGAAGGGGACUUAGUCUUUCCUGGGGGCAUCAAUAAAGGUUUCUCCGAUGAUCUGACACUUAAGCUGGGCUCUGAAGGAUGAGUGUUUUAUUUUUGUUCUGUCUUGUUACAUCAAGGAAGGUGCUACAUGAACAGGUACAAGGGCUGUGGGUGACAGGGCCCUGAGUCAGAAGAGGGCAGGGCUGGACUGGGGACCCCCCGACUGGUGAGAUCUGAGGGUGAGAAGGGUUGAGGGGAGAGGAGGCUCAAGAGGAGAGCCAGCAGUUUGCUUGGGGUCUGUUGAGAGCACUUUGAACUUGAUUGUAAGGACAGUAAAAAGCUGCUGAAGGGGAGUUACAUGAUCAUAUUUGCAUGUUAAAAAAACACUCUUUGUGAUGAGCAAGUGGUGCUGUAUGGAGGUGUGGAACCACUACGUUAUACACCUCGAACUAAUAUUACACUCUAUGUUAAUUAACUGGAAUUUAAAUAAAAACUUAAAAAGAAAACCAAAGAGCAAUAUUCUUUUUUUAAAAAAUGUUUGUUUAUUUUUGAGGGAGAGAAAGAGAGAGAAAGCAUGCAAGCGGGAGAGGGGCGGAGAGAAGGGGACAGAUGAUCCAAAGCAGGCUCUGUGCUGAUAGCAGAGAGCCUGAUGUGAGAUGAUGACCUGAGCCAAAGUCAGAUGCUCAGUUUACUGAGCCACCUAGGUGUCCCCAAGUGCAAUAUUCUUUGGUGCAGUGAGGGGGAAGUCUGUGAAGACCAGGUGCCUUUGGAUAUGAGAGGACAGAAGUGUCCAGCCAGCCAGCCUCUGGCACACUGAAUUAGAAGGGCAGGCCAACGCAGGGCAACAGUGAACAUGCUGAGGUGUGUGUGGCGGGCUGGGGGAGGGGUGGUGUGAGAGCUUUUCUAGCACCCUUCACUCUUUCUCCAAAACCGUUGACCUUAGGUUGGAAGUAGUGAGAAUUGGGGGAGACCCAGGAGGACCCAAUACUGCAAAUCAGUAGCUUGGGAUGAGGACAAAGAUAAUGUCAAUGUCACUGUCCAAAAUCAUACCGCCCUUUUUAAGAAGCCCCCAGAGCAAAAGUGACCUUGUAUGUGAAAAGGCCGGUAAAAACUGAUCAAUCAAGCAGAUUCAAACAAUGACUUUCCAAACUUCAAGCAUGUUCUUCUUACCUCUUCCCAAGAGCUUCCUCCAUUCCUCAUCUAGUUAAGCUGCUUUGCUCCAAUUUUGCUGUUCUACGAUUCCCCAGGAGUGGAUCAUGGUUUAUUAUUAUCAGCAGGGCACCCUGGUAUUGACCUGGCCAAGCAGUGACCCUGUGAGAUUCUGUUGCAUGGGAUGUGACAGAAAGAUGCCUCACAGAUUAGACCCACGCAAAGGUCUAAGGACAUUAUGUGGGCACUUAUGGUCUAGCCUUCCUCUAUUAUGCAAAAUUAGUUCAGCAAAACUCAGCCACUGAGGUCCACCUCAAUGACCCUGACUAACCAAGAAGUAUGGUAAUAAUUCUUACUAGGGAGUAUUUAUUAAGUGAAUUAUAGAAUUAUAAUGAAUUAUGGAAUACAUUUUAGAUGAAAAAGAAGUGUUCAUGCUUAUAGGGUAGAGAUCAAUUAUCCAUAAAAUCAAUGGACAGACAUUUCAUUUGUGGUGAUGCUGGAUAAAUAAGUAGUUAAAACAUCUUCAGAAUUACAAUAACAUUUCAUACCUGCCUGCAUAAAUGAAGCUCAAGAAACCAAUGCAGACUUCAUAUUGCCUAUGGUCUAAUGCAAAAUCUCAGCAUCUAGAGUUAAAAGAAAUUUAAGUUCGGGAAAGUCAGGAGAAAGACUUUUAAUGUUCUCACUAUCCAUCAGCCUGGAAAGGUUUCUUAGUUUUUCUAGGUGGGGAGGCAUUUUAGAUCUGUGUUCCUGUGAACUUGAGCGAGGGACUGAGGAAGUCAAAGGAAGAGAGAGGAGACAGUGUUGCUGUCCAAGGGGACCAGAGUGAAGGUUGGGGAACCAGAAGGGCACUGGGGGAGGGGGUGUGGGAAAGGCAGAGCUAACCAGCUGCUGCUGUCAGCCCUGACCUAUUUCUUUGAGCCCUGGGAGCUAGCUGUCUCUGUCCCUGCUUUCAGCAACAGUGACACUGCCUUGGGGCGGCUCUGUAGCCAACCCACACUGAAUGAUAGCUGUCCCUGCCAUUUUCUUAAAUGUCACCAGAGAAAGACAUUUCCUCUUCCCUGGAGUACACACACUCUACUUGUGGAUAAGUGGACACUGGCUUCCAUUUCCACACCUUCCAAAAAUUGGUCACAGAUGAGUCACAAUUUUGUCAACUUCUCCAGGAUGAGAAGCCAUAGAUGGGGGUAUAUAUAAAUGAUUUUUUAAAUGUGAUGUCCUUUCUAUGUGGCAGUAAAAUGACUUUCCUGUCAUCACGAGAAACAUGUGCUUUGAAUUAUUUUUAUGGACACAAAGGGAGAUCUGUAAAAGGCAUCUGCACCUGAUAACUACUUUCACAGAUUCUAUUUAGAGUCCUAUUCAUUCUUUAAAAUGUUGGGGAAUGGGAAAAGGGGAGGAAGAGAACAAAUACUUGUUGAUUGCCUGUGAGUGUUUGACAUGAUUAGUUGGUGUAAAUUAUAACUCAUAAGCUCCAUUGUCCAAACAAUGUAACCUUCUACACAUUCUAAAAUACCUUCCUUACUAUUUUGAGCCCUUGCCUGAUGCCGGGGACUAAUUCUCAGUUAAUUCAGGGUUUCUGCCCACAUUGUCCUUGCAGUGAUAUCUAAAUUCUUCAGGGAUGAUUGCUGUUAUAUUGCCAGCAUAGGUCUAUUACAAGAUGGGGAAGGAUGUGUGCUAUGGGCCUCAGUGCCACAUAAGUCCUACCAGAAUUAAAAGGAAAAAAAGGUGAAAUGGGAAAUGUUGACCCUCCCACCCAACUAGACGUUCUAUUGUCCCUUACUGCUAGGCCCAAGGUCUCUUGUUUCUCCUGUUCAUUUUGUUCCUCCUCAGCUACUCCAGGCAUGUGGGGACCGCUUUGAGGCUUUUGGAGCCCAGCACUACUUACCUUAUUUCAUCUUGCCCUUAACCCUGGGUAUUUGCAGUAUUAUUCUCCAUUUGCAAAGGAGGAAAAAUGAGAUGAGAAACUAAGACCUUGCCCAAAGCCUCAUACCUAAUUAGCAGUAGAGCGCAGUCUGCUUUCCAAACCCACAUGGCUCCCUUUGCCAUAAUGACUACCCACCAAGCUUUAUCCCCCCAUUUCUAAGAAGCCUCUUCUGAUCACACAAGAAUGUCUGCCUUGCUAAAAAUUUCACAACUUCACUGUCCAAACCUUUGGGGUGAUAUGUAACCACCACAAACUGUGUUAUAUGCUAGUUAUCUCUACACACAUCUAGAUAGCCCGAACUAGGCCCUGGCUGCUAGGGGGCAAAGACCAUCUCCUGUGGUUUUUCUCCAUCUACAUCACUAGUAGUACACUAUGUACACAGCAAAUUCUACAUGAUUGAUGAUAAUGAAAAUGAUGUGUUAAUAAAUAAAUCAGUAAAUGGAGGACUGUUUACUCUCUGUAACUAUUUGUUCUAUCUGUGUGGGUAAACAGCAAUUACAGUCUAGUUGGCCACAGAAAGCUUGUGGAUAUUUGCUCUUGCCCUGGACUUUCAACUCCAUAUCCUUAUUCCAUGUAGUACCUUGGAAAUCAUAUAGAUCCAGCAGUGAUGUGACUUUCUCACAGGCCUCUCCUUUGCUCUACCUAUAGAAUCUGCUGGUUCUUCCCACCUCCCCAAUUUGGUUUCACAGAUUCCUGACUCUGUGCCCAGGCUCUAGAUAUAGGCCUUUGCCUCCUUUUGUGUUAAAUCAUUUGGACCCUUACCUUGCUCAUUGACCAUGGGAGGCCCUGCUGCCCUGUUGCAAGAUUGAUUCUCAGCUCUGCAUGGCCCCUGGAUUGCCUUGGGGAGACUCUGGGAACAAGUAGUGCCUAGGCCUACAUUAACGACGGUAUUCUCACUGGAUGAAAGAGCCCUCACCAUUCUGCCAGUGCCUCAUUUUCCCACCAGGACAGGAUUAUCAUAUGAGGGACACCUGAAAAUUAUCCCAAUAACUAGAAUAAUGGCUCAAGCACAGAAAUAUCUGACUUAAUUUUAAUUAUUUUAAUUUUUAUGAAUAGAUUAAAAUUUUAUAAGAAAAAGAGGGAGUAUGAUAUGUUUUCUAAUAUAUUCUAUGUCAAAGUUUAGUCCCCAAGUAUAAACCCAACAAAGUUGUCGGUCAGGUCUAUUGGUUGUAAGGGAUGGAAAUUCCAUUCAAAUCAAUUUCAGUAAAAGAGAAGAACAAAUUAUCUUUUUUUAAAAAUUUACAUCCAAAUUAGUUAGCAUAUGGUGCAACAAUGAUUUCAGGAGUAGAUUCCUUAGUGCCCCUUACCAAUUUAGCCCAUCCCCCCUCCCACAACCCCUCCAGUAACCCUCUGUUUGUUCUCCAUAUUUAUGAGUCUCUUCUGUUUUGUCCCUGUCCCUGUUUUUAUAUUAUUUUUGCUUCCCUUCCCUUAUGUUCAUCUGUUUUGUCUCUUAAAGUCCUCCUAUGAGUGAAGUCAUAUGAUAUUUGUCAUUCUCUGACUAAUUUCACUUAGCAUAAUACCCUCUAGUUCCGUUCACGUAGUUGCAAAUGGUAAGAUUUCAUUCUUUUUGGUUGCCGAGUAACACUCCAUUGUAUAUAUAUACCACAUUUUCUUUAUCCAUUCAUCCAUCAAUGGACAUUUGGGCUCUUUCCAUACUUUGGCUAUUGUUGAUAGUGCUGCUAUAAACAUGGGGGUGCAUGUGUCCCUUCGAAACAGCACACCUGUAUCCCUUGGAUAAAUGCCUAGUAGUGCAAUUGCUGGGUCNNNNNNNNNNNNNNNNNNNNNNNNNNNNNNNNNNNNNNNNNNNNNNNNNNNNNNNNNNNNNNNNNNNNNNNNNNNNNNNNNNNNNNNNNNNNNNNNNNNNNNNNNNNNNNNNNNNNNNNNNNNNNNNNNNNNNNNNNNNNNNNNNNNNNNNNNNNNNNNNNNNNNNNNNNNNNNNNNNNNNNNNNNNNNNNNNNNNNNNNNNNNNNNNNNNNNNNNNNNNNNNNNNNNNNNNNNNNNNNNNNNNNNNNNNNNNNNNNNNNNNNNNNNNNNNNNNNNNNNNNNNNNNNNNNNNNNNNNNNNNNNNNNNNNNNNNNNNNNNNNNNNNNNNNNNNNNNNNNNNNNNNNNNNNNNNNNNNNNNNNNNNNNNNNNNNNNNNNNNNNNNNNNNNNNNNNNNNNNNNNNNNNNNNNNNNNNNNNNNNNNNNNNNNNNNNNNNNNNNNNNNNNNNNNNNNNNNNNNNNNNNNNNNNNNNNNNNNNNNNNNNNNNNNNNNNNNNNNNNNNNNNNNNNNNNNNNNNNNNNNNNNNNNNNNNNNNNNNNNNNNNNNNNNNNNNNNNNNNNNNNNNNNNNNNNNNNNNNNNNNNNNNNNNNNNNNNNNNNNNNNNNNNNNNNNNNNNNNNNNNNNNNNNNNNNNNNNNNNNNNNNNNNNNNNNNNNNNNNNNNNNNNNNNNNNNNNNNNNNNNNNNNNNNNNNNNNNNNNNNNNNNNNNNNNNNNNNNNNNNNNNNNNNNNNNNNNNNNNNNNNNNNNNNNNNNNNNNNNNNNNNNNNNNNNNNNNNNNNNNNNNNNNNNNNNNNNNNNNNNNNNNNNNNNNNNNNNNNNNNNNNNNNNNNNNNNNNNNNNNNNNNNNNNNNNNNNNNNNNNNNNNNNNNNNNNNNNNNNNNNNNNNNNNNNNNNNNNNNNNNNNNNNNNNNNNNNNNNNNNNNNNNNNNNNNNNNNNNNNNNNNNNNNNNNNNNNNNNNNNNNNNNNNNNNNNNNNNNNNNNNNNNNNNNNNNNNNNNNNNNNNNNNNNNNNNNNNNNNNNNNNNNNNNNNNNNNNNNNNNNNNNNNNNNNNNNNNNNNNNNNNNNNNUUUGAUAGGGAUUGCAUUGAAUAUGUAGAUUGCUUUGGGUAGUAUCGACAUUUUAACAAUAUUUGUUCUUCCUAUCCAGGAGCAUGGAAUCUUUUUCCAUUUUUUUGUGUCUUCUUCAAUUUCUUUCAUAAGCUUUCUAUAGUUUUCAGUGUAUAGAUUUUUCACCUCUUUGGUUAGAUUUAUUCCUAGGUAUUUUAUGGUUUUUUGUGCAACUGUAAAUGGGAUUGAUUCCUUGAUUUCUCUUUCUGUCACUUCAUUGUUGGUGUAUAGGAAUGCAACCGAUUUCUGUGCAUUGAUUUUGUAUCCUGCAACUUUGCUGAAUUCAUGAAUCAAUUCUAGCAGUUUUUGGGUGGAAUCUUUUGGGUUUUCCGUAUAGAGUAUCAUGUCAUCUGCGAAGAGAUCAUGUCCUCCUGGCUGAUUUGGAUGCCUUUUAUUUCUUUGUGUUGUCUGAUUGCAGAGGCUAAGACUUCCAAUACUAUGUUGAAUAACAGUGGUGAGAGUGGACAUCCCUGUCUUGUUCCUGACCUUAGGGGGAAAGCUCUCAGUUUUUCCCCAUUGAGGAUGAUAUUAGGGUUGGGUCAUUCAUAUAUGGCUUUCAUGGUCUUGAGGUAUGCUCCUUCUAUCCCUACUUUCUUGAGGGUUUUUAUCAAGAAAGCAUUUGUCAAAUGCUUUCUCUGCAUCUAUUGAGAGGAUCAUAUGGUUCUUAUCCUUUCUUUUAUUGAUGUGAUGAAUCACAUUAACUGUUUUGCGGAUAUUGAACCAGCCCUGCAUCCCAGGCAUAAAUGCCACUUGGUUGUAGUGAAUAAUUUUUUUAAUGUAUUGUUGGAUCUGGUUGGCUAAUAUCUUGUUGAGGAUUUUUGCAUCCAUGUUCAUCAGGGAAAUUGGUCUAUAGUUCUCCUUUUUUAGUGGGGUCUCUGUCUGGUUUUGGAAUCAAGGUAAUGCUGGCUUCAUAGAAAGAGUUUGGAAGUUUUCCUUCCAUUUCUAUUUUUUGGAACAGCUUCAAGAGAAUAGGUGUUACCUCUUCCUUAAAUGCUUGGUAGAAUUCCCCUGGAAAGCCAUCUGGCCCUGGACUCUUGUUUUUCUGGCAGAUUUUUGUAUAUGUGCUGCCGAAGCGAACACAACUGGCAGAUUUUUGAUUACUAAUUCGAUUUCCUUACUGGUUAUGGGUCUGUUCAAACUUUCUAUUUCUUCCUGUUUCAGUUUUGGUAGUGUAUAUGUUUCUAGGAAUUUGUCCAUUUUUUCCCAGAUUGCCCAUUUUAUUGGCAUAUAACUGCUCAUAAUAUUCUCUUAUUAUUGCUUUUAUUUCUGCUGUGUUGGUUGUGAUCUCUCUUUCAUUCUUGAUUUUAUUUAUUUGGGUCCUUUCCUUUUUCAUUUUGAUCAAACUGGCUAGUGGUUUAUCAAUUUUGUUAAUUCUUUCAAAGAAUCAGCUUCUGGUUUCAUUGAUCUAUUCUACUGUUUGUUUUUUUUUUUUUUUUUAGUUUCACUAGCAUUAAUUUCUGCUCUAAUCUUUAUUAUUUCCUGUCUUCUGCUCAUUUUGGGGUUUUAUUUGCUGUUCUUUUUCCAGCUCUUUAAGGCAUAAGGUUGUGUUGUGUAUCUGAGAUCUUUCUUCCUUCUUUAGGAAGGCCUGGAUUGCUAUAUACUUUCCUCUUAUGACCACCUUUGCUGCGUCCCAGAGGUUUUGGGUUGUGGUGUUAUCAUUUUUCGUUGACUUCCAUAUACUUUUUUAAUUUCCUCUUUAACUUCUUGGUUAGGCCAUUCAUUCUUUAGUAGGAUGUUAUUUAGUCUCCAAGUAUAUGUUACCUUUCCAAAUUUUUUCUUGUGGUUGAUUUCGAGUUUAGUAGCAUUGUGGUCUGAAAAUAUGCACGGUAUGAUCUUGAUCUUUUUGUAGUUGCUGAGAGCUGACUUGUGUACCAGUAUGUGGUCUAUUCUGCAGAACGUUCCAUGUGCACUGGAGAAGAAUGUAUAUUCUGCUGCUUUAGGAUAAAAUGUUCUGAAUAUAUCUGUUAAGUCCAUCUGGUCCAGUGUGUCAUUCAAAGCCAUUGUUUCCUUGUUGACUUUCUGUUUAGAUGAUCUGUCCAUUGCUGUGAGUGAGGUGUUGAAGUCUCCUGCUAUUAUGGUAUUACUAUCAAUGAGUUUCUUUAUGUUUGUGAUUAAUUGAUUUACAUAUUUGGUUGCUUCCACAUUUGGCACAUAAAUGUUUACAAUUGUUAGGUCUUUUUGGUGGAUAGACCCCUUGAUUUUGAUAUAAUGCCCUACUGUAUCUCUUGAUACAGUCUUUAUUUUAAAGUCUAGAUUGCCUGAUAUAAGUAUGGCUACUCCAGCUUUCUUUUGUUGGCCAUUAGCAUGAUAGAUGGUUCUCCAUCCCCUUACUUUCAAUCUGAAGGUGUCUUUAGGUCUAAAGUGAGUCUCUUGUAAAUGGCAUAUAGAUGGAUCUUGUUUUCUUAUCCAUUCUGUUACUCUAUGUCUUUUGAUUGGAGCAUUGAGUCCAUUGACAUUUAGAGUGAGUGCUGAAACAUAUGAAUUUAUUGCCAUUAUGAUGCUUGUAGAGUUGGAGUUUCUGGUGGUGUUCUCUGGUCCUUUCUAAUCUUUGUUGCUUUUGGUCUUUGUUUGUUUGUUUAUUUAUAUUUAUUUAUAUUUUCAUCUUUUCUCCCCUCAGAGAGUCCCCCUUAAAAUUUCUUGCAGGGCUGGUUUAGUGGUCACAAACUCCUUUAAUUUUUGUUUGGGAAACUUUUUAUCUCUCCUUCUAUUUUGAAUGACAGCCUUGCUGGAUAAAGAAUUCUUGGCUGCAUAUUUUUCUGAUUCAGCACAUUGAAUAUAUCCUGCCACUCCUUUCUGGCCUGCCAAGUUUCUGUGGCUAGGUCUGCUGCAAAUCUGAUCUGUCUUCCCUUUUAGGUUAGGGACUAUUUUUCCCUUGCUGCUUUCAUGAUUCUCUCCUUGCCUGAGUAUUUUGUGAAUUUGACUAUGAUAUGCUCCCUGGAUUUAGAUGUCUGUGUCUUUCCCCAGGCUAGGAAAGUUUUCCGCUAUGAUUUCCUCACAUAACCAUUCUACCCCUAUUUCUCUCUCUUCCUCUUUUGGGACCCCUAUGAUUCUCAUGUUGUUCCUUUUUAAUGAGUCACUGAGUUCUCUAAUUCUCAAAUCAUGCUCUUUUGCCUUAAUCUUCCUUUUUUUCUGCUUCAUUAUUCUCCAUAAGUUUGUUCUCUAUAUCGCUGAUUCUGUUCUGUCUCAUCCAUCCUUGCUGCCGUGGCAUCCAUCCAUGAUUGAGCUCAGUUAUAGAAUUUUUUAUUUCAUUAUGACUAGUUUUUACUUCUUUUAUCUCCACAGAAAGCGAUUCUAGUUUAUUUUCAACUCCAGCUAGUAUUCUUAUUAUCGUGAUUCUAAAUUCUGGUUCAGACAUCUUGCUUGUAUCUGUGUUGGUUAAAUCCCUGGCUGUCUUUUCUUUGUGCUCUUUCUUUUGGGGUGAAUUCCUGCUGAAUUCUGUGGUUCAGGUUGUGCAGAUUGUUGUAGUAAUCCUCAAAUCAGUUUUCUAGGUGUGCAGGAUGGUUUAGUGUUGGUCUGGCUGUGUUUCACGGAUGCGAGACACACAAAACACUUUCAUACUAUCCCGCCAUCUUGGCCACGAAUUGUCUUAUGUAAAUGAAAAGGCUAAGGCUUCAGGCACGGUAGGAUCUAGGUGAUAUAUGUCUCUUUUUAAAAUCUAUUAAGUCUGGGGCGCCUGGGUGGCUCAGUUGGUUAAGCGUCCGACUUCGGCUCAGGUCACGAUCUCACGGUCCGUGAGUUCGAGCCCUGCGUCGGGCUCUGGGCUGAUGGCUCAGAGCCUGGAGCCUGCUUCUGAUUCUGUGUCUCCCUCUCUCUCUGACCCUCCCCCGUUCAUGCUCUGUCUCUCUCUGUCUCAAAAAUAAAUAAAAACGUUAAAAAAAAAAUUUUAAAAUCUAUUAAGUCUGAUUUUCCCUUUGUUUUGUUUCCCAACAACUUCUGGUUUAGAUGGGCAUUUUAGCAUGUAAUCUCAGAUAAGAGGUCCUUUUUCUCUCAGCAUACAAUUCCUAAAAAAAGAUAGUCUGGUUCUAUUUGUUAUGUGCCUGUUGUUAGACUCUGAUCAACUUGCAUCAUGUGUCUUCCCCUAUGGUUGGUGAUGCAGAAACCCAAGAUAGUGAGCCUCUCUAAAAUUGCAUAAAAUAGGGAAAGGCAGAUUCCAAACAUGAAAGAAUGGUGGGAAAAUAAAACAACAACAACAAAUAUCCAUAUUUGGUAAGUGGGAGUUUGUGAGUUAGGUCCUCCAUGAUGCUUUCUUUGCCCUGACGAAGUGAAUCCAUGUCCUAGGAAGGGCUGAAGGGAACUUACAUCUGUUGAUCUCAUAUUAGGUUCAGGUACUGUGCUGGGUAACUCUUAAAAUUGUCUGCCCCAGUUCAUCCCUUUUAAGAGUUGGACAUUGCCCAACAGCGAGAGCUGGGUCUCGUGUAAAAGGAGAACACUGUUUGCCCUCACAUUCACAGCUCCCAUUUCACCCACUAGUAGCUGGAACGAUUCUUAACCUCUUUCUUCUGACUUGCCCUUAGUUUCUAGUUCAUCAUUGAUCAAUACAGUUUGUUCUACCAAUUGGUUGUUUCCCAAAAGCUUCCGACCUGCUCUUCCCUUCUGCCUGACAGUUCUAAACACAGACUCCCCCACUCCUAUUGAUUUACUCUGUGGACAAUUCACACUGAACUUUCAAGUUGGCCCUACCAUGGUAUAUUGGUUAGCUCUACACUACUGGUAUUCUCUGAGGUACAUAGAAUUAUCCCAGGUUUUCUUCUGAAGAUACAAAUGUUCCAAGGAGUAAAGGAACUUUUGCAAAGAUAUACCUCUAGACAUAAUUAACUCAAUAUAGAGUUAAACCCAAAGCCUGAUUAUAAUAUAUAUAUAUAUAUAUAUAUAAAUAUAUAAAUAUACCAGGCACUAACUAUCUUAAUAUGCAUGAAGUCUCUGCAAGUCCUUGCAAAUUUGGCAAGUCAAGAUAGAAUAUUUAGUUAAUAAAGAUAUUGUAGCUCAGUGAUGUUCCCAGAUAAUGUUCUUGCCUGAAUCUUGAAUUAUGAAAAGAAAAACAAGAUUUGAGAAUACAGAAAAACAGAAUUGCUAUGAAGAUUAUAUUGUUUUUGAGGCAGGUGCUUACCAGAAUUGUGCAGUAUACAACUUGAACAACAUUGCCUAGUGACCUUGCAAAGAAAGGAAUAAUUAUUAAAAUAAAUUAUUAUGUAAAGUAUAUCAUUUGCUUAAAGUUAAGCUUAAGACUUACUUGUAUUACUUAUAUAUGUACGCAUAUGGAAAUUCAAAGUAACGGCAAUAUACCUAUGAUUUACUUUAGCCCUGCAAUUUCUCAUAUCUGAUGCAUAUGCCUAUAGAGUAUCAGAUUGUUGACUGUCUGCAAAAGCACAGCUUUUCAAUUCUAAGGGUAAAAAUUAUAUAAGCAUUGGAAUCCAAAAGCUUCUUUUAUUUCAAACAGCUCUUAACAUUUUGACAAGUUAAGCACACGUGAAUCAUAAAUGUACAGAUUAAAUUUCUCUCAGAAUACAAAUGGGUUUAAAUUGGAGGAGGAAAAAGUGGUUGGUCAGAUGCAUCCCUAUUUUGCUGAGUCACGAACUUUCAAAAAAUAGCCUAGUGUUUGAAAAAUCUAAAUAUGUUAAUAAAACCACAAAUGUGAGUAUUUCCAUGUUCUAGUGUUAUGUUUCCAUUUUAGAGUCAAAUGGUUUAACAAGCAUGUUUAGAAAGAAAUUCUCUCCUUUCCCCUAAUUAAUGGUUUUUCUUAUCUGGCAUCCUCUCCAGUUUUCCCUGAAUUUCUCUACUUCAUCAUUUCUAGUUAAACAGAAACAUAAGCUGACUAUGCCCGAUUAAGACCAUGUCUGCUUCUGUGUGAGCUCUAAGGUUUACCUGAGGAAGAAUCUUCUCUGUUUGUUUCAUCCAUUGCAUAACAGGAACACUUAUUAUUUGGGUCACUGAGUGAGAAUCAUUCACAAGACACACUUUGAAAAGGUGAGAAAAAUAAAUUGCUGCUUACCAGCUACACGUCUCAGAUUCUUUAAUAACAUGAUCUGACUUUGACUGGGUAUAUUGAGAAAGCACUAGAAAGGAUGAAAGAAAAGUAGGGUAAAUAAUCCUAACAACAGUAAGUUGCCCACCUAAGUAAAAGCAGGUAACCCCUUCAGAGACAGCACAGAAUUCCAGAAGUAGAAACCACCCCGUGUUUAAUGCAGCCUCUCACUGGGUGGAAAAGGGCAGACGUUCAUCUUUCUGGAACACAAUGAGAACUGAAGCCGACAUGUGGGCAAAGGAAGGAGGGGCCCAAGAAAGUGGGAAAAUAAUAGAUGAGGGUUUGGGAUGAACACAUAGUCGGGUGUUUAGCCUAUGAAGAGCCAAGUGCUUGAGAAGGGCAGAGAAGGGAGGUGCGCAUGAAUAAAAAGAUAAUUAAACAAGAAGCCUCUUUCUUGGUGGCUACACUCCCUUUGCACUGAUAGAGCACAAUCACUUGUAAGUAUUGCAGAGCCCUUGCUAUUAAGAACUAUGGUACCAACAGCCAUGAGGCAUGACUCUAUCUCAGUAGAGCGGUAAGCUUAAAGAAGUAUUGAGAUUAAAGUGCCUAUCUGCCUUGGGACAAAAUCCAUACUCAGUGACAUCAACCUUAUUGCUAACCUUUGAUUUUCAAUAUUACCUUGGAGACCAGCUUUGUAUUUCCAGCAUCUGGGUUGAAUUGUCUUUAUAUUUUUCAAGCCGCCUUCUGCACAUAACCUUGUCAUAUUGGUUGUGUCAAUUUGAGGGAGAAAUGGGUCAAAAACAAAUGAGAUGGAAUGUAAUUCAAACAAAGUUGUGAAUAAUCAUCAGUUUUGCAGAGUACUACAAGGGAAUGCAAAGGUAUUUAUGAUUUGUUUCUGGAUUCUGGGUCCAGAAAGGGGGAAUUCCAUUAAUUUUGCCUUUAAAAAAAAUAAAAACAGUUUGGGGUGUGGUGUGGGGAGGGGAGAAUGUCACUCUUUCUUUUUGUCUUCCAUGUAAAUUGGAACUGAGGAAUGGCCAGGCUGGGUGGAUGGUGCUGACUUCAGAGUUAUCUUGAAUCUCAAAGAAAAACCUAUUUCUGUGUUUUGGGCGGCUUGAAAGUCCUCCAGGCAGCAACCUGCCUACUUGAUUCGAAGGCCCAUUUACCAGAAAUCUCUUUGUAAACUCAAUAUGCCCUCAGUUGACCUUGUUCCUUGUAUUUUUCGAAUGUGCGAGUAGAGUCUUCAACAGCAAGCAUCAUUAGCUUCUAAAGGGGUAAGCAUUGCUAUCUGAUAUAAAGGAAUCAUUGUACAAAGCACAUUCUAUUAUUGUGAUCCCACAGCCAAACAGAAGAAAAUAUGAAUCCCUUUCCCUGGGAUUUUUGAACAAAUUUCUUUGAAGGUUCACCUGAGGGAAAGUGUCUACCAUGCCCAUGUAGCCAUGUGGCUGCAUGAAGUCCUUUUCUAUUUAGAUAUUUGAAUAAAACUCAAGGGAAAUAGUUUGGUGUAUUAAACAGAACAUUGCCAGAUAUGGGGCCCGAUAGACCUGGGUUUAAAUCUCAGCUUUGUUAUUCACUAACUGAGACAUUGAGCAAGUUACUUUUAAACUCUCUGGGUCUUAGCUUCUUUAUCUGUAAAUUGGAAACAACAGUUAUCUUUGAAGGCCAGUGUCACAAAAGCCUAUGUAAGUAAGUCACCUGGCAUCUAGUGUGCAUUCAAUGAGGUUGGUUUCUUUCCCUUCUUCCUUUCCUCCAAGCGUCCUCCCUGCAGAAAGUAACAUCUUGACCAGUGCUUGUCAAAAGACUCAGAAACUUCAUGAACAUAAAAGGACUCCACCAAACAACCCUUUAAUAAGCUGCUCCAUAAAAGCAUCUGGAACAGAUGUUUCAUUUCUUUUAAAGAGCAUAGGGUCCAGCAACAGAAAAGUUACAUGUACAAUGUGUUUUGAGCAGUGGUUUUAAAGUGGCUGGAAGGUCAGGUCACAAAUGAUCCAAGGUCCCUUCCAGUUCUAAAAUGCUGUGGUACCAUGAAAUCGCAGCAGCUGCAAAGCAAGCCUGACCUUUAUGACUCAGAAAGGAUGGCAUGCACAGGGUUGGCUAUUGGGCGGACCGAAGAUUUGAUUAAACACCCACUUCCCUCAAAUGUUAGCUUUGGGAUUAACAGAUCAAAUAAAUGCAUGUUACCUCUUUGUCAGAUGUAGCAAAGUUAUUUCUGUCCACCAGUGUAUUUUAAUGGAGAGUGUACCCAGUAGCUAAACAAACCAGAAAACAAACAGUUCAUGAAGAUGAGACUGAGGGUGGGGGGAGGGACAUUACCAGCCUGGUCUACUAAUCUAUUUAUCACUGAUCAUCAUUAUCUAUGUGAGGGAAACUAGCUAUAUAUAAAUUUAUAGAUCCUUAGGAAGAAUCUAUAAAGGUGUCUUGUUCUAAAACUAAGAACUGGUGGGGCGCCUGGGUGGCGCAGUCAGUUAAGCGUCCGACUUCAGCCAGGUCACGAUCUCACGGUCCGUGAGUUCGAGCCCCGUGUCAGGCUCUGGGCUGAUGGCUCAGAGCCUGGAGCCUGUUUCCGAUUCUGUGUCUCCCUCUCUCUCUGCCCCUCCCCCGUUCAUGCUCUGUCUCUCUCUGUCCCAAAAAUAAAUAAACGUUGAAAAAAAACUAAGAACUGUCAUGAAAAUCCAAACAAGGAUGCUGAAGUAAAAAUGAUUUUAAUUUGUUUUUAAAACCAGAUUAAUUUCCAUUUAGAUGAAUUUUCAAAAACGAGUUCUAGAAAACUUAGUUUUGCAAUGCUAAGCAUUAUUUGAAACAAUUUACUUUCAGUGGCUAUUUCAACAUGAGGAAUAAAAUGUAAACACACAGGAUAUGACAAUACUUUCUAUGGUGUGUGUGUGUGUGUGUGUGUGUGUGUGUGUGUUGGGAGAAUAUCUUUUUUUUUUGAGAAGAUAAAAUUUAUUCCUUCUGCUUUGAGAGUUUAUUAGAAAGCACUGCAAGUUUUAUAUAUCUUUUCAUUCACUGGAAACAUAGAUUCAAAAAUCAACUUUCUUUUUCACACUGAAAGUCAAGGGAGAGUCUGAGUAAUUAAGUAACAAGAACAGAUCUUAAAGGCACUUCAAAAUCACGAUAUUCUUGCCUAGGGGAGCAGCAGUCUGUAGCAAAGAGAGUUGCAAAGACAAACAUGAUUGAAGCACCUACUAUAUGCCAGGUUCUGCUUUGACACUUGUGAAAUCCUGGAGCUGUGUAAAUGCCCUCAGAUGGUUUUCUAAUUUACAGAAAAAUAAAAUACUUUUAGGGUGAAAUGGAGUCUUCUAGUCAAAGCUGAGCACAUAAGAGAUCUAAUGUAUGUUAACCAAUACUACAUAGUAUUAAAAAUUAGUAAGGAAGGAAUUUGCUUGACUGUCUCUGGGUUUUUAUAUUUUGAAAUGUAUUUUGAAGUAUUUUGAAAUUUACAUUGGUAAAUUUUUACUGUCUACGUGAGAAGAACCGGGAGGGUAUAAAAUGACAAAAAAUGUUUCUGCCUUUAAUUACAGUCUAGAAGGUCAAAAUAUAUAUUCUUGGUUUAGCUGAAUGCUACAUAUAAUUACUAAUGGUAUAAUUUUUACAGGUGAAUUUUCAUAGAUAGGUAUGAAACAAAACUAUUUGAUUUCAACCUUACAAAGAUAGAGUAAACCGCCAAAGCUUUAAGAAGUCAAUCAAUCAAUAAAAGUGGCAGUAGAAAGUGAAACAAAACUGGUGUGGGUGUGUGCGUGGGCGGUGGGCACACCAAAAUGUUCAGUGAUAUUUUUGUGGUGGUAGAAACAAAUGAUCUUGGUUUUCAUUUUUAUUUUUUUUUAAAUAGCCUAAAUUUCUUGUAUAAUUUAAAUAUUUAAAAUAUAAAAAUUCUUUAGAAGGAAGAGAUGGAGAAGGAAGAAAUUGAAUUAGGGCGACUAGGAAAGAGGAAGGUGGGAAGGAAGUCAUGUUUGAAAAGAAUAUUUCUCCUCUCACACAUCUAGGAAUCCUGGCUGUCCAGGCCAUAAACCCAUAGCUGCUCAUUCUGGCUUCUGAAGUUUGUCAAGAUUUUCCCAUAUGUGGCAGCCAUGACUGAAGACCAAUCUAAGUCUGGAGGGAAUGGAUAGAUACCUCAUCUGAGAUACAUAGGAAAAAUCAGCAUGAUGGAAUGGGUAAAGCAAAUGGGAGAAAAAGUUUACAACUGUUGGCCCAAAUUACAUUAGGAGCAAGUGAGGGGCGCCUUGGUGGCCCAGUUGGUUAAGUGUCUGACUUGGCUCAGGUCAUGAUCUCACCAUUCCGAAGUUCGAGCCCUGCAUUGGGCUCUUUGCUGACAGCUCAGACCCUGGAGCCUGCUUCAGAUUCUGUAUCUCCUUCUCUCUCUGCUCCUCCCCUGCUUGUGCUCUCUCUCUCUCUCUCAAAAAUAAACAUUAAAAAACAUUAAAUAAAAAAUUAGGAGCAAGUGAAAGGCCAAACGAAAGGGGGUUGGAGCCAUGGAGUGACAAGUAGAUGGGGAUGGGUGCUUCUACCGAGUGCAGGGUAGGGUCCUUGUUCAAGGAGAGGCUGGCUGGGAUGCCAUGGGAUUGAAGGGAGGAAGUAGGGGUGCGGUCACCAAACUAAAGUAAGGGUUGGGGUUUGAGCCAUUUGCUGGAAUGACACCUGGUGUUUCUUGUGGCACCAUCAAAGUAUUCUUGCCAAGUUAGAACUUCUAGGGAAGCCUCAAGAGAUUUCCAUGAAGUGAACCACCUAUGAGCAGUCUGCCCAUUGGUAAAGGCAUAGAUCCAGCGAAAUGGGUUCUGUUUCUCCUGGGUGAAUUUAUCUAUGGCUGUUUUGUGUCAUUUCUGCUGGCACUACAUGGCCCUUCAGAUACACAGAACUAGAUGCAGGUUACAUUUCCAGUAUUGCUGCAUGGGGUGUAGAUCAGUUUUUUUUUCUCCCCCAAAUCUAGGAUCCUGUAGAACACGUUCGGACUGAAGUUCUGUUAGUUUCCAUGUUGUAUGUAGGUGACAUAGAAUGGUAUAGAGACUGAUGGACUGGAGAUAUGCUUUAAAAAUCAGAGUAUUCCACAGAAAAAUCCAGCUUUCUGAUACCUUUGGCAAAGAUCUGUUAAAAUUAGACCCCAAUUCCUGCAAAGGAGCAAUGGGAUAGAGCUCAACAAUGAUGUUCAUUCUUUUACUUCUUGUGUGACUGGGAUAUUCUCCAAAGGGAUUAUUUUGUUUACUGGUAAAAAGAGACCCUUAGUAGCAAACAUUUCUCGUUCCUCCUCCGGUCAUCAGGUUUGCAUAUGACUCCUAAAACUCUGACUUCAUCUAGGUCCAUGAAGGCAGUGAAUUGAGCACAAGAUACUAAACUGAGGAUGAUGGAGUAGAAAGGUGAAAAGAAAAGGGGUCUCUGAUGAUAUCAUUGAGCCACUGAAUUAAACUUCCCUUCAGCCAUCACAGCUUCAGAUUUCUUGUUAAGGAAGAUAAUCCAUUUUGUUGAUUCUAGGUUUCACUUGAUUUUCAUAGUUCAACAUCUCUGAAAUCAGAACAUGUUUUGUCAUGAUAAUAUCUUACAAUCACUGCUGGCCAGGGUGGUCCUGACAUAGUUGUCAUUGCCUGUGCAUGUGUCAGUUUGAUUGUGAUUCCCAGUGACAUGACUGACAGCUGCAGCCUCUUGUGGACAGUUCAGCCAACAAAGUAUUAAAGGAUGUUAGAGUUAGGGAUCUUGUUUUCUGUCCGAACACUUUCCACUGACAACUUCUGGAAACAUAAAGGAAGCGUCAUCAUCAACAUUUACAUGAUGACUGUCAGUGCUUGGAAGAAAAUUCAAGAGGCAAUCGUAGAGUAAUCUCUUAAGAAAUGCUGCAUCGCCAACACUCUUGAUGUCACAGAGGACAAUAUUGGUUGGAAAAAAAUGGAUAUUGAUGGUUCUGAACUUAAAGAGUAUUAGAGAAUAUAAAUCGAUAUAUUUGAUUUAUGGUUAUGUAUGUACAUGUACUUCUGAUAUGUAAUAUUUAGUGUAUAUGUGAUAUAUGAUAUAUGUCUAAGUUUCACAAAUCUUCUCAGUAGAAGAUAAAAUAAACAUUUUGAAGCAUUAGAGAAUGUUGUGUCAAUGAACAUUGACAGUGUUUUAUUUUUUUCUUUCUUACUGGUUCAUAAAAUAAUGGUAUGUGUUAUAAUUGGUGUCUUACAUUUGACAAAAUCAUUAAUAAAUUCUUUGUUAUUUAAGCUGGGACUUUCUGUUUCUUGCCAUCAGAAGUUUCAUGCCAUGCUACAAUGAAAUAGCAUGUAGUUUAUGAAAAUUCUCUAGUCAGUAGCUUUCUUUUUAGCUCCCUAGAGAAAAAAAAAAGUAGAAUAAGUUAAUAUCCAUGGGAAUCUGAGUUCUUGAUCUGGUCUCUUCAUAGGUAGCAACUGAUGCAAGUAGUGACAAGGUUCGUUUCUUAGUAUGGUGGGUAGGGCAAGCAAGGGGAGACUUGUCUGUGAGCUAAGAAGACAUCUCUACGUCCUCCCUUCUGCCAAGGCAUGUCACCAUUCAACAACCAUUAGUUAUGCUCAUGUGCUAACGAGCAGGAUCUUCUGGAAAUGAAAAUGUGCCAGCCUCAUCACUAACAGAUUUCUUAAUUAACCUGCUGAUACUCUCAGCAACAGAGUUAGCUGUUGUCUUAGAAAUGGAUUAUUUGGGUUCUUUUGUCCUACAGUACUCCCUUUAUUCUCUCUGACUAUUAUAGGAUCAGGGUGCUCUUUGAUUAGCCCGUCAUAAUUUCCUAAAGUAAGCAAGAAUUUGAGAAACCGCCCAUGGCACAUUAUUGCAUUGCUUAAACUUGCUGCUGACUCUUUUAUCCUUUGAUAACUAAGACCUUCCUGAACAAUAGUGUUAAUUAUACCAGUCAUGUAGUCUACACCGAUGCCUCUUCCCUUGACAUGUUUCAUCCUCAUAGGCAAGAUUAGUGGCCUCCCUCACAGAAGAUUCACCAUAGGCAUUCCCUGUCGGGAGAAGAAAUCUUUCCUGCCCUUCCACCUGUGCACGUCCCAGGCAUUCAUGCCUGAGAAGUACUUGCCACAAUGUGGGUCUCGCGUCUUCAAGAGGAACUAAGCUGUGGACUGGGAGUGCCAGCCCUGUGUUAAAGUGCACAUUUCUCAUUAAAUGCAAAUUCGUCAUUUGAAAAGGUUGAAUAGAACUCUAUUUUAAAAAAAAGAAUUCCAGUCGGUUAAAUUUAGUGUCAUAAAAAAAAUCCAAACCAAGAAUAGUUUCUGGUGUUGAGCCCACCGUGUUUCUUUUGUUGUGAAAUCGGGCAGUAUUUUCGUUCACUGUGAGUAUUUCCUGCAGUGUUUCUCCUUUUGAGAACGCCUAUCCAUGGCUUUGUUGGCUUUCAUAGGACUUGUCUUUCCUUCUGAAGUGACUUUCUAAAUUUUAUUAUUGCAAACAGGUGGGACCUUGAUUUUUAUUUUAAUUUUUAACUUUCCCUCAACUAUUUUGCCUCUCCUGUCAUCACCUGGGUCUACUGUAUUCCUUCCCACCACCCCCAUCUCUUCAUUGAUGCCAUAUUUGAUCCUCCCCCAAGGAUCUCAAAAGAGACAGCCUUGAAAGACAAAUCUCCAUAUUUUUUGCAACAGUUAUUUCGGUGUUGAAGACUGGAUAGUCCACCAAUGUCCUGUCAGUCGCCCUGACCUGCCUAUAGUCUUCUCUUCUCUUAUUCAAUUCUUCCUUGGUUCCUUGGUGAUCAUAAGAAAGCAACUCCUGUUGACUAAAUGCGUAUUUGGUGCUCCCGGGGCCUGCCCUGAGUGCUGAAUAGACAUAAUCCUGUUCAAUUCUUCUAACUGCCUUAAAAGUAAUUAUUAUUAUCCUUGUAAAGACAGGGAAACCAAAGGUCAAAGUAAUGAGGCAACUAGCCUGGUUUACCUAGAUAGGUGACAAAGCUAAAUCUCACAAGCUCAUUUUCCUGACCAUGAAAAAGUUCCUCUUGUUAUAGAAAUAGCAUUCAGAGUCUCCUAAAGAAUGUGUUAAUUUCUAUUUUUGGUUGGGGGGGUGGUGGUGUGGCCUUUUAGUCUACUUCACUUUCAUUAUGUUCAUGACAUAGCAACAUAAGAAUGAUCGUAUCCAUGAGCUCACUUUUCCAAAUACUUGAUCUUUUGAUAUUUUGGUAUGUUUUCUUUCAAACUGUACCGCAUCUAAGACAUUAUCACCAGUUUUUUUGUAUUAAUUUCUAAAUUAAAUUUUCUCUACGUUUGUGGUCAAUGUGUUUCUUGUCAGAAUUCUGCCAAAGUUUCAGGAUUUCAUGAUAGAUUCUGUUUCAUGAUCCUUAUUGAAACUUUUGAUUCUGUAUCAGAUUUUCCUGGCAAAAGACGAAACAAGACAAUAAUCAUCUAAGAGUGGUGUGUGGGGUAAUAUGCAGUCUUGGGGACUACUGGGAACUGAAAUCAUACACCAAAAAUAAACCUAAUUUUAUAGUAUGUGAUAUGGGAAUGCUAACAUCAAUGUUUGUACAGGAAUCAAUAGGUCUGAUCGGUUGAUGGAUUUGCUGAGAAAUGCCUUGAAAAUAACAGGAGUAAUGUAAGAAGCCCAUAUCUGUUAAAUCCAGCAGCAGUCCUUCAUCCCACAGGAAGGGCAGCUGCUGAUUCCUCCUGUGAUUCCUCAGACUCAGCUAGACAUUCUGAGGUCCUUGGGAUUCGAUUCCAAGAUAACAAAAAUGAUGGGAUAAUUUAAUUCUGGAUCAGUCAGCUUCAGGAUAGGAAGAUCUGCUUGUGAAUAUUCUAAACUCCCUCCAUAACGAAGAAGCUAUAUUGAAGAAGAACUCUGUAAUUCAGCCACCCUGGGGAACAAAUCAACUAACAGAUUUGGAAGAGAAAAGAAGACCAUUUUAUGUGGCUUUUAACAAAUUUGCUCAUUAUCUGUUUAAUAUUUUCUGGGCUGUGAACAGUGAUUAGUAUUUCAAAUUAAUUCUUGGAUGGUUUGCUUGGCUGACUAAGUUAGGAUCUCUAGGAACAGUAAUCAGAAGAUCAUGUAAUCCAACUGGAUCAGCUUCUCCUCUCCCAUCCCCCAUACGGUCUCUGUUAGCUUCCCCCAGCUCUAGUAAUUAAGCAAUUUUGUUUCUGGGCACUGCGUGGACCAGAGUGUACCUUACUCUGAGGUCUGCCUAUGGGUCUUUUGGGAAGUCUGAAAUUGUAUGGAAAAUGUAAUGUUCGUGAACAACCAAGCCUCUUUCUGGAGAGAGAUCAUAGCUUUCAUCAGAUUCUACACUAAUAGUAACAAACAUUGGUUAAAAAAAUAAUCAUUUAAUAAUUUUUUUUCUUUUUUCCUUUCUGUGUGGAAUUCUAUCCCCUGAUAAUAUUAACGAACUCAGACUCUAUUCUAGGUGCUUUGGAUACAUGAAUGAGCAAAACUAGGUUGCCAUCCUUCUGGGCUCUCCAACCAGAGACUUUAAGUUCAAACAGGGGAGUAAGAUCUUAAGAAGCCAUCAACCUAGGUGGUCCAAGAACUUACUAAUAAUGGUGAAGAGUAAACAUGGUCACUCAGAUUGGUGCUUAUUGUCAGCUUUGUUGGAUUUUGUUUUUGUGUUUUAUUUGUAUUUAUUUUUGUAAGAAGCCUUCAUAAGCCAUUCUCCCCCUCGACGAUAGUUGGGGAAUCCCAUGCUGAGUGUGCGCAGAUGCCUAAGCAGUCUCUGGUUCACACACCCGUCUGUCAAGCGCCUGGCUGCUGCACAGGACCCGAGAGCUCACAGGAUCCAUCCACACUGACAGAAGAGAAAACCAGAGGCAUGGACCUUGACAAGUUCUGCCUCAUCCCCAAAUAAAAUUGAUUCAGGCCACUAAAAAACUCCAAGCUCUUUCAUUAAUAGGCCUCAGAAAACCACAAUAAAUCAGCCUAUUAGAGUGCAGCAGGGGUGCAAAUUGGUGUCUCAGUUAAUGUAGAUAAAGAUUUCAGUACGCACUGCAUAUAUCAAAAAUUUAACACAUGCUGCUUGCAGAGUUUUAAUGAAUACAAAAAGCUCAAUUGCUUAAAACCAACACAACCCAGGCAUUACUUCAUUUAGCUGUCAAUAAAAUUGUCUCUUAUUUUAUUUUCUAAUGGUUUAUCAAUACUGGUAAUUUGCCACUGGUUAUAAAAAGGAGGAUGGGGUGGGGGGAGGGAAAGGAAUUUAAAUAAGUCCUGCUAACUAGAAAAGAGCUUGGUGGGCCAUUUUGUUCUGCUACGUAAGUUAAUGACCAGAUGAUGUGAGGUAGUGAAAUCCAAUUGCUUCCUUAGACUACAAACAUCAGCCUUACUUGGAAGGACACAUUAGGCUAGGGGUGCACUUGGCUCGGCAAAUCUCUUCUUGUCUUUUGAUAAAGGAUGUUAAGGCAUUAUAAUCCAGUCUCUCUUUAAAAAGUUCUGACUAAGGGAAAAAUGUUUUUUUUUUUUUUUUCUUUUCCCAGGUAAUAUAGUAGCAGCGUGACGUUUGUCCAUAGAAACCCAAUGCAAGAUCUCACCCGCCUUAACUGCUUUCUAUAAAAUGC